rnacentral:lncRNA from 1 species
GCUGGAGCAGAGCAGAUGACAAAGUCCCUCUAUCUGGCCACGCAUGCAGCGGUUAAACUGCUCGGCCAUGAGCUUUUCGUUGCGAGAGUGUACUGUACUCAUAUUACCGUUUUAUUUCAUCGUAAGAUUUUUACUGCAGCCUGCUGUUUCAGUGCAAGGAACCACCCAUCAUCAGUUUUCACUUUUCAGUGCAAGGAACGUUUAUUUUACUCAUUGCAAAGGGACUGAGCUAUCUCCUGCGCCCCAAAUCUAGUUGCGUCUCAGUGGUUCAGGGCCUUGGCUGUUUAUUUUGAUGAAAUUUUUUUAGAUUAAGUGAUGAAAAAUAAAAAGGAGGUAUUUUUGGGUUAAUGUUGCAGCUUGUGACCGUAAUCAUCUUGUGAGCUGUAAGCAUGCAUGGACGGCAGUAUGUAUUCAUUGUUUCGCGGUUUCUGAUACACUAGGCCAACUAUUAUGGCAUUUCGUUCCAGCUACGAUGCUCAAGACCACAUUCAUUGUGCAUCUCUCUGAAGAGAUUCUAGCUGGCUACAAUUCUAGUCCAUGAUCUUCUAGAGCAUCUCUGCAGCACCACCCUCUAUCCCUUCACGCCACUUGUCAAUACAAAUACACAUACAACUUGGGAGGUUGCAUGGACACCUUCCGUCCCUUAAAUAUAUUUCUUUCACAAUCCUCUACUCAAAUUAGAGCCAACAAACACUCUUAGCCAAUAAACACUUCUACAUAGUUGGUACGAGUUAUUAGGCCGGCUACCUUUUAUUAUAGCAAAAGUUGCAUUGAAUUCUAGGGUGCUACAAAUGGUGUCUAAUUGUGGCAGAUAAAUAACUCCAACUCUUUCAAGAACUCCAACCCUCUGUCUUCCUCCGAAGUGUAUAUGUAUACAUACACAUUUAACAGCUUCAAUGGGUGUGGCUACAGAGUCGUGGCCGAUCAAGAACUAGAUCAUUUUCUUCCUGUUUAGUGACUACCUGACAGACUGAACUAUGAAGUCUGAACAGGCCAGUUCUGACAGACCUCAGAGCUUCAAAAUUAGAUUUUCAAUGUGCUUUCGUCAUUUGCCAGUAGCGAUGCUUGAAGGAAAAAGUAACAUCAAAACAUUUUAAAGUGAAACAUUUUCUUUUCACAAAAGAAUAACAAGCUAAACCUCACAGGCCAUUCGGGGGAAGCUAGAAGAUGCAAGGGAAAAGGGGGGACGCAAUGGAGGAGGCGAAUUCCGGUGACGCUAACACCGAGCGAGACGCUGGUGGUGGGCCGGAACGAACGCGUCCAGGUCGAAAUCUUUUUACUACAAGGUGCCUUCAAUUCAGUUCAUCCCCUUCUCCAUUUCCUUCAUGUUACGCGACAUUGGCACCCGGCAAACAAAAUCACUGAUGCAUCGUGAAAAAAGCUCAUGACUCCGGGAGGCAUUCAUGAUACAUGGAUGAUUUUUGAACUGUUGUUGGGAUCGCUUGGCACCGCUUGUAGGCGUGUUAUAUAUACACUCUGCCAUGCCUUAAGUACAGAGUAACCUGCGUUUUCUCUUUCAAGCAGUUAGCUAGUCUUUGAACUAUAUGAAGCAUUGGAGGAAACCAAAUUACGAGCUUUGACUUUUGUAGCUGAACGCAUCCACAAAUUUGGUGAGGCAUAUGGGCACAUUCAGACAAUCUUUGAUCUUGAUCACUUUCGGCCUGUACAGAUCUUUUCUCUUUCACACAAUUCCAAACACAAAGAACCAGUGAAGACUUUGUAUAUACGAUGGUAUAAGCCAUAAUGGUGCGUAUGGUUAUCGUGGUCCAUGUUGCUAAUGGUAUACAGAAGUUCAAUUUAUUGGUACAAGUGGCCAUGAUGUAUUUGUGAAAAGAGCAUCCUGUUCUUGCUGACUUCAUUGAUAACACGAUCAGGUUCGCUAUUUGGAUGUGUCGAUCGUGACAGGACUUCAGAAUGCUACCUUCCUUUGUUAGGCGUGUUACAACUUACAAGAACUGUAAAGAAGAAAUAGAAACUCAGUUAACAUCACAUACAAUGAAUCACAUCCCAUCAACAGAUAUUUGUCUGAGCUUCUCUUCAUCUCCGCUACGGCAUUGCACCCCGCAGCCUUCUACAUGGCGUUUAUGUUUUUUGUCCUGUGAUUCUAUAAUGGAUGAAGAACCGGUUACAGGUGAUCCUCGGAAGGUCACCUGAGCUUUUCCUUAAGGCCCGUCGAAUGAAUUUGUCCGCGUGCUCCUCAUGCUCCCUCGACCCACGCAUCCACGUCCAUCCCAGCCGGCGAUCACCGGUCAUAAUAAGCUGAUUAGGCUGAUAGCUACAUGAUUGAAGCGACGGCAGCACAAACUCGGGUGUGGGACGGACUCUGUUAUCGAGCGUCAAGCAUCAUCGUUUACAUGUUGUUCAGAAUUCAGUCAUAUGGUUCAGUUCACUUCUUGGUUGUCAGGUAUUUCCGGGAGGCAAAAACUGACUAGACUCACUGAAGCAUGUAUGCAUAGUGCCAUCGGUUCAUCACUCUUCAUGUUUAGAUGGAGGUAAUCAGUGGGAGGUCAUGAAAGGGAGUUUAGAUAGAAGAGAUUAAAAUUACAUUGCUUGUUUGAUGGGAAUGGGAGUUUUAAUGGGAUGAGGAAUAGGAGUUUUAAUGGGAUAAGGAAUGGGAGUUUAGAGAGGCAACUCCCACUGAUCACUUCCCCAGGGGAGGGGUGGGAAUUGGGUAGGAAUUUGUUUUAAAUGGAAGAUGAAUGCAUCUACACCAUUUAUCAUAACUUAAGAUAUAAUUUCCCAUCGCUAAAUCCUCACACCAAACAACGGAUAUCUAGUCUCACUUAAACUCCCACUCUUAAUUCCCUCCAAAAGACAAACAAGGAAAUGGCACUAAAAAUCAUAUUCCCAAGUAAAUUCCCUCCGCCAACUCCCACCGCUAAUUCCGAAGCCCCUUCCCAUUAGUUGCCCAACGCACCCUUAGAUUAGAUGAAACUGGCACCGGUCAAAAACAGAAUACUGAUCGAUCAGAUGAUCACCUAUGUGCUGUGAAAUGAAAUGAUUGUAAUGCUCGUAAAAAUUACCAAUUUAAAUCACUCGUUAAAAAUGCAUUCCAAAAUUUUCCGACCGUUGAGCUCCCAAAAAAUCCCCUCUUUCCCGUCGGAUCCGCCGUUCCGACCCCCGACGUCGUCAACCCUCUUUUUCCGUUCCCCGUAUUUUUCGCCGCGUGCCCGUCAAAUUCAUCACGCGUGCCCGUCAAAUCCCGCAAUUCCCGCCGUCUCCCUCUUUUUCUUUUUCCCUCCUUUUUCCCUCUCUUUCUUUCUUCUUUUUCCCUUCUCCUUGUUUCUUCUCUUUCUUCCUCCUUCCUCUCUCUCCUUUCUUUUUCCCCGCUUCCUUUUCUUCUCUCUGGCGCCUGGCGCCCGGCCCCUCCCUCCUAGCGCCGCCCGUGCGUCCCCUGCCUUGCGCACCCCGAGGUGAGCACCCCGCACGCGCGCCGGGCCCGCGCCGCGCCCGCGUCCGCUCGCGCCUUGGCGCCUAGCGCUUGGCCAAGCACGUCGCAUCACCGGCCGCCGGUCGCCGGUCUCCGCCAUCCCACCGCACGUCACGCCGGCCAUCACCUCGGUGGACUCCUUGUGCUCCUCGUCGACCGAGCCACCACACCAUCCACGAGCUUCUCCACUCUGGCACGCCACCGGCCAGAGGUACGGCCGCCAUUAUCACCCGGCCGCACGCCCACCUCUCCCUUCGCCUAUAAAAGGAGCAAUGCUCCGACUCUCCGCACCGCCACCUGCCACUAGCAUCACCACCGCCCCUUCCCUGCUCCCUCCCGUGCGCCCAACUGCCACCUUCCCUGUGCGCCGCCGCCCCUAACCAUUGCCGGCCGCCCCUCCUCCCAUCAUCAAAAUCUCCAAGGUGAGUGGCAAAAUGGGGCCUCCACACCUCCCCCUACCCUUCCCCACCGUCGGGGCCCGCCGCUGGCAAGGCCCGGCCGGCUGGCCGGCCACCGCCAGCCAUCCUCUCCACUUCCUGUAACCGGCCAAAGGAAGAAGAAGAAGAAACUCCUUCAAUUUCGAUCUACCCCUCUACUUCCAUUUAUUUACAAUCCGGCCCUUCCACCUCUCUCCAGGAAUUCUCACAGAUGAGCCCUUCCACUUUUCAGAAUAAUUACAAAUAGGUCCUUGGUUCUCGCGGUUUAGUCCUAAACCUUAAUUUAAACCCCUAAUCCAUGUUUAACUCGUCAUUUCAUGUGCCAAACUUCCUCCAAUUAAUCCCAAAUUCGACCACGGCCUCCUCUCAUAUAUUUCCGUCAAGGCAUAUCCAAAUUUCAUAAAAAUACCCCUCCUACCUAUUUUCCGUUCACAUUUCCUGUUCAGAGCUCAACGGGUAAAAUCUUAUUUUUGUGCUCGUUUGUGUGUGCCGUAGAUCGCGGAGUACCCAAGGAGGAGCACGAGGAGGAGUUCGACCGCGAGCCCAAGCCCGAGGACCAGUACCGCGAGCAGGAGCUCCCGGAGGGCUUUGAGAACGGCAAGUCCAACCUCACCCUUUGAUGCAUAUUUAAUACCUAAUUUUUCAAAACACAACCUAUUGGCCUAUUUUAUAAAAUGCAUAUUGUUUUAUCGCAAGACAUGGUUGGAUAGCCACCCCUUGAUUGUUAUGAUUAUUCCUUGUUGUCCUAUAUUUGUCUCUAGAUAUGAGUUGCUCUGUUUAGAUGAUAAAUACUGCUAGAAUGCUUAGGAACUCGUUACUCCCAUUCAAUCAUGACUACACUUGUUUAUAAAUGUGUGAGUGUGUUCAACUGAGAAAAUGGGAUUUUCAGGCGUAAAGAGAAGUGGUGCAUGGAUGAGAUGGAUGGGUGUUUCUUGUGUGAAAUGCCAAGAUGUUGAGCUCGUACCUUAGUGGUUGAGCAAGGUUGGGAGAUAUCCAUCUUGUCAUGGUUAAGGACUAAGUUGAUGUGUCAUCUUGCCUAAUUCAACCAUCGUGCAACCACUCGACCGUUGUAUGGGCAACGGCUUAGCAUGAAUCCCACUAGCUAAACUGCUAGGCUUCAGGUGUACUGGUGAGCAACGGGAACCCAUGGAAAAGGAUUAAGCUCUUGGUGACUUAGGUCCCGGUUCCGGCCUCGUAGAUGGGUCGUUAACCCCUUGGGUGCUUCCGUGAUGACUAGUCAGUUUUGGCUAAGGUGGGUAAUGGUUUUGUUAGGAUCCGCACCGGCACUAAGGUGAUCGUGCUGUGGUACCCUACUUGUGGGAAAAGUGUACAACCUCUGCAGAGUUAAAACCUAUCCGGGUAGCCGUGUCUAUGGCAUUGGACGAGUUACAGCUUGGUCACAUAACUAGCAUUUGGAGAUGGUUGGUUUUUAUGGUGUGUGUUGGAUUUUUGGAAGUGUCCGGCAGUUGUGCCAUGCGCUGCAGCGGACGGGGGGUCCGGUAGCGAUAAAACUUGGAUCCUUUGUGUAGGAUCAACCCCACUUAAUGAUUCGGUUAUUAAAUAAAAUACUUUGUAAAAACUCUUUGAAAAUGAACCCUUGCAUGAGUUGAAAAUCUAGCUUUAUUGCAAAUGAACCUUAACCUUGUCCUUGUUGUAUCAUGUGCAUGUUCUUGUUGUAUCCCUCUCCAUGGAUGGGGUUGGACUUGUUGAGUACCUUUGUACUCACCCCUGUUUUGUUGCUUCAGAGGAGGAUCCGGACUACGUCGUCGAGGAUUUUGAGUAGGGGGUUGCGUCUGCACCCAACGCUGCUUGCGGUGUUGGCCCUUUUGCAGGAUGCUUCCGCUGACGCAUAGUCCGAUUGCAGCCCGGAGUCCGACUGGACUGCAACUUGGAUUUGUAUUGUUAUCGCUUUAGUUUUACUUUGGGUGUGGCUUGCCCGCCCUCUCCUUCGGGAGUUGUACGGUUUCUGAACUAUCUGUUGAAUAAAUAUGUUAUCAGCCUCCUGGGACUGAUAAUUGGAUCACAUUUAGUCUCUACUUAUGUGGGGACGCUUCAAUGAUUCAUGAACAGUAACCGUAUGACUUGUUGGGGAUCACUCUAAAAGACAGCCACCCUCGAUGUCAUCUUCUUCGGCACGAGGCAACUUGCAUCGCGAAAUCUUUGCCUUCAGGCGAAGGUUGCUAACAUCGUGAGACCAAUUUGGCAUAAAAACCAUGUUAGCCUCGCGCCGUCUCUAUAGCUCGGGUCUCGAAGCUAAGGCAUAAUUGCUAAUGGCUAAAAUGUGACAAAGCUUACCCUCGGACGCUCGAAGCUAACCUCGAGUGACGAGUUUUUCACUGUGUUUUAUUCAGGGUUACCGGAAUGAGGGCGCUAAGGCUCAAGGCACGAGGCUAGGCAUCUUUCUCGGCACGAGGAUGAGAGAACUUCAAGCACGAGGUAAAGAGGUUUGCUGGAAAGAUGCUAAAGGCACAAAGGCGUGAAAAGCAUGAUUGCAUGGAGGCGUUGGAAACGUGAACCCCCGGUGGCGUGAUUAACGUGACUACCCGCUAGCGUGAGAAGCGUGACCCAAUAGAAGAGACCAAGUUGAACAAGUUACCUCCAACCUUAGAAUGUAAAGUGUCCCUCGGAUCACUAUAAAAGAGGAGCCCUACCCUGGUGUAAAGGGAUGAUCUUUUUUGAGAACUGAAUCACGAGUGCUAACUCUACAUUGUUGUGUUCGAGUUUCCUUGAGGAGUUCUCUAUCGCUAGGUGUGAAAGCCUACAGAGUCUUGAAUCUUCCCAAGGUGCGUCAGCUGUGGGUAAGUUGCUGUCAAGUUUAAGGCGUGUGGAUGAGUUGGGCAGUUUGGAGCAGCUGUGGCUGAAUGUGGAUACGCAGGACCUCGCUUCUCAGUGGGUGCCUGGGCUUAAACAACAGCGCCAAUAACUCCAUGGGGAAGACCUGGAUAUCUACACAUGGUGACUGAGGUACGAGAAAAACUGGGCAUUAAUUUAGUUGCUCCUUAAUUUGUUUGGUUGUCCAUCUAAUUAAUGUUGUUUUCUCUCUGAAUUUUGUAGUUUCAACCGACACUAGCAUCUUGAAUUUGUGGAUAUUAGUCUUCUGUAGGAAGGAGGACUGAUGAUAAAGUGCAACGAUCAAGAUGAACUGAGGUCGAAAGGUGGGAACUGAGAGAUGGAAAUCAAGAGCAGCUGCAUGCGAUGCAUCGAUUCUUGCUCUAAGGUUGGGUCUAUGAGAACACAGGGAACACAGGGAGAAGGCUUCCUCUCUUCUUUGGCCCAUUGGAAGCCUUGUUUAAUCUUGUUCAAGUGUUUGCUAUUGUUGUGUGCAUGUCUAAACAAAAUGUGUGCUACUUACUUGAGUUUCUCCAUUAAUUCAUUCUGUAAGAUGGGCUUCUAUUCCUUGUACUUAGCGAACAUGUAAUCAUAUCUUGGCUGGUGCCUAUGCUGCUGCUCCGUCGUCAAUUUGUCACCUGCUCUUUCACUGUGAUGCGAUUACAAUUUGUUAGGUGCAAUCAAUUUCUUCCGUUCUGUUCUCAAAAGAAUGUCAGAACUUGGAGAAUCACAGCCAUCAAGAUGCACUGAUGUCGGAACUCGGAGAAGGCUUCCUCUCUUCUUUGGCCCAUGGGAAGGCUUGUUUAAUGUUGUUCGAGUCUUUGGGUAUCCUUGUGUGCAUAUCUGAAUAAAUUGUGUGCUACUUGAGUUUCUCGAUUAAUUCAUUCUGUGUGAUGGCUUGUAUUCCUUGUACUUCGUGAACUUGUAAUGUCAACUUCAUCUGCUGUUGCAUGCUUUCUGUUGCCAACUGAGCUCCUGUUUUGUUACCACUGCUAUUAAUUUUUACUCUAAUAGAACUUCUGUUACUCGUUCCCCUGCUUAGUUCCGUAAUGCAUCUUAUGUCAAACAAUCAAGUCAUCCUGUGAAUGGUGAAAUGCGGGUUAGCUCUAAAAAUCAUAUCUUGGCUGGUGCCUAUGCCACUGCUCUGUCAUCAAUUUGUCACCUGUCCUUUCACUGUGAUGCGAUUACAUUUUGUUGGGUGCAAUCAAUUUCUUCCGUUCUGUUCUAAAAAAAAACUUCCGUUCAUAGGACUAGAUUUGCACGAGCAAUUUUCCGUUCAAAUUCGUGCAGCUAGAGGAGGCACGAGUCGUCAUUAGUCAAUACUUAGGUAGCUGCAGUUUUGAGCAUCUACUGAAACUCUGUUCUCUUUGCAUCUACUCUGUUUUCUUCGAACCCUGCUUGAUUCAGUACCAAAACAAGACAGCUAGCCGGAUCAGGUAGCGUGGUCGCUCUACUACAGAUGAACUUCUGAACAUUAAUUUCCUCUGUUUCUAUAAAUCGUGCAGUUGUUCAACAAUAAGAAACCAACUAAUUUCAUCAUGUUUAUUCAAAAAAUGGCUGGCUUGUGGAAAUGCCCGAAUUGAUGGACUAGAAUGUUGAACACGAAGUUUGGGAAAGAGUUAAUCUCAGAACUGGAGUUGGCAUGCAUGGAUCAUGAAGCGACUUAGAUGUACUUGUGUAUGUCCAAUUGCAUCAAGGAAAAGAGCUGCUCCAGAGCUAUCUUGAAGCUUUCUCCUCCAAGCGCAGGGAGGAAUAGAACAGAGCAGAGAACAGCUGCACUGCAAAGGCGCUCUCUGCACUCCUAGGAAGACUGAUUGGACUGAGAAAACAUGUGGUUGGACUUUUGACUAGGGGAGCUAAGGUGAACGAUUCUUGACUAGGAAGGCAUGAGGUUGGACCUCUCAUUCGGUCCGCUAAAAGAACAAUUAUUGUUGACUAAGAAAACAUGAGGUUCGGCCUCAGAUGGAAUUUGUAAGGUCCAAAGGGCCACUUUCAUAUCUUCUCCAUUCUAGAGGAUCGGAAGCUUUGGUCAGUUUUGUAUUCAUUUCUUUGCAAAAGAAACGUACUCAGAUGCCUCCUAUGGUCUCCAUGGUUGGUUGCAAUCACCUAACUGAAUUAAUUGAACGAUAGAUAGAGCAUACUGUAAAUUUUUUAUGACCAAGGACAAAAGGAACGACUUCUACUGAACUGACCACACAGCAAAGAGGCCAAGGCCUGGUGGCCUUAUCGUCACGCAUCUCGCUACUAAGUAGUGAUCACACACCAAAUAAAAGCUAACAGCCGAAGAAGGCAACGGAUGUCAACAAAGAUGGCACGCAUGCAUGUUUCCUUGACUAUAUAUGACAUGGGACAACUAAUUUACAUUUAUACUGCUACGAGUUUUACAAUAUUAGUAAAAAUCUAUUUGGAUCCGAUGCUAAAUUUUAGCCGGCUAAAAAUUAGUCCUUGACGAUUUAAACGGUGGGGCUAAAGGUGGACUAAUUAUUAGCCAACUCAAACUAAACUUUAGUUCAUUAGCCCUCCAAACCCAGCUAAUGGGGCUAAUUUUACAAACGAAUGGUAAAAGAUUAAAAAUACCCUCCACUAAAAUCUUAAAAUUUUCUCUCCUACACCCCCUAAGGAUAGAAUAGACAUUUCCCAAUAAAUAGGUUAAAAAUUAGCUCUACCUCCAAAGAAGACAGAGUUAUUUUAGCCAACGAAAGUUUUGAUGUCUAAACUUUAGUUUUAGUCCAUCCAAACAGACUCUUAGAAUGAUUGAUACCACCACCUUGAUUUUGGUUCGGAAGUAUUUAUCUAGAUAAAAUAAAAAUUUUAGCGCUGGUCCAUGUAUCUAGAAAAAUCAAACCGACCUACAUUUUGAAACGAAGGGAGUAGAAUGUAAGAUGCAUAGGUGCAACUUGAAGAAAAUUGGAUCCCCGUUGGUACGGAACUAUGAUACAAGUAGGGAGAGAUGUCUCGUACGUAAUUUCGCUGUUGCACGAUUCAUGAAUGCAUGCAUGUAUGAUACAAGUAGCAAGAGACGUCUCGUGAUUUCGCUGUUGCACGAUUCGUCAAGAUGCAGGGACCAGCAUCAUCAAACUGAAAACGUGAUGGACCGAGACGGCGGCGUGUGUUGAAUGUGUUCCGCCUGCAGGCCGCGACGUACUUGAGAAUAGCACGCGUCACGUAAGGAGGUGUUUGAUUCUUUAGAACCUCCUAAAAUUCCUAUCACAUCGAAUGUUUAGAUACUAGUUAGGAGUAUUAAAUAUAGACUAAUUAUAAAACUAAUUGCACAAAUGAAGGCUAAUUUGCAAGACGAAUCUAUUAAGCCUAAUUAGUCCAUGAUUUGAUAAUGUGAUACUACAGUAAACAUGUGUUAAUGAUGCAUUAAUUAUGCUUAAUAGAUUCGUCUCGUGAAGCUUCCGUCUGUGUAAUUAGUUUUAUAAUUAACUCAUGUUUAUUCCUCCUAAUUAGACAAAUACUAGUCCAUCAACCCGUGCUCCCGCACGGACUAAUAUUUUUAGAAGCAAUUGUAUAUAAAAAUUAUUUAAAAAUUAAACUCUUAGCUAAUAAUCAAAAUUGUUUACCUACUACUCUCUUAUUUUUCCAAUACUUGAACAUAAUAAUUACAUAGAUAUGUACCUAUCUUUGUCCAGUUGUGAUUGCUUUAUAAUCAAUAAUUACUCUAUAUACUUUUUCAUCCAUAUUCAUACUUUUUUUCAUUUUGUAUCACACCUCCAAUCCUUCAUACAUUAUGUUUAGCAUACAAAUUAAUAUUUUUCAUCGAUUCCUCACAUACAUGUAUAAAUGGUCUAAAUGGUGGCACUCAUCAUGUGUAUAUACUUUAACUUAGUAUUUUUAUAUUAACAAUGACAUAAAUAGGUAAUUUAGAAUCAUAUAUUAAUUUACUUUUUGACAUUUCUGUAUGAUGCACAUGAAGAUAAUUAGAUGAAGAUUUAGGUGUUUACUUUAGGUUAUUUUUAAUAUCGACAUAUGUGGGUAAUAUAGAUAAAAUUUUAGAAUGACAUUUUAAGUUAUGCUUUAUAAUGAUGUGUAUUAGUAAAUUGGACGAAGAUUAUGAGGUUACUUUAUAUUAUUUUUUAUAGUAGCUGAGCUCAGUAAUUUAGAUAUAGAUAUAGGUUUAGAGCUCAUUUUUUUAAUAUUUUCACAAUGAUAGUGGCAGGUAACCUUUUAGAAAAUAUAAUAGAUCAGUGGCUAUGAUUAUUAGAGUUUACAUGAUUGGUGUUUGAUGUUUUUAAUUUUUAUGAGAAUUUCUCUCUUUUUUCUAGCUUGUCUCGUGGGAACUAAUGUGGAGUCUCCAAUGGAAAAAAAAUGUAGGGUAACCUCAUGUUAUUUUUAAUAAUAGCAUGUGUGGGUAUUAUAGUGGUUAUUUUUCAUGCAAAUUUAAGGGUUACUUAAAAAUUUUAAGUAAUAGUGGUAGGCAAUUCAGCUGCAAAUUAGGGGGUUAUUUUAAAUAUUGUUUACAAUGGCAUAAGUGGGUAAUUUUGAUGAAGAUUAGGGGGUUACUUUAAUUAAUUUUAUAUAAUGGCAGAGGUGGGUAAUUUAUAUAUAGAUUUAGAGGGUUACUUUAGGCUAUUUUCAUAAUGGCAUAGGUGGGUAAUUUUUUUAAAAACAUAAUAGAUCCAAUGGUUGUAAUGAUUUGAAUCUAUCGACCGAUGGUCGGAUGUUUUGCUUUUUUAUAAGAAUUUCUAGGAUUUCUCUCUUUUUGUAGAAUGUCCACCUAGGAAUCCUAGGUGGCUUCACCUGGAGGCUUCAAAAGGAGCCUCCAAUUAGUAAUAGUAAGAUUCGAUGUGACAUAAAUUUUAGUCCGGACUAAAGAUCGAAAUUACCCCUGGUACGCGUGGGAGUAGCUCAGCUGUCCCUGUCCAUUGCGGCCCGGAAACUGGAAUUCCACCUUCAAGAAGUACGUGCCGAGCCUGACUGUUUGUAGAUUCGUCAAGGUCAUCGUGGUGUUUCUAGAUUCGUUUCAUCUUUCGAAGCAGAGUUCUUGUGUUGAGUUCUUGUUGUUCACCGUGCAAGAGUUGGCGUUUCUAGCACGCACGGAGAGUGAAUCAAGGCAUGUGGGACGACCCAUUCGGAGUAGUAGUCAAUGUGGAAUUGAAUGACGGGCUGUGUUAUGGUGUGCACGAGUGGAAGAAAUUAAAAAGUCUGAUUGCAACGUUACUGCGUUACUUGACGAAAUCUGCAGCUUGAAGAACAGGGAAGGUCCAUGAAUGCAUGCGCCGGAGGAGAUCCGGAACAACAUAUGCAUAUACGGGAGUUCUUGGGAAAAUAAUAAUUAGAUAAAAAUUACUAAAUUAUCUAUAAAAAUGGAUGGUUAGACCACUAACGAGUCGCAUAAGGCACCGUAAAAGACUUCUUGAAUAAUUAUUGGACUAACCUACAUGAUUAUUAUAGUGCAGAAACCAUACCGAGCAGGAAUGGAGUCAACAAUGACGUGUCCUGUGCAACAAUGACGUGUCCAGGAAGAUGCGGUCCAGUUGACGCAGCCAAGAUGGGCCGUUACACGUUGAUCCAUUGUUAGCUAGCGCACUCGCUUCACUAGCAGCAACCUCUAUAAAAGGAGAUCAAUACCGGAACAGAUCAGCAAUCUGCACAAGACCACAAGUAGUUAACUAAGCAUUGCAGCCAGUUAUUAGCAACUAGCUACUAGUGACUACUGAACAUCCAGCGCGUAGGAUGGCUGCAAGAAAGGCUAUUGGUGCUAACAAGGAGACCUGCGGCGCCUUUGAACCUUGUUUAUGGGGCGACUUCUUUGUGAAUUACACUCCUACCUCAUCACAGGCAUGAAUUUAUGAUUUCAUUGUAGUCAGCAUGUUAUAAUUUUUAGCUCUUUAGUUAUAUUGUAUUGCAUAACAAGCAGAGGUCGGAGGAGUGGAUGAGAGAGAGGAGUGAGCAACUCAAAGGGGAAGUGUGCCGGAAGUUUGAGGUUGGAAAAGCCAUGAGCGUGGCCGACACGGUGAGGUUGGUGGACACGCUCGAACGCCUUGGUAUAGAGAACCAUUUCGUCAAGGAGGUUGAGAAGGCCUUGGAGGGUGUCCACGAUGAGGAGCUGGACUUUGGCAGCUCCAAUGACUUGCAUGUUGUUGCCCUCCGGUUUCGUCUUCUUAGGCAACAUGGCUUUUGGGUAUCCGCAGGUAAUAGAAAUCAGAAGCUAACAAAAGCUGAUCAGUUAUGCUCGAUCAUUCUUCUUUCACACAUGUUUCUCUGUUUUUCUCUUUUUUCUUGUUGCCACCACAUAACCUAUACACGCUGAAAACUGUUUAUCAUACAAUUUUUUUGUUUUAGAUUUAAUUUGAAUGCGUGUGUAAUAUUAUGUACUAGGAGUUAUAGAAAACGCCAUAUCAUUACUAUAUGAGCUUCUAGUGAUGAAUAUGUACAUACGUGCAUGCAUACAGAUGUAUUCGACAAAUUCAGAGAUGACACCGGUAGUUUCAACGUAAAUCUAAGCAAUGACCCGAGGGGCCUGCUUAGCUUGUACAAUGCUGCUCACAUGGCGGUACCUGGUGAGACGAUCUUAGAUGAUGCUAUCGCCUUCACUAGGCGCCAUCUUGAGGCUGCAAAAGGCAAGCUUACAUCUCCUAUAAAGGAACAAGUUUCCCGUGCCCUAGAGAUUCCGCUCCCUCGUUUUAUGCGGCAACUAGAGACCAUGCAUUAUCUUACUGAGUAUGAGAAAGAAGAGCCACACGACAUCAUGAUGCUAGAGCUCGCAAAGAUUAACCUCAACCUUCUUAGGAGUGUCCACCUCAAGGAGCUGAAGGACCUCUCACUGUAAGUUGAUAUUCUAGUUCUUUCACCCUAUUUGUUCAUUGUUCAUUGUCUUCACUAACAAGGUGGGUCAACCAAUUCCAUGUGAAGAUGGUGGAGGGAUCUCUACGACAGUGUGAAGCUAACCUACUGUCGGGACCGCAUCGUGGAGUCUUACUUCUACAGCUUUGGAGUGUUCCAUGGGGAGGAAAGCUCUGCUGCGCGGAUCAUACUUACCAAGGUGUUUGGGUUGUUGGUCCUGAUUGAUGACACAUUUGAUGUGCGCGCCACCUUUGAGGAGUCCCAAAUGUUAGAUGAUGCCUUGCAAAGGUAGGAUAAUUCACUACCACUACAACUACUUCCUCUAUUAUAUGUUUUUUGUAAAUGAAAAAUCAAGUUUUAUCGUACAGCUCACUUAUAAAAAUAACAAGGGACUCGAUAACUGGAAUGCUGACGCACAUAUGAAAAGAACCUAAAAUCAUUAUUGUAAGGAAGUCGUACUACAAGAUGGUUGUAUACUUGUAUGUGGUUAUAUAUGUUGUUCGCUGGUCAAAAUAAAACAGCCAAACUAAUUAGUGUAUUUCUGUCAUAAUUAUAUGUAGAUGGGAUGAGAGCACUGUUUCGCUUCUACCACAAUACCUACGCAUGUUCUACAUCAAAACAUUGAGUAACUUCAAUGAAAUUGAGGAUACUUUGGAACCGCACGAGAAGUACCGCAUGGAUUAUGUCAAAAAAGAGGUGUGGAUUAUAGUCAACUAACAGCUAUGUAACUUCUGUAGAAACAUAACAAACAUGAACAGUGGUUUCGAUCCUCUCAAUUUUAUUAAUCCCAACUUAUUUGCGUACAAUGUUUUUGAUUUUGCAGUACAAAUUGCAAUCAAAAAAUUCCAUCCAACAGGCUAAAUGGUUCAAUGAAAACUGCACGCCCAGCUUCAAAGAACAUCUAGACGUGUCACUUAUGGCGACGGGUUUGCCGUUGCUGUUCUUCACAGCUCUGAUGAGUGCAGGCCAAGUGAUAAGCAAUGAGGCAUUCGAGUGGGCACUUGACAUGCCUGACAUGUUUUAUGCCAAUAUAGAAGUGGGUCGCUUCCUCAAUGACAUCGCUUCUUACAAGGUACUAUAUCGAGUUCAAAUAAUAGUCUAUCUAUUUUUAAAUAUUUGAUGCCAUUACCUUUUUCAUUCUUUUGACUAUUCAUCUUUUGUAUAAACAUAAACAUAUGAUGCACGAUUUAAAGCACUUUUGAUGAGAGGUCUAGUUUUACUUAUUUCGCUUUACUUAAUGAAUUAAUUCAAUAACCAUUAUUGUCAAAGUUUGAGAAAAAGACACCUUAGAAGGUAUUUCAAUCAUGGAGGUAUUUAUAAGACCAUUGUUGUUAUUUUUAUUGAUAACAAAUAUUAGAAAAGCAAUGGACAGACAUGCAGUACAUUCCAAACACCUUUGACAUCAUAAACAGCAAAAUAAUCUACUACCUGCUUGUAUUGGAAAAAUAUGACAUUCAGUGCCCGGAUGGAUCUCGUAUAUGCACGCACCUAACAUCACAAAUACGCAUGUCUUUGCGCGCAGCAAGGGAAGUGCGAGAAGGAUGUGGCCAGCACUGUGGAGUGCUACAUGAGGGAAUACGGCACGACUGGGGAAGAGGCGGUGGCAGCGAUCACCGGGAUGGUGGAACAUGCGUGGAGGAGGAUAAACAAAGCUUGCAUAGAGGUGAAACCUGCAGUAGAGCCGGUAGUGCGAUGUUUGUUGAACACGACGAGGGUGCUAGAGGCCUACUACCUUCAUGGCAGGGACGGCCUCACCUAUGGCCGUGACCUCAAGGAGCUCAUCACCUUCCUCUUCCUGAAGGAUGUCCAUGUCUAAGUUUGUUAUUUGCAUCAGUACGACAUAUAAUGUACUGCAUAUAUGCAAUUGUUAAAUGUGAUGCUUGUGUCGAGAAUAAUAAAAACAAUGGUGCCAACCUAGCUAACUGGUCGAGCCUCGUCACUCGGUUCAGCCUGCCAUUGGCUUAUCUUCUGAACUUAAUCUUUUACAUAUAUGAUAUUGCCAUCUGCUCUCAUUUACUGUCAGACUUAUUGUGUGUUUAACUCUUGAUCUGCUCUCAUUUGCCUAUGCCAAUGCUCUGUCGUCAAUUUGUCACAUGUCCUUUCACUGUGAAGCGAUUACAUUUUGUUGGGUGCAAUCAAUUUCUUCGGUUCUGUUCUCAAAAAAAAAAUCUUCCGUUCAUAGGACUAGAUUUGCACGAGCAAAUUUCCGUUCAAAUUCGUGCAGCUAGAGGAGGCACGAGUCGUCAUUAGUCAAUACUUAGGUAGCUGCAGUUCUGAGCAUCUACUGAAACUCUGUUCUCUUUGCAUCUCCUCUGUUUUCUUCGAACCCUGCUUGAUUCAGUACCAACACAAGACAGCUAGCCGGAUCAGGUAGCGUGGUCGCUCUACUACAGAUGAACCUCUGAACAUUAAUUUCCUCUGUUUCUAUAAAUCGUGCAGUUGUUCAACAAUAAGAAACCAACUAAUUUCAUCAUGUUUAUUCAAAAAAUGGCUGGCUUGUGGAAAUGCCCGAAUUGAUGGACUAUAAUGUUGAACACGAAGUUUGGGAAAAGAGUUAAUCUCAGAACUAGAGUUGGCAUGCAUGAAUCAUGAUGCGACUUAGAUCUACUUGUGUAUGUCCAAUUGCAUCAAGGAAAAGAGCUGCUCCAGAGUUAUCUUGAAGCUUUCUCCUCCAAGUGCAGGGAGGAAUAGAACAGAGCAGAGAACAGCUGCACUGCAAAGGUGCCCUCCUUCUCGGGCUGUGACUGUGUAAUAUUCCAAAAAUUUGAAAUAUUAAUUUGAGUGAAAUUUCCAAAAAUUCCAAACUUUUUGUUCAAAUUGUGUGCUUGUUUAAAAAUGAAAGACAAAUUCUCUUCUCAUCCAAAUUCCCUAAUGGUCAAAUCACAAAUCUCUUGAAAACUUGUGUGGAUUUUCAUGGAUUUUAUUUGGAUCUCAAAUAUAAGUGUGUUUGAAUUUUGAAUAUAAUUCAAAAUUCAAACUAAAAUGUAUCCCUCCUAAAUUUCUGUAAAUCAUUUCUUAAGAGCCAGAUCCGCCUCCUCUACAAAAUUUUUUUGCUCCUGAAGCUUUUGGCUGAGAGUAUGGAUCACUUUAUCUUUAUCAGCGAUGGUCCUCAUAACUUUUUCUAUAGUGUCCCGGAGUUUCUCCAAAACACCAAGACAAUAAACACCAAGAUUGUCUGCAGAACUCUUUUCCAGGCUUUUGACUUUCUGAACGAGGUCGCUGCAAGUGUUGGUAAGCAGCACCUUGUUUCUUUGAAGCUUGGCGUUAGCCUCGAAAAGCUCAUUCUUUAGACUUACUAAAAUGCUAUUUUCCUUCUCGAGCCUCGCCACCUUAGCCUCAAGAUUUAGCAUCUUGGCGCUCUGACUGAGCAUAUCCUUCUCUUUCUCUGCUAGCUUCUUCACAGCGAUCUUGCCGAGGAUCACAGACUGCGCAGGCAGCAAACAGAGAAAGGCAAAUUAAAUGCUAUCAAAUAAUAAGAAGCAAGGAAAAUACACAUAUCAAAUACAAUACCUUGUAACCGAGGUUAGCCAACGGCCUGGCAAGAUCGUCAGGUUCGAGGUCACGAACAGCUUUCUCAUACUCUAUCGGAAUGAGACAUGUUAGAAAAACAAGCAAACUAAGGAUAAGUGCAGUUGAGGUAAACAAAAAAGGAAAUAAGAAGAAAUAACUUUCAGGGUCGAAAGCUUUAUCCUCGCAUUCAUCCUCAGCACGAGCCUUGGCCUUUCCAGAGGCCUAGAGGUCCCCUUUUUUCUCUGUAUCCCCCUUUUUUCGAGCCUCGCCCCCGUCACCCUCAACUUUCCCUGGGAUUGCCUUCGCCACUUCAUCUACAACACGGACUGCAUCCUCAGUCACAGCCCUGGCAAUGUGGGAAUUCUUCGUAGAGUUUUUGACCUUCAUGCCAGCAAGCGGACCAGUAGCCUCAAGCUCAGGUUUGGUUGUAGCUGGCUCAACCCUUGAGACAAAAGACGCAUAGCUCUUUGUAGCUUCGCCCGAAGAACUUUGACCAAGUCUUUCUUUCUUUUUUAGGGCCUCGAGGCUGGAAAUCUUCAACUUUGCUCUCGCAACCUCACUUACAAUGCCCGCUUGGGUAUCUUUCUUCCUCGCAACCUCGAUCAUGGCCUUCGAGCCUGCACUCUUAGCCUUCUUCUUUUUCCCCUUGCCUCCCCACCAAUCUGCUUCAAGCCGGUCACGCCGGCCUCGCACAUUUGCUUGGAAGCUUUGCGAGGCUUCGAGCAGGGCUCAACCUCAGUUCCAAGAUCUUCAAACACACGGUUGAUUCGAAGCUCAUGCUCAACGAGCUUGCAGGCAGACGACAGCUCAUUCUCAUGGCAGGGGCCAAGGAAGUCAAUGGUGUGCCUCUCAACCUCAUCUACGAAGAGUCUAGGGUUAACACCCUCGGGCAACUCUAAUGCAAACCGAGGGUAGGGGAACAGGCUGGUGCGCCACGAGAUAGUCUUUCGAAUAAUCUCCUUUAGUUCCCACCCUUUGGAAAGAGGCCAGAUGUUUGCCGCCACAAACUCAUCGACAAGAUCCCACCCAGUAAUUGACCUCGAGGCUGAGAAAAAGACGUUCUCGCACUCCUUAACAACUACGAUCCUCGAAAAUGGGGGAGUAGUGGAGAUGUCCAUAGGACCUAAUGGGGAAUAGAAAGGAUAAAAUGACCGGUUGAUGCCAGAUGUGUUGGCCAUGUCAACUUUAACAUAAAAUCAAUAGCUCAGCCAAUCGUCAUCCCACAUGUUCUUCUAUGCCGAGGAAAUUUCAACCCUCAGGAUUUUCUGUUUCUCAUUCUUCCUCCGAGUCAUGAAUAUGCAGCAACCAAACUGUGUCUCGAAGGUACCUUCCUCAUCAUCGAACACAACCCUUUUCCAUUGGAUGUGAAGCUCGAAUAACCUCGUGAGCCCAUCAAUAUUGAUUGGCCCACCAAAUGUGCGCUGGACCCAGUAAAACUUGGAGAGUGCAACAAAGGAGUUUGGGGUAAGAUGAUAAAACCUAGCCCUAUACGGAUCCAGAAUCCUUGGAAACUCCUUGUCACACGGAAACCUUAGGCCCGUGGUGAAGAAGUCUCUGAACACCACAACCUCACCUACCUUAGGCGCUGGCACAAUCUCGUCACUUGGAGGCCUAGCAAUACCUUCGGGAAAAUAACCCUUGCUAACAUAGAAAUCUAUGGUAUUCUUUGAAACCAAAGAUCUCCCGAAUAGCAGGGUGGGAGGAUAGACUUCCUUGCCAGCCAUCAUGUCUGAGGGGUCCUCCUCGAUGUUGGAAAGGUCCUCCCCGCUAUCGGCAGCAACCUCGACAUCAACCUUGUUUGUGGUAACCUCGUCAGCAACGCCCUCACCAGCCUCAACCAACUCGAGGUCUUCUCCAGCCUCAGUGCGAAGCCUCGACUGUUCAGCAAAUUCCUCGACGGUCAUAGGCCUCGUAGUUUGCAUUAUACGAGCCAGCUAAGCAACGAUCAAAUAUCAAGUUAAAAUAAAAAACAAUAAAGCAAAACAUAAAAAAAAGUAAAAUACAUAUAAGAUCGUUACCUUCGAGACUUUGGAGAUCAAGGCAGACAGCAUGCAACACACAAAUCUCAAAGCAACUAGCAACACGCAAAAGCAAGUAGUGAGCGAAGUUUCAAGAUGCGAAGGUAAAUUCGAAAGUGACCUAAGCCCCCCCCCCCCCCCCUCUUUUAUAGGCACGGUAACGGACGCAAAAUGACACUUUAAACCUCGAGCCGAAUACGAAGCGUCAUCCAAUAAGAAAUUGACACGUACGACUUAAAAGGUAAACAUUGCCUCGUUUCUCCCUGACCCUCGAGGCUGACGUUUUUUGGGAGAAGCAAUCCUUAAUCGUGGGUUCGGCCCGUCGGUGUCGACCCUCACCCACAAGGGGCUACUGUUGGGGAUCAUCCUAAAAGACGGUCACCCUCAAGGUCGUCUCUUUGGCAUGAGCCAACUUGCAUUGUGAAAUCUUUACCUUCGGGUGAAGGUUGCUAACUUCAUGAGACUAGUUUGGCAUAAAAACCAUAUCAGCCUCGCACCAUCUCCAUAGCUCGAGUCUCGAAGCUAAGGGAUAAUUGCUAAUGGCUAAAAUGUGACAAAGCUUACCCUCGGGUGCUCGAAGCUAACCUCUAGCGACGAGUUUUUCACUAUGUUUUAUUCAGGAUUACUAGAAUAAGCGCGCUAAGGCUCAAGGCACGAGGCUAGGCGUCUUUCUCAGUACAAGGAUGAGAGAACUUCAAGCAUAGGUAAAGAGGUUUGCUGGAACAAGGCUAAAGGCACAAGGGCGUGAAAAGCAUGACUACAUGGGGGUGUUGGAAACGUGAACCCCCGGUGGCGUGAUUAACAUGACUACUCGCUAGCGUGAAAAGCGUGACCCAAUAGAAGAGACCAAGUCGAAUAAGUUACCUCCAAAAGACCUUUAUGUACAGUACAUUUUAGGAAUGUAAUAGUUGAGAUAGGAUAAUCUUGGAAUGUAUAGUGACCCGGUAAAAGGGAGCCCUACCCGACAUAAAGUGAUGAUCUUUUUUGAGAACUGAAUCACGAGUGCCAACUCUACAUUGUUGUAUUCGUGUCUCCUUAAGAUUUGUUUCCAACAUGACUUAAGGCAACGGAUGCAUGCUUAUCAAUACCAAAGACUAUCAUAUAUAUAUUCUACUCCCCUAUGCCUUCGAUGGCAUUCAAAACAUAAUGUUGCAUGGAUAGUAAGAGUAACUUGUGUUCCUCUUCCAACACUGAAGCAUUAGAGGAAACCAAAAAUACCACGAAGAGCAUUGACUUGUUUACCUGUGUGCGGGUAGCACAACCAAGCAUGCAUGUAGCGAUUAGAGGAACUCCCAUUUGCCUUUUGAGCAUUUUGGGAGACCAAUUUGAUCGGUUUUGCUAGACCUGCCACUUUUGGACCCCAACAGUUACUUCUUGAGUUUCUUUGGCAGAGGUUCUAUUCACAAUCUUGUGGCUAUGUAACUAUCUCUACUAGUCAAGAUGACACAACUAGCUUUGUGGUGAUGGUGUUCUAUUCUACCCUUAUAUUUCACUGUAUUUACCCACCGCUACCAUGUCUAGUGUUGGAAUUAAGCUUGUGCAUGUCUGAUUUACGGUGCCAUUGCAACCGACGGGUAACCAUGCUAGUGAUCGGAGACAUUCGAGUUGUUGCUUGUCCAGUUGUCCAGCCAUAAUCAUUUAAACCAAAAAAACAAAAAAUCUUAUUGCCGCUGGUUCAAUACUGACAUCCGCUGUGGUGUCAGGCGGGAUGGCACCGCCCGAGGUCGAAGCCUUCAUCGGAGUCGGUGUCAACUCCGGCGCCACGCGGCAUGUCAGCCCGAGCGCUCGUCGGCAGGGCGGGCUUCAUAAUUUUAAGGGUCUUUGGGUAAGCAAACUAAUUUUGAUAUAGUAUAUAGUAUGAGUAAUAAAAAUUACUUAGCCAUACAUGUAUAGCUCAUAAAACAUAACAAUAGUGUAACAAAAAACUAAAAAUAAUAACCAUUAUGAUAACUUCAAAUAAAAAUAAUGUUUCAGUGUUUCGUAAAAAACCGUUUUCGGGCAUUUCUUAAUGCAAAAUCUUCAAGUAAUGUCGUCCAAAACAUCCUUCUCAAUGCUGCACAUAGCCAAACCAUUCAAUCUUUCUUGUAACAUAGUUGAUCUCAAACUUACGUAGAGAACCUCUCUGCGAUUCUACGAACUGUUCUUUUUAUUUUUCUUUUCUUUUCUGAGCACUCGACAAAUGUUUCUUAGGAAACAUCUAUCGUAUUCAAAUAAGUACAUUGAAUUAGAAAUUUUAACCCUAACACAAUCAGUAUAAGCAUAGUGUAUAAAAAAUAAGAAAACAAUUGGAAAAACUAAUCAAUUGGUGUGUUGCUUACUGUGACAAGCGAAUCGGAUUGGUGUCCUUGCUGUUAUCGGUCGCCGCCUCGCUGGGUAAGGAGUCAAUCGACGUGGGCGUCUUCUCUCCUCAACCAGAGCAUGUUGAUGGGCACGCAGAGUCAUGGUGGCAGGAAACGAUCAGACGAAACGUUGCCUGCGGCCUGCCCUCCGCUUGAUGGAUCAAGUUAAGUAGAAUAGGUCUGGAAGAGAGAGUUACCUACGGCAUGGGCUACUUUGUGAUAGGCCUUCAAAUGCUUAUUAUGCCAAAUAGAAAAUUGUAUGUACGAAUUACCUAUAUGAUCUUGCCCCUCACCUCCCAGCUCCAUAACCCCCGGCGGUCGCACUGCUUCCCCCCCUCCCCCCACCCCACCCCCCACCCCCACACACACACCCCUCUGAGCCGGGCCUGCUGGCAAAGCCCGACGAGGCUUACUAAAGCAUCCGUGUGUAUACCAUCAUUUAAUCACUUAAUCUCAUUUUUCAAUUUCCUUCAGGUCAUAUGACGUUGCCACCCGGUAAAAUGAAACACUGAUGCAUCGUGAAAAGAGCUCAUGGUUCCGGAAUGAGCACUUUGUUGGAUGACCUGCACUGCUUACAAGAGUGUUAUGUAUAAACACUCCCAUGCCUUGGAUGCCAUUCAAAAUGUUACCAAACAUAUGUAGAGUAACCUGCGUUUCUCUUUCAAGCAGCUAUUUAUGAAGUAUUGGAAACCAAAUUACAUGCUUUCACUUGUGUAGCUGAAUGCAUCCACGACAAUUCGACGAGUCAUAUCAGCAUAUUCUUCCUUACUGUGCCCUAUUGAAAUAUUUCUCACAGUCUGCUACAAAAAUUAGGGCCAACAAACAAUUCUAUAUAAGAUGGCGCGAGCCAUAACAGUUGGUGUGGUUACUGUAUCAAAGCUUGCACUAAACGCUGGAAUUCGGCCCAUGGUGCUAAUAGUAUACACGAUCGUGACGGGUACGGAUGGCCAUGACGAUGUAUCUGAGAAAAGAGCCUCUGGUUCUUGCUGACUUGAUCGAUGGCAUGAUCAAUGACACGAUCAAGUUUGCUACCUAGCUGGAUCUGGAUAAGAGCACAUGUGUAAUGUGGUGGUGCGGCACCAAAGUGUGGUGCUCGUUGUCAACCAAGCCAUCAAUCAUGAUUUUUUUAAAAAAAAAUGUCGGAUACAAGAACUUUUGUAUCUGUUUGACCUUGUUCAUCUUUACUAUACAUCACAACCAGCUACACAUGCAAACUAGAUAAUGCAAUCUUCUACUUGUUAUGGAGCCUCCAUGUUAAUACUCAUAAGAUGCGCUAGAAAAAAAAGAUAAAUUCUUGAAAUUCACAUAAAAAUAAAAUAAAAAUAUGAUCACGUUUAUACAUAUAUAGUGGCAUAAGUUUAGCCACUUCUUCGUUUUCUUUGCUUCAUGUCUCACACGACAUUGCUGGCACGAAGCAAACAGAACACUGAUGACUAAUUAAGAGAUGAACAUUGUAAAGUGAACUCACGAUCCGGAGUGCACUCAUGAUAGAUGAAGGAUGCAUGAACAGUUAUUGGACGACUUGCAGCAACGGUUACAUGCUUGCAAGCUAGAUAAAUACCAAAGACUAUCAUAUAUACUCUCAUGCCUUUGUUGCCGUGCAAAUGUUACAUGGUAGUAUAGUAUUAAGAGUAACUUGUGUGCAGGAUCUUUUUUUUUGUUGCAACUUGUUAAGAACUAAGAACUAUGAACUUUUUUUUUAAACAGUAAGAACUAUAUCAACUGAACUGAAUGAACGAGUGCCAGUGUCAAUUGUCUGGGCCAAGGGAAGGCCCGUUUACUGAGCUAAUGAGCCCGGCCUUUUUUAUUAGAGGCCCGUAGAACGAAUUUGGUCAGUCGGCGCGAUCCUCGGGAAACCUGUAUGGCUUCCGGUAAUUUUUUAGCUACUUGACUUCCAAUAUUGAGAUCCGGUGCAACUCUUCUCAACCGCACAGCAGUCGGAAUCAGAGCAGGCCCGCAUGCAUGCGCGCAACUGAUGGUGCAGGUUACCCAAUGAGUCAUGCUUUACUAGUUGGUGGGUCUUUCUUUGGAAUUUCAAACUUCAAACUACAUUUUCUCCCAAACCGUAAAUUUAUUUUUGAAUCCGUUUGAACCACUAUCUUGCUAAGAAUUAAUGUAACAUAAUCUUAUCUUACUAUUACUAAUUAGAGACUUCUUUUGAGGUCUCCACGUGAAGCCACCUAGGAUGCUAGGUGGACACUCUAGAAAAAUAGAGAAAUUCUAGAAAUUCUCACAAAAAUUAGAAAGAUCUAGCCAUCAAUCAGUUAGACUCUAAUUAUGAUUGCUAAUAAUAGCCACUAGAUCUAUUAUAUUUUGUAAAAAAUUACCACAUAUGCCAUUAUAAAAAGAACCUAAAGUAACCCUCUAAAUCUACGUAUAAAUUACCCACCUUUGCCACUAUGAAAAUAAUCUAACAUAAUCCUCUAAUUUCAUUUAAAUAACAAAAAUGUGCCACUAAAAAUAAUAUAAAGUAAAAAAUAUUAAUCCUUAAUCUCUAUCAAUGGAAGCUCAUAAAAGGAUGCCAUCAAUCCUCCUCACGCCUGUUCACGGGAAAAUAAAUAUAAAGAAAUCCUAAAUUUGUAAAAAAAUGAACAAAACGUAUAGCCUAUACAUCUCACGUAAAGGAUAUCUUCGUUAAUUUCUCCAACCCUCCACUUAAUCCACUUGAUCAACUACUACCGAUCUCAACAAGCAUUCAUCUCUCCUCCCCUAAAAUAAUACUGAUUGCAUCUCCUCUCCAUCAAAAUAAUUGGGGACUCUUUUUUAAAACCUCCACAUAAAGCCAUCUAGGAUCAUAGGUGGGCUCUUGAAAAAUAGAGAAGUCUUAGAAAUUCUAAAAAAAGUGAAACAUCUUGCUACCAAAUUCAGUAUGUUGUAAUCAACGUUGUUAAUAAUAGUUGUUUGACUAUGCUCUAUUUCUAAAAAAUUACUCACUUAUACCAUUACGAAUAAAUAGCCUAAAAUAAUCACAUGUUUCUAUAUCUCAAUUACCCACGUAUUCUAUUAAAAAAAUUAAUCUAAUAAUGUCCUACAGAUCCCAUUCAGCCUAAUUUAAAUAUUUUACGAAAAACCGAUACUUUUGUACUGCUCCCAUCAACUAGAAAUCCAAACGGUAAGUCAAGUCAUUUCUUUGUUGUUUUGGGCUAUUGCCUGCUUCCAUUUUCAUCAAUUGAGAGGUAAUGAAUUCUUCUCAAACAGUUAUUCCUGCCGAAUCUGUUUUAUGGGAAGAUUAUUUGUAUACCAUAACAUAUGUACAGAUAAAUAGGUCGAUUCUGCAUCCCUUGCGAAUUUAAAGUACGAAAUUCUACUUGAACUCUUAGUCCUACCAAAUCUAUAUACUAUAUCUGAUCAUUAUUUGUAUACCGUAACUUUGGUAUAAAAAAUAGCUUGAUUUUAUAUUCCUUCCAAACCUAUCUCGCAAGAUCAUCCUUCUUCUUGAAUUGUUUUGUACAAUGCCAUGUUUGUAUACCAUAACUUUUGUAUAGAAAAAUAGCACAAGUAGUGGAUCCAUCACCAUCUUGGUGAUGCAAUUGAACCAGUUACAACGGUGGCAAAACCUUAAGUGAAAUUAGACCAGGAAAGGAAUUUUAAAAAAAUCAAGACAACAGUAACCAGACUAUGGAAUGCAAUCUUUUGCUCGGUAGUAGAGAACAGUUAAGUCCUGACACGAUCCUUAUUGAUCUGUAGAUAUAAUUGUUGUUCACUAUGGUAGCACUUUUCGGAUUAUUUUCAGUUUAUAAAUUAUUAAUGAUGGUGAAAUUUAAGAUAAUCAGGAGUAAUUGAUGAGAGACGUACUGGGAGAACCAUUGCAAGUAAUGUUCCAAACAUACCAUAUUCAAUAUGUUACUAAUUACUCAACAUGUGGAUUAACGGUUGCUAUUUUGAAUGUAGUUAGCUACACGUUUGAAUUCCAAAACAGGGGGCCUCCCAUACGCCCAUGUACUCAAUUUUCUUGAUAGCUGUCAUAGUGGAAUACAAACUACACCGAAGAGAAGAUAGGAACCAUAUUGAUUUGCUUCCUGUUGUCCGGAUCUUUGAAAUAAAAAACAAAGUUAAUUGUACUUAGCAAUUUUAUUUCAAACAUAGUAUGCACUACAAUCUUCAAAAUGUAUAUUGAUCUUGCUCCCCAAUCAUGACAAGUACUAAAUAAUAUGUUAUGUAUUAUUUUUAUAUUAUUUAGAGUCCAUACUUUAAAUUUUUGUGAUCCUUCUAAUGAUUCCAUAAGUGUUAGAAAAUUAAUCAAAAAUAGAAAAUUUAAUUGGUUGUUCAUCUUGAUGAAAUUAAAUAAAAAAUACUAAUAUUUAUGUCACCUAAAAGUGUAGCCGUGCAGAACGGUUGAUGGACUAGUGAGAUCUAAUAUGAAUAUAUUUUACUAUUUUUAAAAAAUCAAUAUUUUGGACGAUCUAUCUCAACAUUUUAAUUUUAAGUAUGCUACUCCAACAUUUUUAAUUAGAUGUUGAAAUGGUUUAUUCAAAAUGUUGAAUGUAGUUUGAAAGAAUGUUGAAUCUAAUAAUUAAAAUGUUGAGUAUAUUAGUUUGAUAUUUUGAAUAUAUGAGGUCACAACGAAAGUCUAAAUAACAGCGCACGUUGCCUAUCCGUAGGCCUGUGCCCUCCUGCAUGCUACUGGCUGGCCUCCUCCCUCAUCCCCCGCUGGUGAUCAGCACGCGCUUUGAAGAGCAGCGCCGGCGGCAGCACAAACUUGGGAGGGUCUCUGCGGCGGAGCAUCAACCAUCACCUUUGAUCUGAUCUUCAGAGUUCAGUCAUAUAUAUAGUUCAGUUAACUUAAUGGUCAUGCGUCUGAAGGAAAACCGCAAUUAUUUUACAUUUUGAUAUCACCAAACUCCUGCCAAAUGCCUAAAUCCUUUUCAAACGAUGAUAAAUAUUUUCAUUUCAGGGCGGCAAAAUCUGAAGAGGCUCACUGUAUAUUGUACUUUAGUUCUACUAUCAGUUCAGCACCUUCUUCGUUUCCUUGAGGUCACACCACAUUAGAACCAGCAAUCAAAACACUUACGCCUCGUCAGAUCAACUCAUGGCUGAUGAAUGAUCCAUGAACAAUUGUUGGAUGACUUUGCAUCAACGGAUGCAUGCUUAUAUUACAAGCCAGAACAAUGCUCAAGACUGUCGUACUAUCAUAUAUAUACUCCCGUGGCUUGGAUGCCAUUCAAAAUGCUGCAAGAGGUAGAGCAACUUGUAGUUCUCUGUCGAGGUGUAAACGAGCUGUAUAUAUUGGGAGGGAGCUCUGAAAUGUUGGGCUAUUGGAGGUAACCAAAGUAUCAUCCUCAGCUUUGACCUGUGUGGCUUAGUUCAUUCUAGGUAACUCAGCGGGCGACGUGGGCAUAUGGCUGUGGUAUCUGGUAUUUCUGCUUGUUCGGACGUUUUACUGGAUUCACGGUAAGUUAAUCUUCUCAUGGUCUUUGUCGAGUACAACUGAUGUAACACGUCGACACAGUGUAUUGAAGGGGUCGAUCCUCUCUCAUUCUGAUCGAACUCUUGGAGAUAGCAUACCAGCAGCAAAAAUUCCUUCUUUUUCAAAUUGAACAGCAAAAACAAAAAUGAUACUGUGACAGAUAAAAGGAAUUUGCAGGAACAGAGAUAUCAUCUGUCGUUCAGUCGUGGAACCGCUGUGUUGCGUACUCGUGCCUGACGGAGCUCUGAAGUCGAACAAGACACUUGUGACAGAGAGCAGAGCUCCAAAAGUCCAAAUUCAGAAUUUCAGAGUCCUCUCUUGAUUUCAAUUUUCAAUACAAAGAUGUUUCUUCUGAUCCUGCUAGUCCUUCUGGAAAUCUGCGACAGCGGCGGCAUAAGAAUUUGAACCCGACGGAGCCAUACACUGUACAAAACGUAUGGUAAUUGUAUGUCUUCCUUCCAAAGUUCCUAAGUCAGCCAUGGAAGAGACAGGGCACGGAUCAAACAGAAAAUAGAGAGGGACAGACCCCGUCUCUGCUAACACUUGCCAAUCUCUGUGUUUUACGCUGGUCUUCUCUAGUUUAGCCAAUCUUCUCUAGUUUAGCAAAACUGACUAAACUCUCGGUGAACGAAAAAUUAAGGAUUUCCACGAAGCAGGACUCUCUGGGCCUAGCACAGGCCUAAACACCAAGCUGCUGAGCCCAAAUUUAUUCCACCAAUGUCUCCAUGAUGUGCUUCCUGGUUAGGGAUCAAGAACUGUCCUUUAUGACUUCAUCCGAUGCCUCGAUGGUGUGGUUAGCGACUUUUGCCUGACAGACUGAACUAUGUAUGAAGAGACAGUUCUGACAGACGUUAAAGCUUCAACAGAUACGCAGAGUGCUCAUGCAUUUUCUUUCUUUUUAAAAAUAAUAAAAAGCUACACUUCACAGGUGGGCAAUUCCUUCGCUAGGCACCCAAUUUGCUUGCAUUCCCGCCGAUGAUUUGGCUCCCCUAAUAUGGGCUGCACUGCGCGUGCGCCAUUUGAGGGAAGCCCAUCGGUUCAUCUCCUCCGUCUCGCACACACGGCAUUGGCACCCAACAAACCAAAAAAAAAAAAAAAUACUGAUGAGUCCUGAGAAGAGCUCGUUACUCCGGUAUGCACCCAUGAUAGAUGAAUGGUGUACCAACAUUUGUUGGAUGACUAGCACUGCUUACAAAGAGUGUUCUGUAUAUACACUCACAUGCCUAUGCCUUGAAUGCCCAGAGAUAGAGUACCACGUGUGUUCUCUUUCAAGCAGCUAGUCUGAAACUCACCCUUGGAUGAUGAGUAAUUGACAACAUUAUGUUGGAUUGAUGUUACUCUUGGCUUGUGAUGUGCAGGUGUAGGAUGUGACAUGGCGGCCGACGAUGUGCGGUGAAGGUCGAAUGAAAGGUUCAUGCCGGUGGACAAGGGCGGUGAAGGAUGAACGCAAGUAGGCUUAUCGAUGGACCCGAGGUGUCCAGGCGGAGUCAUGGGCGGUCCACAUAGUGCACGAAAGAGCGAGAGAACAUGACGGAUGGAGACGGCGUCGGUCAAGUCGAGCGGGAGGCUCGGCGAAGGCCGGACACGCGUCAACAUCGAGGAGAUCACGUGGCAGCCAAGCGGAGAUGGACGGUUUGGCUGGUUUGGGCCUCAAAACCACUGCGCAGGCAGGUUUCCUGGUUUGAGCCUCAAAACCAGGGGUGAGCCUGGUGCGGCCAGAGCUUCGAGAAGGAGGGCACGUGACGUCAUCGCGAAGUUUGCGUCGAGGCGAAGCAAAGUCGUGAAGGUGGCGUGUCAGUCGGAUGCGCCGAUAAAAAUAUGAACCAAAAUACCCCUGCGUUGGUGGUUAUCUUAGUUGAUGUUGUAGGGGUAGUUUGAUCAUCUGCCAAGGACUAUAUAUAUGGGUGGAUGGCUGGUUAUUUCAGAUCUCUUUGCUUAGGAACUCAAAAUUAUUUUUUUUCUUAGAGGCUAGUCAUGUGCUUAGAGAGAGAGAAAAGGGAGAUGAGAGGGUGAUUACUCUUUUCUCUUAAUUUCUUCAUCAUUAGUGGGUGGAUGAAGGGAGGAGGCUAGUCCUCAUCUUCUUAUAAAGAAUAUGUUCUCGUAAUUUAGCAUUGUUAGCUAUCUCAAAUCGUGCUAAAUCUUUGAUUCCCGAGUGUUUUUUUUCUAUUUUCGGAGCCAUUUUUGGGAUUUAUUAUUCUUCGUGUUUGAGCCCAAAUCUCGUAAGAUUGGUUGAUGGAAAAUGUUGCUAGGACCUUAGGGAGCAUCUUUGAUAUGAUCCCUUCCAAAUCCCUCACAAAUCCAACUUGAAUUUUGAAUUUCUCCCAAAACCGUGUUUGAGUUAGGGUUUCGGUUUUCUCCAAGAUUUGCGAUGAAUAUACUUAAGAUUUUUGAGAUUUGUCUCGUGGAUCCAUUUGCCCUUGAGGUAUUGCAUCCUUGUCUUAAGUUUCAUCUCGAUCCAUGGAGAUUUGAAGGAGGAUUUCUCGUUUGAAGAUUUGCAUGUUCUUGAGGCUGUUCUUGUGUUCUUCGGGUCGUCUCUGUUCUUUGCGCAGGUAUCGAGCGAAGCAGACACAAAGCAGCUGCACGUGAAACAGCAGGCCAGGCACACGGGCCGUCAGCGCAGCAGCAGGCGAGCGGGCCGACAGGGCGCGUGCGACGCAGCAGCAGAGGCCCAGCUGAGCAAACGAUCCAGGCAGGCCAUGCACGCGCAGCAGGCCGUCAGGUGCACCAGGCUGGCCCACGCGUGAGGCAGGCCCAGCACACAGGCCACAGGCCGCACGUCCAGCAGCCAGGAGCUCGUGGCCCAGGAGCGAAGCCCAGCGCCAACGAGUUGCAGGCACGGCCCAGUACCAGCGGCCCAGGCAAGCGGGCCAUCGCCGGCCGGCAGCAGCUGGUCCACCAGUGGCCCAAGCGAGCAGCAGCAGCGGCCCGCUAGCGUGGGGAGCAGGCCCAGCAAGGUGAGAAGGCCACAGUUCUAUCGUUCAAUUACUAGUCUGUGUGAUUUAAUCGCUGAAAUCACUAGUAAAUCUCUGACACCUUGUUUAGCUACUUGUUUAGUGUUUUGUCUUACUAAUCAUGCUUAGCUCUUUAAAUUAAUUGUUAAUCCUUCCAUGCCUAGUUAAGCAAGUGGUUAGUAAUAUCUUUGCUUAAAUCUUAUUUGUGCAAACUUGAUGGAGUCGAUUUAUGCUUUGCUUCCGCUAUGAGUUGAGCGUCUCCUAUUGUUCCUAGAGUGAGUUUGUCACGGGUUGACUAGUGUCAUCUUGACGCGAAGUGUGUUUUGAGUGGAAAUUGGGACAUAGGCCUUGUUCUCUUUGAAGAAUUUUAAAGGUUUCCAUUCACCCCAUCUGAUCGCUCUUUCGGUUCUUCAGAAACAUUUGAGGAAACCAAAUUAUGAGCUUUCACUUGUGUAGCUGAAUGCAUCCACAACGAGUCGGCGAGGCAUGUGGGCAUAUUGUACUUUACUUUUGCCUAUUCAAUCAUUUCUCUCACGAUCCACUACAAAAAUCAGAGCCAACAAGAGACAUGAGUGAUAAUAGCGGACAUGGUUACUCUAUCAUAGAUUGCACUAAACACUGGAAUGCGUCCUAUGUUGCUAAUAGUAUACGUGUUUGUAACUGAUAUGGAUAGACAUGAUGUAUUAUUUGUUAAAAGAUCCUCUGGUUCUUGAAUAGUUGAUCAAUGACAUGAGUUUGCUACCUGGAUGUGGAUGAGAACACAAGUGUAGUGUGGUGUCUAACUGUGGUGCUAGCAUGACAUGAUCAUGGUAGAUGAAUGAUCCAUGAAUAAUUGUUGCAUGACUUGCAUCAAUGAUCAAUGGAUGCAUGCUUAAAGCAACAAUACCAAAGACUAUCACACUAUCAUUUACCAUUCAAAAUGUUUCAAGAGGUAGAACUGUAGAACAACCUGUGUAUCUUGCUGUUAAGAUGUACUCUAAAGUAUUCAGCUAUUGGAGGUAACCAAACUAACAUUACAAGCAUGUUGGAGCUAGCUCGAAAAGCCAUGUGGGGAUCCGGGUAUGGUUUAUGAUGUUUCCAUCCGCUCAAAUUCUUCAGCAGUUUCUUUCGAGCAGAGUUUAUAUAAGAUGCAUGCCUCUGUUUGCGAAACACGAGUCUUUUAUUCACAUCAAUGUUUGUACAGGCAAGUUCUAUAAAAAAAUAUUUCAUUCACAUCCUUAGUGAAAGAGACGUUUGCCGUUUACCAAUAAAAUCUUAUGGUCAUCGCCAAUGCUGUAUCUGUGACAGAUAAAAGUGCAUUGCAGGAACAAAUAGAUCCUCUGUGGCUCUGUCGUUCAGUCGUUACUAGUUCCUGAAGCGUUAGUGUAAGGUCUGGUUUGGUUGCCUGACUUAUUUUUAAACACCCGUCACAUCGAAUGUUUAGAUACUAAUUAGGAGUAUUAAACGUAGACUAUUUACAAAACCGAUUACAUAAGUGGAGGCUAAACGGCGAGACGAAUCUAUAAGCCUAAUUAGUCCAUGAUUUGACAAUGUGUUGCUACAGUAAACAUUUGCUAAUGAUGGAUUAAUUAGGCUUAAUAGAUUCGUCUCGCCGUUUAGUCUCCACUUAUGUAAUGGGUUUUGUAAAUAGUCUACAUUUAAUACCCCUAAUUAGUGUCUAAACAUUCGAUGUGACAGGUGCUUAAAAAUAAGCAAAGGAACCAAACAGGCCCUAAAGAGACCGGAGAAGUAGUCGAGAUCGAGGCCGUUGUCUUGUAGUCGGUUCAGGCAGGCCCGAGGUCACAUUGUUGGCCCUGCUCGAAAAUGUUGCAAGAUGGGAUCGAAGCAGAUCAUUAUGCUCGAAAGUGUAUUUGCAUGGCUUUGUUCCAAAGUUCCUCCGUCAACCAUGCAAGAGUCAGUCUUUUUUUAGUGUGACUGAAUCUUGGCUGCAAGCAAAGCUACAGCCUGCAGGCUGCAGGUCACACGAUUCACUUGAUACAUGACUGAAUGGAAGGGAACAUGCCUAAACAUCUGAGCUGUCGCCGCCGGCAAGGAGUGUAUCCAUUUGUGCAGCCCAAUCACAAAUGCUCGUAUGGGCUACUUUGAAGCGGCAGCAGCAAGACUGUUGCCGAGCACCAAAUGUCAUUCUUUAUCCGAUCUUCAGAAUUCGGUCAUGUAAUAAUUCAGUUCACUCCUUGACUUGAUGGGUGUGGUUUGCGAAACGAGAUCAUGAUUCCAGAGUGCACUCAAUCACCCAUGAUGAAUGAAUGAUUGAUUAGCAGUUUGCUGGAUGCCAUUGAGAAUAUUACAAGAGAUAGAGUAACCUGUAUCACCGUAAAAAGCAGCUGUACUACACAUAAGCCAGAGAACUCUCAAGUAUUAGAGGAAGCCAAAUUACUAUGAUAAGUUUUGACUUAUGUAACCAAAUGCAUGGAAGUCAUGAAGGGAAUAGUUUAGCGGCAUCAGCGCGUGGGGAAUAUAUAGUUUAGCGGCAGGGGCCCAGGACACAGUGCAGGGAAUCAGAGUUCUCGCAAAGAAAACCUUUCUCCGUAGAAUUGCUCAAAGAAUCAUAGAGAAUCACUUUCAACCACAUAAUUACUUUUCUGCAAGAAUCAACCCCCGCUAAAGAAUCAGGAGCAGGUGGACCCUAUGUACACGGGAAGAACAAAGCAUGCAUAAACAUGUCUGCCCUUUAUCGAAAAAAUAAACAUGUCUGUUAAGCUGAGACUAAUGCCAGGGCUUGUCCCGGGUGCCUUGGAUUUGUCAAGAAAUUGCAAGGACCCUUCACAGUUGACAGGGAGUAAAGAAAUUGCUUUGAUUAUCCAGGACCCUUCACAGUCAACACGGACUAAAGAAAUUGUAUUUAUUAUCCAGGACCCUUCACAGUCGACAAGGACUAAAGAAAUUGCACUGAUAUUUCAGGCUGUGCUCAAUUAGUUUCUACACUGAUAGGCAUACCGCAGACCUUGACCUCGUGCCUGGCCGUGGUUCUCUGGACAAACAGAUGAGGCCGAAUUCAAUGUCCUUGUUAGGUGCAACGUGCAAUCGUUACAGUCGCAUGGGCCACGAAUGAUAGGGUUCCAUAGUGACCUGUUGGAAAUUGGAAUCAAUGCAACCAGGGAGGAAAUUGGAAAACGUAUAUACAAAAACAUGCUGGCAUGAGACCAUAAGAAAUUCUCUUGCAGCAGAAUGACUUCUCUGUUUUUUUUUUUUUGCCUUUUUCCACAAUAUUAAGGUCAAACUCGUAUUUCAAAGCCAACAUGGACUUGCCGGCGGCCGCACCUACUCCUUCAUGGAAGAGGCGUACAGAUAAGAGCAAGUAAUCAAGAGAACAAGUGCAUGGGAGAGCAUUAUAUUGUAUUUGUCCAGAAAUUGGAUUAGUAUGUCCAGAACUCACGAUAGUGACCGGAGAAAAGGCAGCAAAACGGAACCGGAAACGAUGGGGAGACCUUGGCCUUGACCUCGAGUCGUCGACUGGAGACUGGAGUGAGCACGUGAGCGGGGCCAGGAGCAGGACGUGCAGCGACCAGCAAGCAUUGAGUUUGGUGGUUGAGCAGCGGGGCCACUGAGCGGUGAUGCAUUAUUACCUUCAAUUAUUAAUUGCCUUCCCCUUCCCCUGCAUCCGCAUCCCAUCGACCUCUGCUUCGUGCGAUUCCAAGGCGGUUGCGAGCGGUGAGCUGUGUUGCGGCCGAGCAAGCUUGAAUCAAGCAACCUCGGUCCGGCGACGAGCGGCUGGCGGCGCGAUCCGGCAAACCAGUGAGUCCUAGCUGUCGCACUCUUGUUCUUCAAUCUUCUUCAUGCCCAUCCAUUCCCAAUAGGCAAUAGCUACAGCCUACGAAAAGGCAGGUCGAGCACCCCCAUCCGAAGGAGCCCAAGCGGCCAUCCACAAAGAGAUAAAGUCACGAGACCCUAUCGUUAGCUUCUCUCAUCAAUUAAUAUGAUUUCUGUCGUUAGCUUCUCUCCAUCUGAAUUAAGCUGUUCAAACGAUGUCACAAUUUGAUUAAUGAUUUGAAUUUUAAUGGUAGAUCGUCAACAACUCAAAUGUCGAGAAAAACAUCAAUCAUACAUCAUUCAGUUUCAUUUUAGUACUAGCAUACAACCUUACUCAUUGCUCUUGCCCAGGGACAAAUCCAUGGAGAUCGUGACAGGGGCAAUUCCAAGCCUCCUGGACAAGCUCAGUGAGUUGCUAGAUGGCGAGUACAAUCUGCAAAAGGAGGCUAAGGGAGGGAUCAAAUUCCUUCAAACUGAGCUCGAGAGCAUGCAAUGUGCCCUCGAGAAGAUCUCGAGGACACCAGCAGACAAGAUUGACGACCAGGACAAGAUCUGGGCUAGGAAAGUGAGAGAGAUGUCCUACGAUAUAGAGGACAAUAUUGACAAAUAUAUCGUGCAGUGCAAGGGGAGGAAGAGGAAGAGGAAGACGGACGAACAGCAUAGCUUCAAGGAAGCUAUUGAUAGGUUCCUCGAAUGGUUAUGGCAGCCUAUGAUUCGUCGUAAGUUUGCUACAGAAAUCAGAGAGAUCAAGAGCCGUGUCAUCGAGGUGCACGAGCGGCGCCGCAGGUAUGAGGUCAGCCUUGGUGUUGACAAGCCUGUAACUGUGGACCCUCGUUUAUUCGCUCAGUACACGGAGGUCAAAGAGCUUGUUGGAAUUGAUGAGGCAAGGGAUGAGUUAAUCAGCAAGAUUAUGAUAGAAGAGAAUGAAGUUCCCAAGAAGCAAGGCAGGAUAGUUUCAAUUGUUGGAUUUGGAGGUCUGGGAAAGACAACUCUUGCCAAUACAGUGUACAAAAAGAUUAGAGCACAAUUUGAUUGCUAUGCUUUUGUUUCUGUUUCUCAAACUCCUGACCUGAAGAAACUGUACAAAGGCUUGCUAUAUGAUCUUGGCAAGAGCAUCAACGAAGAAACAUUGGAUGAGAGGCGACUCAUAGAAGCACUCACAGAAUUCCUUGAAGACAAAAGGUACGAAAGCAUUCCUUUCGCCAAUUUAUACAUAUGAACUUUUUUGGACUGAUAAUUUAUGCCCUCUGUUCACAAUACUAUAAGUCUGCAUAGGGUUAAUUAAAUGUUCAUGCACGUGGCCACAACCACUUAAGCAUUACCACAACAUUAUUAAGUGCAAAUAAUUUCCUCACUGGACCUCGAUUUGUUUUGACAAAAUUCUGAGUGGACUUAUUUUAUCCACGGACUUGCCAAUCCACCUGCUCCCGGGCUAUUUUAGUUUAAUCAUUAAACCAUUAGCAGUGGUCUGAUUUGCUUAAUUUUCUUGUAGCUGGUAUAUGAACAACAUUAGAGCUUUAUUCAGUCCUUAAACCACUAUUUUUGGCUAAUAACUUGGCAUAUGUGUAGGUAUUUUGUUGUUGUUGAUGACGUAUGGGAUAUAUCAGUUUGGAAAAUGAUUAGAUAUGCUUUGCCUGAUAAUGAUGUUGGAUACACUAUUAUUAUAACAACCCGUAUUUCUCAUGUUGCUGAACAAGCUGGGGGUGCUUACAACAUGAAACCUCUUUCUUUGAAUAACUCCCGAAAACUACUGUAUAGAAGAAUAUUUGGUAAUGGGAACAAAGACAACAAUGAAGAAGAAGAAAAAUGUCCUCAUGAGGAGCUGGCCGAAGUAUCUAACAGAAUACUGAAUAAAUGUGCUGGUGUGCCCUUGGCUAUUAUUACGAUGGCUAGUUUGCUAGCUUGCAAAGCAAGAGAUAAAAUGGAGUGGUACGAGGUGUGCAAUUCUAUUGGUACUGGUAUGGAAAACAAUCUAGAUGUGGAGAAUAUGAGAAAGAUUUUGUCAUUUAGCUAUUAUAAGCUACCAUGCCAUUUAAGGGCUUGCUUGUUAUAUUUGAGCAUAUUUCCUGAAGAUUAUGAAAUUGAGAAGGAUCAUUUGAUAAGGAUGUGGAUAGGUGAAGGUUUUAUCAAAUAUGAAAAAGCAGGGAAGAGCCUAUUUGGACUCGGAGAGAGUUACUUCAAUGAGCUUAUAAACAGAAGCAUGAUCCAACCAAUUCAUGAUCGUUUUGAUGAUACGAUAUCAAGUUGUCGUGUACAUGAUAUGGUGCUUGAUCUUAUCCGCUCCUUGUCGAGUGAAGAAAACUUUGUUACUGUACUAAGUGAUAUGGGAGGCACAUCUCCGUCAAAUACGAUUCGAAGGUUGUCCCUUCACAAUGACCAGGAAAGUCAUGUGAUGGCUAAGGCUACAUGGAGCUUGCAACAUGCAAGGUCAGUUGUUGUCUUUCCAGCUGCUGCUUCUCUAGUGCCGCCUCUUGACUGCUGCCGAGUUUUACGAGUUCUGGAUUUAAAGGACUGCUAUCUUUCAGAAGCUAAUAGUAGCCUUAACUACCUUGAGAAUCUGCAUCACUUGAGGUAUUUGGGACUACGUGAUACAUGUAUUUCUUGGCUACCGGAAGAAAUAGGAAACCUGCAGCUUCUACAAACAUUGGAUGUAAGCGGUACUCAAAUUUCCAGGUUGCCUUCGAGUGUUGUCCAGCUAAGAAAGUUGAUGUGCCUAUGCAUUGGCGAGUACCGUACAAGAGUUCCAAACGGAAUUGGACACCUGACAUGCCUUGAACAGCUGUCAGAGUUACACAUUGAUGACUCCACCAGAAAUAUUAUAGAAGAGUUGGGCCAGCUAACUGAACUGAGGAAGCUGUCCAUUGAAUUGGACGAGUGGAACGACAAGCUGUUGGAGUGCCUAUGGAAGCUACAAAAGAUGCAGGAACUCGUUAUCACGGGCAAGAUUAGUCAACGCAGCAUCGGCGGAUUGGAUGCCUGGGUCGCCCCUCGACAUCUCCGCGUAUUGCAAACACAAAGCAGCUGUUGGUUUUCAACACUUCCUGCUUGGGUGAAUCCAUCACUUCUUCUGGACCUCACCAAGCUGAAAAUCGCCGUGAGGGAGCUACAUCAGGCCGAUCUCGAAAUCCUCGGGAGGUUGCCAGCUCUCCGCUUUCUAUUUCUGGAGGUGGACAAUAAGAACCUCGGUAUCCUUGCAGGAUUCGUUGUUGGUGCUGGUGCAUUCCCGUGCCUUGUACGCUGUUACUUCCUUGGACUUGUGUGGCCAGUGGUAUUUCAGCAUGGAGCUAUGCCAAGGCUCAGAUGGCUUAUGUUCUUUCCGUUUUAUGUGGGGGAGACAAGAGGAAUUGCCUGCAAUGACGGUAGUCUCGACUUGGGUCUGGGGAACCUGCCAUCGCUGCAGGAUGUCCAUGCUUUCCUGUAUGCUGCUGGCAAGGAGGAGGGAGAGCAAACCAAGGCUGCGCUGAUGCAUGAAGCUAAAAUGCAUCCCAAUCAUCCCUCAUCUCGUAUCUUAAAUAAACAAGUACGCCAGCUCCUGAUUGUUAUUCCUUACUUGUCUCCUUCCCCCUUCUCUUCCCCCUUUCUUCUAAACUGUAUUUGCGUUUAUUCCUCUGUUUGAGAUGGUGGAUCUCCAGCUGAUCUUUCACCACACCUUUCUUCUAGCCCCUUUGCCUCAAUUCUUCUAAUCUUCCUUUCGUAUAUUUCGAUCUGAUAUACAGAUGACGACUGCUAUGAGACUCAGCUACACCGGGAGAUGAAGCAGAUAUGCCUGAUGCUGGAGCUGCGCACAUGCGUCUGAGACUCAGAGCUUUGAUCGUUUCUGCUGUGCAUCAACUGUUAUGGCAUUUCGUUGCGAGAGUGUAGGAUGACAUUGUCAGUGGAUAUGAUUGUAAUCCCUGACUAACUUCCCCCUCUGUUUUGUUUCAUCGUAAGAUUUUUACUGCAGCCUGCUGUUUCAGUGCAAGGAACCACCCAUCAUGAGUUUUCACUUUUCAGUGCAAGGAACGUUUAUUUUACUCAUUGCAAAGCGACUGAACUAGUUGCGUCUCAGUGGUUCAGGGCCUUGGCUGUUUAUUUUGAUGAAAAAUAAAAACAAGGUAUUUUUGGGUUAAUGUUGCAGCUUGUGACCGUAAUCACCUUAAGCAUGGACGGCAGUAUGUAUUCAUAUAUUGUUGCGCGGUUUCUGAUUUUGUUAUGGCAUUUCGUUGCAGCUACGAUGCCCAAGACCACAUUCAUUCUGCAUCUCUCUCAAGAGAUUCUAGCUGGCUGGACUUCUAGUCCACGAUCUUCUAGAGCAUCUCUGCAGCACCACCCUCUAUCCCUGCACGCCACUUGUCAAUACAAAUACACAUACAACUUGGGAGGUUGCAUGGACACCUUCCGUCCCUUCAUAUACUUCUUUCACAAUCCUCUACUCAAAUUAGAGCCAACAAACACUCUUAGCCAACAAACACUUCUACAUAGUUGGUACGAGUUAUUAGGCCGGCUACCUUUUACUCUAUCUGCGCAAUUAGUUUUGUAAUUAUACUAUAUUUAAUACUCUAAUUAGUAUCCAAACAUCCGAUGUGACAGGUGUGGAGUUGUGACAGAUAAAUAACUCCAACUCUUUCAAGAACUCGAACCCUCUGUCUUCCUCAGAAGUGUAUAUGCAUACAUACACAUUUAACAGCUUCAAUGGGUGUGGCUACAGACUCGAGGCCGAUCAAGAACUAGAUCAUUUUCUUCCUGUUUAGUGACUACCUGACAGACUGAACUAUGAAGUAUGAACAGGCCAGUUCUGACAGACCUCAGAGCUUCAAAAUCAGAUUUUCAGCGUGCUUUCGUGAUUUUCCUGAAGGAAAAAGUAACACCAAAAGAUUUUAAAGUGAAACAUUUUCUUUUCAAAAAAUAACAAGCUAAUGAAGGACCGGAACGGGCGAACGGAGGGAGUGAAUAUGAGCCUUUAAAAUUCUUCUCGGAGAACAAGGCCUAUGUCCUAAUUGCUACUCCAAAAUACCCCUUGCGUCAAGUCGCCAAGAUAAUACAAAUCAACUCGUGACAAGCUCACCCUAGUAAUAAUUUGACAUGCUCAAAACAUAGUGGAAGCAAAGUAUAAAGUGACUCCAACAAGCUUGCACAAACGAGAUAAAGCAAGGAUACUACUAACAACUUACUUAACUAGGCAUGGUUAAAGAGCUAAGCAUGAUUGGCAAGUGAGAGUUCUAAUUUAGUUGCUCAAGCAAGUAACAGUAAUUAACUAAUUAUUGCAUGAAUUGAAGAAACAGAUACGAAAUAAACUGAGCUUACAGUGCUGUUAAAAAGCUGGGCCAAAUUGGUGGUUGAACUGGGCCGGUACUGAUCCUCGCCGGCCUGGUGACCUGCUCCCGCUGGGCUGCUCCACUGCUGGGCUUCUUGGCCUGCUACGCUGGCAUGCGCAGACGGCCCGCUAGCUGGCCUGCUCGCUUGCAGCUGCUCUGCUGCUGUGCUGGGCCGCCUCCCACGCGCCUGGGCCGCUGCUGCGCUGGCCUGCUCGCCUGCCGCUGGGCUGCCUUGCGCUGGUGGGCCGCUUGGCCUGCUGCACUCGCUAGUGCUGGCCUGGCUCGCGGCCCGCGUGCGCUGCCUGCGCCCGAUGCCUGCACGGGAGAAACAGAAGAAACACGAGAACACCAAGAACAAGGCACCAACUUCAACUCUAAAAUCCCCCUUCAAAACUCAACGAUUCGAGGCAAAACUUGAGUUAUAGAUGCACAACCCGAAGGGCUAAUAGAUCCAGGAAAAGAUCUCGAAAAUCUCAAGUAUCCAUCGUGAAUUUUGGAGAACACCGAAACCCUACCAAAAAACGCGAGUUUUUGGAAAAACUUUAAGUUCAAGCCGAAUCCGUGGGGGAUUUGAUGAGGAACCAGAGUUGCUCACAAGGGUCCAAGAAACAAAACCUACCAACAAAUUUUACCGGAUUUGGACUCAAACACAAAGAACAAUAAAUCCCCAAAAAUAGCUCCGAAAAUAGCGAAAUAAUAGAAAAACGCUUAGGAAUCAAAGAUUUAGCACAAAUUGAGACAACAAAAUACAACUAAAUCACGAGGAUGGCGAGGCACUCCACGACUACCUACGUUGUUUCUUCGAAAAGAAGGCCACAAUAGUUGACAUUUCAGAAACAGACGUCAUCGAGUGCUUUGAAAACAGCCUCUAUGAUCGUCGAACUUACCAAGAUUUUGGCAGACGUCGUCCAGCCACCAUCAAGGAUCUCAAAAUCAUGGUGCAACAAUGGGCAGACGAAGAAGAUAAAGAAUGUGAGAGAUUCGGCUCUCAUCGCAACCGAAGUCGUGACAACAAUAAUCAUGAUCAGGACAGAAACCGAAACAAUGAUACUCGAAACAACUACUCGGGUAAUCAAAAUCGCAAGUGUAAACCCAACAACACUGUCGCCUCCUUCCUUCGAUUCGCCCAGGCCCCCCGUCGGAACAGUUCGCAGUUGGCGCCGUGUGGUGUUCGUACGCGCGUGCAUCCCGUUAGAGCAGUAGGCGAGGACGGCCAGUCCCAUCCACCUGGGAGGGCAUGUGCUCGAUCCCGGGCUUCGAUGCGUGCCGGGAUCGAGAUAAGUUCCCCCUCCUCAUCCUUAUCCUUUCCACACUAAUUAGGAGCUCCUAAAAUUUCUGUCACAUUGAAUGUUUAGAUACUAAUUAGGAGUAUUAAACAUAGACUAAUUACAAAACCAAUUGCACAGAUGGAGGCUAAUUUGCAAGACGAAUCUAUUAAGCCUAAUUAGUCCAUGAUUUGAUAAUGUGGUGCUACAAUAAACAUGUGCUAAUGAUGAAUUAAUUAGGCUUAAUAGAUUCGUCUCGAGAAUUAGCCUCCAUCUGUGCAAUUAGUUUUAUAAUUAGCUCAUGUUUAGUUCUCCUAAUUAGCCUCCGAAUAUUCGAUGUGACAUGAAUUUUAGUAAGGACUAAAGAUCCAAACACCCCCUUUCGUCUUCCUCUCGCCCCGGCUACAAACCCUAGCUUUUGAUUCCCACCUCCCUCCCUCCACCUGAUUCCCCCGUCGCAAAUCGGAUCCCACUUCUAGAGAACUGACUUUAGAUCCCACCACCUUUAGUCUCGGUUUAAUUUUGGCCCGGGAGAAAAGGAGGUGCGCCACGGUAGGCUGGAAUGGGGCGCACCUUUACUCUCGGUUCUUUUUUUGCAACCGAGACUACAUGUCACCCUUUAGUCUCGGUUAAAAUGGCUAGUUUCUGGGCACCGACGACGCCACCCUUUACCCCCGGUUGGAGCCAUCAACAGGGACAAAAGAUCCAACCUUUUGUCCCGGUUGGAGUUACCAACCGGGAUAACCGUUUUACUCCCGGUUGGAAUUUCCAACCGGGAUAAAAGGUUGGAGCUUUUGUCCCGGUUGGUAACUCCAACCGGGAGUAACCACCAACCGAGACAAAAGCUCUAAGCUUUUAUCCUGGUUGGAUUUACCAACCAGGAUAAAAUCUUAUCUACAAGUACCCUUUCUUCCUCUACUCCUCCAGCCCGAGCCACUCCACUCCACAAAGACAAAGAAGCUCAUCCUCUCCAUGGCGCCAAAGCAAGCCUAGGAGACGUGAUGCUGAAAUUUCUUUCCCUCAUUUCCAUGGAGAUUUCACCCAUCCAAAGUGUUGUGAAGGUUAGCUACUUCAUGCUCCAUUCAUUUAUUGUUGUUAAGCUUUGUUUCAUACUUUAGAGAGGGAGAAAAAUGAGUUUGUUUGUUGUUAAGCAUGUAGAGGGUUUGUAUUUAUACAUGUUUUUGAGCUAUAAUGUGAUGGAUAGUUGAAUGUGAGGGAGAAUGGACAAUAAAUGUGAGGUAGAAUUGAGAUUUUUUCAAUUUUACGUAUUAGGGAAAAAUUAGAGUAAAUGUGUUUUUAAUACUUAUAAGUUAGCCAUAUAAAUUGUAGGUGUAAUUUCAUACUUUAGUACUUUUCAGAUAAAAGAAUGCAAUUAGCCAUUUUUAGAAUAAGUACAUUAUGUGGGAAAUAUUGAAUUUUUUAAUAGUUUAGUUAUUUUUAAAUUAAAUAUGAGCUAAAUAAUUUGUGUAUUUCUAUGUAAUUUGAGUUUGUCAUAGUAUAUCAUGUUGUUUGCUUUUGAAAUUUUAAUUUGUGUAUUUCUAUCAAAAAUUUUAGCAAUGUGAUGGAUAGUUUUAUUGUAAUCCAUGCGCCCAAUGUAGUAAUCAGAAGUGCUAUUCAAAGGCUUUGUGAGGGACCAUUCACAGUCACUUGUUUAGAUAUGGUUUCAUGCCUAACUAUUUGGUUUGGACCCGUCACGGUGAAAAAGGGUUUGUAAUGGAAGACGGUGAAGAGGAGGAGGAGGAUGACAACAUUCUGGAUUGUUCUAUAGGCCAAGCUUUUGCAGAUACUAUAAUAAGUGAGGCUAAUGAAGAUGAGUUUGCAGAAGAUGGCCAUACUGAUGACCUCAGUCAGGUGCUUAGGGAUGCACAUUGAGAUUGCGAAACUCAGAAGGAAGCAUCAAAGUUGCAGCGCAUGAUAGAUAAUCACAGGAAAUUGCUAUACCCAGAUUGUCAAGGAGGCCAUAAAAAACUAGGUACCACACUAGAAUUUAUGCAAUGGAAGGCCAAAAAUGGUGUGUCCGAUAAGGCAUUAAUGAUUGUUUGCCCUCUCGGAUUAAUGAUAGAUGAUAGUGAUGCAGUAAAAUAAUUAUUUAAGAAGGUAAUAUAACUAAUGUAGAAUUAAUGAGUCAUUCAUACUUAUUGUAAAUAUAAUUGCUAAUUAAAUAUAUUUUUGCAUGUUUGAAAGAUGUAAAGUUUUAAUUUUUGCUUCAUGAAAUCCAGUGAAACCCAACGAGAUCCGGUGCCUACAAGUUCCACCCGGCGAGAAUAAAUUUCCAAAUAGAAGCAAAAAGAAAUAGUAUAUAAUUUAUGACUAGUUAAAACUUAUUGUAAACAAAAUUGCUAAUUUAAUAUAUUUUUGCAUGUUUGAAAUAUGUAAAUUUCUUAUUUUUUGCUUCCUGAAGUCCAGUGAAAACAUAAAUAGAAUAAAUUUCCAAAUAGAAGCAAAAAGAAAUAGCAUAGAAUUUAUGACUAGUUAAAACUUAUUGUAAACAAAGUUGCUAAUUUAAUAUUUUUUUGCAUUUUGAAAUAUGUAAAUUUCUUUUUUUUGGCUUCCUGAAAUCUAAUGAAAACAUAAAGCGAAUAAAUUUCCAAAAACCAGUCGGGAGAUGAAAAACAGGAGAAGGCCCCAUUUAUCCUGGUUAUAAAGUAAAACCGGUAUAAAAAGGGACUUUUCGAUUCCCGCCUUGAAGUACCCAUUUAUCCUGAGUGAUAAUAAACUGAGAUAAAAGGGUGGACCUUUUAUUGCGGGUGAUCAUAAACCGAGAUAAAAGGUCCUCCUUUUAUCUCGGUUUGUAUUAGAAACUGGGGUUAAAUGUCCUUUAAUCUCGGUUUCAGUUACAAAUCGGGAUAAAAGGGGGCCAUGUAUAAAAGUUAUAGCGUCUUCUACACCCCUCCCCCCGUGCCCAACACUUAGCGAAAUUUUCACUCGUCGUCCUCGUCCCGCCCGUUGCUGGACUCCAUCGUCGCCGCUCCCCGUCGCUGCCGCCGACCCAUCCUAUUCGCCAGCCUCCUCCAUCUCUGUCACCGCCGCCAUCAUCUUCACCCGCAAUCAUCGCCGGCCUCCUCCUCCAUCCCCAUCGCCACCGCCAGCGCGUCCAUCCCCAUCGCCAUGACCUCUGCGCGUGCCCCUCAUCACGGGCCAGUGUCACCUCCUCCCCGUCGUCGUAGCCAUCCCCAUCGCCAGUCGGCCGGCCACCUCCCUCGUCAUCGCCGCGCGUCCUUAUCACCAUCGCGCCCCCUUCCAACUCCGGUCGUCCCCCUGAAUUAAUUUUUGAAAUUUGGUAGAUUAGGUACAAAAUAAAUUUUGUAUACAUUUAGGCCCCGUUUGGAUCAUUGCAAUUGUUUGUGGAAUAUAGUUGUAUACUUCUAAUUAAUUCUUAGAAAUUAAUUGAACUUUGGUACAAAUGUUUAGAAAUUUUUGUUGAAAUGCUUGGAAAUUAGUUGAAAUUUAGUACAUUUUGUAUAUUACAUUUUGUAUGUUAUAUUUUUUAUAUUACAUUUUGCAUAGUACAUUUUGUAUAUUACAUUUUGUAUGCUUCAUUUUGUAUGUUACAUUUUUUAUAUUACAUUUUGCAUAUUACAUUUUGUAUAUUACAUUUUGUAUGUUACAUUUUUUUUCAUGGUUGUUCUAUAUAUGAUUUCAUGUACAAAGUAGUUGAGAUCGAUGGCAGACGACGAGGUCAGAAGGUAUCUAAUGGAGCAGAUUGUUGCUGGUGAUAGUAGAUUCCAACCUUCCCAUAGCGUACACCGAUGAAGAGGGUAGCCAGGCAGACAUGUUUCUCAACCUGUCUGCCGAUGGCAAUGAAGAGCCUGAGCCCCAGCAAAACGUUACCGUGGCAAAUGGUUCCUAUGAGGUAUAGAUCAUAUUUAAACCCUCUCUAUAUAUAAUAUAUGGUCUUAUUCAUUAUUACUAUGUACUAAUUAAUUAAUAAAUCUUGAACUGUUAGCCCUCUAGAUCGACAAACCAUCUUCCGAAGCCCCGAGGUCCUUCCAAGGUGAACACUGGAACAAAAAAGGCUAUCAUCAUGGAAGUCAUAGAAGAGGACAGGCCGGUUGCUCCCGAAAAAGUACCAACAUAGUACGUGAGUCAGAUCGGGGCAAUCGUAAGGGAGAACGUGCCCAUCAACAUAAGGGAAUGGAAGGGCAAAAUGACUAAUCCAUACACGCUCCAGGAUACAAAAAAGAAUAUGCUGUGGGAAGAAGUUAAGAAAUAUUUCACAUUUCCGACGGAUAUAUUGAAAAUGAUGUGAAAGCGUGAAGACGAAGAAGAUAGCCACACAAUUCUAGACAUUCAAGAAGAUGUUGGAUACCACCUACAUUAAGAAGGGCCGAACUCCAGAUUUUACUGUGUAUCCAUAGUGUAAGGACCACUGGGAGGCAUUUGUACAAUACAAGAGCACCGAAGACAGUAAGAACAAGGUCGCCCAGAACACAGGCAAUGCUGGGGGGAAGGAGUACCAUCAUAAGCUAGGGCGAGGUGGUUACGCGAAAGCAAUUCCCAAAUGGAAUCAGAUGGAAAAAGACCUGAUUGAGUGGGGUAUCGUACCAGGAACGAUCGAAAAAUUGGUAUUACGCUCAUGAAGGUGAGAUAAUUCCAGAUGAUGGGACGUUGGUUUUCGAUGACCUGUUAUGUGAAGCAGUCACAAAGCUAGACAAGAUUAUUAAAGAUGUUAAGGAUGGGACGUUGACGGUGUGCUGAGAGAAUGAUGAGCUCACAAUGGCCCUCAGGAAUCCCAAACACCCAGGACGUACCCGAGGGUCGGGCUUGUUCUGUGGAAGUUCGCAUUCUGAGGCAACUUGGACAUGUACACAAGCCAGAACCGAAGAAAGAAGUAAGAGGAUGAGAGGUGGCGGCGCAUAAUAGAAUCCGAACUGCAAUCUGUAGAUGUAAGAAUGCAGGAGGGAGGCAGUAGUCAAAUGGCUGACGUAGUUGCCAGGCCUUCUCAACACCUCGGGAGCAGCUGUGCAUCCAGAGGGCUCCUUGAGCCACAUACGCCUGGAUUACCCGUGGAAGAGCAACUAUUCCCUGUGAAUACCAUCACGCAACGCACCACAUGUGAGCUGCAUACACCGAUCGGCAACCUCAGCAUUAAGGUACGUAUAUAUACAUAAUAUUUAUGCACCGGAGCCUCGGGAGUGCUUUGGCAAUUUGAAGUUUAAGAACUUCAUUUCUUUUAUAUAUCCAGGUGGCAUACGGGAGUGCCUUGCCAAUCCUGUUAAAUCAUACAUGCCAUGGCAUGGAGAUUCCACAUGGCUAUGCCAGUGUUGGCGUAGAGAGAAUCCCUGAUAGCCAAUUUGAAGGCCUAGAGCUUGACUUCCCAGCAGGCGAACAACACUAGGAGAAGUCGUUCACAGGGUCAUUCUGUGGUGCAAACGCUACAUCAUCAUCCCCGGCAUGGAGGCACCUCCUCAGAGCUCAAGACCACUCUCCGCAAAUCCACAGCAGCGACCAUCUCCUCAAACAUCUAGACCAUCAUCUCCACCACAACUUGCUCCAUGAUCAAGGUCUCCAUCUCCACCACAUCCUGGUGGUGGGAGCAACGACAACAACACCCCUCCACGAUCACCUUCGCGGGGACUAAGAGCACCAUUUAAGAAGUCACGACUACCGCCUCCCAAGCCAAGACAGCAUAAGAAGAAAACAAAGGAGCCGAAGGUGACUCCUGAGGAAUGUGGGGAGGCAAUGACUCAUGAUCAAUGCUGGACCGAAAUCCAAGUGCAAGCUAGUGAGUGGUUGAGGGAACAGAGGGAAUUAAGAAAAUCAAGGGAGAUGGAGCCACCGCCAGUAGAUCGAAGAGAAUUACAUAGUGAACAGUAGAUUGAAGAGAAUUACAUAAAUUCAUCAAGAUGCAAGAACAAGCCAAGAAGAGUCAACCACUACUAUCGAACUAUGAACGGGCAUUAGUAAAGGUUGUUGAGAAGAAAAAAAGGAAAAAAGUUGAGCUACCAGCUGCACUGCCAAGUGAACCGAAAUGGACCUUUGAGCUAGGCAAGCCUAUUGUUAGCCCUGAUUCGCUAAAGAAGCUAUCAACGAAGAUGUACGAAUUCCAUCAAUGGUACAUGAAGUUGUCUGCUGACGAGAGGGAGAUGUUGGACCUUAAGAUAAAACCGAUAGAUUUUUCACGAUGAAGGCGAGACAGUCUUGUGGCUACGAUUCAAGGAUAUAUACGAAGUGUACCAUCAUGGCGCCCUAGACAUCUCUCUGAUGAGCGUCUAGACUCUGUAAGUGUCCGUUUAUAUGUACAUGUAAUUUUUGGCUCAUAUCAUUUUUUUUGCAUACGUCGCCGUACUAAUUAACUUCGUCUUCCAUUUUAUGUAGGAUGCUAAUUCGGAUGUGCCGACAUGAAGCGUACCUCCAUAUUGGCUUCAUAGAUCCAUCCAUAGUGAACCAAGCCUAGAUACGAGAUUUUCCAAACAAAACGUUGCUGGCAGUAUACAAUUCCUUAGAUGGACAAAAAUUAAAGGAUCACAUACUACUUCCAUACAACUUCAAGUAAGUGUGUGUAUACUGUCUAUAUUCGUUUUCUUUUUCCUUACCUGAUUAAUGUUAGUUACCUCUAAUAUAUAUGAACAUUUACGUACGUAGCUCCCACUGGAUCCUCAUUAUUAUUAACAUUGAUCGAAGUCACAUCACUGUCUUCGAUUUGUUGAGGAGAGAUCCGAAGGAGUACCAAGACGUGCAACACACGCUAGACAUGUAAUAAUUCUGGACCUCUAUCUCUAUACAAAAUUUUAUUUCCUAAAUUUUCACCGAACACUAUAUCAUUCAUUAUUUUAAUCCAUAGAGCAUGGAGAGAUUUCAUCAGGGCAGACAGAUCAGGUCAAUUCAAAGAAAAACUUAUAUGGAGAACAGACUUCCCAGUACGUAUGAAGUUUGCACAUUUUGUACAUUUGUUGAUGCCAGAUUUUGACACGUAUUUUGAGUUGGCGUCAGGGAAGGAAAAGAUUGGCCGAUCGGUGGAUUAAAAGCUACAGUUGGGAAUCGGCCGAUUGGCGCUACAGCAUUUCGGCCGAUUGGCGAAUGGAGUUGAUGAAGGUCGGCCGACUGGAAGGUUGGGGCAGCUGGGCCAAUAUGGGCUUAAGGUGGGCUAGAGAAGAAGAUAGAAAGAGAUUGGCCCAUGGGAGUAUGAUAACCAACUCCGAUACUAGUUGUGUUUGUAAAUAUUUGUUAUAAUUUAAAAUUAGAGAUAGAUCCUAGUCGAUUAGGAAAUCAGUUGUAACAGGCUAUAAAUAGCCAUCUCUAGAGUUUUGUAAAAGACACAUCAAUCAAUACAACCGAUCUACUUUUUCCUCAUACUUUAUUUUCAAGUCGGCGACUUCGCCAAAAUACCUUUUUCUUUCACGAGUUCGUACGGAUUGGCAGGGCUGCAUCGACAUGAUCUCCGGCUGAUUCUGUAAGUUCCGGUUAUCGAAUAAUAUCUAAGCUUUAACUUCGGGCGCAUCACUGUUGUUUCGUUUAGAUUUAUUCACCAGUUAUCGAUAUUAACUAGAAUCGUAGGUUCUACCUAUUAUUUCAGUUUUUAUCACUAGUUAUCCAGCUUGAGAUACGAAUUGUCGGCUUUUAUUAUUUUCUUUCUUUAUUAUCAUACAGCCGACUAGAUCUAUCCCAAGUGUUGUUCUCUUAGCGUUGUUUAGGUUGCUCCAGUAGCUUUUCUAUACAAUCGCUACGCGGUAUCGGCUGUUCUAUAGCUGGUUACCUCUACAAUUAAUCGACCGAUUUGUCGACACGCUUUUGAAGACAGAUCGGAACUCCAGCCGAUCGCAACUCCUGGAAUUUAAUACUUUUUAUUUCCUUAUCAAUCAACAGGUCAGAUUGACUGGCACGCCGCGCGAACCGCACCAGGGUGAUAAUCCGAACAGGAGUGAAGAAGAUUCUCCCGGGUCGUGUGUCCGACGCUAAGGAUCAUCGGUCGAUUUUUAGCGCCAACACAUUUUUGGCACGCCCAGUGGGACAGAAACAACAUCCAGCAUGUUGAAAGCUGCCGAAAUCUCUGAAGACAACGUCAUCAAACUUACGGAAGCAGAUCUCAAGGACGAUCAGAAGGAAGAGUUGGCAAAAUACUUAGAAGACUACAAGAAGACGUGCUUGCAAUCCUUUAGUCGUACCAGAAGCGGGGAGACCGUCAAGAAAGCUCCUCUUCCAACUCCCCGUCACAUCAGCAUCGCUGAGGACUCGGGAAAGAUGUCUGAGAUGAUUCAACAGUCUAUUUACCAGGCUAUGAUCGACCAAUCCUCGGUGAUGACCAAUACAGUAUACAACGCCGUCAUCAGUUCCUUGGUCAGCGGAGUAGCUCAAGGGUAUCAGGGACCAGCGUACGCCCCACCCAUCGUAGCUCCAGUCAGAGGCUUCUCUGCGUUACCGGGCACAUCUCACUCGAUUCCUCAGCCGACACCGAUGCAACAUGGAGGUUACAACGCUUCAAUGCCCCUAGGGUACAACGGCGCGCCAUGCUAUCAGUUGCAAGCGCCGUCUCAGCCUGUGCAAGUUUCCUCCAUGCAAUCGCCACCCUCAAAUUAUGUGCCUUGGGGGGCAGUAGCAGCAACAGCCGGACUGGUUCAGUCAAUUAGUUACGGGAAUUCCAUGGUCCAAACACCAUUCCAAUCGGCCAUUCGGCCGACGGUCCCACAAUAUCAGCCGGCUUCGUCAGAAAUCGUCAGGAGGGCAGCCGGUGCAGAAACAUUCAGAGGCACGGCGCCAAUGAUGCUAUACGACAGAAUGGCAGAUACCCUAUGCCACCAACUAUCGGCUACUCAGCUGCCUUUGCAACCACAAAAUCUGCAGCACACUUUGAUCCAUCACCUGGCCAUCGCACCGCCGGUCCAGCAGCAUGUGCUGAUUCCCCAACCGGUCAUACGUCAGCAGCAGGAAGAUUGGACCGCAAAAAUAGCGGAAGUAAAUUCAAGAUCAGUUCGGGUUGAAACCGAAGGUACAAACCUAUACGUACAAAAUGCCAUACCCGCCGGCCUACAAUCUGUUGCCGUUUCCCUAUCGGUACAAGGUUCCCGAUUUCACGAAAUUCUCGAGAUUGGAUGACACGUCAACUGUGGAGCACGUGAAUAGAUUCAUUAUCUAGUGUGGAGAAGCCACCACACAAGAUGCUCUGCGUGUACGAUUAUUCUCGUCAUCCCUAUCCGGGUCAGCCUUCCAGUGGUUCACUACGUUGCCGCCCAAUUCCAUCGUCACUUGGGCCGACCUGGAGAAACAAUUCCAUAAGUACUUCUACGCGGGAGUCCAUGAGAUGAAGCUCUCAGAUUUGACUAGCCUCAGGCAGAGAAGCGACGAACCAAUGACUAGUUACGUAUAGAGAUUCAGAGAGAUCAGGAACAAGUGCUACACCCUAGUCCUGACUGACGCUCAGCUGGCUGAUAUCGCCUUCCAAUGUCUCCUACCACACAUCAAAGAGAAGUACGCUUCCCAAGAGCUCGAAAGCUUAAGUCAGAUCGUCCACCGACUGUCCGGUCAAGAGAUGCGCUCUUUCGACCAACGGAGGAAUUUUCAAAAGAAGGUGGCAUACUUGGAGGGAUCCGAAUCGGAGGAAGAGGCCGAAAUCGGCCUAGCGGAAUGGGUAAAAGGAAAAAAGCCGAUAUCGUGCCCAUUUGGAAAGAAAGAACCAGAAACAUUCGGCUUUGACACGUCAAAGGCCGACAAAAUCUUCGAUUUACUUCUACAAGAGGGGCAGAUCAAGCUUUCACCUUAUCACACGAUUCCAUUGGCCGAGCAGCUCAAAAAGAUGAAGUAUUGCAAGUGGCACAACGCCACAUCCCACGACACGAACGAGUGCAAGAUCUUCCAUCAACAUAUACAAUUGGCCAUUGAGCAAGGUAAACUCAAGUUCAAAAUUUCGACAAAGACAGUAAAGCCGAUGAAGAUUGAUCAGCAUCCUUUCCCUACCAAUAUGGUCGAUGCAGGAAGAAAUGAGCCCUAGACCAAGGUGCUGACGUCAGAAUCGGCUAAGAGAAGCGGCGCCGUGGACCCUAGAAAUCAGGCUACGGUUGAGGAUGUCAAAGGGAAAAGACGGGUCAAAGACGAAGGCGAAGGAUCAAAGAGAUCACGUAGGCCUAUCACCUCCCAAUUCUUGCUCAACAAGUAUCAGCAGCAGCAAGAAAGUUCAAGACACCGCGAAGAGAUGAUGCGCCGACACAAAGAUCACUGGCGGUGUCCGUUCUGUUGGGAUACGAGGUAGGCUACGCUAGCGCAAAUCAAAAUUUCUACCGCGUAUAACCAGGAAGAGCUGCCGUAUAAGGAUCACGGGAUUACCACUCGACGCACUACUGGUGCGGAAGAUGUAGAUAUGCGUCGAUGCAGUGAAGACGAUCACGUAGUCGUACGUAGUCGAUCACGUCCAGCAGCUCCUCAGCAGCUCGUCCACGUGCACAGCAAGAUCGCCUCCGGCACCGCGGCUCGUCGUCGGCUCGUCGUGGCUCGUCGGCGGCUCGUCGAUGGCUCGUCCAAGUGCUGCAGGCGCAACACCUCCAAGGUAUCCACACGUGCAGGGAGGAAGCGUCGCAAGCCGGAUUGCUAGAUCCGCGAGUUGCAACAGGUGAGGGCGUGGGAGGCGCGGCAAGUGUGUUCAGCCAAAAGGUGUGAACCCUAGGGCGCCCCCACCCCUCUAUUUAUAGAGGUUCCUGAUGGGCCUCUGGAUCCGAGGCCCAUUAGUACUCCUAAACCUAAUCCAACUCGGAUCAGAUCCGAAUUGGGCUUCCAGCCCCUUAAGUGUGUGACCCUAUGGGUUCGGAUACGUAUAGACAUGGCCCGAGUACUCCUACUCGGCCCAAUAGUCGGUAGCGGCCUCUAGCAAGACGUGCCAACUCCUAUACGCAUACGAAGAUCAUAUCAGACGAACCAUCACAACAUAAUAUACAUGCUAUUCCCUUUGCCUCACGAUAUUUGGUCUAGCUUCAAGCCGACCGCUCUUUCUCGAUCCUGUGAUUCGGAAUCCCUUUGUAGGUUAACUCUUAACCGUACGUAGCAUGGCCAUGCAUUUUCGGAUCCGAUCACUCGAGGGGCCCAGAGAUAUCACUCUCAAUCAGAGAGGGGCAAAUCCCAUCUUGAUUGACCAUGUCUCAUAGCAUGCUUCUUGACAAACCCGAAAGCUACCUUUAUAACUACCCUGUUACGGCGUAGCGUUUGAUAGCCCCUAAGUAGGUCGAUCCACAUCUAGAAUACAUGCGACAAUCUCAGGUCUAAGGACAAAGCGUAUAUGUUGUUUAAAGAGAGAACUACUUCUCGUGUUGGGUCAGUCCUAACACAUGUCUCCACAUGUGUCCACAUUAUUAGUUCAACAUCUUCAUAUCCAUGACUUGUGAAACAUAGUCAUCAACUAAUACAUGUGCUAGUCUAAUAUUCAUGUGUGUCCUCACAUGAACUCCGACUAGGGACAACUUUAGAAUAACCAUACAAGUAAAGAGUUUCACAUACAAUUCACAUAAUUGCAAAUCAAUUCAAGUAGCCUUUAAUGGAUAUUCAAUGAACACAAUAUACAAAUCAUGGAUACAAAUGGAAUAUCAUCAUCUCUAUGAUUGCCUCUAGGGCAUACCUCCAACACGUUCUUCAUCUUGCACUAGAGUCAAUCUAGAAGGUACCUAAUACCCAUAGCUCUUACAUGCGCAUCAUGCUUAGCCUGCGGGAGUGGUUUUGUCAACGGAUCAGAAAUGUUCAGAUCCGUGUGUAUUUUGCAUAUCUUGAUCUCACCCCGGUUAACGAAGUCUCGAAUGAGAUGAAAUCGCCGCAUUACGUGUUUGUUCUUCUGGUGGUUCCUUGGCUCCUUUGCUUGCGCAAUUGCCCCAUUGUUAUCACAGUAGAGAUUCAAUGGGCUGGACGCAUUCGGGAACACACCAAGCUCAAUGAGGAAAUUCCUUAUCCAAACACCUUCCUUCGCGGCUUCCGAAGCCGCGAUGUACUCGGCUUCUGUCGUAGAAUCGGCCACCGUCUCCUGCUUGGAACUCUUCCAACUAACAGCACCACCAUUUAGCGUGAACACAAAUCCUGAUUGUGACUUUGAAUCAUCUCUGUCGGUUUGGAAACUAGCAUCGGUGUAACCUGUUACAACGAGCUCCUCCUGACCUCCAUAGACGAGGAACAUAUCUUUAGUCCUUCUCAAGUACUUAAGAAUGUUUUUCACCGCUGUCCAGUGACUCUCACCUGGAUCAGAUUGGUGUCUGCUUGUCAUACUUAGUGCAUAUGAAACAUCUGGGCGAGUACUUAUCAUUGCAUACAUGAUAGAUCCAAUAGCCGAGGCAUAUGGCACUCUACUCAUGCGAUCCCGCUCAUCAGCAGUCGAAGGACACUGAGUCUUGCUGAGAUGUAUGCCAUGUGACAUAGGCAAGAACCCUUUCUUUGCCUCUUCCAUGCUGAACCGCUUCAACACUUUGUCAAUAUAAGUAUCUUGGCUCAAACCUAUAAGCCUUCUCGAUCUAUCUCUAUAGAUCUUAAUGCCCAGAAUAUAUGCCGCUUCCCCUAAGUCCUUCAUCGAAAAACUAUUUUUCAGUGAAGUCUUUACGGACUCAAGCAUAGGAAUGUUAUUUCCAAUCAGUAAUAUGUCAUCCACAUAUAAGAUUAGAAAUACUACAGAGCUCCCACUAACCUUCUUGUAAACACAAGACUCUUCUUCGUUCUUGGUGAAGUCAAACCCUUUGACCACUUCAUCAAAACGAAUGUUCCAACUCCUAGAUGCUUGCUUCAAUCCAUAAAUGGAUCUCUGAAGCUUGCAUACCUUUCCAGCAUUCUUCGGAUCGACAAAACCCUCGGGCUGUAUCAUAUACACGUCCUCAGCUAGGUUUCCAUUCAGGAAAGCUGUCUUGACAUCCAUCUGCCAUAUCUCAUAAUCGAAAUAUGCAGCUAUAGCUAGAAUAAUCCGAAUGGACUUAAGCAUUACUACAGGCGAGAAGGUCUCGUCGUAGUCAACUCCUUGAACUUGUCGAAAACCUUUUGCGACAAGUCGUGCUUUAUAGAUGUGAACAUUUCCAUCCAUGUCCUUUUUCUUCUUAUAGAUCCACUUGCACUCUAUGGCUUUAACACCAUCAGGCGGGUCAACCAAGUUCCAAACUUGAUUGUCUCCCAUGGACUCUAUUUCGGAUUGCAUGACACUCUGCCAUUUUUCGGAGUCUGGGUCCAUCAUUGCUUCUGCAUAUGUCGCAGGCUCAUCAUUGUCCAACAAUAAUAUUUCCCGCAUUUCGCGGAGCCUUGCCGACCUUCGUGGUUGUGGCGGUGCUUCUCUUGCCAUGGGUAUCUCAACUUGUUCUGCUACGUUAGCAUCACUCAUUGAUUCUUGCCCGAUCGGCUCAUCUUGAACUUCUUCAAGAUGCACUGUCUUUCCACUCUUUUCUCCUUUGAGAAACUCUUUCUCUAGAAAAACCCCGUUCUGAGCGACAAACACUUUGCCUUCUGAUCGGUUGUAGAAAUAAUAUCCCAAAGUUUCCUUUGGAUAUCCCACGAAAAUGCACUUAUCCGACUUGGGUGUGAUCUUGUCCGACUGAAGUCGCUUGACAAACACUUCACAUCCCCAAAUCUUUAGAAAAGACAAACUUGGAACCUUUCCAGUCCAUAUCUCAUAUGGUGUCUUAACUACGGAUUUAGAUGGUACCCUAUUUAGUGUGAAAGCUGCUGUUUCUAGAGCGUAUCCCCAAAAUGACAACGGUAGGUCCGACUGGCUCAUCAUGGAUCGAACCAUGUCUAACAAAGUUCGAUUACGUCGCUCGGACACACCGUUUCUCUGAGGUGUUCCAGGUGGCGUAAGUUGUGGAACAAUUCCGCAACUCUUUAGAUGAUUGCUAAACUCGUGGCUCAAAUACUCGCCUCCACGAUCAGAUCGCAAGGCCUUAAUUUUCUUGCCACGCUGAUUUUCAACUUCAUUCUGAAAUUCCUUGAACUUUUCAAAGGUUUCAGACUUGUGCCUCAUUAAGUAGACAUAGCCAUAUCUACUAAAAUCAUCAGUGAAAGUUAUGAAGUAUUGGAAUCCUCCUCUAGCUGUCGUGCUCAUUGGUCCGCAUACAUCACUAUGUACAAGUUCCAACAAGUCUACUGCUCUCUCAGGAAAUCCUGUGAAAGGCGUCUUGGUCAUCUUGCCUAGCAAGCAAGCCUCGCAUGUCUCGUAUGAUUCAAAAUCAAACGAAGUUAGAAGUCCAUCAGAAUGGAGCUUCUUCAUGCGCUUUUCACUUAUAUGACCCAAACGACAAUGCCACAAGUAGGUAGGACUCAAAUCAUUAGGCCAAGGCCUUUUAGCACUUACAUUACAGACAGGUGAACCAUCAAGAUUUAAAACAAACAAUCCAUUCACAAUGGGUGCAAAAGCCAUAAACAUAUUAUUCUUAGAGAUCACACAACCAUUGUUUUCACUCGCAAAUGAAUAACCAUCCUUCAUCAAACAUGAAGGAGAUAAAAUGUUUCGACUUAAACUAGGAACAAAAUAACAAUUAUUCAACUCCAUAAUAAAUCCUGACGGGAGGUGGAGUUGCAUCGUCCCGACGGUCAAAGCAGCAACUCUUGCAUUAUUGCCCACGCGGAAAUCAACUUCUCCUCUUUCCACGCUUCUACUUCUUAUCAUUCCCUGCAUCGAAUUGCAAAUAUGAGCAACCGAUCCGGUAUCAAAUACCCAAGAAUUAAUAACUGUAUCAGCGAGAAAUAUGUUGUCUAUAACAUAAACAACAAGCGUACCUGAGGUAGAAGUACUCUUACUUCCGCCGUUCUUCAACGAAGCUAGGUACUGCUUGCAGUUUCUCUUCCAGUGACCAAGUUCAUGACAGUAAAAGCACUCUUUAUCUGGAGCAGGUCCAGGUCCAGCUGGACGUUCCAGCCUUGCCCUUCUUCUUCCAAGAAUUGCCCUUCUUCUUAAAGCUGGGCUUGUUCUGUAUCGCCAUCACAUGGCUGGUACUAGCGCUUUUCUUUAUGUCAGCCUCUGCUGUUUUAAGCAUGCCACACAGCUCAUUCAGACCCUUCUCCGUCCCAUGCAUAUGGUAGUUCGAGAUGAAGUUCCCAUAGCUAGGAGGAAGAGACGAAAGAAUGAAAUCAGUGGCCAACUCUUGGCCCAGUGGGAAGCCUAGCUUCUCCAACCGUUGAGUGUAACCAACCAUCUUGAUUACGUGUGGUCCUACUGCUGCGCCUUCUGCUAGCUUGCUCUCAACAAAGGCCUUAGACACAUUGAACCUUUCAGUCCUGGCCUGUGUUUGGAACAUGUCUCUAAGCGCCACGAUCAUAUCGUGCGCCUCAUGGUUUGUUUCGAACUGCAUCUGCAGCUCGGGUUCCAUGCAAGCAAGCAUAAGGCAGCUUACUUCGAGGUUAGCAUCACAUGCUUUCUUGUAAGCAUUCUUAGCAGCAGCGGGUGCAUCCUCAGCAGGUUCUUCUGGUAGUGGGUUGUCUAGAACAUCUUCCUUUUUCUCAGCCCUGAGAACAAUUCUCAGGUUGCGGAUCCAAUCCGAGUAGUUUGUUCCAUUCAACUUGUCCUUCUCAAGGACCGAACGCAAAGCAAACGAUGUGGUGGUGUUGCUAGGUGCCAUUUAAUCUACAACAAAAGUAAUGCAAAAUACACUAAGACAAACGUAUCCAUGAUAGAGAAAAUUACAUUAAACUAUUUUAACAGAAUCUACUCCCACUAAAAUCAAUAUUCCUCUAUUGAAACUUAGUGAUUCAGGAUCCACAACUAACAAGUCCACUAGUGAGCUUUAGCAUCACCGCUAGCAAAUGAGGUAGAUCGGUAAUCAACUUUUGCUAAUCAUAUCACAUAUGACUCCUGUUGUUGGGUGACAUCUCUAUGUCUCGGCGCCCAACCUUUAUGCCCCAAGGUCCUUAACCGUUAAGAUGACCUCGUUAAGCAAACCAACCCUUAUGCGUGUAAGUGUCCGACACAAACCCAUCUAGUCAAGGAAAACUAGUGGCACCCUAAUUUCAUAGACCCACCACUAAUUGUACAAGACAUGGGACGGUGCAAGUUUUAGUUGGGAGGGCAUACUAACUUAAACUUUGUGAGGGAUCGUUCUACUUCUAACAUCACAGCAUGCAGAAAGUAAAACAUAAACAGAAUAGCAUUCACACAGUUGUGACAUAGUAUGGCCCGUUUUUCUUAUGGUGAUCUCCAUCUCCAUAGAACCUGUUCACCAUGGUGAUCUCCAUCUCCAUGUUCCAUGUGCGCCAUCAUCCUGGUGAUGAGUCCUCCAAGAACUAGAGCAUGCUAUUACGCCUAAUAGCUAGUAAAGAAUCUAGUAAUGAAGAUUACAUAGUUGCUUGGAUCAUCACAGAUUGGUACGCAGACCAUUAAUUACAAUAAAGUGACAACACAUAUGGCUCCUGCCGUGUUGCCGUACGCGCGACACGCAGGUCACGAAUGAGUUACACACAUGCAUCACAUACACAAGGGGGCCAUACUGAUCACAAGAUACAUGCAUACAUCCUGCAAAACAGAGUUAGGCGUCCUAACGUUCCAAACUUCGGAGGCCCGAAACUCCAUCUUCCAAGCUGAAUUUGGGAAAUCUAAUCUCGUGGAAAACGGCGAAGCGGUUGAAAUUCACGUGUAACUUUUUCUGUAGAUCAAUUUUCGUAUAGAAAUUGCCCCGAUCCGAGAUCGUACCGAAAAGUUACGGCUGAUUUACCGAAGCAUACGCAUACAGCAAAAUCCCGACCCCGGCAGUAGAUCCCAUAUACUAUUGCACAUCUAAUGCGUCUGGCGUAUGACCCUGGAUCUCGAUUUGACCAAUCAUAUUGAUCUUCCCUCACUGUAACUGGAUUUACGUGUAUCACUUAACUCCGAUGGCGGAAACCGACCGGUAGGAGUAUGUCGUUACACUACCAUUGCAGCAAGGGCACGAAAUCAGGACAUAGAUCAAACAGAGAACUCGCAUAUCUCCAUAUGCACACAUCCCGAAUCCAAAACUAAGCAGCUACGGCUCUUGAUACCACUGUUGGGAUACGAGGUAGGCUACGCUAGCGCAAAUCAAAAUUUCUACCGCGUAUAACCAGGAAGAGCUGCCGUAUAAGGAUCACGGGAUUACCACUCGACGCACUACUGGUGCGGAAGAUGUAGAUAUGCGUCGAUGCAGUGAAGACGAUCACGUAGUCGUACGUAGUCGAUCACGUCCAGCAACUCCUCAGCAGCUCGUCCACGUGCACAGCAAGAUCGCCUCCGGCACCGCGGCUCGUCGUCGGCUCGUCGUGGCUCGUCGGCGGCUCGUCGAUGGCUCGUCCAAGUGCUGCAGGCGCAACACCUCCAAGGUAUCCACACGUGCAGGGAGGAAGCGUCGCAAGCCGGAUUGCUAGAUCCGCGAGUUGCAACAGGUGAGGGCGUGGGAGGCGCGGCAAGUGUGUUCAGCCAAAAGGUGUGAACCCUAGGGCGCCCCCACCCCUCUAUUUAUAGAGGUUCCUGAUGGGCCUCUGGAUCCGAGGCCCAUUAGUACUCCUAAACCUAAUCCAACUCGGAUCAGAUCCGAAUUGGGCUUCCAGCCCCUUAAGUGUGUGACCCUAUGGGUUCGGAUACGUAUAGACAUGGCCCGAGUACUCCUACUCGGCCCAAUAGUCGGUAGCGGCCUCUAGCAAGACGUGCCAACUCCUAUACGCAUACGAAGAUCAUAUCAGACGAACCAUCACAACAUAAUAUACAUGCUAUUCCCUUUGCCUCACGAUAUUUGGUCUAGCUUCAAGCCGACCGCUCUUUCUCGAUCCUGUGAUUCGGAAUCCCUUUGUAGGUUAACUCUUAACCGUACGUAGCAUGGCCAUGCAUUUUCGGAUCCGAUCACUCGAGGGGCCCAGAGAUAUCACUCUCAAUUAGAGAGGGGCAAAUCCCAUCUUGAUUGACCAUGUCUCAUAGCAUGCUUCUUGACAAACCCGAAAGCUACCUUUAUAACUACCCUGUUACGGCGUAGCGUUUGAUAGCCCCUAAGUAGGUCGAUCCACAUCUAGAAUACAUGCGACAAUCUCAGGUCUAAGGACAAAGCGUAUAUGUUGUUUAAAGAGAGAACUACUUCUCGUGUUGGGUCAGUCCUAACACAUGUCUCCACAUGUGUCCACAUUAUUAGUUCAACAUCUUCAUGUCCAUGACUUGUGAAACAUAGUCAUCAACUAAUACAUGUGCUAGUCUAAUAUUCAUGUGUGUCCUCACAUGAACUCCGACUAGGGACAACUUUAGAAUAACCAUACAAGUAAAGAGUUUCACAUACAAUUCAUAUAAUUGCAAAUCAAUUCAAGUAGCCUUUAAUGGAUAUUCAAUGAACACAAUAUACAAAUCAUGGAUACAAAUGGAAUAUCAUCAUCUCUAUGAUUGCCUCUAGGGCAUACCUCCAACACGUUCUUCAUCCACUGCUAGGAAAACAACCUCAGGUUACCAUCAGCCGAUAAUUUCCCUGAAUGCAGCGGUCAAUAUCGCAACAAUAGCCCAUUCAAGAGGUCACGCUCUAGAGAUAGAGGAUCAGAGCCAAUCAGCAGAAACUAGCGCGAACAAGGAGAUCGGCGCCUUUCAGUGCGUGAUCAGCUGGGGGGCAGAGUUGACCAGUAUGAUCCACUGGGAGGCAGAGUUGACCAGUAUGAUUGGCCGGAGGCCAGGUUUGACCAGCGCGAAUGACUGGGGGGCAGGGCCAGUGCACAUGAUCGGCUAGAGGACAUGGUCGAUGCCAGGGUGUUGGAUGAAGACCCCCUAGGGUGAGAACCAGACUGGGAGCACGCAAAACCGCCGGUCAAACCGAUGAACCCUAGAUGGUGCCCCAACGGCUUAACCAAAUCCCAGAAAUGAAGAAUCCAACGUCUGCGGCAAUGGGAACAACAAGAAGAAGAACAGAGGCAGAUGAUGGAUAAGAAGGACAACAAGUCUCGGGUCUGGCGCCCCAAAAGAAGAAUCAAUGAGGAAGACGACAAUCAGGAAUCAGCAGCUGCUGACGUCAGCAUGGUGUUCAUCUUGCCGAUGGAGUUCAUGGCUCCCGCCGAUCGGAAGACACAACAAGGAUGGAGGAGCAAAUGGAGCAAUUGGCUUUGGAGCCAAUGAUGGCCACUUUUGAGAAACCCAAAGACGACAAACGGCAACAUCUCAGAGCUCUAUUCCUCAAAGGACACGUCAACGGAUGGCCAGUCACUAGGCUUCUGGUAGAUGGAGGUGCUGCAGUCAAUAUCAUGCCGUAUGCUAUGUUUUAGAAAUUGGGCAAAAGUGACGAAGAUCUGACCAAGACGAACAUGAUGCUCAAGUAUUUCGAAGGCAACGUGUCCCCCGCCUGCGGAGCACUCUGCGUCGACCUCACCAUCAGCAGUAGGACCCUACCCACUACUUUCUUUAUCAUUAAUGGCAAAGGGUGCUACAACAUGUUGCUCGAUCGCGAUUGGAUACACGCGAAUUGCUGCGUCCCGUCUACAAUGCACCAGUGCCUCGUUCAAUGGGUCGGCGACAACAUCGAGAUAGUCACCGCCGAUUCUGCCUACAGUGUUGCCACGUCCGAUGCAAAACAGUGGAGCUGCGAACACGUCCGGUGCAUAUCUGGCCGAACCUGGGACACCGACUUCCUAAAGGUGUCCGAUUUUGGCCUACAGCCGAUCCAAGCAGUCGGCUCUGAAGAAUCAGACUAGAUGGAUCAGUUCGUCCGGGAAGACGGGAAGCAGGGGCAUGGGUUUACGUCGACCGACUCAUUGGAGAUGGUGGACUUAGGAGAUGGUAGUAAGCCAAGGCCGACGUAUAUUAGUGCCAAUCCAGAUCCCGAGUAUAAGCAUGAACUGACAACUUUAUUAAAAGAAUUUAAAGAUUGUUUUGCUUGGGAAUAUCAUUAGAUGCCUGGUCUAGACCGGUCCAUCGUCGAACACCGGUCACCUAUAAAACCAGGAUAUCGGCCAUAUCAGCAACCCACACGAUGGUGCAACCCUAAAAUCCUUCCUGAUAUAAAGGCCGAGAUUACAAGAUUGAUAGAAGCAGGAUAUCUUCGGCAGUGCCGUUAUGCCAAGUGAAUUUCUAAUAUCGUACCCGUAUAAAAGAAAAAUGGAAAGCUGCGUGUGUGAAUUGACUUCAGGAAUCUUAAUCAGGCUACGCUGAUGGAUGGGUACCCAAUGCCAACAGCCGAUGUUUUGAUAGAUGCUGCCGCAGGACAUAAAGUCAUCAGUUUCAUGGACGGUAAUGAUGGGUACAAUCAAAUAUUAAUGGCCGAGGAUGACAUUUCAAAGACGGCCUUCAGGUUUCUGGGCCACCUCGGUUUGUUCGAGUGGGUGGUGAUGACCUUCGGAUUAAAAAACGCCGGCGCUACAUAUCAACGGGCUAUGAAUUAUAUUUUCCACAAGCUUAUUGGUGUACUGGUGGAAAUCUACAUCGACGACGUCGUGGUCAAGUCAAAAGGACAUCAGGAACAUCUGGCCGAUUUGCGAGAAGUGUUGGAGUACACAAGGAAGCAUGGAUUGAAAAUGAACCCAAACAAAUGUGUCUUCGGUGUUUCGGCAGGAUAAUUUCUAGGAUUCAUGGUCCAUGAGCGCGGGAUAGAGGUCAAUCGGAAGAUUAUAGCUGCCAUCAAUAAAGUUGUGGCCCCGCAGAACAAAACCGAGCUGCAGUCCCUAAUCGGCAAGGUUAACUUUAUCUGAAGAUUCAUAUCCGACUUGUCCGGGCGCUUUCAAGCUUUCACCCCCUUUGUUGAAAUUGAAACCCGACCAGGAGUUCGUGUGGGGAGAAGAACAACAAAAAGCGUUGAACGACAUCAAGCAAUAUCUGAUUUCACCACAGUGUUGUCCCACCACAAGCCGACGAACCAUUCAGAUUAUACUUAUCGGCCAAUGAACAGGCUAUCGGGUCGGCGCUGGUACAGGAAUUCGAAGGAAAGGAACGAAUAAUCUAUUACAUCAGCAGAAGACACCUGGACCUGUGAUAUUCCCCAGUAGAACGGCUGUGCCUGUGUUUGUAUUUCUCAUGUACCAAGCUCAGGCACUACCUGUUAUCGUCGGAAUGCAUAGUCGUAUGCAAAGAUGACGUGGUGAAGUAUAUGCUGUCAUUGCCAAUUUUGAAGGGAAGGAUUGGGAAGUGGAUCCUAGCUCUGUCAGAGUUUGACCUAAGGUAUGAAUCAGCCAAAGCUGUCAAGGGCCAAGUAAUGGCCGAUUUCGUGGCUCAACAUUAUGAACCGGAAGUCGCUGUCGUUGAACCAGCUCCAUGGAUUUUAUACUUCGACGGUUCUUCGUGUGGGGCUGGAUCCGGAAUCGGCAUAUCCUCAUAUCACCUCGGGGGGCAAGUUAUGAUUUCUCUCUACCAAUAGAGGCAUCCGGUACCAAUAACCAGGCAGAAUACCGGGCCGUCCUAAAAGGUAUUCAAUUACUGAGGGACAUCAAAGUCGAUGCAGUGGAGAUUUUUGGGGGAUUCCAUGCUCAUUAUUGAUCAAUUGACGGGGAAAUUUGAAUGCAAAGAUGAUAUCUUAAGGAUUUACUAUGAAGAUUGCCUCCAGCUAUUAAAGGAAUUCAGGUCUGCGGUUAUUGAGCAUAUUCCCAGAAAUUACAAUGAAGAGGCCAAUAGGGUUGCCUAACACGCAUCCGGGUAUCGGCCGAUUCAAGGCACCAUGACUCUGGAGCUUGCAGCCGACGAUUGGCGGAAGGAGAUCGCCGAUUACCUAAAGGAUCCGUCCAGGAAAGUGGAUCGGCGAGUGCGUUUUCAAGCCACAAAAUAUGUGUUACUUGAAGAUGAUCUGUUUUACCGGACGAUUGAUGGGGUCCUGCUCAAGUGCCUUGGGACAGAAGAGGCGAAAGUUCUGAUGGGAGAAAUUCACAAGGGCGUAUGCGGAGCUCAUCAAUCAGCUCACAAGAUGAAGUGGAUGAUUAGGAACAAUGGGUAUUUUUGGCCGACGAUACUCGAGGAUUGCUUUAAAUAUUAUAAAGGAUGUCAAGAUUGACAGAAGUUUGGCAACGUACAGCGUGCACCAGCCUCGGCUAUGAAUCCAAUAAUUAAGCCAUGGCCGUUCAGGGGUUGGGGAAUAGACCUCGUCGGCUAGAUUUAUCCUCCAUCAAGCAAGGGACACAAGUUCAUAUUAGUAGCCACUGACUACUUUACCAAGUGGGUGGAGGCAGUUCCCUUGAAGACCAUGUCAUCGGCCGCCAUGAUCGAUUUCGUGAGGGAUCAUAUUAUUUAUCGGUUCGGUAUCCCUCAAACUAGCACAGCUGAUCAAGGGACAAUGUUCACUUCGGGAGAUUUUUAAGAGUUCACCGCCGAUAUGGGGAUUAAAUUGUUGAAUUCUUCUCUGUAUUAUGCUCAAGCUAACGGUCAGGCCGAAUCAUCCAAUUAGGGGAUAAUCAAGUUGAUCAAAAGGAAGAUAGAAGAGCAACCCAAGAGGUGGCACGCCUCCUUGACUGAAUCUUUAUGGGCAUGCAGGAUGGCCUGUCAUGGAGGUACUAAAACAUCUCCUUAUCAAUUGGUGUACGGUCACGAGGCAGUAUUGCCUUGGGAAUUAAGGACGGGGUCCAGACGCACGUCACCUCAAGAUCAGUUGACAGCUGAGGAUUAUUCCCUCCUCAUGAAGGGAGAGCUCGACGAUUUGGUGGGUCAGAGAUUGAGGGCCCUGAUCAGCAUCGAAGAAAAUAAGAAAAGGGUGGCCAGGUGGUGCGACAAAAGGCCAAGGUCAAGCAAUUCUCCCAAGGAGAUCUGGUAUGGAAGUGGGUGCUGCCGAUAGGGUCUAAAGAUCCCAAAUUUGGUAAAUGGUCACUUACUUGGGAAGGGCCGUAUAGAAUCGGCCAAUGCGCUCCGGGAAAUGCGUACAUACUAGAAACUAUCGAAGGAGAGGAAUUCACAAGAGCUUUAAAUGGGAGAUAUCUGAAGAGGUAUUACCCUAGCAUAUGGGUGGACGCGUAGGCAAUGAUAUAGCGUGUCGAGAUGCUGUGGUCGAUUCCUGUUGACUCAUGUUCAAAUAGCUGAUGCGAGGAGACAUCACCUUGAGGAUGGAAUUUUUGACCAGUCUGGCCGAGGAUACAUGGCCGACACGGUACAAGUCGCCCUUAGAACAAAAGUACCUACACAUUCAUUAAUCAUGCUUCAGCUGGGCUUUAUUCUUGUUGAUUUCUCUCUCAACCCAGCCUAUUUCUAUUAAGAGACGGAUGCUCUUUUCCUCCAAGUCCUCCAUAGCGGCUUCAACUGCAACUUGACGUGGAAGUUGGUGGCUUCUGUCGAGAGGUGGAUGGGAUGUCCCUGCCAUGGCAUCCUCGAGGAUGACCUGACGAGGAAGCUGGUGACUCUUCUCGGUUGGUGGCCGCCUGGAGCAGUUGGCAUCCAUGUGAUCCAAGAUCUUCUGGAUAUGAGCAGGGAUAUGAUCUUUGAGUUCUUCAUGAUGAGUCUCGAUCAAAUCUCUAUCCACCGACGUCAGCGGUUCGUCGAAGUGCAUAAUCUCGAUGGCUCAUUCCAGGCUAGGGCUAAGGCAUCUCAGCUGAAAGGUAGCAAACAACCACCUGUCGUCAGAUUAGUUGAAAUGUCAAACCGAGGAACAGAGGGAGAUUUCGUACCUGAUUAACGGAGAAGGAAGAAGAAGACAUCUCGGCGCCUGUUCUAAGAGUAUGGAAAUCAGACUACUCGAGGAAAGGAGGCUAGGCGAGGUAUGGAUGCCCUUAGAAGCGAUACGUUGAUAUCAUACUUAUAGAAAGAAAAGAUGAAGGGUUGGUAAAACGCAUCCCAUCGGAGUAAAAGACUAUUAAAUGAAAAGCUGCAACAAAGGACGGUCCAAGUUUGAAUUCAUACGUCAACGGCAAAAGAACAUUAAAUGUUUGAGCAGAGCAUUCAGUAUUUUUACAAUUCACCCAAGGAGGGCAUUAAUGGCCGCAAUCGCUCGCUGCCGAACCUGAUCGGCCAAAUCUAAAGUUCUUUGGUCAUCGUCGGUCGAUCCAGGGACUUCUGGCAUGUGACGAUGGAGUUUGAUUGCUUCAUGGGUCAGGUUCUGCCUCUCCUACUUUAGAUCGGCGAUGACAGAUGGGAGGUCUUGGAGUUUCUUCUCUUUGGCGGCUAUGGCCUUGGUCACCUGCUCCAUCUCCUUGGCAAGCUCUGCCCUUCGCUGUUUGAGGCGGUCUAUGGUGCUGACGAUAUCCGGGCAAGAGAUUUCAAGGAAACUGAUUCUUUGGUGUACUUCUUGAGCUCGGUGCUUAUAUGAGUCCUCCUCUUCAUGUGCUUUUGCUAAUUUGGCACGACCGGCCAUGUGUCGUAAAGCUCUGAACACUGGAAUCCGCAUUGACUCGAUAUAUGCUACGGGUGUCAGAGCUUCUGCCUCUUCUAGAACUAAGCCUCUGAUUUCGCUGAAAAGCUCCCAAAUCGGCGAGGCAUCUUCUACCAAUCGGCCGAUGUCAUCUUGGAGGAGGAUCCGUAUGCUCUGCAGCUUGGUGCGGACUUCAUCAGGGAUUGAACUCAGAGCAACUUGGCACGAGGCAACCUCUUCAUCAUCAGAAAGUGCAACCGCAAAGGAAAAGAGACUAUUGUUGGGAUUAUCCUGCUCCUAAGAAAGAAUAAGUAAUAGAGAGACAGAUUAGCCGACGGUAAUAGAAAAUCGGCCGAUUUGGGUGUUUAAGUUUCUUACCUCUUUACAGCGGAUUUCUUCUGCUUGUGCCGGUGGGAGUGCUACUCUCAUCUCGGGAAUUGGCACGACUGGCUCAUCGGAGGAAGAAGAUUCAACAAUUAUCGGUGCCGUACUCGGGCCAGCUUCCUGCAAAGGUACAGGAGACGGAUCUCUAUAAGUAUGAGGCAAGUGAUUAAGUCUAAUGAUAGAAAAUGGCUGCUAUACCUCUGCGAGUUGUCCGGCCGAUGUUUGCUGAAAGGGCACAAUCGACGUACCCAUGGUAGCCUGCAUCAGAAAUCGGUUAGAUUUUGAUUAAGGAUUAAGAAAUUUGAUUUAAACAGAUAUUCUCUACCUCAGUGGGGGGAUUGUUGGCGUCCCGGUCUCUGCUCGGAAUGUGGCCGAUUGCUGCGGAGAUUGUACUGGGGCGAUUUGCGCAGCCUAACAGAAAGAAGAAAUUAAUACCGACAGAAUACUUAGAAGAAUGCGAGGUGUACGAAGUUACCUGGACAGCUUCUAGCAAUAAUGAUGCAGCAGCUGCUCUAGCUUCUGUAGCGGCCUAGAGGUGGACUUCUUCGAUAAUCGGUGGAGUCGGUGCAGCUAAGGAUUCAGUCAAUGCCACCGCCGAUUGAUCAACCGAAGAGGUUAUCUUCAGUUUUUGUUUUGAUCGGCCGGUGGUGAUGUCCUUGAUGGUUGGGGCCUGAAAGCCGAUAAGUGGGAAUGAUGUAUAUGGGUAGCGAUUUUCUAUUGGCCUACCGCUUCGGCUGUGCGUUGGAGGAAGUUGACUUCCAGACUGUAAAAGGAAAUAAAAGUUAGUGAUAAAUUCAUAGCAUAAAAGGAGUAGCAUUGAAAUUGACUGGGAAAAGGGUAGUACCGCUGCAUUUGGGUCGAUGUUGUCAGGAUCUAGGUCAUUGCAAUAUGUUGCGCGGGAUACACAGAAGAGAUGCUGCUUCCAUUCUCCCCACCAUAAUUUAAAUUGCUGGACAGCAAAUGGAGCUACCACCCAGUUGUUUAGAUCAAUGGUACUGGAGUCUGGCACUAAACUGCACAGCCGAUUAUAAUCAAGACCCUUGGUGAGCUCAUCCCGGAACUUUGCGCGGCCGGCAAAGUAAACCUGAAUCAGCAACUGACCGAGGCCGAACUGCCGUGCUGCAGCCGACGGAUUGUAAAACUCAUAAGUUGGGGAAUCCUUCCCGGAAAAGAAGUUCGCCGGUAAGAUCCCUAGUUUGAUCAAGACAUUUGUGAGCUCAUUGUCGAAGGAGCUGGUUGUCGAGUCAAAGCAGAAGGGAAGCUCGAAAAGUGGCUAAGCUCUCUGGUAUGGGUACCAACUUGUAGUUUCUUCACUAAAGCCGUUGUAGAAGCAUCCGAAAUACUCGACUGUCUGGGUGGGGAUAAGCUGGCUGCCAGGGAAAGCUGAUGCUGCUUCACCAAAAGAAGUGCAUCGUCGUCGUACUGUUGGGUUUUCCUCUGACUCGAUGUUUGGAAAUGUUUUGGUCUCUAUUUGUUGUCGGAAAACCUUACUCAUGUAUAGGUUGAGCCAGAGAGUAAUAAACCACUAAGGGCCACCAGGAUUACCAAUCGGCUCUCCAGUUGACAGUUUGACAGCGAUUUGAUGCAUCAUGUGGUAGGUGUUUUCCAAGAGGGAUAGUGGAUCCUCUUGCCAGGGCUUCGGCCAAAGCUUGUGUAUUAGAAGAAGGGCCGACUGCUUUGCCGCAAAAGAAGUGCUUCUAUAACCACAUUGUUAAAAUGGUUGUAUAUUCUCUCUCUCCAAUUGUCCCGGUCUUCAUGUUUUUAUUGAUACAUCCCUUCCACCCGCGGAUUCCUUUCGUCUCCAACCGAUGGGUCAGUUUGAUCAGAGAAUCAAAAGGUGUAUCCGGGGAGGAAAUGUCGAGGCCGGUCAGCAUUAGAACAUCUACCAAAGUCGGGGUCAUGGAUCCAUGUCCAAAACCAAACGCGUUAAGCGCGUCGGACCAAAAAUAAGAAGCCGCCAUCACCAGAGGUUCAUUCUUCUCUAUCUGGGAUAAGGACAGGUUUAUGCAUUGGCUGAUUUUCAGUUUGUCCCAUAGAACUAUUUUGGAGUUGGCCAUUCUUUGAUACCAUUCUUUCCAGCCAACAGUUUCGUUUGGCCAAGAUCUAAAUGCGCCUGUCCACUGGUUCAAAUCCAUGGGCGAUUGCUUAAAAGGGAUCCUAUGGGUUUCUAGGUUGAUCAGAUCAGUUGGGUCUGGAUUCCCCAUAGGGCCUAGGCCGAUAAGGCCAGGUGCAUCAGAAAAGCGGAUGGUGAUUUGCUGUCUGACUGCCUAAGAAAGAUAAAAAGGAAGAACGAAGAAUAGAUCUAAAAGGUGCAUGAGCAGUAAAAAGUAAAGGGUAAAGUUUUGGGUGUUUACCUCCGGAAUGAAGCUCAUUAUUGCCGAUGGAGUUGCCGAUGGAGCCGCCAUUGAGGAAAAUGAAGCAGGAUGAAGACGAGAGAAAGAUCGCCGGAGAGAUACGACCGGAGGCAAAGAGGCGCUGGGAUGUGAUGGAAGAUGAUUCGCCGGGGAAAAGAGAGUUACUGAGCUCGUGGAGAAGAAGCGGCGGAGAAUGCUGGUAUUUAAAGAUGGUCCGAGAGAAGGGGUAAAGGCGGGGUUUUUACCGCGCCGUCUACAUGAAUUUCGGAGGAGUUGUUGUCUCAGGCGCCCAGUUCGAAAAGAUUGCAAUCAUCAGGUAGAAGACUGCAGAACAGAAAGGGGUUUUUGCCGCGCUUGUUUCGGAGAGAAAGUUGAAAAAGAAUUUCGAAGUAAAAGUUAUGUUUUACUCCGAAACUGGGGGGCAUGUGUUGACGCCAGAUUUUGACAUGUAUUUUGAGUUAGGGUCAGGGAAGGAAAAGAUUGGCCGAUGCGGCGGUUUAAAAGCUACAGCUGGAAAUCGACCGAUUGGUGCUACAGUAUUUCGACCGAUUGGCGAACGGAGUUGAUGAAGGUUGGCCGAUUGGAAGGUUGGGGCAGCUGGGCAAAUAUGGGCUUAAGGUGGGCUAGAGAAGAAGAUAGAAAGAGAUUGGCUCGUGAGAGUAUGAUAACCAACUCCGAUACGAGUUGUGUUUGUAAAUAUUUGUUAUCGUUUAAAAUUAGAGAUAGAUCCUAGUUCGUUAGGAAAUCACUUGUAACAGGCUAUAAAUAGCCGUCCAUAGAGUUUUGUAAAAGACACAUCAAUCAAUACAAGCAAUCUACUUUUUCCUCGUACUUUAUUUUCAAGUCGGCGACUUCGCCAAAAUACCUUUUUCUUUCACGAGUUCGUACGGAUUGGCAGGGCUGCAUCGACGCAAUCUCCGGCCGAUUCUAUAAGUUUCGGUUAUCAAAUAAUAUCUAAGCUUUAACUUCGGGCGCAUCGUUGUUGUUUCGUUUAGAUUUAUUCAUCAGUUAUCGAUAUCAACUAGAAUCGUAGGUUCUACCUAUUAUUUCAGUUUUUAUCACUAGUUAUCCAGCUUGAGAUACGAAUUGUCGGUUUUUAUUGUUUUCUUUCUUUAUUAUCAUACAACUGACUAGAUCUAUCCCAAGUGUUGUUCUCUUAGCGUUGUUUAGGUUGCUCCAGUAGCUUUUCUAUACAAUCGCUACGCGGUAUCGGCUGUUCUAUAGCUGGUUACCUCUACAGUUAAUCGGCCGAUUCGCCAACACGCUUUUGAAGACAGAUCGGAACUCCAGCCGAUCGCAACCCUUGGAAUUUAAUACUUUUUAUUUUCUUGUCAAUCAACAGGUCAGAUUGACUGGCACGCCGCACGAACCGCACCAGGGCGAUAACCCGAACAGGAGUUAAGCAGAUUCUCCCGGGUCGUGUGUCCGACGCUAAGGAUCAUCGGCCGAUUUUUAGCGCCAACAACAUUCUAUAGCAUGAAUAUUUAAUAACUUAAUUGUUUUUUCCCAUUACAGUGCUUAAGACAGGAACCUGGGAAUGAUAAUUUAUGUGGCUACUAUGUCUGUGAGCACAUGCAUAAUUUAUUGGGAUCCAAGACCAUCAAGGCCACGGAGCACGAAUUUAAAGUAUGUAAAAUAAAACUAUUAAUAGUUAUUUAUUUUCUAUAAUUAUUCAUGUAAAAUUCACAUAUAUGUAUCUAAAUUACAGAUGUGGAAUAUUCAAUUGGGACUCUUGAGGAAGGAAAGAGUAGCAGCAAUAUGUGAAGGUCUCAUUGGAUUCCUGGUGGACGAUGUGGUAAAUCCACAAGGAGACUUUCAUUACGAUGGACGAAAAUUAGACACUCCCAGCACCUCGACGGGAAGAUCAUCGUUGAUAUAUAUAUAGUUUAAUUUACUUUGUAUAUAUAUGUAAUACGUACGCUAAUUAGAUUUGUACAUAUAUAUAUAUAGUACGCUAAGAAUUGUAUAGUAUGUGUAUAAAUACUUGUUUGAUUCAUUUAAAUACUUGUUUUAUUCGUUUAAAUACUAGGUUGAUUGAUUUCAUUAUAAAAAAAGUUCUCAACUACUAAAGGUUAACUAAAGGGGUACGUGAGAUAUGCACGAAAUUAUAGGUGCCAUGCAGGCGCCUGCAUGGCGCUGUAUGCACGCACUGUAGUUCAGGUUUGUUUUACAAACCGUGACUAAAGAGGCGUCCCGGUUUGUAACACCAACUGGGACUAAAGGGGUAUGUCCACCGCCUGGCGUGGCAGCCUCAUUAGUCCCGGUUGGUUUUACAAACCGGAACUAAAGGAGGGUCUUAUAUCCCGGUUGAAGGACCCGUGAUAAAAGAUCCCCCUUUAUCUCGACGGAUUAAUCCCAGAUGCAUUUUCGAGAGAUAUACAGUCUACGAACCGGUACGUUAGCUAGUAGUGUCCGUAAGCUCCAGCUGUUGACCGCAUCUUCCUCUUCUGCUGCUGCUUUGGAUUUGUCGUGCGUUGGAUGAUGUGCGUGUUCUUGCUGUCCUGGUGCAGGUGCAGAAGCGGCAAUGGCGUCGGUGACCUAGGCUUGGGAAGGCCCAUCGUUGCAGGAAGGUGGGUUGCCUUCCUCGCCUUGAUCUGGUGGCGUGGAUGUUAAUUGACUGCAUCUGAUACUCUUCUUUGUGCCUGCAGGGAGCUUCUUGGAUUGGGUCAGUGGGAUCUCAGGGUGAGUUUGCCCGACAACUGACUUUUCCAUGUGCUUGUGUGCUAGCUGUUGUGUCUUUCAUCAGUAGGAAAACAGAGUUAUUACAUCUUGUGCUUUUUCUUGUGCCUGCAGCAAUCUUCGUCGGUUUGAGCAGCAAGUUCUCAGGGUAAGUUUGUCCCUUUUCUGGUGUUUUUCUGGUGAACCUAUUAUGUUGCCUUGCUUGCUCUGUGGAACAUGGGUGCCUUAUUUGCCCUUUGGCAUAGUGUUUCUUAUCUCAAGAGUUGGUUGUCUAGGUUUCCUGUGUGAUUAGCAUCUGAGUUGCUUCUGUGCUUGGACAGACACCAUGGUUAUUGCCUUUUAGUCUAUCUGCAGGGGGCCUGUUUGCUGUGUGAUGUGGUGUUGAUGUUCCUGCUUUGCUCUGCAUAGGGUAAAAGUUUCAUCUUUCAUUACAAGAUCUGUGAUAUGGCAUUGCUAGAUCUGCUUAUCAUGCUUUGAAAAUGGAAAUAAUAUAUGUAUGUUUAUGAAGAAAAUUUGCUCCCACUACCAGAUACAUUCUUAUCAACCCAUGCUUGCUUUGUUCCCGGUUCUUUCUAUCUAAUGUGUGGUAAUGAACUUCUUAGCAUUGGAUGCACAAAUAAUAGAUGGUUAAAGAUGGGGGCAGGGGACCAGGAUCAGCACAGUGCACCUUUCUAAGUAGCAAAAAUUUGCUUUGUCAUAUAUGUGUGCAUGCCAAAAAAAAAAUCUGAUGGGUGAAGCAGGGACAUAUAUGGACUGGCUGCAGAAAGUUCAUGUUAGAGAUUGCUUUGAGAUGUAAUUUAGCAUAGCAAGAUGCAAUCGUUUUCCUUAAGAUAAUACUUUGAUAAAUGAAGCUUUUAUUAUCUUGUUGUCUCUUUGUAGCCGAAUGUUGUCCAGCUUCCUGCAUGGUUAAAAAAUAGUAUGGUAAUUUCUAACUGAUGCAUCUGGGACCUCAGUGUUCACAUUCCCUUUUCGUUAACUGUGAUUUAGGCCUUUAGAGCUGUUGCAUUAUAUAAGUAGGUAACAAAGCAAGAAUGAUUGAUAAUCUAGAGGCUAAAGCAUGGUCGCUUGUUAGUAGUAAUCUACAGGCCAGAAGAUGCUCAAGAUUUUAAGUUCUGACAUGGAUAGAAUGCAUGAUGAACUGCUAAAGCUUAGCGACAUGGACAGGAGUUGUGUAUGUGAUGCAUAAGUGUUUAAGAGGGUGUGCUUUUUACUUCUUCUGCUGCUGCUGAUGCCUGGAAGACAGCUUGACAAAAGAACUGAUUUGCACUAAUUAGAACUCAGGUUUGUUGCCUCUGAGCUAAGUGCUAUUUUUGAGGGAAGCUUCGGAUGGUUGUGAAAGCUUCUAAUCAUCCUUCAAUGUUUAGGCCUUUCGAUUUUAUAGCAUCUAGCCUUAUUGCAAAUCUGCCUACUAUCCUAGAUGAAUUGGGCAGUCUAGAUGUAAAUAAUGAGUUAUACUGCUUGCCUUUUUCUAUUGUCAUAAAAUUGCCUUUUCUGGUUGGCAGCCGCGUGGAAAAUGAAAACAAAGAGCAUUAAGUCAUAAUCUCAUUGAUUUUUUUAUUUCUAAUUGUUGUGUAAGUUUGCUUAAACAGUGAUAUUUUGGGAAUUGAUGGUGACUUUAGUUGGCUGAGCCUUCAGAAAAUGAGAUGCAUAUUUUUUUUCAUUGUGCAUGAUAGUGAAGUUUUGUUUUGUGUACAAACUAAUUCCUCAUUUUCCUGUUUCAGGAAGAAUGCAGGUUACAGAACAGAAUAGAAGUUCAGCAUGAUAGUUCAAACAGAGAGCAUCAGGUACUUGUUUUGGUUGCUUUUGACAGCAAACUGUUCUUAUGCGGUCCAUCUUGUGGUUUUUGUGAAUCCAGUGAGUGUGUUCCCGAUGUGGAGGUCUGUGCUGCUGCCAGAGAUCAACGAGAGGGCGCUGGCGAUGGAGAUCCCAUUCAUGUUGCUAACUGUGGAUGAGCGAAUGUUUGGUGCAGCUCAACAGCUAGAAUACUUCUGAUCAGGACUCGGAACUCAAGUAAAGAGGACACGGGCUUAUAUAAGAAGUUAGUUUGUGAAUGUUUCCUAAGGUGCCCCCAAGGCUAAAUUAAACUAACAUUGUUUACAAGAAACUAAUUUAAUUGUGUUUUAAUCUUAACUGAUAUCAAAAUUGUAAGAACAUUGAUAUUUGGUUUUUUUUGUUAUAUAUCAAGAUUAUGGUUGUUGGCAUCUUUUUAAUGUGCAUCCAAGCACUGCUCAAAUAUUCGUAUAGUUAUGAUCUUGUAUUUGAUUGUUGAAACGGUAGGGCACUUAUCGCCCGCCGAAUGUUCUAGUUGCAUUUGAUACCCAACCGAUAGAGGUAGCGACCGAUGGCAAGCUAGCAAAAAUAUUGGCCGGUCUCGAUUUCUUUUUUUCCUUCAGGCUUCAUGCCAUAUGACGUUGGCACCAGACAAAUAGAACACUGAUCACUGAUGCAUUGUGAAACGAAUUUAUGAUUAUGGAGUGCACUCGUGAUUGAUGAAUGAUGCAUAAACGGUUAUUGUAUGACUUGCAGCAACGGUUACAUGUUUGAAAGCUAGAUCAGUAACAAAGACUACCAUAUAUAUACUCCCAUGCUUUGGAGCCAUCCAAAUGUUGCAUGGGUAGUGUUAAGAGUAACUUGUGUUCCUCAUGCAAGGAUAUACACACUGAAAUAUUGGAGGAAAUCAAAAUAUCAUGUUGAGCAUUGGCUUGUAUAGCCGUGUGCCGGUAGCUCGUCGAAGCAUGCAUAUAGCCAGUUUCUUCCAUGCUUCAACAUGUUCAAAUCUUUCUUAUAAGCUUAGAAACUAGGACUAGAGCAACCAAAUAGCUCGUGCUCUCUUUUCGAAACUAGCCUACUUGUUGACUUUGUCUAAUAGCGAUGCUUCUCCAUGCCUGACGGAAUGGCGCUUGAUGGAAUCGGACUAUCUGGUUCCAUAUUCUUCCGUGCUUCCACCUAUUCAAAUCCUUAACCUUAGUAGCUGGAACUAGACCAAGAAAACAGUUCAUGUUCUCCGUUUGAUGGCCUUCACGUUGACUUUGUCUAACAGAGCUCUUCUCGGCAUUUGUCAGAAUGAACUCUCUGAUUUCCUACAUACAACCUGAGUUUCUAUUCACAAUGUUUCUAGCUAUGCGAAUCAUCUCUGCUGUUUAAAAUAAAAUAGUUUGAAUCUUUGUAACCAUGCGUGACUACCUCUGCUGUUUGUGGUGAUGGUGACUAUACUUACCCUGACAUCGAACACAAAUCAAUUUUUACACAUGUGCAUGUCUAAUUUAUGGCACCGUUGACUAUUACUAAUUGGAGGCUCCUUUUGAAGCCUCCAGAUGAAGCCACAUAGAAUUCCUAGGUGGACACUCUAGAAAAAGAGAGAAAUCCUAGAAAUUCUCACAAAAAAGCAAAACAUCCGACCAUCAAUCGACAUAUUCAAAUCAUCAUAACCAUUGGAUCUAUUAUGUUUUCUAAAAAAUUACCCACCUAUGCCAUUACGAAAAUAGCCUAAAGUAACCCCAUAAAUCUAUAUAUAAAUUACCCACCUCUGCCAUUAUAUAAAAUAAACUAAAGUAACCCCUUAAUCUUCAUCAAAAUUACCCACUUAUGCCAUUAUAAACAAUAUUUAAAAUAACUCCCUAAUUUGCAACUGAAUUGCCUACCACUAUUACUUUAAAAAACUUAAAGUAACCCCUAAAAUUUGCAUCUAUAUUACCCACACAUACUAUUAUUAAAAAUAACAUGAGGUAACCCUACGUUUGAAUCAAAUAACCUUAAUUAAAAAUAUACAACAAUAUAUGAUUCUAAAUCGUCUAUAUCUUACACUAUUGGUAUACGAUAUAAUAAUUAAGGUCUAUACGCAUGAUGGGUGAUGUGUGUCACCAUUUAUAAUGAUAUAAAGUUAUGGGAAUAUACAUUUCUACGCUAAAAUUAUAUUUAGCAUUAUGGAUAGUUCUAUUAAAUUUAUGAGCACUCAAACUUAGGGUUCACUAAACAAAUUCAAGCCCAUACAUGCGGUCCAAAGUGGAAAGUUAAAGAAUAUAAAUGUGAAUGAAAAUAUUAUAGAGUAAUUACUAACUGAAAUCUAUCACAAUUGGAUGAAGAUAUUAAGUAUAAUAUCUACAUAAAUAUUAUGUUCGAAUAUUUAACAAACGAGAGGUAGCUUAUGGUAAUAGUUUUGUAGCAAUGUAGUCUCAUUUUUUUCUAUUGGAGACUCCGCAUUAGUUCCCAUGAGACAAGCAAGAAAAAAGAGAGAUUCUCAUAAAAAUUAAAAACAUCAAACACCAAUCCUGUAAACUCUAAUAAUCAUAGCCAUUGAUUUAUUAUAUUUUCUAAGAAGUUAUCCACCACUGUCAUUGUGGAUAUAUUCAAAAAUGACCUCUAAACCUAUAUCUAAAUUACCGAGCUCAGCUAUUAUAAAACAUAAUCUAAAGUAACCCCGUAAUCUUUAUCCAAUUUACUAAUACACAUCAUUAUAAAGCAUAACUUAAAAUGUCAUUCUAAAAUUUUAUCUAUGUUACUCACGUAUGUCGUUAUUAAAAAUAAUCUAAAGUAAAUACCUAAAUCUUAAUCUAAUUAUCUUCAUGUGCAUCAUAUAGAAAUGUCAAAAAGUAAACUAAUAUAUAAUUCUAAAUUACCUAUUUAUGUCAUUGUUAAUAUAAAAAUACUACAUUAAGGUAUAUACACAUGAUGAGUGCCAUCAUUAGACCAUGUAUACAUGUAUGUGCGGAAUCGAUGAAAAAUAUUGAUUUGUAUGCUAAACAUAAUGUAUAGAGGAUUGGAGGUGCGAUACAAAAUGGAAAAAGUAUGAAUAUGAAUGAAAACGUGCAUAGAAUAAUUAUUAAUUAAAAAUCAAUCACAACUAGACAAAGAUAGAUACAUAUCUAUAUAAGUAUUAUGUUAAAGUAUUGGAAAAAUAAGAGAGUAGUAGGUAAACAAUUUGAUUAUUAGCUAAGAGUUUAAUUUCUAAAUAAUUUUCAAAUCCAAUAGCAUAUAAAAACAUUAGCCCGUGCGGGAGCACGGGUUGAUGCACUAGUCUUACUAUUACUAAUUGGAGGCUCCUUUUAAAGCCUCCAGGUGAAGCGACCUAGGAUUCCUAGGUGGACACUCUAGAAAAAGAGAGAAACCCUAUAAAUUCUCACAAAAAAGCAAAACAUCCGACCAUCAAUCGACAGAUUCAAAUCAUCAUAGCCAUUGAAUCUAUUAUAUUUUUAAAAAAAUUACCCACCUAUGUCAUUAUGAAAAUAGUGUAAAGUAACCCCCUAAAUAUAUAUAUAAAUUACCCACCUCUACCAUUAUAUAAAAUAAACUAAAGUAACCUCUUACUCUUCAUCAAAAUUACCCACUUAUGCCAUUAUAAACAAUAUUUAAAAUAACCCCCUAAUUUGCAACUGAAUUGCCUACCACUAUUACUUAAAGUAACCCCUUAAAUUUGCAUCUAUAUUACCCACACAUGCCAUUAUUAAAAAUAACAUGAGGUAACCCUACAUUUUAAUCAAAUAACCUUAAGUAAAAAUAUAUAGUAAUAUAUUAUUCUAAAUCGUCUAUAUCUUACACUAUUGGUAUACGAUAUAAUAAUUAAGGUCUUUACGUAUGAUGUGUAUCACCAUUUAUAAGGAUAUAAAGUGAUGAGAAUAGAAAUUUCUAUGCUAAAAUUGUAUCUCAAAAUUAAGGUUCAUUAAACAAAUUCAAGCACAUACCUGCGAUGCAAAGUGGAAAGCUAAAGAUUAUAAAUGUGGAUGAAAGUAUUAUAGAGUAAUUACUAACUAAAAUCUAUCACAAUUGGAUGAAGAUAUUAAGUAUUUAUGUAAAUAAGUAUUGUGUUUGAAUAUUUAACAAACGAGAGGUAGCUUAUGGUAAUAGUUUUGUAGCAAUGUAGUUUUAUUUUUUUCCAUUGGAGACUCCGCAUUAGUUCCCACGAGACAAGCUAGAAAAAAGAGAAAAAUUCUCAUAAGAAUUAAAAAAUAUCAAACACCAAUCCUGUAAACUCUAAUAAUCAUAGCCAUUGAUCUAUUAUAUUUUCUAAAAAGUUACCCACCACUGUCAUUGUGAAAAUAUUCAAAAAUGGGGUCUAAACCUAUAUCGAAAUUAUCGAGCUCAGCUAUUGUAAAAAAUAAUCUAAAGUAACCCCAUAAUAUUCAUCCAAUUUACUGAUACACAUCAUUAUAAAGCAUAACUUAAAAUGUCAUUCUAAAAUUUUAUCUAUGUUACCCACGAAUGUCGUUAUUAAAAAUAACCUAAAGUGAACACCUAAAUCUUAAUCUAAUUAUCUUCAUGUGCAUCAUACAGAAAUGUAAAAAAGUAAACUAAUAUAUGAUUCUAAAUUACCUAUUUAUGUCAUUGUUAAUAUAAAAAUACUAAGUUAAAGUAUAUACACACGAUGAGUGCCACCAUUUAGACCAUUUAUACAAGUAUGUGAGGAAUCUAUGAAAAAUAUUGAUUUGUAUGCUAAACAUAAUGUAUGGAGGAUUGGAGGUGUGAUACAAAAUGGAAAAAGUAUGAAUAUGGAUGAAAAAGUGCAUAGAGUAAUUAUUAAUUAAAAAUCAAUGACAACUGGACAAAGAUAGGUACAUACCUGUAUAAGUAUUAUCUUGAAAUAUUAAAAAAUAAGAGAGUAGUAAUUAAAUAAUUUUGAUUAUUAGCUAGGAGUUUAAUUUCUAAAUAAUUUUUAAAUACAAUAACUUUUAAAAAUAUCAGCCCGUGCGGGAGCAUGGGUUGAUGGACUAGUUUUACUAGUUAUUUGGAAAUAUUCGGGUUGUUGCUUGUCCGGCCAUAAUUAUUUUAACCGAACAGUUAAAAAAUGGACUUGACUAGUCGGAGAGCACUUUCUUUUUCGGUAACGUGAGAUCCCGACCCAUCCCACAUGGAAGAUCCCGUGUAGAUCCCACCAUAACUGUACCCAGCCUUAUCUUCAUGCGACCUCUUCCUUCGCUGCACCGCCACUCACAUCUUCGUCUCCUCCUAAUCCAAUCCGACCCACCACCCCAAUCCACCCUGCCGCCCUCAUCUCCACCUCGCUGACCACCCCUCCUCUCCCCUUCCUUCUCCUCCUCCUCCUCCCCUCUAUCCAGAUUUCACCAUCAUCCCAUCCGCCAGUCUACUUCAUCUUCUUCCUCUCCGGUGCACAACCCCGCCACCGCCAGCCUCCACCACCACCCGCAGUGGGCGGCAACCUCGCCGCCGUGCCAUCCGCCCGCCUCCUGCCGCGCCCCCCUUCCCCGCCCUUCCUAACCACUACACUACCUUGCCCCCACCACUGACACCGGCCACUGGACAUCCUCCACCACCCGGCCGGCGGCGCCAUUGCCGCCCGCACCCCGCACUCCUCCGUGGGGCUGGCCGCCUCCUCGACCAUCCCUCUAGGUCCACCGGUGAUGGGACCCUCCCCACAACUCGAAACCUAGGUAACUUAGAAACCAUAACACCGCCGGCCUCCACCGCCACCCGAGGCUGGCGGUGAUCUGCUGCCGGUCGCCCUGCCCGCAGACCGCGCCACCUUCAAUUUGCCUAUUGUUACUUUCCUGGAUAUCAUGUUACUUGCUCUGUUGAGGCCAUGAAUGUAACAAAAGGGGUCUCCGGUUAGUCUUAAAUGGAGAGGCCUCCCCUGUAGCUUUUGCGUAAAAAUUUAUCUUACUGGCAGCAAGAGUGAUGCUUUGUUCCACUAAGAAGCUAAGAACAGAGAGAUACUCUGCCGUUCAUCCUUUCCGUUGGUGCCGAACUGGCACCUGCUGCGGUAUUAGGCGGGACCACAAGAGAAGCGCCGCCCAAGGUCGAAGCUGUCGCCGGAUUCAUCGCCAACACCGCGCGGCACGGCAGCCCGAGCAUUCGUCGUAGUUGUGCAGCCCCUCCAUGUACUCUUGGCCUCCUCCGCCGUGCAUGAAGCACCAGCACGUCAGUUGCUACUCACUGGAGGAUGGCGGCAGGAGGUGAGGAGAGUGCGGGCGGUCUCCGGCGUGGAUGAGCUUGAGGGUGGAUGGUCCGGCUGGUUCAGAAGGUAGGGAGGACGCCGGCGUCAGGCAGUGGCCGGGCAGCGGAAGACCGGCGCGACAAAGAGACCGCGGGGGCGCAUAGAAAGGGGUGUAUUUGUAAACAUGUGGUGGGCGUUUUGCAAAAUAUAGGGUCGCAACUAUUAAUCACGAUCCAAAUCAGGAGGUUUUGUGCAUAAAUUUGGAUCGCGAUCCAAACUAAGGGGAUAUUCGUAAAAUACUGGAUCGCAGCUGUUGGUGAUUCACCCCGGCGACACAGCAGCUGCCAUGGAUCCCUGCCGCCGUGGCCGUGUGUCCUGGGCAUGCAUAAUGCAUAAUGCAUGUAUAAGAAUGUUAGGUUUAAGUGAUGGAUCCUACCAACGAGUGGAGAAUGUUAGGUUUAGUCCCACACCAAAAAUUGAUGAUGGAGGAGCACAACAUAUAGGUGGGCGCAACCCUUACCUAUUAAGCUAGUCUUUUUGUUGAGUUAGACCCAAGGUCUUGUUGUUGUGGGCUCUGUGGACUUGGGCCCGGUGGGGCGCGAAUCGUGGGUAUAUCGGAUCGCAAGGGUACAAGUUGUUGACCUAAAAUCUGGACCUCAGACUUCUGCGUUGAACAAUACGGAGGACCUAGAAGAUCUGCUUAACUCCAGUGCAAGUUCAAAAUCAGCUCGCAGGGUGCGAGGCAUGCCAAUCAAUUUAACCUACAAUUGAUAAGGGGAAACGCGAAAUUCUUGAGCCAAUAAGCAGCAAAGCCUUCAAGCUCAUAAACAUAUGUUACUUUGAAUAAACAACAUAAAAAUUAGGUUUUUAAUAUAAUCAUAUGGUGUAAAUAAACAGAAAUAUUAAUGGCAUGUGCCAUCGGCUAUACGAGUCGACGGGCUAAGAUAGAUGCAAUGUAAAACAUCAGCCAUUAAAGAUGACUUGUCCACCAUGCUCAUAGCAAUUAAACUAACAUAUCUUAUUAAUAUCAUGAACCAAGGAUCAGACUUAACCGAGACAGCAUGGCUGAGAGGGCAUUAACUUCAAUCUAUUAAUAUAAAGCCUAGAACAUAGCAACAAGGGUAACUUGCCUACUGCAUACAAGCCGAUUAAACUAACAGAUCUAAUUAAUGUCAUGAGCCAAUAGAUCAUACAUAAUCGAGAUAGUAUGGUUGAGAGUACAUUAACUUUGACCCACUAGCUUAAAAGGUUAUAGCAUACAGUAGCAAGGUCUCGUAUGCACAGCCAUCAGCUCGAUGAUGUCAUCAUGCUACUAAGAGAUAUGGAUAAGAUCCAACCGAGGCAUCGGCUCUCAAAAAGUUGCUUUCUAAUGUUAAGGAUCCGAGGACUAGCGAUACGAGGGGCAGGGGUAAAGACCUAUCGGACCUAGCAUAUGUAAAGCAAAUAAAGCAUGCAAGGUCUAACUAGCCAAUACGAUCAGAUAACUGGUGAAUGCUUAAACAAGAUCAAGAAGCCAAUGAAGAUAUAGAUCUAAGCCGUUCAAUAACUGUGAGCGCUUGAUAACACUAAGAGAUCCAUACGAUGCAACAUAAUAAAACCAAACAACUCGAUAACUAUGAGCAACGUUGAAGACAAAUAGAAUAUUGGACAAAGCCUGGAAAGUUCUAUUUGCAAUCUAAACAACUCGAUAACUACCCUUAUGCUAAGAGAUCAAAAUAUUGGACGAGACCUAGAAAGUUCUGAUACACAUAACUUAAUGACCAGGUGACGGUACUUACAAGCUCGCUUGAGAUCGAAGCCGAUGCAGUCCUACACGCAAAAAGAAACUCGUCGGUUUCUACUCUACUCCUACUCCUAGGGUUUGACAGCGAUGAUUAUUCGUUACAAAACUCAUGGGUUUAUAUUUAUACCUUGGAGCAAGCCAGAAAUCCUAGUCGAUUGCGAUAUGAACUACUACAGCUAUUCUAAAAUUACUAAAGAUAAAUCUCCACGCUUUCCUUUAUUUGGUGGAGUCGAUUUUGGCUCGGCUCGGAUCCUCCAUGGUCCUCUAUCGGCUUCCAUAAUCCCGUGGCUAGCCUUGGUCAACGUAGGAUCGUCAAUCAGAUUCUCUUGCAAGCUCAACGGCUAUUAGAAUCUUAUCCUCAUCGGUUGACUCUGGUCAAAAACCGGUGUCAAUACAAGUGGUAAAGAACAAACUAUAACAAGAAAAGAAAACCAAUUUAAUGAUAUUGACCAAUUCUGACAUGGAAAUCCCAUGCAUGGGAGGCAAAAAUCUGCGUAACUCCAGAUAUCGGCGUGCGGCAUGCAAAAAAUCAGCAUCUCCUUGGUGGUUUUCAGUUAACUGCAGUUGCCCACAAAACUCGCCCUCUUGACUAGGACAUGCAGAUAAAUAAGAUUUUGGUUCAAAUUUUUAGACCAAAGUUCACAUGGUUUACAAUCAAUCAACAAAGAUAAUAUCUUUCAUAUUUUGCCACUGAAAGAUGAAAUUCCUUUCAUUGACAUUGCUUCCAUGGCACGAAGAGGCCAAGAUGCUCCCCGUACGGACGUCGUCUUCCGAAAGUUGCCACGUACACAUGCUCAGUUCAUGCACCACCACCGAUUAAUCAUAACCGGCGGCUGGCCGGUCAUUGUCCAUCAAUAGUGGCGACGUCCGUACACCUAGCAAACUCCAAUCAUCGAAACUCCAAUCACGCACGUCCGUACGACGACGGCCUGCAGCAUCCGCUGGUUUCGAGGAAGUGGCGGGUCAGCUACUGGCUGCUGCCCCCUCGCUACACGCACGUGCUUUCCAUGCAAUGCAAGGCCGGCAAGGUGCUUAGAGAUGACGAUGCAGCGUGACGAUGGCGACACUAUGCAUCUCCCCUUGACACUAAGGGGCCCUGGGCUUUGACUCUGACUAAUUUACCGUUUUGUGCUGAAACCCUACCAAACGGUGAAUAGCUUCUCGGUAGAAGUUCCUGACAUUUUUGCACUAGGAUAAGAGAGCUGAAAAAGUGGAACUACUACUUGCACCAAGACAAAUGGAAUACCCUGGCUGAAAUUGCUACAAAAAUUGACAUUCCUACCUUCUCUGGUGGUGGCGUGAGACUUGCCGGUGAGGAGAUGGUGCAGCCGCCCGGCGCGAAUCGGUAGCAGGCGCAGGCAUGUAGCCACAGCUGGGUGGCGCAGACCGGUAGCGAGGUGGACCGGUGACAGCGUGAACUUAGCUCAACGGCAAGGCGCAUCGCGCGGUGUGGUCUGGCGUGAGAGACGAUAGAGAAGAUGAGAGAAUGAGCUAUUGAGAGAGCGGUGGACUCCGGAAAGGGAAAUAAGAAAGGAAGAAAAAAAUAGGAAAAGGAAAUAAAAGGAGGAAAAUAAACAGAAAUAAAAUAGAAAAGAAGAAAGAAGGAAAAAAAACAUAAGGGUAUUAUGGACACUUCAAACACUUUAUCCAGUCAAAAACGAGGAAAAACCGUUUUAUCAAAUAUUAUUUUCUAUAAGACAAGCCACAGUUAGAAAAAUCGCUUCAUCGUAAAAGUCAGAGCCCGAGCUAUUUUGAUGGGAGCAGAGCUAUGCCAAAUGGGCCUAAGUCAUGGGAGAGUAUAUAGUUACGAGCAAAUCAGCAAAAUCCAGUUAUUGAGCUGCUUAAUUUUAAUUUAGUACAUAACAUUAAAUUUUGGUAAUGAGGCUAGCUAAAAGUUGUUAAUUCCUAGCUAGGGGGUGUGCCUAAAAGAGAUGAUGCAAGUUUGAUGGCGCAAAGGCCGCAAACUCGCAUUAUCUACUAAGGAAUGCAUCGCAGACGUGGCACAAUAGUUCAUGCUAUUAUCGCCUGCAACCUCUCUAUGAUUGGAGGACCCUUCGAACAGUUAGGUACCUCAUUUAACUCGAAGUAAGUUUUCAGAUUCAGAUGAAUACGUCUAACUGUCGUACCUGCACAUGUUUCACAUGAGUUCGUUGCAUGCAUGUGCUACACACACCUGGAUUCAUCCAUCAAAUGGUUGGUACCACAGGGCCCCUACCGUUGCUAGGGACGACGUGUGUCUGGACGUUUUCAUUCCGAAGGACAAACACCGUACCAUUUCCACAGGGAAACCCCGUGGCUGUGAAUUUCAUCGUCGUCCUUUCGAACCCCACACGUUCAUAUUGUCGGAUUUCAGAUCUAGAAAGGGGCCCGCGUCAAAACACUCUACACAGAGCUUGGACUUAAUUAGUAAAUUUCCAAAUAAAAUGCUAUGCAACACGAUGGGUAUAAUUAACGAAUACUUUAAUGAGCGAAAUCCCCUGAAUAACACAUUCAUAUAAAUGAAAAUUUUUCCCACUAUAACUCCUUCUAAAAAUCACAAAUUACUCUAGCUCUAAAGCAUAAAACUUAGUAUACUAACCAUGUAUCAUGGAAGAAUGAAGUUUCUAACCUUUAAAACACUUGAAUGAGUGAAAUCCCCAAGAAAUGGUCACAAAUCUGGCAAAACCUUUCCCUAUGGCGCCAUGGAUAGGGUGAAGCUCGAGCUGGAGGAUCUGGCUCAGGCUGGAAAAAGAAGGAGGGUAUUUGUAGGAAGGCAAUUAGUACUAGUUGGGGUCACCAACCAGUACUAAAGGGCUGCCCUCUAGUACCAGUUGAUGCCUCGAACCGGUACUAGAGGGGGGUGCCCAACUAGUACCGGUUGCUUCCACCAACCGGUACAAGAGGGUUCCCCCUUUAGUACCAGUUGUUGCCAUCAACCGGUACUAGAGGGUGGAUGGCGCAUUAGUACCGGUUGGUGGCAGCAACCGGUACUAAUGUGCACCCUUUAGAUCCGGUUGUUGCCCCCAACCGGUACUAAAGAGGUCCUUGGGGCGCGCUCCAAGCAGUAUCCUUUGGAACCGGUACUAAUGUUAGCAUCAGUACUGGUUUCAAACCUAACCGGUACAAAGGUUCGGGAUGAGAUGUCAUAUUUCUAGUAGUGCAACAAAAUCCAGCUGCUUAAUUUUAAUUUAGUACAUAGCAUUAAAUUUUGGUAUUGAACAUUAAAUUUUGGUAAUGAGGCUAGCUAAUAAGUUGUUAAUUCCUAGCUAGGGGGUGAGUUUGAUGGCGCAAAGGCCGCAAACUCGCAUUAUCUACUAAUAAGGAAUGCAUCGCAGAUGUGACACCCGGCCCAAUUUGGUUGGCCCAGUGUGGCCCAUUAGCGCAGGUGCGCAUAUUUAGUACCACAUUGCUAGUUUAGCAAGGGUGGAGGUAACUUAUAAGCCUUCGUCAAUCAGCCAUAGCACUUUCGGGUUAACCCUUUUACACGAAGCGAGGACGAAAGUGUAAGCAGGGUGCUAUGUGUACGCGUGCCCGCCCCUCGGAAGGGUUGGGCGGUGCGGCUUUGGAGGACGGGGUGUUACAAAUGGUAUCAGAGCUGACCCUCGCGGUUGCGCGUACGGGUCAGUGUGCGGGCAUAUGGCGCAUGGCGCGUGUGGGCCUGAGAUGGGACACACAACAUGGCAUAUUGCGCCGGCACUGGACGUACGGUCGUGCGCUUAAAGGGAACGUUCCUGGACAUUUUCCCAUGCGUGGGUGAGUUGACCGACGAGGACGUCGGGUUCUUUGAGGGGGGGUGAAUGUGACACCCGGCCCAAUUUGGUUGGCCCAGUGUGGCCCAUUAGCGCAGGUGCGCAUGUUUAGUACCACAUUGCUAGUUUAGCAAGGGUGGAGGCAACUUAUAAGCCUUCGUCAAUCAGCCAUAGCACCUUCGGGUUAACCCUUUUACACGAAGCGAGGACGAAAGUGUAAGCAGGGUGCUAUGUGUACGCGUGCCCACCCCUCGGAAGGGUUGGGCGGUGCGGUUUUGGAGGACGGGGUGUUACAGCAGACGUGGCACAAUAGUUCAUGCUAUUAUCGCCUGCAACCUCUCUAUGAUUGGAGGACCCUUCGAACAGUUAGGUACCUCGUUUAACUCGAAGUAAGUUUUCAGAUUCAGAUGAAUACGUCUAACUGUCGUACCUGCACAUGUUUCACAUGAGUUCGUUGCAUGCAUGUGCUACACACACCUGGAUUCAUCCAUCAAAUGGUUGGUACCACAGGGCCCCUACCGUUGCAAGGGACGACGUGUGUCUGGACGUUUUCAUUCCAAAGGACAAACACCGUGGCUGUGAAUUUCAUCGUCGUCCUUUCGAACCCCACACGUUCAUAUUGUCGGAUUUCAGAUCUAGAAAGGGGCCCGCGUCAAAACACUCUACACAGAGCAUGGACUUAAUUAGUAAAUUUCCAAAUAAAAUGCUAUGCAACACGAUGGGUAUAAUUAACGAAUAGUUAAAUUGUUGACGUAAGAGAAAAAAAAGAAAAUUGCAAAAAAGGAAGGAACUAACUCAUGACAUCCUGUAAAACAAACCCACUCUGUUUUUCGCGGCCAAUAUCCUGAGAGGGAAUGCACGGUUCUCCUCUUCAUGAUGUGGGUCACUAGCUUAUCAUCCACGUGAUCCACACGGUCAUGCAAUGUAUCCACUGCACAGAGAGCUAAAAAUGAAUCGAUUUGAAUGCAAUCUUGCCAACGAUCGAUCGAUUUCCCAAAUGAUGCAAUGCAUGAUGAUAAUGACAGCUGCCGCAGGCUGGUCCAUGCCAACAGUGACGCCAAAAUAGAUGACUGUGGUCCUGAUGGCGCGCGAGAAAGCAAGUAGACGGUCUCUCAACCUUCACUAAUUAUGGAUGCAACCGUCAUCUUUCGUUAGGUCAUUCUUAAUUGGAAGUUUCAUAAGAGUUUCAUGACAUUAAAUUCAAUCCCACAUCAGUAAAAUUGCUGAUUUGACAAGGUAAUUAAUAGAGAGAGUUUCAUCAGAUGAGAGAGGAGUUUCAUCCCCCAUGACACUCAUCUGGCACAUUUACAUAGUUCUCUAGAUAACUGUGCAAUGAAACUGCGCACUAAGACUUAUCUUAAUGACCACAUAAGGCACGCCAAGUUUGUGAUAAUGAAGCCCUAUUAAUUGACAAAUAACACUCUCUUUCCUUGAAGCCACAUAGUUACCUUUUCCAUUAAAAACAUAAUGCGAGUUACAUACAAAUACAAUGAAACGCACUGAUAAACAUAUCUAUUUCCCUAUACAGAUAGAUCCAGCAAAUGUCCAUCUUCCUCCAGUAGGUAUGUACCAAAAUUAAAAUUUCCCUUUUGGUACCUCCAACGAGGUAUUAUUUUAACAAAGGAUAAUUUAGCUAAGAGAACUUGGUCUGGAAAUCAAAAGUGUUACUUUUGAGACUGUAAUGAAACAAUUAAAUACCUCUUUUUUAUUGUCAACAUGCCAAGAUAAUUUGGAGAGUUGUUAAUAUAGCUACUAGGUUAAACAUGUCAAAAUCAAUAGCGCAUAUGCUUGGAAAUUGGUUAACAGGUAUAAGAAAGAAUGAUAGAAGUUUGAUUUUUGUUGGGGUUGCAGCUCUCAUGUGAGCAAUUUGGUGUAUGCAAAAUGAUGUGUUUUUUGAGAAAAAAUCAUUCACCUCUUUUAUGCAGGCUGUUUUCUAGAAGCGUAUUGGCUGCGAUUUUGGUCUUGGUUACAGCGGCAAAAGCACACAAGGGAGACCAUUUGUUUAGCAAGCAAGGCGUUGGAAGUCGUCGCCUUGGAUAUCUUUGCCAAAAAUGGAUGGAGAAGAAAUAAUAGACUUUGCUUUUGAUUUCUUCCUGUCAUGCGUACUUUUUUUCUAUUAUAUGUGAUCAGCUUGUGAACUGAAAAUUUUGUAAAAACAUGACUGUGUGUGAUUGCAGAGGCCGGAGAUAAUUCAUUUUUCUAAAAAAGGUAUGUACCAACCCGUCCAUGUAGGAUAUAUUUGGUUGGAUGCACCAAAUAAUACAUGCAUGAAUAAUCCUGGAUGGAUGGUUCAACCUAUUUCCUUGUACCAUAUGGUUUACUCCUCUUAGUAGAAAAUUGUAUUGAGUUAGAUGGUUUCAUCCUAAAUGAGUUGGUACAAUUCACCUAUCCAAAGAAUCUCGAACUAACUGGAACCAUUUCAUACAUGAAGAAAAUGCUACAUACAACCAAACACACAUGAUAUCAGUAACAAUGAACCCCUGAUUGGAACAAACGGGUUAAUUAAUUAGCUGGGAAACAUAUACACUGUGGUAAAUUUAACAUCAGUCCAUGACUAAUAGUCUAGAACCAUUAACCAUCUGAAGUCUCACGACAAAUAUGUUGGGCUACAACUAACAGGUGAAAAUUUAACAAUAGAAAUGUUCUUAGAUUCUAAACUAGAUCUACUUAGCAUGUGCAAUUUAAGAAAUUUAACUAGGCAAAAAUAUGGAUAAUUACUAGUGACCAUCGUCCACAUCAUUUGCAACCAUAAUCUGUAACAUUGAUUGUUUCUUCGCCGGAUUCAAUUCUAUUCCAAGAUGGCGGCCAGUAGGAGCUCGAUCGAAGGCAUGAAACGAGAAGCACAGGAAAAACAUGCGGGAAAGGAGAGAGAAUUCCAUGCAUCACUAUCCUGCGUGUAACUGGACCAUGCUGCAAGCUGCGACAAACCUUAUCAUUUACACCACAUACAAACUCUUCCGACCAUCUCAGGUCGUCUAUAUAUUGCUGGCCAGAGCCUGCGGAUCCAAAGCACAAGAUCUAAGCAACACAUUUGUAGAAGCGAUAAUCUCUCCUUAGAUUCUCUUCUUCUUGAUCUCAUACAAUCUCGCCAUGGCUAGCAACGGCAAGACCGCCAACGCUGCCACCGCGACGACGGUGCCGCAGCCACCGCCGUCAAAGGGGAAGCUCGUCACGAUUCUGAGCAUCGACGGCGGCGGCAUCCGUGGUCUCAUCCCGGCGACCAUCAUCGCCUGCCUCGAGGCCAAGCUCCAGGUACUAAGCUAGCUGGUGUAGAAACCCAAGAAGCACAUACAUUGACUACUUGCACAUCAUCAGCACAUUCCAGUAUUUUAAUUCGUUCGAAAUCCGUCCUGCACAUGAUCAAUAUAGUACUGAAAGACUGGUUGCACGUGAUGUGAACAAUUUCAGAAGCUGGACGGCCCGGACGCUCGGAUCGCCGACUACUUCGACGUGAUCGCCGGGACGAGCACCGGCGCCCUGCUCACGACGAUGCUGGCGGCGCCGGACGAGAACAAGCGGCCGCUGUUCGCUGCCAAGGACCUCAACACCUUCUACCUCGAGCAGGGGUGGAACCAGGAUGAACACCCUGGGAGGCUAAAUAGUAGAGAUUAAGAGCUAGAGCUAGAAAUUAAUAGUAAUUUGAGGUUUUAUCUACAGUAUUUUAGAGGUAAAAUCGGGCUCUCGGGGGGCUGCAGCCUCCCCAGCCCCCCGUGGAUCCGCCCCUGACCUCGAGAACGGCCCCAAGAUCUUCCCACAGAGAAAGUAAGCAGCCAUUUUUAAGUUCUCAAUCCAGUACGAAUAUGAAGCGAUUUAAUCCAUUCUAAGAGAUUUGGGAACUGAAAUAAUCGAUGCUGAUUCUGCAGGGCAGGAUGGCUGUCUACGGCGAUGAACCUGGUGUCCACGAUGAGGGGUCCCAAGUACGACGGCGUGUUCCUUCACGACAAGAUCAAGAAGCUCACCCACGACGUUAGGAUCGCGGACACGGUCACCAACGUCAUCGUGCCGGCGUUCGACGUCAAGUACCUGCAGCCGGUCAUCUUCAGCACCUACGAGGCCAAGCACGACCCCCUCAAUAACGCUCACCUCGCCGACAUCUGCAUCAGCACGUCGGCGGCGCCGACCUACUUCCCGGCGCACUUCUUCAAGACCGAGGCUCCCAACGGGCAACGGCAAGUCCCGGGAGUUCCACCUCGUCGACGGCGGCGUGGCGGCCAACAACCCCACCAUGGUGGCCAUGUCCAUGCUCACCAAGGAGGUGCUCCGUCGCAAUUCGGACUUCCAUUUGAGCAGGCACUCCGCCGAUUACCGGGACUACCUCAUCAUCUUUAUCGGGACCGGGUCGGCGAAGCAGGCGGAGAAGUAUACCGCACAUCAGUGUGCUAAGUGGGGUCUCUUCCAGUGGCUCUACCAUGGCGGCUUCAACCCGAUAAUCGACAUCUUCUCCCAUGCCAGCUCUGACAUGGUCGACAUCCAUGCGGCCGUGCUCUUUGAGGCCCUCCACUCUGAGAUGAGUUACCUUCGCAUCCAGGUAUAUUUACUGAUAAAGACUCAAGUUGUUCUUGAUAUCUCCACAGAGUUUGUCGUCGACAAUGAUAUGCAUUAUAUAUAUUUGUGUAGGAUGACUCGUUGAAGGGGAACGAGUCGUCAGUGGACGUCGCGACCAAGGAGAACAUGGAGACCCUGAUAGGGAUCGGCAAGGAGCUGCUCAAGAAACCGGUGGCGAGAGUGAACAUCGACACAGGGAUCUACGAGACCGUUGCUGGUGAGGGCACAAACGAAGAAGCGCUAGCACGCUUCGCCGAGAUACUCUCUGAAGAGCGCACGCUACGCAAGAACAAUCUCAACGCGUAAUACCUCUCAGUAACAGCUUGGUUUUUGCCAAGAAAUUGAGCCCAAGGAUCAGCAGCGGUACAGCAUUUUGGAUUGGCCGCAGUCUGGGUACAGCAUUUUGUGGCAACCUGGGGUACGGUGGUCAUCACAUCACUGGGGGAGAUUGGGCCUCCAAAUCUUUCGAUCUCGUUGUUGCCCGGUUUCAAUUCUUGUGGACAAUGUUGAUAUAAUCUGUAUCUGUGUUGGAUAAUAUUUGGGUUUAGCUUAAUUGUAUGAACAUUGAACAAAAGGGUUGGCGAUCACUUUUACAAGCAAUAUAGUUGGUGCAUUAAGUGCGUACGUUAUAGAGGCAUCAUAUACACGGCGACACAGAUUGUCCCAGGCCAAGCUGGUCUCAUUUCUAGAGUUCAUUUUACAACACCCCUAUUAGAAUAUACUCAUUCAUUUCCAAAUUGCAGGUCAUUUUACUUAUCACGUUGAUCUGACGGGAUUCAAAAAUGGCUCACAUAGAAUUCACUUGUCAGGUUGAUCUGGCUCCACUUCUGAGAGACAAGGCAGAGGUUGGGGCCCCCCUCUAUGUGCGGACGUCUUCAGCGUACAGUUCGUGUCCGGCCACGCAUGAUGGGCCGGGGUCGCUGUUAAUCCGUGACCAACUGCACGUUUUGGAACUUCCCAAAAAAAAAAUCGAAAAAGAGAAGACCCAACUUCACCUACCUGCACAUGUAUCACGUACUACUACGUACAAGGCCCAGCACAUGUCUGUUUUUCUUUCCAGCGACUACGACACUUACCGUACCCAAUAUGAAUCCCCAGUUUUCAUAACAGAUGGACUUUCAAAAUACUCAUUUUCGAAAGUCUAGCUAGUUGCUUUCAAAAUAUUCAUUUUAUCUGGUCAAUAAAUACGAACAUGAAGGCCUUUUCACACAACUACGUACUAAUCUGUUUUGAGGAAAAAAAAACUAAGAUUGUACUUUUAUGAGAUGGAGGGAGUACAUGUUAUGCUUUAUGGAGGCAAAAAAAAAAGAAAUCCAAUUCUGCUGUAGAAGAUCGAUCGAUGGAGUUGAUCUUUCAACACGGAUAUAUUACAGGAGUAAGGAGUUGGGGGACCUAUACGUUUUUAUAUACUCGUACGUACACUAGCUACUAUAUCGGCAGGUAUUAUAAAGUAGAUCGAGCAUGGAUACAUUAUCCCUACCAUUACACUAGUGUAUCUGAUUUUGUUCCGUUCGGACUUACCAAACUAGCACUGAAAUGCAGACGGAUCACGAAUGAUUCCAACUCCAUGCUUAGUUUAACCAUCCGCAUGACUCGCAACCACCUUAUAAAACAAGAGCACUCCCUUGUCCAACUUACAAUCAACAAGGCUAGCUGUUCCGAAAUGUCCCCAAAGAGAAAGCCCCAUUGUCCGGCCUCUUCAUGACGCAGCUCCCUAGUUUAAUCAUCCAUGUGAUCCCCAACACCAUGAAUGAAUGGUAUAUGCCUGCUUCAUUGUUGGAGUAGCUUGGAUGUUGAAAUCGUCUAUUCAUGCAUGAUCACAUCAAGAGAUGCCUUGUUGGCGAUGAUAAAGUGUAGCUAGAGUUUGAUUUACUAAAUGGGUAUGCACGAAAUUUUUUUCUAUGGUUAAAUUGGACAAUGUAGCCUCAGUAAUAUCCACAUGUGUAACCACAAACAUGAUGAGUCUAAAGUUCACGGAUAUGCGUGAAUUUCCCUAUUAUAUUAUAGGCAUGAUGCAGUAUAUGCACACAGACUGGCCACCGCGUAUGGACUAUUUGUCGCCUCACGACAACUUUGCCUGAUUAUAAAACUAAAAGAUUCAAAUUUUGUACAGAUCCUUCUUAGAGAGUGUGGAUGGGUGCCGGAUUUGCAGGAUUAUCUUUUAAGAUGAGACAAAGAAGUUGGAGUAUUUUCCGCUCCAGGCUGUUCAUCUAUCAAGUGGCACCAUUAUAUUGGUGUGCAGGUCAACUAGUCGAUACACUAUAUAUGAUAGAAAAUCUCUCUUGAUCUGCUGGAGAAUUUGUUGCCAGAGGCCAUCCUCCUUGAUUAGUUUGUACAAAUACUAUUUGCUUAAAAAAGCCAAUCUCCUUGUUCUUUUGGCGUGCAAAGAAUAUUCCAUUUUGUUAGUCUAUAUUUCUGCUUAAGUCUUGACCUAAUGUAAUCUCUUAAGAACUUUUCUAGGUAUUUCAGAAAAGGAGAUCAUGUACAUAGACAAGUUAGUUAGAACUAAGUUUAUAAGUGUUAGCCUCCCUGCAGCAUAGGAGCUUUUCCAAGUACUCAGCUUUUUUCAAAUAUUUCUUCUACCUCUAGACAAUCUUUAUUAAGUAAUCAUGUACGGUGCAUUGGAAUAUAACCAGAUAGCGAAAUGGAGCCUUCCCAACUGCACAUGCAUCCAAAAAUGUCCAUGUAUUCUUGUUGUGCCCCUUCUGCCUCCCUAUUGCAGAAUAACUCACUCUUAUCUGAGUUUAUCUUGAGGUCAGAUAGUUGCUUGAAAGUUGUAAGUACGAAGUUCAUAUUCUUAGCUUCUUUGAGAUUAUAUUCCAUAAAAAGAACUGUGUAUCGUCUGCAUGUUGAAGAAUAGGUAGGCCGUUAUUGACUAAAUGGGGGAUUAUGCUAGAGAUUUGACCAUCUUUUUUCGCCCUUGCUAUCAUCUUGCUAUCAAUGUUGCGAACAUUAUCCGCACGGGGAGAGUUCAAAUUUUACACCAUCAUCAUUGACUUAAUCCCCCAUGCGAAAACAAUCAAUGUCGUUCAUGGGUACGCACAAAGUUUUCUAUUACAAUUAAGCAUGGAUAUGCAGAGAUGAUCACAUCGAACCACCAUGUAUGGACUAUUUGUCGCAUGGCGACAAAUUUGACCAAAUAAAACUAAAAAAUUCAAAUUUUGUACAUAUAUCUUAGAUAUUAUAGAUGGGCACCAGAUUUACAUGAUUAUUUUUUUUUAAGGUCAGAGGCAGGCAACCGCUACUACUAUACCAAAGAAGCUAUUUUCCGCUCCAGGGGUUCAUCUGCCGUGUGACACAGUUACAGCAGUGCGGUAAAACUAUUCGACAUACUAUAUGAUACAAAAUCUCUUUUGAUCUGUGUUUGUUAAAUCAUUGCCUGACUUAAAAAGUUGCUUAUUAGUGUAAUUGUGUGUUUGUGGAAGUUGCAUUACAAGAUAUCUCUAAACAUUUCCUAAAAGUAUUAACCGCGAGUUAACCCUUAUGCGCAAGUGUACGUGUGCGUAUCUCUUUUCAUAUAUAUGUAAAAAAGAUAGGUAGAGGCUUCCCCUGCUGAUUUCCUUAAAAAAAAAACCUUGUGCCCAAGCAUCAUGCAUGGGUGCUGGGUUGAUCAUAUUUUAUUUGAGCUGCUGACACUCAUCCGCGUGAUAAGCAAUCAGAUAUCUUAAUAUGAUGGCCAACUUCUUUUCCCAUCCUUUCAACUCGUUUCGAGGACCAAGGCCCAGUAGGAACCCAAACAAAGGCGUGAAAACGUGAAGCACAAAAAAAGUGUUUGAGGAAAAAGAGAGAGAUUCCGUCACUAGCCCGCCUCUGAGUUCUGACUGUGACUGGGAUGGCAGUCCAUGCUUCUUCUUCUUCUUUUGAAACGAAAUGGCAGGCCAUGCUGCAAGCUAAACCAAGACCAAACCCUUAUCACUCAUUCAUACUACUCUUGACCGUCUCAGGUUUUAUAUAAAGCUCGCCAGAGCCUGCGGAUUCGGAGCACAAGAUCCAAGGAGCAGGGCAUCUAGAGAAGUACAGAAGUGAUCUCUUCCUGGAUUCUCUUAUACCUGAUCUGCCAUGGACAGCAACGGCGGCACGGCCACCGCUGCCGACAAGACGGUGCCACAGCCGCCACCGUCGACGGGGAAACUCAUCACCGUUCUGAGCAUCGACGGCGGCGGGAUCCGCGGCCUCAUCCCGGCGACCAUCAUCGCCUUCCUUGAGGCCAAGCUGCAGGCACGUGUUCAAAACCACCAUUUAAAUUGAGCACAUAGUACUGCUCCAACGAUGUCUUGUGCUCACCGCUCAUCCUGCGCUUGAUUUUAAUUAAUAUAGUCAAUCUUUGGUUUCAUUCAUGUGAUACAAUUUUUUUAUUUUUUUUGUUCGGCAGGAGCUGGACGGCCUGGACGCUCGGAUCGCGGACUACUUCGACGUGAUCGCCGGGACGAGCACCGGCGCCCUGCUCACGUCGAUGCUGGCGGCGCCGGACAAGAACAACCGGCCACUCUUCACCGCCAAGGAUCUCAACACCUUCUACCUCAAGAACGGCCCCAACAUCUUCCCGGAGAAGAAGUACGUCCUUGGUUAAUUCGACGAACACACACAUACCUGCACCUACCACAAGAGAAAUUCACACGUGCGUACAAAUUGUGUGGCGGCGCAGGGCCGGGUUCCUGACGCCGGCGGCGAAGCUCCUUGGCGCGGUGAGGGGCCCCAAGUACGACGGCGUGUUCCUGCACGACAAGAUCAAGAGCCUCACCCACGACGUGAGGGUCGCGGACACGGUCACCAACGUCAUCGUGCCGGCGUUCGACGUCAAGUACCUGCAGCCGGUCAUCUUCAGCACCUACGAGGCCAAGCACGACCCCCUCAAGAACGCUCACCUCGCCGACAUCUGCAUCAGCACGUCAGCGGCGCCGACCUACUUCCCGGCGCACUUCUUCACCACCAGCGACGGCAAAGGUGGCUCCCGGGAGUACCACCUCGUCAACGGCGGCGUCGCGGCCAACAACCCCACCAUGGCCGCCAUGUCCAUGCUCACCAAGGAGGUGCUCCGUCACAACCCGGACUUCAACCCCGGGAAGCCCUCCGAUUACAGGCACUACCUCAUCAUCUCCAUCGGCACCGGGUCGGCGAAGCAGGAGGAGAAGUACACCGCGCCGCAGUGCGCUAAGUGGGGUCUCCUCCAGUGGCUCUACAAUGGCGGAUUCACCCCGAUCAUCGACAUCUUCUCCCAUGCGAGCUCCGACAUGGUCGACAUUCACGCCGCCGUGCUCUUUGAGGCCCUUCACUGUGAGAAGAACUACCUUCGCAUCCAGGUGUUACAUUCUUAACUACAGUAUACGUGUUUUUUUUUAACCUUAAGUUGUUAUUUUCACAGCACAAAACAUUGAACGAUGUGUAAACACAUGUGGAUGUAGGAUGACUCGUUGACGGGGGACACGUCAUCAGUUGACAUCACAACCAAGGAGAACAUGGAGGCUCUGAUCAGGAUCGGCCAUGAGCUGCUCAAGAAGCCUGUGUCAAGAGUGAACAUCGACACGGGGAUGUACGAGCCUGUUAACGGUGAAGGAACGAAUGAAGAGGCGCUAGCACGCUUCGCCAAGAUACUCUCCGACGAACGCAGGCUACGGCAGAGCAAACUCAGCUCCAACUAGCUCUUGUUCAUAGCUACCUUGGUGCUUGCCAACAAGUUCAGCACAUGGAGCUGGAGUUGCAAAGUGGAUGAGAAUGGGAUGGGCGGUAGGUGAAGUGCUGAUCAUAAGUUCUUUUUAGUAAUUAAUCAAGAAACGUACAUGAAAGCAAUAAACUUGUAAGCAUAGGGUGAUGUAAGUGCUAACGUCUGUAUUACACAAACAGAUUAGUUCUCUAUGUGCUGACAGAUGUUAUAUAUGAAACUUGAUCCUAACAUACAUAUAGGUAGCACUUGGUUUUGUUUUAAAAUCAGGUGUGACAACUGCAUCACCGUUGGAUGCGGCCUUGUAAUAAUAACACCAUGGCACAACUCCUCGUGGGGUAGAAGCUGUUUUUUGUUCAGUUGGCUAUUCCAAAAUGAUAUUGUUUCAACGAACCAACUAAUGUUACUAGAAUGCAGGCCUUGUAGUAAUAACUAAUCUCACUCGUUGAGCACGAUUAGCUUAGUUUAUUAUUACUCCGAUGCGGACACCUCAACCACUCCGAUAUUGUCCGAUGCGUCUUCAUUUUUUUAGGGAGGUACAAAUCCACCGGCGAGCAAAUCCAGAGCCAGGUAACGCCGAGCAACCAUACACCGUGCCUACCAUGCCGGGCGAAGCUAUUCACGUCGUGAUGCUCCCCUGGCUCGCCUUCGGCCAUAUCAGCCCGUUCGCGCAGCUGGCGCGGAAGCUGUUCUCCGUCGAGGGCGGGCACAACAUCCGCGUGACGUUCCUGACGGCCGACGGGAACCUGCCGCGCGUGCAGGCCAUGCUGGCGCCGGCCGCCGGCGCGGCGGCCGUCGUGCCGCUACACCUGCCCCACGUGCCGGGGCUACCCGAGGGAGCCGCCAGCACGGCCGAGCUCACGGCCGACGGCGCCGAGCUCCUCAAGGUCGCCUUCGACGGCACUCGGGACCAGGUGUCGGCGCUGUUGUCCGAGCUCCGCCCGGACGCCGCGCUGAUCGACUUCGCCACCCCGUGGGUCACCGACAUCGCCGCGCCUCUUGGCAUCAAGGUGCUCUACUUCAGCGUGUUCUCAGCCGUCGCCUCUACCUACACCGUCGUCCCGGCGCGCCGCCUCCAUGGGGCGGCCCCGUCGGCCGGUGACUUCACGGCCGCCCCUUCCGGUUUUCCCAAGGGCUCCGCGCUAGCCACCAUUCCGCCCUACCAGGCCGCCGACUUAACCUACCUGUUCACCAGCUUCUACGGCCAGCCCUGCGUCUACGACCGUGUGACCGCCGGCAUCAAGGCCUGCGAUGCCAUCGUGAUAAAGACCUGCGUGGAGAUGGAGGGCCCCUACAUAAGUUACCUCUCCGCCCAGUUCGGCAGGCCAGUGCUUCUCGCCGGACCCGUCGUGCCGGAGCCGCCGCAGGGCCAUCUCGAUGAGCGGUGGGCCAGCUGGCUCUCCUCGUUCCCGGAGAACUCCGUCGUCUUCGCCUCGUUCGGCAGCGAGACGUUCCUACCGACAGCGGCGGCGACAGAGCUUCUCCUCGGCCUCGAGGCCACCAACCGGCCGUUCCUCGCCGUGCUCAACUUCCCCAAGGGAGCCGACACGGAGGCGGAGCUCCGGGCACGGAUCCCGCCGGGGUUCGAGGAGAGGGUGAAGGGGAGAGGCGCGGUGCACACGGGGUGGGUGCAGCAGCAGCACAUCCUGCAGCACCAGAGCGUCGGGUGCUACUUGAACCACGCCGGGUUCAGCUCCGCCGUGGAGGGGCUCGUAGCCGGUUGCCGGCUGGUGCUGCUGCCGAUGAAGGGCGACCAGUACCUCAACGCGGCGCUGCUCGCGCGAGAGUUGCGGGUUGGGGUGGAGGUGGCGCGCCGCGACGAGGACGGCUGGUUCGGAGGCCAGGACGUGAGCGAUGCGGUUGCCUUGGCGAUGGCGGAGGGAGGGGAUAGGGACGGGAGGAAGUGGAGGGAGUUCUUGACGGACGACGCCGUUCAGAAGAGGUUCGCCGGGGACUUCGUCCGGCAGCUCAAAGAGCUCGUCAGGGCAGCCUGACUCUAGCUCGUAUGUGCAAAAAUAGUUUGCAUCCUCUGUUGCACGGAGUACGGUUACCUGAAUGUAUGCUGUGUAAUUCGCUUCUUUUACAGCACGUGGCUACAAGCACUAGAAGUCUGCAACCAAAAACUCCUUAUUAAAAUACAAGCCUGUUCUGAUGACCCAAAUUUACUCUCACCUAAUUGUUCUUAGCUUUGGUUGAAUCAUCAUAGUUCUUCGUUGUUUAGGCCAGUGUGUAUACAUAUGUAAAGGGAUUUAUCUGAUGUUACGAUACUUAUCACCACGUACGAACUUGCAACCAAUACUCUUCCAAUUAUAUUUUUUUAACAAAAAUAAUAACUGGGUCAUCAAUAAAGGAGACCAUCUAAUGGCAUCCGCAGAUUCGUCGAGGAGAGAGAGCGCGCCACGGAAGUAAUUAAAAACGUUGAAUCGAUUUAUACACCUAAUGUUUUUUUUGAUGAAAUAGGAGGGGAAAGACCCCUGGUUAUAUAUUAUAUAUAAAAAAAAGAACAAACAAAAGGUGCUAAACGGUUCAAGAAACAAAGAAAGAGAGAAAAAAGAUCAUAAAGAUUACAAUGUAUGUUCUAGCCAUUCUAUCAUCGGUUGCUUCCAAUCCUCUUUUACGCGUAGCAUAACCUGCGUAAACACAACUUUGAAUCGCGACAUGGCACUAUGAACCGAUGGAGUGAUGCCCUGAAAAAUCCAGUCAUUCCUUUCCAUCCAAAUACACCAGCUCAUGAGAAUAAUGACCUCCAUGAAGAAUUUGACUUGUAGUUGAAUUCUGAAGCUAUUUAGGAUACUAUAGGGCUCUUGUGUCAAAUCUGUAAACAGACUAAUAUUAAUCCAACAUUCUUGCGCAAAGGGACAUUCCAAGAUAAGGUGAAAUAAAGUUUCUUCUAUGUCAUGCAUGCAUAAGACACAAGAGUAAGAAGGCAACUCCAUAUGCUUCCUUCGAAGAACAUUCCGUGUACUCAAUCUGUCUUUAAGAAGUAACCAGAAAAAGAACUUGUGUUUGCUUUGGCAUUUUGAUUUCCAAAGCCACCGAAAAACUGGAUGAACAUACUGAUGUCCCUUUAGUGUCCGAUAUGCUUUGGAUGAGGAGAAGUGCUGAUUGCCCCAAAUAUAUGUCCAUCUGUCUUGCUCAUCAUUUGUGGAGAUAAGAUCCAAAUCAGCAGCCAAUUGUAGCAAUUGAUUCAUGGCCAGUGGAGUGAGGGGCAGGGUGAAGAGAUGUUGUAAAUUUGUUAGCACAUAUGCCUGCCUGACAGAUAUGUCAUCCUUUCUAGUAAAUGAGUAUAGUUGUGGAUAUUCUUGUGCAGGAAUCUUAUUGUUCCACAGGUCAUGCCAAAGUAAACAUGUUAGCCCAUUGCCCACUGUUACUGUCGCUUAACCUUUGAAUUUAUCAAUGAGUUUGACAAUGUCACGCCACCAAAAAGAACCUUUUCUUAUUCGUCCUGGUAGCCUACCAGUAGCAUAGUGGUUCUCCCAAAUCAUACACCAGUAUACACCUAAUGUUAUGGCGCAACCAAGGAGAACAUGGAGGCUCUGAUCAGGAUCGGCCAUGAGCUGCUCAAGAAGCCUGUGUCAAGAGUGAACAUCGACACGGGGAUGUACGAGCCUGUUAACGGUGAAGGAACGAAUGAAGAGGCGCUAGCACGCUUCGCCAAGAUACUCUCCGACGAACGCAGGCUACGGCAGAGCAAACUCAGCUCCAACUAGCUCUUGUUCAUAGCUACCUUGGUGCUUGCCAACAAGUUCAGCACAUGGAGCUGGAGUUGCAAAGUGGAUGAGAAUGGGAUGGGCGGUAGGUGAAGUGCUGAUCAUAAGUUAUUUUUAGUAAUUAAUCAAGAAACGUGCAUUAAAGCAAUAAACAUGUAAGCAUAGGGUGAUGUAAGUGCUAACAUCUGUAUUACACAAAACAGAUUAGUUCUCUAUGUGCUAACAAACGUUAGGUAUAAAACUUGAUUCUGGUAUACAUAUAGAUAGCACUUGGUUUUGUUUUAAAAUCAGGUGUGAUAACUACAUCACCGUUGGAUGCGGCCUUGUAAUAAUAACACCAUGGCACAACUCCUCGUGGGGUAGAAGCUGUUUUUUGUUCUGUUGGCUAUUCCAAAAUGAUAUUGUUUUCAACGAACCUACUAAUGUUACUAGAAUGCAGGCGAUUUUUAUGGGUACUUAUUAGCUACGCUUUUAUUAGAGAUUGUUGCAAAGAGAGUAUCAACCAGAGGAUUUGCUGAAAGUUUGCCGAGCUUUGGAAGUCUUGGCAAUGCAAAUUUUUAUCGAGAUUGGCCGGCUGCAUAAUAAAAUAGAAUUUUCCCUAGUUUUGUGUCAUCAUACAACAAAAUUACAACUCUAUAAUAAUUUUGAAUAUUGUAUACAUAAUCUUGUACUCCCUCUGUUCCAAAUUGUAGGUCGUUUUGGAUGUUCUAGGUGCAUAAAUAUUAUUAUGCAUAUAGAUAUAGUGUAUGUCUAAAUUUAUAAUAAUAUCUAAUAAUCGAGAAAAGUUAAAAUAACUUAUAAUUUGGAAUGAGUAAAAGAUUGUAACCUAAUUCAUUUAUUAGAAAAUGAACAUUCGCUUAAUCAUUGCCCACAUGUGUUAUUGUGGCCCAAAAUUUAUUUGCUGGAAGAAAAAAAAUCAAAUAAUGAACAGGGAGCUCAAUAACUAAUCUCACUGGUUGAGCACGAUUAGCGUAGUUUACUAUUACUCCGAUGCGGACAGCUCAACCACUCCGCAUCGCAUCUUGUCCGAUGCGUCUUCAAUUUUUUAGGAAAGGAAGGCUUGUUUGGUUUAGCCACUUUUAGUUCUUAAAUGCCACAUAGAUGGAUUAAAAUAUGAGCUAAAGGGUUUAGGUGCUGUUUGGAUCACCAGUCCAUGACAAAUUUUAGUCUCUAAAUUUUAAUCCGAACUCUAGCCCUGUUAGGUUGUUUGGAUCCGUGGGCUAAACUUUAAUCUUUCAUCACACAAUGACUGAUUUGCCCUCAUUUAUUGAUUCCAUGCACUAUGCAAACUUUAGUCCAUACUACCCUCCUUUCUUGUUUCUCUUUUUCUCUUGUCUUCUUUUUAUUUUAUACUAUAUAUGAUUUCAUAUUUUGAAACGAAAAAAGAUUAAUAAAAAUAAUUAGUGGCUUGAUAUGUAGAUUAACCAAUUAUUUCCUAUUUUCUUUUUUUUUAAGCAAAUUUUUCAUCCCUUUCCAACCUUAUCUCCUCCACCUAUCCGAUCUCCUUCUUUCUUUCCUCCCAUCGCAGGCUCCUCCCCGACCACACCGCUCCGCUAGCAGCCUCCACGCUGCGCCCCUGCGUUUGCCACCGGCCACCUCAGCCCCUGCGCUCUGGUGCCUUUGCUCCAGCGCCCACCGGCCAGCCUCUCCUCCGCGGGCUGCGACUCGCCACCUCGCCCUCUGCACUCGCUGCUGGCCGCCUCUCCCAGGGGCCGCGCGACUGGGAGGAGACGGAGGAGCUUGGGCGGGGCGAGAGGGGCGGAGAGCGGGGUCGGCCGGCGCGGACGCUGCCGCCGGGGGCAGCAAAGGAUGGCAGAGGAGGCGGAGUCCGACGGCCCCGGCGCACCGUGGAUCAGGAUGUGCGAGUUCCGGUGCGCGCGCAGCGGCUUGGGCUCGGAUCCAGCAACAGCAGCGAGGCGGAGGCGGAGGAGCAGGUGGCGGCGCCGCGGGGCUGCCAAUGCGAGGCGGAGGCGGUGGCGACGUCGAGCAAAGGAGGCGGGACCGGGCGGAGCGUGCAGGGAGAGAUAGAGAGUGCGGGGAGGAGAGAGAGGGAAGGGGGGACCGGGGGUAUGGUGCGUCCAGCACCCACCCCAAGGAGUUUUAGCCCAGUUUAGGGCCUCUUGGGGAGCAAAAUUUUUUAGCUCAGAUUUUAGCUAUUUGCUCUCUUUAGCCUACCUGUUUGGAUCCCAAGAGCUAAAAAAUGAGCUAAAAGUGCAGAACUAAAAUUUAGCCCUUAGAUUCAAAUAGGCCCUUAGUCCUCCAGUCCAAUAGGGAUGGACUAAAGUGGACUAAAAUGCAUUGGAGACACCCCUGUCCCUCAUUUAUUGCCUCCCUCCCACCUGGCCCCCUCCGUCGGCCUCCCUCCUGCUGCCCUCUCACCCAGCCCCUCCCCCCCCCCCCCCCCCCGCCACCGACCUAGCUGCUGCAGGAGGCGGCUCAACUGGCGGCAGAGGCGGCGGGCCGGGGGUGAUGCAGGGGUGGAAGAAGUAGUAGAGGAGCGGGGGCGAACGAGGGAGGCAACGCGGCACCAGCGGCGGCAAGCUAGUGCGGCGCGGAGGAGGUCGGCCGGGGAGAGGAGCUGGAUGACUGUGCGGAGGAUGUCCUCUGUGAGGACAGUGGCCGUCGCCACCUGUGGCUCUACCUGCUGAAGUUCCACCGGUGGUGGCGGAGGGGGAGAACGAGGCGGAGGGGGAACGAGGUGGCGAUGGAAGGUGGAGGAGGUCGAGGCUAGGAGGAAGGAGGAGGAAGAGGAUAAUAUCAUCUUUGUUUAUAUGCUUUAAUGAAUUUUAGUAACGACUAAAGUUUAAUCCAUAAAUAACGGAGAUCAUAUCCUCCGCUCCCGACAAUGGUGUUCGUUGACCUUGAACAUUUGGUUUUCGUUGGUGGGUGUGAUCUAUAGUUAUUAUUUAUUACCGGCAGGAGGGACCCUAAAUAUGCAUGCCUCCUCGAUCCAUCCCAUAAAAAUACCCAGCUACAGCCAGUACCCACCCACCAAACCCAGACCAUGUCGGGCAGCGGAAAUGGCAGUGGCCGCGCCGGCGUUGCCACUCACGUCGUCAUGUUCCCCUGGCUCGCCUUCGGCCACAUCAGCCCGUUCGCCCAACUGACGCGCAAGCUCAUCUCCGGCGACGAGACGCUCCGUGUAACGUUCCUGACGGCCGCCGGGAACGUGCCCCGCGUCGAGGCGAUGCUGGCGGAGGCCGCUGGCGCGGUGGCCGUCCUGCCGCUGGACCUGCCAAGCGUGCCGGGUCUGCCCCCGGUCGCUGCGAGCACGGCUGAGCUCUCGGCCGACGGCGCCGAGCUUCUUAAGGUCGCCCUCGACGGCACCCGGCCGCAGGUCGCCACGCUCCUCGCGGAGCUCCGCCCGGACGCCGUGCUGUUCGACUUCGCCGUGCCGUGGGUUUGCGACGUCGCGGCGCCCCUCGGCGUCAGGGCGCUCUACUUCAAUGUCUAUUCCGCCGCGACCCUCGCGCUCACCGUCCCUGCGCGGUGUCCCGGUGGGCAGCGCCCGUCGGCGCACGAGCUCACUGCGGCGCCCGCCGGCUUCCCGUCGGACUCGCCGCUUGUCACGCUGCCGGCGUACCAGGCAGCCAACAUGACGUACGUGUUCGAGAGCUUCUACGGCAUGCCGAGCGCGUACGACCGUUUCAUCGAAUGCUUCAAGGGCUGCUUCGGCAUCGUCAUGAAGACCUGUGCCGAGAUGGAGGGCCCCUACAUCGACUACAUCUUGGCCCAGAUCGGCAAGCCCGUGCUCCUGGCCGGACCCGUCGUGCCGGAGCCACCGGAAGGCGAGCUCGAGGAGCGGUGGGCCAGCUGGCUCUCCUCGUUCCCGGAGAACUCCGUCGUCUUCGCCUCGUUCGGCAGCGAGACGUUCCUACCGGCAGCGGCGGCGACAGAGCUUCUCCUCGGCCUCGAGGCCACCAACCGGCCGUUCCUCGCGGUGCUCAACUUCCCCAAGGGAGCCGACACGGAAGCGGAGCUCCGGGCACGGAUCCCGCCGGGGUUCGAGGAGAGGGUGAAGGGGAGAGGCGCGGUGCACACGGGGUGGGUGCAGCAGCAGCACAUCCUGCAGCACCAGAGCGUCGGGUGCUACUUGAACCACGCCGGGUUCAGCUCCGCCGUGGAGGGGCUCGUAGCCGGUUGCCGGCUGGUGCUGCUGCCGAUGAAGGGCGACCAGUACGUCAACGCGGCGCUGCUCGCGCGAGAGUUGCGGGUUGGGGUGGAGGUGGCGCGCCGCGACGAGGACGGCUGGUUCGGAGGCCAGGACGUGAGCGAUGCGGUUGCCUUGGCGAUGGCGGAGGGAGGGGAUGGGGACGGGAGGAAGUGGAGGGAGUUCUUGACGGACGACGCCGUUCAGAAGAGGUUCGCCGGGGACUUCGUCCGGCAGCUCAAGGAGCUCGUCAGGGCAGCCUGACUCUAGCUCGUAUGUGCAAAAAUAGUUUGCAUCCUCUGUUGCACGGAGUACGGUUACCUGAAUGUAUGCUGUGUAAUUCGCUUCUUAUGUUUCCUUUUCCUACUUUGUGCUUUCUAUUGAUAAACUUGUGUCACUAUCGUACUGUCUUCCUCAGUCCUUAACAGUCGACCAUCUCAAUACAGGUUCUAUCACAUCGCAGGUGGGUCCUCUGUUAUAUAUCUUUCCUCUUCUUUUACAGCACGCGGCUACAAGCACUAGAAGUCUGCAACCAAAAACUCGUUAUAAUGCAAGCCUGUUCUGAUGACCCAAAUUUACUCUCACCUGGUUGUUCUUAGCUUAGUUGAAUCAUCAUAGUUGUUCGUUGUUUAGGCCAGUGUGUGUAUAUAUAUGUAAAGGGAUUUAUCUGAUGUUACGACACUUAUCACCACGAACUUGCAGCCAAUACUCUUCCAAUUAUAUUUUUUUAACGAAAAUAAUAACUGGAUCAUCAAUAAAGGAGACCAUCUAAUGGCAUCCGCAGUAGUAAUCUGAUUCGUCGAGGAGAGAGAGAGCGCCACGAAAGUAAUUAAAAACGUUCAAUCGAUUAAUACACCUAAUGUUAUGUGAACCCCAUGAAAAUACAAACUUGCAGCCAAUACUCUUCCAAUUAUAUUUUUUUAACGAAAAUAAUAACUGGAUCAUCAAUAAAGGAGACCAUCUAAUGGCAUCCGCAGUAGUAAUCUGAUUCGUCGAGGAGAGAGAGCGCGCCACGGGAGUAAUUAAAAACAUUGAAUCGAUUCAUACACCUAAUAUUAUGUGAACCCCACGAAAAUAUAAAAAGUAGCCACCGCUCUUCCCUAUCAUCCAUCCGCCGCCUCUUCCUCCAUUCUAAUUUCCUGGGGAUGGUCAUAUGAAUUGAUCGUGAAUGGCCACUAACCAUGCAGCAUCAAUCUUUUCAAAUACGGGGAAAAAUAAAAUAAUUCCCUCAUGCGGAAAUUAUCCGCAAUAUCUUAUAUUAAAGAGCUGACCUUUUCAAGUACUUUUUCUGCACUUCAACUUUGAGUUGAUCAGGCUCUCCUUUUCUUUUAUAGAUAUAUAAUAGUUCUGAACUAAUUGUUGAAAGUUUACACUUUAGUUAAGACUUCGAAAUUGAGGUUGAAACUUGAGCACUCUUGGGAGCAUAGAUCUUGCCAGUUCCUCGCAAGCAUCUUGUCUACUGUCAAGGUCUGGAUUUGCACCAACAACCAAGCAAAGAACUUGUGUUUGGUCUCAAUGUGUGCCUUCCAAAUAGUGUCUGCAUCAACUGUGGUGUAUGUAAUUGCAAACUGUACUUCAUAAGCAGAUUUGGCAGUAUAUUGUCCAGUAGGUGUCCAUCUCCAUGUGAUCCUAUCCUCUUGGUCAUUGAAUUGGAUCUCCUGCACCAAAUCCUAUAGAGUUACGAAUUCUGCCAGUUCUUCCAUCGUUUGCAUUCUCCACAGGCCUCUUGUCCAAUUUAGUUCAGUUGUGUCUUCUCUUAGAGUUCUAUUUUUCCUCCAUGCAAGCUUGUAAAGUCUUGUACUAUAUCUCGAGGUGCUUUUCAAUUUGCCCAAGCACACUACCAGAAUGUUGCUCUAUUCCCAUUGCCCAUUGUCACUAUUGUGCUUGCUCUGAAGAGUUGUUUGUCUGUUUCAUCACAUGGAGUUUCUGAGCUGACCCAUGGUCUUUCAGGCUCCGUCCAUUGGUACCAUAGCCACCUUGACCUUAGUGCUCUACCAAAAGCAAGUUCUAGAAUUCCAAGCCCCCCCAAGCUGUUUAGGAAGCACUGUCUUCUGCCAUCUAACCAACCAGUGCCAACCAUUUGCCUGAUCAGACCCUUUUCAGAGGAAAAUUCUUCUUAUUCUGUCUAUCUUCUUAAUAGCCCAUUUGUUCUAUUUGAACACAGUGACAAAGUAUAUUGGGAUUGAAGACAUUACUGUCCUGACAAGUGUCAGCCUUCCUGCUUUGUCCAGCAACUUUCCCUUCCAAUUCUGUAAUUUUCCUACCACCUUGUCAAUGAGUGGUUGCACUUGCACUCUAGUCAAUUUCCUCAAAGUGAGUGGCAACCCUAAGUAUUUGCAUGGUAAGGUACUAAUCUGGCAGGGAAACUCUCCAUGACUGUUUGAAGUUCAAUAUGCUCACAUCUGAUUGGGUAAGCAGCAGUUUUGUUGAUGUUUAUGUGGAGGCCUGAUGCAAUACCAAAAAUUUGAAAGAUCAUGUUGACCACUUCAAUCUCCUUCCUGACUGGAUUAAGAAAAAUGGUAGCAUCAUCUGCAUACAGGCUUGCUCUGAAGGUUGAUACCCUUCCUUGAAUUGGUGACAGGAGAUGUUGUUCUUCAGCAAAAACUAAUAGCUUUUGCAAAGGCUCCAGUGCCAAUAUGAAUAGCAUAGGUGAUAGUGGAUCUUCCUGUCUCAAUCCAAUCCUGUGUUUAAAUUUGUGUGUUUGUGCACCAUUUACAAAGACUAAAGAUGUUGCUAUGUGGAGCAAAAUUGAAACCCAUUGUCUCCACCUAGAUCCAAAUCCUAUCCUCUCCAUCAUUACCAUCAAGUAAUCCCAUCUGACACUGUCAAAAGCUUUAGCAAUAUCUAGUUUCAGGAAUAUAGUUGGCCUUCCUGCUCUUUGCAUUUCUCUUAUGAAAUUUUGUGUGAAAAGGAAAUUGUCAUGUAUACUUCUCUUUUUAACGAAUGCACUUUGAUUCCUGGAGACUAGCUUAUUUAGGACCAAGGAUAGUCUUGUGGCGAGUAUCUUGGAAAUUAUCUUAGCUAUACUACUUGUGAGGUUAAUUGGCCUAAAAUCUGUCACCCUUGCUGCAUCACUUGUUUUUGGAAUGAGGUAGAUCUGUGCUGAAUUUAGGACAUUGAAGUGAUGGCCAUGUAAAGUAAAGAAGUACUAAAGAGCUAACAUACGAUCCUCUUUUAUCACUUCCCAAUAUUUUUUGAAGAAGAUGCCAAUGAACCCAUCUGGCCCAGGAGCCUCUUCAGAUUUUAGAUCCAUCACCACCACUUUUACCUCCUCUUCUGUGAAAUCCUCUUCUAGAAUCUGCAAAUUGUGUCUCUGUAUAUUUAGGAUCUCCCAAUUUUGUGUUUCAUGUCAUGGUUCCUCCCUGCCAAGGUUGUCCUGAAAAUGUCUGAAGAUGGAUUGUUCUUUAUCAGCCAGUAGGUGAACACUGCCUGUAUGUGUUUGUAGUGACUGUAUAAAUUUUUUUCUUUUCUUCCCUGUGACCCUUAGGUAGAAGAACUUGGAAGUGGCAUCACCAGCUUCAAUGUAAUUAAUCCUAGCUUGUUAUCUGAUCCUGAUUUUCUCAAAGGCAGUCAUAGCCAAAUAUCUAUUUUUCAAAUCUCUUGAGUAGCAACUCAUCUUCACUCGGACUUCUAUAUUCCUCUACCACAUCAAGGAUCUAGAUCAACUGCCUAGCUACUGUCAGUAGCAAUUUGUUAAUCCCAAUCAUUGAUUUUGCCCAAUUCCUUAAUCUCUUUGAUGUUCUUUGCAUCUUUGUGUGAAGUCUUAGGUAAGGGCUAUGCAAAGUGACAGGCUUUCCCCAUAUGUCAGCCACCUCCUGUGUGAAACCUCUGAUUUGUGUCCAGAAUGUAUCAAGCCUGAAGCCUUUGUAUGUUUAAAUGGCACUAUCAGCAGUAAUUAGCAAUGGACAGUGAUCAGAGACCAAGGAGGAUUGAGCUUGGAGUAACACAUUUGGCAACAUGCAUUCCCAAUUAACAUUGCAAAAAACUUGAUCUAUUCUUGUAUGUGUGACAUUGUUUGUCCAAGUAUAUCUUCUUCCUCUUAGAUUCAAUUCUCUCAGCUCAAGAGCCUGUACCACAGCUCUAAAUGCUCCCAUUAUCCUUUUGUUUAUAUUGAUGUUGUUUUUGUCUUCUUCUUGCAGUAUCAUGUUGAAAUCUCCCAGGAAUAACCACUUGUCAGAUAUCAUCCCUGCUAUUUGCUUGAUCUCUUCUAGGAAUUGUAGUUUGCCACUGUCCCCUUGGGUCCAUACACCACUGUCACUCACCAAGUUACUAGAAUGGUUGUUGCCUCAAGACAUGUAGUGAUAGAAUUGUUUUUGAUGAAAUAUUCUUUGAUAUUGUAGUAAUCCUCAUUUACUGCUAGUAGGAUGCCCCCUCUAGUGCCUUGUGUAGGUAAAUAAGCAUAGCUUCUUGAGAAUUUUUGGCCAAGAUAUUCAGAUUCAAGAAUGUCACUGAAUUCCUCCAUCUUGGUUUCUUGGAUGCUUAUUAUGGUGCUACAUGUAUCUUGUACAAGAUCUUUUAGUACUCUCCUUCGUGUUGUGCCAUUCAGGCCUCUCACAUUCCAGUUAAGGAGGACACAUUUUUGUUCAUUCAUUGGAAACAACUUUGCUCAAGAACACUGUAUUCUAUGAUGGCCUCCCUUUUCUGAGUGUUGUCUGCACCCUCUGUAGCUCCAUCUUGCUUUGCAGCUGAUAUUGUCAUCUGAAAGCAUAAGACCCAUCCAUCUCCUCCACCGAAACACACCUAGACCGACACACACCCACACACACCAACACACACAUUUGGAUUGCUUGAUUAGCAGGUUUCUUCCUCUAGUGCCAAAGCACUAAGGGUAUCAUCUUCUUCAGUUUGUGUGAGGCUGAAAGUUUCUCUGAAAUUAGCCACCAAUUGCUUCUUCAAUGGGUCCACAAACUGCUCCCUGAACAUCUUGUGAUCAGUUUGAUCUACCACUUUGCCUUCUUUCGGUGUUCCACACUUCUUCAUUAGCAAUGCCAUAGCAUGUUCUUCUAUAGUUAGAGUUGUCUUAGGCUCGUCUGCAAUUCUGUUACUGCGCCUGAUGGACUCAAAUUCCUUCUUGUUGUUGUUGCCUUCGGCAUUUUCUUUUCCUCUUUUCUAUUUAAUGCUCUUCUUUUGUUGCUUAGCUUCCUUUUUUUGGUGUCUUAGGUGUGGCUAGGAUCACCUCAGGGAGCUUCCUAGCAAUCAACGUAGGUUAAACUGAAAUUGAGGCAUUUGCAUUGACUGUAGCUCAUCCAGCACACUGGUUUUCAAUUUCAGGGUUUUGCUUCUGUGUUGUUAAGGUGGAUCUGCAUAGAUCAUUCUGAUCUUAUUUGUCCCCUUGUCACCUUCAUAGCCCCUGGGCCCCAUUUUGUCUAUUGCAUUGAUAGUCUGCUCAAGAUUAUUAACAUGAUCCUGUUCCUGAUCCACUGCAUCUUCUAACUCUAUUAUUGCCGAAUUUACUAUCUUUGUUGCUGCUUGCUAGUGGCUAGUCUGUUGAGGGUGUCCCUUAUCCUUGCUACUGUCUCCUUGAUCUUGCUCUGUAGCAACGUGCUGCCCUUCUUGCUCUCUUGUUUUCCCCUUUUCAAAACCAUUGCAUCCAUCCUUUUGCGUGAGCAUCAGUGCAGCCUCGUCUGCCAUUGGGUCAGCUUUGUUGUUGUUGCUGCUUCUUUCAUCAGAAUGGAACAGAAGCAGCUACUCUUGGCUGGAGCCUGUUUGACCUUCCUCGUUGGGUUGGUAGUAUCCUGAACUUCUGCUCCUGUGUGAGCACUGUUCACGGUCACGGGUACUGCCCCAUCUCUUCCAUGAAAGUGAUGGCCAUAGCCACCGCGCCUGCCUCCUUGGCUAGAACUGCCCCCAAUGAAGCCUCUCUAUUCUACCAAAUUCAAAUCAUGCAUGCUCAGCGGUGGCUGCUGCAUCGGUGGUCGACCACGGCCACCCCCACCUGCCGGCGGUGAUCUGUCCCGCCUACCUCCGAGCCUUUCUUGAACUAGGAUUCUUCGGUGAGGAACUUGAUCAUUCGAGAAGCCGUAAUACCAAACAAAAUGAUGUUUGAUAGGCCAUUCAUCCUCAUACAAAUCCUCGGGCAAUCCACUGACACCACUAUGAUAACUUCUUUCUAACGGACUAGAAGGCAAAGGUGAAUAAUCAAACACACGAUCCAGGUGGAUAAUAACCUCAUAGUUAAGCAUCUCAGCCGGCCCAGUUCUGAUAGCGGGAAGUUCAAACUCUCCCAUUUGCCAAUAGUAUUCUUCAGGGUAGGUUAGUGGUUCUGCUAUCUUCAAAGUGACAGUCUUUGCUAAGCCGUCAGGGUUAAAGGUCCACACCCAAACACAUAGGCAGUCCCUCUCUUGCUCAGUGUCAUCAUCAGUAUCAAAAUCUUCAAUGAACGUGGUGGAGUUGAACAAUCUAGCUACUGUGUCUACUUGUUGGGCAUGCUCAGGAAUCCCUUCAAUGCACACUUUGGCUCAGUAACGGAGUUUUGAUGCCGAAGCACUAACCUGUCUUGUCCAAGGCAGGAGCCAAAGAGUAGUUUGCCCAGCGCACAAGCCACCAAGCCACAAUGUCGUCGUGUGCUGCUCCGGCGUGGAGAAGUGAAGCAAGAACGUGGACGUCGUAAGGUGUUUCACCCCCAAAUCUUGCUCCCUGGUGCCACUCCCUCCAAGUUGUUGAAGGACAUCCCGGUGCACAACCUGAGCAGAGAGCUUGGCCCUUCCGUUCAUCUGAAUGCUGAUGAGAGCCGUCAACGAAAGCUGCCUCUCUUCCUCCCUUGCAGCUACAGUCCUCUGCACAUAGACCGAAACAUGGUCUGGGCGCCUGCUCGCCUCCCUGGGCACGAGCUCAGGUUCCAUGGCUGCCUUCCCCACCGCCGGGUAGGUUCGGGAUGUGGGCGGAAGGCAUGUUCGCUCUGGUUGCUUGCAAUGCAGAGGGGAUGUGGAGGUGGAUGGUGUGGUGGCGAUGGCGGCAAAGGUGCGGCGGCCAGAAGAUGUAGCUUUUGGUGUCACUAGCUAGUGAGCGGUGUAGAGGGGGAAAGCUGGAUCUAUUGAGCGGCGGGUGGAAGGGGGGCGAGCUGCAGGACAGGAAGGCGGGCAAGCUCGAGCGGCGGAGUGAUAGUGGCGCACCUUGUGGCCAAAACGCAGGUAGAGUAUGCACCGUGACGGGUCACGGCAUUCGCCGAUGCGGUGGUUAGAUGCAAGGCAGUUGAAGCAUCUAUUACCUGUCGUGGCUUUGAGCAGCGAGAGCCAUUGGUCAGUGGUGUGCAGCGCCAGAGCUUCAACGCGUUCCAGGCAGUGCGCGUCUUGAAGGCAACUAUGCCCCGCCCCCAUCCUUUGCAGACUGAGACGACACGUCUUCUCGCCGGUGUCUUUCUUCUCUCUUCAUGCAGCUCUUGCUUUGCUUGUGCUGAUGUGUGGCGAGGGAAUCUCGGCUUGAAUGUCCUAGGUUUGAGUAGGACGUCCUUGUAGGAGAGCUUGUGAGUGCUUGAUCUUAUCAGCAGCGAGGGAAUCUGGCGAAAUGGUGCCGCUGUGUCCUUGCUCGUCCCUUCUUUGGAUUCCUUCUCCUCUCUGUCUUUCGCCGUUGCUCCUUCCUCUGUCUUGUUCAGCUUUGCAUUGAAACGCUAAGAGCAUGGGCUCUUGUCCUCCGUCUCCAAGCAGUAAAGGAGGUCCAAAGCUUCUGCCGCUGAGCCGGCGACCCAGGGAAUGUGGCAGGUUGCGAUGUCGAUUUUGUGAGGUGGCUAGGUGUGGUUGGAGUGCUGUGGUGGUUGUGCUGUGUCGCCGGCGAGGUGCCGAGCGGCGGUGGUGCAUCGGUGGGAGCGAGGUGGGCGGGGCGAGCGGGGUGCUCCAUCGGAGUUAUCGAUCGUGUUUGCAUACGUAGGUUUGGCGGCACCGGCAGAAACCGUCGCUGAAGGUCUUCAGAAGCACAAAAGACAUGUGUCUCUACAGUAGGAUACUCCAAAGCUAUAUGAAUCUUGAUUUCGAAAGUGAGUUAGAAAUCUGUACAAACUUUUACAAAAGUCGGAACGGUAUCUUACGUGGUUCAUGACUGCCACCUUUGAUCAGUUUACAUGUCAUUUUGGUCCACGUAAGAACCAAGAUCACAUGGCACUUGGAUAUACUUAAAUAGCCAGCCGUGUCCACAUUGAACAACCUGUGCACAUCUUGAGCAUGACACGUGCAUCGUCUUCAACCUACCACAAAUACAUUUUCACAAUUGAAGUCGACAUCUUACCAACUUAAAUCAUGGAUGAACUGUGAAUGUCAAAACCUUCACGGAACAUGAAAAUUAAAGCUCAACGGGAGAUAUAUGUUCAAAUAGACAAGUUUUCGUGAUCAAAAUAAAGGAUCAUCGUGUACAUCCAGACCUAAAUUAUGUUAAAAAAAACGUCUGCAUGACCCAUGCACAUGUAAAUAAACCUGUUACUCAUUGCUUUGUGACCUAGCUUUGAUCAAAAAAUCAUUCCCUUCUGAUGUGAUCCAUUAUUUCUAUUAUUUGCGUGAUACGAACCCAUCCUCUUAGUCAAUUUUGGAUGGCCAUCAUCGAGAUUGUGCCACUGCCCAUGCUCCUCGAACAACCUGCCAGUGUGGGAUGUGUUGAGGGUGUGUCACACAUGCAGGAUAUUAUUAUAGACUACAGUAGAGGAUUUUGUGGCAACAUAGCUUUAUCAUUGGAAGGAUGAGUUUUUGGACGUCUAAACAUUUCAAUCCCGUUGCCACGAGUAGCGGAUUCGAAUCAAGAACUCUUCCAUUCUGAAACUUUUGGCGAAAAAUUAAAUGUAUACCUGUAGUACUAGGGAAUAUCUUGGCCUGAGCUUAAUUGAAAGACAUUGAGUUUGUACCCACCAUUUCUUUUUAGCACAAGUUCAGUGUACGAAGUGAAAUGAGAUCAGUGUACGUACUCUUAAAAAUGGAGGGUGCCAGAUCUUGUCAUCUAUAGUGUCUGAUAUGAUCCUAGAAUUUACAGCUGCAGAGGUCCACUUACGGCUGUUGGCUUGAAUCGCCCAAACUAAAGCUCAAAGAAAUUGAUGUACUAGUGUGUUGUUUUCUAGCAUCACAGACCUCAUCUGAUUUUUCCUUCUUAGUCAGGAUCGUACGUCAUUGCCCAUUCCUCAUCUUGCUGAUCCAAGAACUCAGUUUAUUUCAACGCUUGCUUCAACAGCUAGCCUCCAGGUAUGGAAGCAUUCACAUCAUGUUACCACAUUCAUCGCCGCUGAAAACAAUGCCUUCUUGAAAGCUUGGCUAGGGAUUUAAGAAAUCGCCGGUAUUCACAUCCUUUAAUCAACCACAGCCUCCACUGGGCAUGGAGCAAACAGAUCGAUAAUAUAUACUAAUAAUCUUCUCCAAUCUCAACGGCAUUAUUAUCAGCAUGUGAUAUGUACUUUAUUGACCCAUUCCUGCCAGCCGAUCUUCAUAUCAGAGCUCACAGACUCCUAGUACAACUAGCUAACUGUGUGACAAAAUGCAAUGCAUGUGAACUGGGCCACGUGUCAGCCUGCCAUCUUGAGCAAUUGAUUGAUUCCCCUAGUGACAAUAUCAUUAUGGCCAUGCAUAAAGCUAAUCAAGUUCAUUAUUUAAGUGCAUAAUUCAUAUUUUUUAUUUGAUCAUGUAAACACUGGAGAUGUCUAUUGGGAUUUGGAACCCCGAACAGAUAAUAGAGAGAGGGAGAAGGGAGGAAACAAAUCAAUUAAAAGUGAGACAAAUGAAUAUGUGGCAAAAAGUCCUCUCCUCCAAGCCCUAUGGCUCUAUUUAUAGGGAGGAGGAGGUAACUAUUUAUAUUAAUUCCAUUGGUGGGGUCGAAUAUGACAGAUAGGUCCCUGGACUUGACAAAGAGAUUUCUGAACGUUACAACUGAGUCUCUAACCCUUACAAAUAAGCCCUUGGAUCCUAUUUCGAGUCUCUUUUACACAUAGGGGGGUUCCUAGCCUUAGUCCACUUAAGGUGCACCCCAACAAUGUCGAUUGAUCAUGUACAACAGGAAAAAUAUAGGCAUCGAAGCGCAACUGAUUUAGUCAAGCUGAGUUGUUCUCUAACUUAUCGCAAAUUUUAACCUGGACCGUUGCUGCACUGCGGCCUUGCCUACUUCAAAUUCACCAAGCAGUACAUGCAGUUAUUGUUAAACAUAUGUAUAGAAAACAAGUUAUGCAUUUCAAUGAUUGUAAGCUUGAACUUAUGCAAAACACAUGACAAUACAAAGAAGACACUGAAAUUGAAAGAUCGAUGUAAAUCCACUACAAGUCAUUAUACUAGUUUACAUUGGCCGAUAUGCUGUUACUUGGCCCAUAGAAGCCCAUGUAAAAUACUGAAAUCCACUAGAAGUACAUUGUUUGUAAAAAAUAGUGCAUUGACCAUGAACUUCCUCAGACAUGUUCCUUGUGAUGAUAGUACGCCAGCUUGUAACACCUGUAGGGCUCAUUAGUAGUCGGACCAAGUUGCCUAUAUAAAAGUUACUCUCGAAAUAAAAGUUUAACGCCUUUUUGUAAAGUGUAAAUUUGUAAAUGUUAUGUUAUGUGUGUCCACUUAACUACAGUCGGAUAUCGUGUUAACUUUUUAAUCAGGAAUCAACUGCGUUCCAGGACCGCGGCCAACCAGAAGCCCAAGGCAUGAAACAGGAAGCAUACAGAAUAUGUGCAGGAAAGAGACGCUGCAAGGAGUGGUCAGCUCUGGUUUAUAAAUAGGUCGCCGUCGCCUUCAGAUCGGGAAGAGCACAUGAUCCAAGAGGAGCAUCUAUUAAAGUGAUCUCUCUUCUACUUGAUCUCCGUUCUUGUCCCUACAGCGAAGGGUGUGGUUCAGCUCAGCCCACCCAAAGCGGGGUUGCUUGUGCUACAACUCACCAUGGCCAGCGGCACGACCGCCACCGCCGACACGACGGUGCCACAGCCCCCGCCGUCGCAGGGGAGGCUCAUCACGGUGCUGAGCAUCGACGGCGGCGGCAUCCGGGGGCUCAUCCCGGCCACCAUCAUCGCCUGCCUCGAGGCCAAGCUCCAGGUACUAUACCUGCAAGCAGCAAUUCAAACACAGUUCACAAACCACAGCUUUUUUUUCCUUCAGAAUUGCACCUGUCGCACUAUACGUACGCUUUGUUUGUAAGCUUGAGCUGAUGAACAUCUGGUCAUGCGAUCUCGAUGCAGGAGCUGGACGGCCCGGACGCUCGGAUCGCCGACUACUUCGACGUGAUCGCCGGGACGAGCACCGGUGCCCUGCUCACGUCGAUGCUGGCGGCGCCGGACGAGAACAAGCGGCCGCUCUACGCCGCCAAGGACCUCACCACCUUCUACCUCGAGAACGGCCCCAAGAUCUUCCCACAGAGGAAGUAAGCAGUCAGAGAAGUUCGUUCUCACUCCAGGCAAAUCUCACAUGACGAUUGGUGUUCCAACAAUGUUGCUCUUGUUGCCUCUGCAGGCUAGGCUGGCUGACGUCGGCGAUGAACCUCGUGGGCACGAUGAGGGGCCCCAAGUACGACGGCGUGUUCCUGCACGACAAGAUCAAGAGCCUCACCCACGACGUGAGGGUCGCGGACACGGUGACCAACGUCGUCGUGCCGGCGUUCGACGUCAAGUUCCUCCAGCCGGUCAUCUUCACCACGUACGAGGCCAAGGCCGACCCGCUCAAGAACGCGCACCUCUCCGACAUCUGCAUCAGCACGUCGGCGGCGCCGACCUACUUCCCGGCCCACUUCUUCACGACCGACGACGGCAAGGGCGGGUCCCGGGAGUACCACCUCGUCGACGGCGGCGUGGCGGCCAACAACCCGACGAUGAUCGCCAUGUCGAUGCUCACCAAGGAGGUGCUCCGCCGCAACCCGGACUUCAACCCCGGCAAGCCCACCGAGUACCGGAACUACCUCAUCAUCUCCGUCGGCACCGGCUCCGCCAAGCUCGCCGAGAAGUACACGGCGCCGCAGUGCGCCAAGUGGGGCCUCAUCCAGUGGCUCUACGAGGGCGGCUUCACCCCCAUCAUCGACAUCUUCUCCCACGCCAGCGCCGACAUGGUUGACAUCCACGCGGCCGUCCUCUUCGAGUCCCUCCAUUGCCAGAAGAAUUACCUCCGCAUCCAGGACGAUUCUCUGACGGGUGACGCGUCGUCGGUGGACAUCGCGACGAAGGAGAACAUGGAGGCUCUGAUCGGGAUCGGCAAGGAGCUUCUCAGGAAGCCGGUGGCGAGGGUGAAUAUCGACACGGGGAUGUACGAGGCCGUCGCCGGCGAGGGCACCAACGAGGACGCGCUCGCACGCUUCGCCAGGAUGCUCUCCGAGGAGCGGAAGCUACGCAAUAAGAAUCUCAACUCCUACUAGCUUUAAUCUACUGCUUCUCUGCUGUUAUAUUACUCUGCUCUUGGAAAUAGUAAGUUGUUGAAGGACAGAGAAGAGGAAGAACAAGUGCCAUGUGCCUAUAAAGUUAAAAUACUACUGCUUCUGGUCUGCAUCCACAUCUGGUGUGUAUGAUCACCGAUAACGUCGUAAAAACAAAUGAAAAAGAGAUUGAUAUGAAAGUAAUUUUGGAGAUGAACGGUGAAAUUUUCAUGUGACUAGCUCUAUGUUACCUUUUUAUACUAGUAUCUAGUUUUUUUUGAGAGAGAGAGAGAGAGAAAUACUCCAGCCAACAAUUAGUAAGGGAAUGGGCAUUUGGCCCGGGUUAACUGACCAAUGGGCCUCCAAACAUCACCAAUGGGCCCUGCAGGCUGGGCUGUGGAUUCAUUUCUCACGCCCACCGAUCCGGUCUUUGGGUAAGUUCUUUAUCCUUUUGUCCUAAAAAAAUGGAACGGCUGGCCAAUGAUGAGAAACUGGCCAAUGUUUUCCAUCCUCUUUGAAUGAAAUCUAGCAGGGACCAACAGUCUAGACCGUACCUGAAGCGUUGCAGGAGUGUUCACAGAAAUAAAGAGAGGCACUGCACUGGUCAAAGUUCAGAAAAACAUGAGUGCAUGUGCAUGACCACUCGUGCACACAUAUAGGCCCACUCUUUCUUCUUGAAAGCGUUAGCAGAUGCCGCAGCUGCUGCACAAGCACUGCUCAAGAUGGACGCCGUCUCACUCAUCUAUGCACCUUCAAUUUAGUCCAAAAAGAAACAAGAGCUUAUAUCCCAACUCACUGAUCUGAUGCACCUUCAAUUGAUUUACUCCCUCCAUCUCAAAAAAAAAAACUAGUCGUUCUAGUUUUAUCAUAAGUCAAACAUUUUUAAAAGUUUGAUCAAGUUAUUAAAAAAAGUGCCAAUAUUUAUGACACUAGAUAAAUUGAACAUGAAGUGUGCUUUCAUAAUAUACCUAUUUGGUAUCAUAAAUUAUUAAAAAUUGAUACUUUUCUCUAAAGAUUUAGUCAAACUUAAGAAAAAUUGACUUAGAACAAACUAGAAAAACUUGUUAUUUUUGGAACAGGAGGAGUAGACAACUGAAUAAUUUUGUUCCGACUUCUGAGGGCCUAGAGAAAACUUGCAAUCCUCGACAUACAUGUGCAUUCAUGCCGUCGGCCUGUUCGCUUCAGCUUAUUCAGCCGGCUUAUCAGCCACCAAACAGUAUUUUCCUCUCACAACAAAUCAGCCGUUUCAGCUUUUCAGCCGGCUUAUAAGCUGAAACGAACAGGCCCCUGUUUCCUGUUUACCUUUAGCGUACAAUUCUUGCUAGUGAAGAGUGAAGACAUGCUUUGCACUUCUAGAUUAACCAUGUAGCACGAGAGGGAAGAGAGAUAAGCAAAAAGAGAUGUUACGCUCGUGUAUCAGCACUACUGCAGAAUGUUUUAUCACAGCCGUCUCUAAAGUGUCCAUCACAGUCGGUUUUUAUUCGUCAGAUAAAGGUCAAUUGUGAUGGGUACACCAUCACCACCGGACUUAAAAUUGGUUGUGAUGCCAAUUAAAAAAAAAGCAGCAUGCCACAACCCACCGACCACGCCUCCCGCGACUCACCAGCCGCCACGCCUGCCACCGUUGCGGCCCCGCUGGAUCCCGCUGGCGCCCUCCUAUCACAAUACACAGAGACAUGCACCUUGGACUACACCUGUGUGAUGAUGCCCACCGCCACUGCCCGCCAGAUCCGGGCUGUGCCCACCCGCUACUGCCCGCUGUAUCCGGGCUAUGCCCAUCCGCUGCUACCCGCCACAACCUCUGCGCUCCCCCACCGUGCGUGGGGUCGCCUCACCUCAUCCCACCGCCUCUCCUCACUGGCGUCACAAUGAGGGGCGUGCGAAGGGGAGAGGGGAGGGGAAGGGCACCUAAAAUGGGAGGAAGGGAAGGGACCGUGGGAGAGAGAGGUGGAAGGAAGGGAGGCGCGCAGCUGCGCGGGGAGAGAGAGAGGUGGAGGGGAGGGAGGCGUGGGGAGAGGGAGAGGGGGUGUGCGAACAAGGCAGAGGGGAGGGUGGCAGACAGGAGAUUUUAUUCAUCUGGAUGUAUAAUAUUUUCAGGUCCGGAAGUACCACCAGUUUGUAAUACAAACCGGCUGUGAUACGACACUAUCACCACCCGUUCUACCUUUUAUCGUUAUUUUGUAUUACAAUCGGGUUGUGAUAGGCUAUCACUGCUGGCCCAUGCAAAACCGGCUAUGAUGAUCCAGUUGUGAUAGCACAUCCUGUAGCAGUGCAGCCCCACAUGGAUGGCAAUGAGUUUUGUAUAAUUGGAGUUUGGACGUCCGUAUCUCUGCCACAUCAAAUCUCAUUGUCGUCAGGUUCUCAAUAACCAAGGCCAUUUUUUUAGUCUGGGAAAUAUACUGUUAGUGUAAAAGAUUCCUGACACUACUAAAAAAUUGAUCUCUCAUCUUUAGCCUUAGUACCGGUUAUUUUUGGAUCCGGUACUAAUGUUAGUAUUAGUAUCGGUUCCAAAUUUGGGAGCCCCCGAAGGCCCUCCAGUACCGGAUGGUGGCUCCAUCUCUAGUACCGGUUGGAGCCUUCACCCUCUAGUACCGGUUGGAGCCUCUAUUUGGUACUAAAUCCUUUAGUACCGGGUGAAGGCUCCAACCGGUACUAGAGGGUCACCCUCCGUUACUAGAGCCCUUCCUCCGUCCAGCGCCAAAAAAAUUUCUCUUUUUUCCUCCGUCCUGCACCUUAUUUGCUCACGCGCCCCUCCGCCCGUGCCUUAUCUAUGCUCCUGCGCAUGCGCCAUGUGCCCAAGUCCCCAAGCGCCUCUUCCUCUUCUUCUUCCCAAGUCCCCAAGCACCUCCUCCUCCUCCUCUUCUUCUCCUUCACUGCCAAGCACCGCCCAAGUCUUCUCCUCCUCCUUCCUCCUCUUUCUCCUUGAUGGCCGGCUGCAGGCGGAGCGGUAAGAGAAGGGGGGGCAGAGUGGGCGGAGGAUGCCCGGCGGCGAGGCAGCAGGGGGAGGGGGGCUUGGCAGAGGAGGGGUGGGGGAAGCGGUGAGUGAGGUGGUCGGGCGGGAGGGGGAUUGCGGGAGGCGCCAGCAAGGGGAAGGCGGGAAGUUUGGGGAGUCCGGGCCCGGAUGUUGGGGUUGAGGUAAGAGGACCCGCCGACCAGGUUGGGGGCUUCUUGGCGGGGGAGGGGCCGGCAGAAGGUGGGAAGGCAGAGUCCUAGCCGGGGGGAUUUUUGGUUUUUUUUNNNNNNNNNNNNNNNNNNNNNNNNNNNNNNNNNNNNNNNNNNNNNNNNNNNNNNNNNNNNNNNNNNNNNNNNNNNNNNNNNNNNNNNNNNNNNNNNNNNNNNNNNNNNNNNNNNNNNNNNNNNNNNNNNNNNNNNNNNNNNNNNNNNNNNNNNNNNNNNNNNNNNNNNNNNNNNNNNNNNNNNNNNNNNNNNNNNNNNNNNNNNNNNNNNNNNNNNNNNNNNNNNNNNNNNNNNNNNNNNNNNNNNNNNNNNNNNNNNNNNNNNNNNNNNNNNNNNNNNNNNNNNNNNNNNNNNNNNNNNNNNNNNNNNNNNNNNNNNNNNNNNNNNNNNNNNNNNNNNNNNNNNNNNNNNNNNNNNNNNNNNNNNNNNNNNNNNNNNNNNNNNNNNNNNNNNNNNNNNNNNNNNNNNNNNNNNNNNNNNNNNNNNNNNNNNNNNNNNNNNNNNNNNNNNNNNNNNNNNNNNNNNNNNNNNNNNNNNNNNNNNNNNNNNNNNNNNNNNNNNNNNNNNNNNNNNNNNNNNNNNNNNNNNNNNNNNNNNNNNNNNNNNNNNNNNNNNNNNNNNNNNNNNNNNNNNNNNNNNNNNNNNNNNNNNNNNNNNNNNNNNNNNNNNNNNNNNNNNNNNNNNNNNNNNNNNNNNNNNNNNNNNNNNNNNNNNNNNNNNNNNNNNNNNNNNNNNNNNNNNNNNNNNNNNNNNNNNNNNNNNNNNNNNNNNNNNNNNNNNNNNNNNNNNNNNNNNNNNNNNNNNNNNNNNNNNNNNNNNNNNNNGCGCGCAGGGACAGUCUAAGAACUUUUGAUACUCCUAAUUAAUAUCUAAACAUUCAAUGUGAUGGGUGUUUAAAAAUAAGCAAACUAACCAAACCAGGCCGCACUCAAUCAGUCUACUUUUUCUGUAAAAAGUUGAUGCAGUAGCUGCUGAUGCCCGGGGCUGCUAGCCUUUCUCCCUGCAUCCGUACAGCCACUGCACUGCAGUUGUCCCUCCCAGGAGGAAAAAUCUUGAAAAAAAAAAAAGAUUAAGGUUCUUCCAAUACUAGAACCAAAAAUAAAUACGGAAAGUUUACUUCAUUCGUAGAUCAUGGAGAGAGGAUGAAAUGAUACAAAUCUAGCUUCUACACGAUGACACAAUCUGCAUACUGCAUGACGUGGUGGUGACGUGGAAAUUUUGUCGUUGCAUCGAUGCUAUGAGUUGGUACAAAAUAGAAACUACAAUCUGGUGGAGGGAUUUGCAUGUCCACAUCUUUGGUCGCACCAAGAUUUCAUGACCUGAGCUUUCAUUCUAGAAAAUGAUGGUGUCAAAGAUUCCUCAAGAGAAAAUUAGUGGUGUUAGGGGACAAUUGGCUUAGUUUGUUUGGCCGCAAUAUUGUGCCUAUCUCCUUUUCAUAUAAAAAGUUGAUCUACCAAAUAAACUACAGUCACGUGAUCCGGCAUGUAUCAGUUUUUUAGAAGAAAUUAAAGUAGGUGUUUCCAUUAAAGUUAACACGGACCUGAUAUGUUCUGUUUGUUUUAGCUCGUAUAGGUUGUGAAAAGCAGCUUGCAGAUUGUAACAAUCCAUAAUAAGCCAGGGCCUAGGGAAAGCAGAUAAUUGUUGUAUUGUAACAAUUUGGCUGUAGAUUUUUAUAAUCCAAGAUGAAAGAUGAUUAUUUGUUUAAGCUUAUGAUUGUGAAAGCUACAAUGCAAAUUCACAAGCUGAAACAAACAUGGCCAUACUCAUGCUCCACUCCAUGUCAAAUUUCAAUUUUGUCUUCUUCUUGUUUGCGAACAUUUUGUCUUCAAUUUUUAAAUAUAAGCUGAUAAAGUAAAAAAAAACAAUUGCAGCUGGUGGUCAAACUCUCCAAGCACCACGGGAACCACCUCUUGGUGUGUGGUGGAAUAGCUAGAAAACAAUUCCACUUGUCAGGAACUCAAGAUUCAAAUCACUACUUGAAAAAUUGUAUAUUUACAAAUAAGCAUUAAUGAGCACUAAGAAAAAGAGGCACUCAGGUAUCUUUUGAUCCAAUCCGGUCUUUCAUAAUAUGUGAAAGUGGUUUCCAUACUACAUGCAUUUGCACUUUACACAUCCACAUACCAAGCUCAUGUUUGAACAACCAUUGGAUCUCUGAUCCUCAUAUUUUAAAUGGAGCCUGCUUCAAUGGUUGAGCACAUGGCACCUCUAAUUUGGAGACAAAAUACGCCGUCGCAGAGGCAAAAGGCAACGACAAUUACCAAGCAAUGAGCACCCCUCACCUAAAAGCUGUUGGUGUCAGCAGAUUUUUCUUAUCCGGAUCUGACCCCAUUCAAGUGGUAUUGGCUAUUCCCAGGACCUUGCCAAUAGGCACUCGAAAGCAUGAUCCGGUAGAUGUGAGAGACAGUAUUAAAAAAAAGACGUGUGUAUGAGAUAGAGAGAGGGAGGGAAGAUCUGUCCCAAUUACUAUUCGUUUUGAUUUUCCUAAACCAAACGAAUAAAGUAUCAUACAAGCUAAGUCNNNNNNNNNNNNNNNNNNNNNNNNNNNNNNNNNNNNNNNNNNNNNNNNNNNNNNNNNNNNNNNNNNNNNNNNNNNNNNNNNNNNNNNNNNNNNNNNNNNNNNNNNNNNNNNNNNNNNNNNNNNNNNNNNNNNNNNNNNNNNNNNNNNNNNNNNNNNNNNNNNNNNNNNNNNNNNNNNNNNNNNNNNNNNNNNNNNNNNNNNNNNNNNNNNNNNNNNNNNNNNNNNNNNNNNNNNNNNNNNNNNNNNNNNNNNNNNNNNNNNNNNNNNNNNNNNNNNNNNNNNNNNNNNNNNNNNNNNNNNNNNNNNNNNNNNNNNNNNNNNNNNNNNNNNNNNNNNNNNNNNNNNNNNNNNNNNNNNNNNNNNNNNNNNNNNNNNNNNNNNNNNNNNNNNNNNNNNNNNNNNNNNNNNNNNNNNNNNNNNNNNNNNNNNNNNNNNNNNNNNNNNNNNNNNNNNNNNNNNNNNNNNNNNNNNNNNNNNNNNNNNNNNNNNNNNNNNNNNNNNNNNNNNNNNNNNNNNNNNNNNNNNNNNNNNNNNNNNNNNNNNNNNNNNNNNNNNNNNNNNNNNNNNNNNNNNNNNNNNNNNNNNNNNNNNNNNNNNNNNNNNNNNNNNNNNNNNNNNNNNNNNNNNNNNNNNNNNNNNNNNNNNNNNNNNNNNNNNNNNNNNNNNNNNNNNNNNNNNNNNNNNNNNNNNNNNNNNNNNNNNNNNNNNNNNNNNNNNNNNNNNNNNNNNNNNNNNNNNNNNNNNNNNNNNNNNNNNNNNNNNNNNNNNNNNNNNNNNNNNNNNNNNNNNNNNNNNNNNNNNNNNNNNNNNNNNNNNNNNNNNNNNNNNNNNNNNNNNNNNNNNNNNNNNNNNNNNNNNNNNNNNNNNNNNNNNNNNNNNNNNNNNNNNNNNNNNNNNNNNNNNNNNNNNNNNNNNNNNNNNNNNNNNNNNNNNNNNNNNNNNNNNNNNNNNNNNNNNNNNNNNNNNNNNNNNNNNNNNNNNNNNNNNNNNNNNNNNNNNNNNNNNNNNNNNNNNNNNNNNNNNNNNNNNNNNNNNNNNNNNNNNNNNNNNNNNNNNNNNNNNNNNNNNNNNNNNNNNNNNNNNNNNNNNNNNNNNNNNNNNNNNNNNNNNNNNNNNNNNNNNNNNNNNNNNNNNNNNNNNNNNNNNNNNNNNNNNNNNNNNNNNNNNNNNNNNNNNNNNNNNNNNNNNNNNNNNNNNNNNNNNNNNNNNNNNNNNNNNNNNNNNNNNNNNNNNNNNNNNNNNNNNNNNNNNNNNNNNNNNNNNNNNNNNNNNNNNNNNNNNNNNNNNNNNNNNNNNNNNNNNNNNNNNNNNNNNNNNNNAUGGUGACAUUCCUCAUUUCAUGCCUGCCACUACCAAACAUUUCACUUUCCACACAUGACACACCACCUAUAGUCCCGAAUCACCAUACUUAAAUAUCAAAUAGUACCAGCUUCUGCAAGAGGAAAAUCCAGAGUAUGGCGAUAAUGGAAAGGACGAACUGUGUGACACCAUGUGUGUGUCGUUGCAGGAUCGGAUUCCUCGAGCCGGUGGCGAACCUGCUGAGCGUGAUGAGGGGCCCCAAGUACGACGGCGCCUUCCUGCACGGCAAGAUCAAGAGCCUCACCCACGACGUGAGGAUCGCGGACACGGUGACCAACGUCGUCGUGCCGGCGUUCGACGUCAAGUGCCUGCAGCCGGUCAUCUUCUCGACGUACGAGGCGCAGCACGAGCCGCUCAAGAACGCGCACCUCUCCGACAUCUGCAUCAGCACGGCGGCGGCGCCGACCUACUUCCCGGCGCACUUCUUCAGGACCGAGGGCCCCAGCGGCAAGUCCCGGGAGUUCCACCUCGUCGACGGCGGCGUGGCGGCCAACAACCCAACCAUGGUCGCCAUGUCCAUGCUCACCAAGGAGGUGCUCCGCCACAACCCGGACUUCCGGCCCGCGGAGUACGGCAACUUCCUCAUCAUCUCCGUCGGCACCGGGGCGCCCAAGCAGGCGGAGAUGUACACCGCGCCCAAGUGCGCCAAGUGGGGCCUGCUCCGGUGGCUCUACGACGGCGGCUUCACCCCGCUCAUCGACAUCUUCUGCCAUGCCAGCGCCGACAUGGUCGACAUCCACGCCAAAGUGCUCUUCGAGGCACUCGGAUGCGAGAAGAACUACCUCCGUAUCCAGGUUCAAUAUUCGUAACCAGUUCAAUCCAAAAGUUUAAGUUUUUUUAUAUUAACUCAUUCACAAUAAGGUUGUGGUUAAUCCAGUGGAUAUAUGAUUGUAGGAUGAUUCACUAGUAGGACACACAUCAUCGGUGGACAUCGCGACGAAGGAGAACAUGGAGGCGUUGAUCCGGAUCGGAAGGGAGCUUCUCAAGAAGCCGGUGGCGAGGGUGAACAUCGACACGGGGAUGUACGAGCCCGUCGCCGGCGAGGGCAACAACGAGCAGGCUCUCGAGCGCUUCGCUAGGAAGCUCUCCGACGAGCUCAAGCUUCGCAUGAAAAACUUCAACUCCUACUAGCUUUGCUUGCUUGCUUGCUUGCCAACCGGCAAAAUAUGUGAAUAUAAAAAAAAAAAGUUUUGCUUGCUUUUAACGUGACGGGUGUUGUAAUCGAUCAUGAACUAGUUCAUGACAUUUGUAAUAUGACUUGUAGUCCAGUAGAAUAAUGAAUAACCAUGGAAGUUUUAGAGUGCCAUAUUCAACAACAUUUUUUUUUAGAGAGGAGGAAUCUCAGAACGUGCGUUUGGGCCCGGGAAUGCUGGAUGGGCCUAUAUUUUGAGUUUUUGACCUGCAGUGCAUGGCCAGACAGGCAAGGGUUUCAGUCCAGAGAGGGGGGCAAAAGGAGUGGUAAAAAAAUAGGACUAUCUAGCUGUCAUCACUCAUCCGGGUAACUUUUGCAAUCAGCUUUCAUUAAAAAUUGAGCCAGUGACAAAUUGACACGUCACAAGCUGAAAACAUGCAGAAAAAGGAAAGUGAAUGAUACGGGAUGGUAUUUCUCUGAACAAAAAUCCCAAGUAGCAGCAGAAAAAAAGGAAAAAACGAAUGAAAAAUGUACCACACGAGGUCGUACCCUGACUCCUCACGUGUUACCCUGCAUCAGUCCCAUCCAAAACCCACACAACGACGGCAAAAAAAACAAAAAAACAAAAAAAAAAUCUUGGCAGUGAAGAAAGAAUAGAAGAAACGCGGGAAGGAAACAGGAGCACAUAUGAAUUUUGUGCCGUAAAAAAACUCGCAAAGGCCCAAGAUAGAUGGGCAGAAUAGCACAAAUGCCAUCAUGAGAGACUGAGUGAGAAUAAGCAAGUGGUUUUGGGCCGAAAUUCUUGGACGGGCCGUGUUUCAGUUUUGCAACUCGAUCGAUACAAAUAUCAUCCAUGGGCUGGCUGAUGACUUCCGAGGUAUACGCCAGUAGUCGAGCAAACAAGUUGCAAGCAUUUUUUUGACAAGGGUGUAUACACGCACAAGGGAAAAGAAACAUGGAUUGGGGCGGGGCAGGGCACGGCACGGCACCGCACUCCGGCAAGCUAUAGGGUUCAAUUGGUCACACACGAUGGUAGUCCUCGAGUCCAGUCCACCAGGAUCAUCAUCAGCAAAGCUCUGAUAACACAAACCACCAGUACCACACUACCACCAACUUAGCCAGUCAGCUCUGCGUCGUUCGCAUGUAUGCCGCCAGCAUCAGCAUUCGCCAUGAGAGGAACCUGCUGAUCGGCAGCCAUGAGGAGAGCCAGGGCCAGGCAGCCGCCACAGGCCGCUCGCCAUGAAGGGGACCAUGGUGUCCAGCUCUUCGUUGGGUUAGAUGUGUGUAAGCCGUGUGUAAGCCUAUAAGGUGUUUUAGUUUGUGCCCUCUGAUACGUUUAUAUAAAGCAUGGGGAGCCGGCAAGGCUGCAAGCGACAUUGGAACUGAUUUUGGAGGGGAAAAAACUUCCUGGGAACUCUGUUAGAGGGAUCAGUUAACAUUUGCACUUGCUGAGUUCGUCAAACAAUGUACUUAGCAUUAUUCUAUUAGUCAUGCAAUUACGUACAUUUUAUUGCUUAAUGAGGCAUCAUAUAAUUGCUGGCUUAUUUGACUCUGCACUAAUAUAAUUUUUAUUUUAACAAGUAUAGAGAUCCAGGGAUACGGAGUUAUUCCGUCAAUCAUGCGAUUAUGUGCUUUUUAUUGCUUAACAAUGACGCGUUAAUUCGGCUCUGUACUAAUUUAAUUUUUUAUAAUGAGCUUGGAGACUGAGGAAUUUGUAGUUACUCCAUUCAUCAUGUAAUUUAUUUACUUUUCAUUGCUUCAUGAUGUGUGUACGUAUAAUUCCCACUACAACAUCUGCUUUUCUUUCUAUCUAAUAAUUAAAGCAAGCAGGUUGAAACUUGAAAGACUCAUUUUCUUUCUUCUGAAUAUGAAUUUACCAUUUUUCUAGUUCCUAUGGUGCAUUAGGAGCUUAUAGACAUAAUUUGUCGGCUCAUUUUGCACUAAUUUGACUUUGACUAAAAUACACCAAUGAUCAAUUGGGAGGUUUGCAUCUAAGGACUGAAACAACAAACUAUAAGACGUUUAUUGAUAGGACGUUUGUAAUUGGGACGUUUGUUGAAACAACAAACUAUGUAAUUGGGAGGUUUGCAUCGUACACUGCACAGGAUAAUCUUGAUAGGACGUUUGUGCUGUCAAUGCUCCUUUCUUUUUCCGAAUUACUGCCUGCUUUUUGCAUAUGCAUACAUAGUUUGUAGUCAUGCUGUCUCACGCAAAAUGAGUUGUAAAACUAUACAGAGACAAAACUCUGAUACUUGUUUUUCAGUCAAGAAUGCAUAGGUAAUUUAUGUAUUUUUCGUUGCUUCAUGAUGCACAUAUCAUAAUUCCCACUACAACAUCUGGUUGCCUUUCUUCUGAACCUGAAUUUCCAUUUUUCGAGUUCCUAUGGUGUUCUGGGAGCUUAUAGACAGAAACGAAUCAUAUUGAGGCCCUUCUACGAAAAGGGGAUAAGUAGAAUAUGAGAAUUCCAACUAAUCAUUGAGGAAAUGUAAAAAGGAUAAAAGAAAAUAAUAAUCCAAGUCUUAAAUUGAAGUAUCCCGUUGGAAUCAUAAUCUCAUAUGACGUACUCUGCACUAAUUUAAUUUUUAUUUUGAUAAUGCAAGUUUAAAGGUCAAGGAAUAUGGAGUUAUUCCAUUGAUCAUGCAACAAGGUAUAUUCUAUUGGUUAAUGAAGUGUGUAUAGUUCACUGGCUCAUUUAGUUUGACUCGCCACUAAUUUAAUUUUUAUUUUAACAAGUUUGGAGACCAAGGAAUCUGGAGUUGCCCUAUUAAUCAACCAAUUGUGUACUUUCUAUAUAUUGCCUGAUGAUACGCAUAUAAUUUGUUGGCUCAUUUUGCACUAAUUUGAUUUUGACUAAAAUACACCAAUGAUCAAUUUGGAAGUUUGCAACUAAGGACUGAAACAACAAAUUACAUAUAAGACCAUGCAUCGUACGCUGCACAGGAUCUCUAUCCUUGUUAAAAUAAAAAUUAUAUUAUUGCUAUCUAUGCUCCUUUCAUUUUCCGAAUCACUGCCUGUUUUUUACAUAUGUAUAUAUAGUUUGUAGUUGUGAUGUGUCAUACAAAAUGAGUUGUAAAACUAUAGAGAGAGGAAACUCUAAUACUUGUUUUUUCAGCCAAGAAUGUAUCGAUAAGAACAAAAUUAAGCUAGUUCACCAAUCCGUGCUCCUACGAGACUAGUAAUGUUAAGAUAUAUUAAUGUAAUAAACUAAUAGAUAAAUUUGUGUCAGCUAUUCAAUUUCCUUUCUUCACUCCGUCUUAUUAAUUUAAUCAUAGUUGGAUCUUUGUAAUGAUUGCAGUGUGUUGUGGAGUGAUUGCCACAUCAUCAUUCAUGUUAUUGUUGGGUGACGUGGUUAUUCAAUCUAUGACGAAUAGUAUCCCACGUGGCAACUGUUCGUGACGUUUAUUUUCAUCAUUGAUACUAGGCCUGGGUUGGGUUGCACGGGCUCCAGGCUAUUCUAUGACGGUUUAGAAAUAUCACGGAUUACGUCAAUCUGUGACGAUUUUCUAAAACCGUCAUGCAGGUUAAUCUAUGAUGCUUAAUACAUGACGUUAUCAAAAACCAUCACAGAUGAUAUUUUACAACGAUUUUUCGAUGAUUUGUGAUAAAAUUCGACCGUCAUGGAUUAUAAGAUUUUUUUUAAUGAGAUCCGAUCCUUGGGGUGAGGGGAAGGAGUGCACCGUAGACUUGUUCGUUCUGAACGUUGAGACGUUGUCAGUUGAGGUAGAAACGGUCAUACCAAAACAGAUAUUACUUUAAGAGUUGAUGCAUUCCAAAGUACGAGUAAAAAAAUUUACCAAGAUGGACAAACAGAAACGCUGAUGCCAAUAUAUAAGAGACCGGAAGCAAGAAAGAAGAAGCAAGUAGUUUUGGGCCGGGAAAUCAUGGAUGGGCCUGUGUUUCAGCCUCUCUAGUAUUGAUAUAAACAUGCAUCAUGGGCCGUCCUGCACACUGGGCCUGACCAUCACUGAUUAUUCCUAAAAAUAAAGUUUGGGUGACAAACAUUCUGGCAAUCUGGCCACAAAGCCAAUUCAAGCCAGUCGAGCAACUUUUUUUUUUGGAGGAUAGUCGAGCAGCCAUUGAAGCAAAGCAAACAGGAGCGAGUACUUGAAUCCACAUGCUACUGGCCAGGUCCUCGGAGGCAAUGCAAAAUGCGUGCACUCAUGCUUUGGUGCUAGUUAAUUGCAUUCCCCAAUGAUACCAGGCUUUUGCCAAUUCUUUUCUGAAGAAGCAGUUUUUGUUUUGAAUAAGCGUUUUUGCUGCUAAUAAUUCUCACCAACAGCUUAUGGUAAUCGAGUCUCAAUGCAAAAGCGUCUUUGGCACCUCUGACGCUCAGGGUAAUUUAACAGCAUCUCUGAAACCUGAACUAGUGCACGCGGAUGCUUUGGUUUACUGUCGCUUUGCUCUGCAUGUACAUGCUUUUCAGUGCAGCUCAAGCUCAGGCACACUGAAGCACCCCACAUUUAGCUCCCUCCAUCAUUGCGUCAGGUUUUAUGCUCCUCUCUUUCUGUGGAAUUCUCGUACCUGCUGGUCCCAAUACACUCGAUGAAGACAAACGACGCCGCAGCAUCGAUCUGAGAAGAACACAGGAGAUGAGAUUUGCUUGGUGAACAGCAACGACGACGACAGUGACGAACAGGCGGUGCUUUCUCGUGUCUCAGUAAAGGUUCUUUGCUAGGGAUCAACUCGAAAUUAGGGCAGGCAGAAUCAUUCCUAGAUCCUCAGUAGUACUAACAGACUAUUAGCAGAGACCUUGCAUGCCACAGCAACCAGACGACCGAUCAAUUAUGGACCCGUUUGGUGAAAUGCAUGGCACAAAUUGGUGAAGACAAACAAAAGCACUAAUGAGAAGAACUUUGGGAUCGGAUGCCGCCACGAGACACUUUCCUUCCAUGCUGAUGGCACUACGCAGCUGAAUAUAUAGCUCGCUCGACGACAGGCAACUUUCGGCCUUUCCGAGGUACCCAUGCGUCUCCUCCAUCUCUCUCGUACGCUCUACGCAGAGUCGUCGUCCCCCACAAGAAAGUAAUGGAAUCCGUUCUUCACCGCCAUGAUGCUCGCUCACACCUAGCUUCUAGGCUUCUAGCUGCAGUUGCCCCCACUCAGGGUCACUCGCCUCACACCCAUCCAUCCAUGGGUCCGUCCAUCAGUUUUUCUACUGCUCCUGCAGGAGCCAGGAAGUGACGGCAUCGGUUGCCGAUGCUGAUGCCGAUUCGGUGCACCUCGUCCAAGAACAUCGUCCUGAAAGCCUGCGGAGCAGCCCCAAUGGGGUUUGAUCGAAUCUUGUUCUGAACCAAGCGGUCAGAUCAGUGCACAUGCACGAGACUCAGCCCCAUUUGUUUCCUUACGAGCUUCUAAAAUUUCUUAUCCCAUGGAAUAUUUAGAUACUAAUUAGAAGUAUUAAAUAUAGACUAAUUACAAAACCAAUUGCACAGAUGGAGGCUAAUUUGCGAGAUGAAUCUAUUAAACCUAAUUAGUCCAUGAUUUGACAAUAUGGUGCUACAGUAAACAUGUGCUAAUGAUGAAUUAAUUAGGGUUUAAUAGAUUCAUUUUGGGAAUUAAUUCCAUCUGUGUAAUUAGUUUUAUAAUUAGCUCAUGUUUAGUCCCCCUAAUUAGCUUCCGAAUAUUCGAUGUGACAUGAAUUUUAGUCCGGACUAAAGAUUCAAACACUCCCUUACUCUUCAGUGGCCGGCCUGUUGUUACAUCCUAGGUUUCACCCUUAACCUGCUAAUAAUUAGAGUCUGCAGAGACCUUAAUGGCAUUCUUUUCUUGGGAUGGUCAGUGCUAACUGGCUUUACCUAGGUAAGUGGCAAAAUGCACUUUUUCCCGGUCAGGCUUUGGUGCUGCUUACCUUAGAUUCCCCUAUGACACAGGAUUUUUGCCUCCCGAAGCUUAUGAUAAUCUCUACAAACGCUCAGGUUGAUCAGUCAUAACGGCCUCUUUGGCACCUCAUGAUCACCCAUUCAGUGUGUGCUUUAGUUCAUUCUGAUGCCGCCGCUUUGCUCUGCAUAUGCUUUAAUUUGCUGUCAGUCAGAGUGCACCUUAACGCUUAACCUCAGUAAGAGCUCCACACUUUGAUGCUACUCCCUCCGUUGUUAUUCCAACUUUCUUGAAGAAUCAAACCAUUUUAUGUUUGAUCAAAAUUAUAGAGAGAAUCACAUAGGUUUAUGCACCAAAUAGAUAUACUAUGAAAAUAUAUUUAAUGAAGAAACUAAUGCUACUUAUUUGAUAUCAUGAAUGUCAGUAAUUUAUUGAUAAAUUGGGUCAAACUUGAAAUGUUUCGACUCUUAAGAAAGUUGAAAUAACUUAUAAUUUGAAACAGAGGGAGUAGCUGUUUGUUUAGCUCCUCCGUGAUUGCUGCCGCUACUUUCUAUGGAUUUCUCACUCUCGCGCCUGCAUCUGGUCCCAUGCAUGUCUGCAGGCGAGGCCGACGAAGGUGAAGCUUCAACAGUGAACUGUGGAAGAUCAGAUUUGCUUGGUGAGCCGUGAUGAACUGAUAACAGGCAGUACUGCGAGCUUUCGCGCGCCUCGGUAAAGAUUGUUCUUACUGGGGGCUCGCCAUCAUGGUGUUAGGAUCAAAUAAGCCUGGAUGGGGACAGAGACAAAAACCGGGGCCUGACGAUGAUCGAUCUGCAAACUGUAUCGUGCGCUGUUUACUCGUCAGAAUCAGUUCCUUAGGACUUGUCCCGAGUUCCAAGGCUUUUGUGCAUGUGAGUGCCCGCAUUUGUUUGCUGCUGGUGUCUCCUACUGUUGCCAAGUCUGCAACUGCAUCGUGUACCAAAGCAAAAAUAAUAAUAAUAAAAGGGAGCAAACAGCACUUAGUACAUUGCAGAUUAUAAUAUAUAUAUCCGGCUUGACAAGACUUUUGUGAUGUCAGUGUCUCCUGUAGGUUAUGUUGUCAGUUGUGCUAUCUCACAAAGCGAGUUCUAAACUACAGUUACAUGAUGAAGAUAACAAGAGGCAAUCAUUAUAUGUUUGUUUGUUUGAAUGGAAUAAUGGGCUGAUCCAUAUCAUCAUCGCUCAUCCUUAACAAGCACAUGUAAGUGUAAGCAUGAGGGAUAAAGUCAUCCUAACAAAUUAAUUGGAUAAAUUCAUGAUGUACCAUCUCAUAUAGAAGAGGUAAUUCUGAUCCUAAAACCAAACAUCCCAAUAUUUUUCCUCUUAAAAGGGGAAUUGGUAAAAAGGGAUGCAAAGCCAAUAUAUGGGAGUUCUCUUCUUAUUCUCCACCAACUUCGACCCGUUUUUCAUCUUCUUUUUAUUUCCCCUCCUCCCAAUCUUCUAUCCACCCUAUAUCUAGCUAAACUACUUUUGGCGUGCGAAAAUGGACGAGGAUGGUAACUAAGACCUAACAAGCUAUCUAUUGAAGGACAUGCUUGGCUGCAUGCCGCAACCAGCCAUGUCACAAUAAAUUGGUCGCUGCUUGGCCAAAAGCUGGAAGCCACAGGGAAAACACAAAGCAGGUCUUCAGCAUUUGCGCCAUGAAGUGUGGCGCUGAUUUUCGAUGCCAAACCUUCGGCGCGCCACACCGUAGCUGGCAGGUUGUCGCCUGCAACCAAGCAGGCCCGUAAUCUAUGGAAGAUACUACUUCAUUUUGCACGAUCAUGCUUGAAAAUUGCUCUGCCACCUUGUGUUGUGGAGGGUCUUUGGUUGAAAAAAUGUAAUCGCUUCGAAGUCGUGCAAAGGACCCAGCACAUUAUUAAGAUUAUAAUUUCCAUAAAAAAUUGACUGCCUAUAUUGCUUUAGAGAAUUUUAUGAUUUGGAUUUGCAUUAAAAAAUGGAAAGCAAGAUUGGAUGGUGGAACGACCAACCGGUGGCUAGUUUAGUACUUUAGGGUAGCACUUAGAAUCACAUUUUCAAGAUAUGCUAGGUGAGUUUCACUGACCUUGCAUUAUUGCUAUGAUCCUUCUAUUGUCUUUUGAUAGAUCUAUUUGACCUUAGCACAAUGACUAAGGAGAAUAAAUUUGCUUAUCAUCUAAUGAAUCAUGUCAUUAUGUACUCCUCGUUAUCAUAUAUAUGCACCUCGGUAUCGAUGUUAUCAUAUACAUGCACCAAUUAUUUAUGUUUCUAGAAGAGUUACUCUGUACCGGGAUCGAACAUUCAUCUAUGUCAAAUACAAGACAACAACUCAAAUAGAAUUAUCAAAAGAGAAAAAUCUAAUUUUGUGAAUAGACCCACCAAAAGAGAAUAGGCGAGUAUAUGGUUGGAGUUUACUCCCAACCCAACCUUUGCAAGUGCCAUUUGCGUUUCUCACCUUUUUUUUUAAGAUAAUGGAAGAUUAUAUUCGGGCUUUAUACAUGCUUUUUCAAGAAUGCAUCAGACUACAAAGAUUAUAGAGUGGCACAUGUUCCAGUUAAAACAUCAGAAGAUCUAAUAUACCAACGAGAAAUAACAAAAUAAGAAAAAUACAACUAAAAAGCAUCCCAACUUGACGCCGUUACCCCUGGCUUCCCACACCGCGCGCGCACGUCGUGACGCCAGCUAACGGCUCGGCACGGUUGCCGUUACGCAACCCUGCCGUGACGUGGCGACCCUUCAUAUGUUCUCAGCUCACUGUCCUUCUCACUCCCUCGCAGUCACAGUACACAAAGACAGAGACCUGCAGCGAGCUAGUGCACACCAGCAAACCAACCAACGAACCAGCCGAUGGGCAAGUGCGUCAGGAUCCGCAGCAGCAGCAGCAAGCAGAACCCGUCGCCGUCGACGGGCGAGGCCGCGGCGGCGUGCCUCACGCUGCGCAGCGGCCGCCGCGUGCCGGUGGCCGCGUCGUGCAGCCCGCCGGGCAGCAGGCGCCACCGCCGCGGCGGAGCGGCACCAGCCUGCCGACGGUGCGGCGCCAAGCGCGCGUGCGACAGCCCCGGGCAGCGGAAGUGCUCGCAACCGAGGCCGCACCGUGGCCGGGCGGCGCUCGCAAGCGCCGAGCUCAGGCUCAGCGGCGGCCGGCCGGAGGAGGAGCCGCUGCCGUCGUCGCAGGCGAACCCCGCUGCCCGCGACGUCGACGGCGACCGUGGAGACAGCGCGUAAGUGUAGUUUUGUGCGUUCAUUCACAUCACAGAACAAGUCAGUUUCGAUUUGCGCAAAAUUGUCGACUCCUGCACGAGAACAAAAGCCGGCAUCGAUACAAAUGUUAACUACUUUCUUUCCACUGAAUUUUGCCCAAAUAAUUAGACCGGCCACGCCCCUCUCCGGCGACGAGGUGAUGAAAUCCAAACACGAGCACGGGAGCAAGGGCGGCGUCCCAGGCCAGCCGUCGCCGUCGCCGUCGCCGUCGUCGCCGCUGCUGCAAGCCGAGAUGGAGGCGUUCUUCGUCGCGGCGGAGCUCGCCGAGCGCCGGCGAUUUGCAGAAGCGUAAGCGCUUCAUUCUCACACAGUUGGAUACACAAAAUUCCGCACAAAGUUGCAGGUCUGGGUGUUCCCUAACGCGAGCUGCUGCCAUGCCUUUUCUGCAGGUACAAUUACGACGUUGCCCUCGACCGCCCGUUGGAAGGCCGAUUCGAGUGGGCGCCGGUGAGCACGUGAGGGGACGCAGCAUGGAGGGUAAAACUGUCAAUCGUAGCAACAAAUGCUUAUCCUAGCUUGGGAAAUUGGAGUUAGUCCUUCGAUUCUCCUACUGAUGUCGUUUAGAGAUUGUCACUGCUUCCCUAGUAUUACUGUCUGGGUAUAGUUUGCCACUGGUUCAGUUCAUCGGUUGUUACUUGUUUAUCACUGUUCUACUGUCUCUCUGACAACCGUAUAGUCUGUGUAUAGGAUAAGGUGAUGAUCCAUUGGAGGAAGCUUCUGAGCUCCCCAUGCUGAUCGGUUUCCACCGUGAAAUUCUACUCAUUUUCUUUAUUUACAAAUUUCUGACUUCUUGGUCACACAUAAUUUUCUUUACAAGCAUGCAUCUUACAUUCUUACUCGAUCAGACAGCUAGAUCAAGGUUAACUUUGUUCUCAAGCUAGCUAGUCAGGUGUAGCAACAGUAGAUGUUGGAGUUAGCUGGAAAAUCCAAACGGAACCGUGUGCCCUUUCCGAUUCAAGAAUCUCACUGACAUGUGAAUGUACCUUGGCUUGAAGCCGGCCGUGCAUUGCCUGCUGGUCCAGUGCUAUUUGUUCUAGGGUACUUUGCCUCAUCUGCACGACGACAUGAUGCACGUACACACAGGCACAUGCGCAUGCAUACGUACAUCUAGCAUGGCAUGUCCUUCUUCUGCUGUGCAAAAAUCAGUUUGAGGGGGUGUUUGGGUACACCCCACUAAAAUUUAGCACAUGUCACAUCGGAUGUUUGGAUGCUAAUUAGGAGUAUUAAACAUAGGUUAAUUACAAAACUAAUUGCACAGAUGGAGUCUAAUUCGCGAGACGAAUCUAUUAAGCCUAAUUAGUCCAUGAUUUGAUAAUGUGGUACUACAGUAACCAUUUGCUAAUGAUGGAUUAAUUAGGCUUAAUAGAUUCGUCUCGCGAAUUAGCACAGGGUUCUACAAUUAGUUUAUAAUUAGCUCAUUUUUAAUCUUCCUAAUUAGCAUACGAACAUUCGAUGUGACACUGCUAAAGUUUAGCACCUGGUAUCCAAACAGCCCCUUAAUCUUAUCUUUACUUUUUCAGAAAAGAUAAUUUUACAGAUUUUUCCUGUGUAUUGGUAGAUUUUUUUUGCAGGAACAUGGCACUGAAGAUGCAAUUUCUUUAUCAGUUACUAAUGUUCACCGAUCUUUUGCUCUUCUAAAUUUUGCAAGGAUUUUGAAUUGUUUUCACCUCGUAUUCAACACUGCAAUGAUGCUCUUAGGAUUUGUAGGCUUUCAUGUGCGGAAGAUGCUAUUUUCUUAGAUUGUGCAAAAGGUUCAAAAGCUCAUUUAUGACCUCAAAAGUACAUUUGCCAUGACAUUCCACCUCACUCCUGUCCAUUUCCAUCCAGUCUUUCUUUCUAGAAUCUAAGGGCCCUAAACGCCAUGAACUGUUCUUUCCUUUUACAUUCUCUUUUUGAAACUGCAAAGUGCAAACUAACAAAGCCAAUUUUUCGUACUUUUUUAAUUUUGCGCAUCACAAGAUUUCACAACAGAUGUUGCAUAGCCCAGGGAACUAAUCAAAAUGUACAUCUAAUUUUGUUGUAAUAAAAUUAAUUUGCAAAGUGUUAGUGUGUUUUCCUUGUAAAUUCAAGUAAUAUAUAUGGGUUUGGGGUAACUAAUAACUGGCCCAUCUGCUAUAUAUGACGUACACAGUCAUGUUAAACAAGUCAAAAGGCGCACAUCAGCUGGUUGUUGGGGGCAUAAUUGCAGCAGCAACCAAAAGAAAAACACCCUCCAAAGGCAGCAACAAUACAAAGCAGAGGUGGAAUCUUGAUGCAUAUGCUCUUCCUUUGCCCUUUUCUGGGUGCUUAAUCAUUCGGUGCACUCGUGGGGCCCCUAGCUAGCUUCUCCCUUGGUCAAUAUAGUAGUACACUCAAAUCAAAUAGCUCAUUUGAGUACUACAAAAGCAAAGAUGAACAAGAGCUUAAAGUUGCCCUUUUUAACAAUUAACCACCCCAGGUGUGGUGCUGGUGAUUGGUCUAGGGUUUGUUGUUGGUUGGUGUCCAUUGCUUUGGAUCUGGAGCUUCAGCUGGUUAGUUGCUUGCUUGUUUGGUAGGAGCAAGGAGAGAGAGAGGAGUAUCAAGUGAUGGUAUAUUCUAGGGAGAAUAAUCCCAGCUUCCUAACAUAAGAAUAUCCUCAUCUCAUUCAUUUCCUCCGUUUUGAUUUCCUUCACUUUUCCUUUGAAAAUCCUUUGAUCCAGACGGGACCUAAGAGAUGCAGCUAGUUUCAAUCCAUCUCCGUUAUUCUAGGAUACACAUGAGCGGUUUUUUUAACAACCGGUCGAUCAUAACAUACAGUAUAUUGAAGAAAUGAAAUUUCCGAUAGGUCACCUAUCUCGCUCAAUUUUGUUUUUCAUUUUUGCUACUCUAAUUAGCCUUUUCCAUUCCAAUAUUCCAUCACCCAAGAAACAUAGACAUAUACAAACCAACACAUGUUAUGGUUUGCUUCGUCAUUGGAUUCGCAUGACCUCCGCUUUUGCCUCUUCCUCUCCAUUGGGCAUUGGGCAUUGGGCUCCCUGCUGGAUUCCCCGAGAAAGAUAUGGAGUUGCACAGUGGAUGUGCACGUGAGAGAGGGUGAGAGGAAUGAUGAUGCAGGAAGGGACGUGUGGAGAUACCUGCAGCUGCAUUGCCUCUGCACAUUCGGAAUAUGUGACUGUGCGAGAGAGACAGAGGGACGUGAUAGAUGCAUGGGCCACCAUGUCAGGAGCAGGAGAAGCCAGCUAGCAGUAGGCAGCAUCUUAGCCUUUGGAUGGCAGCAUCUUCAUUCCCUGCGCCUCGGGAUCCGUGGUGGAAUAUUACAGUACAGGCGAUGCAUACCAUCACCUCCUUUGAGGCUUUAAGGACGAACAAGGUCGAUUAUUCAUGUUUUUCAAGGCACUUUCAGGGACGUGCGAGUACAAAUGACGCACUCAUGGCUCAUGUUCGACCUCGGAUGGACGACGGUUCAGGUCUUUCAAAGCUUAAACUUGGCUUUGUCCGUGCAUUCUUUCUCUUUGGUGUGCUUCUUUCUAGACAAAUCUCAAAGAACUUUUCUUAUCAAAGCGUUGCAAAGACAGUUUACGCCGAAUUAAAAGAGGUGAAAAAUCUCUUUCACGAUGCUCAUCUCACAAAGUUGUUACGAUAAAAUAUCAUCCUUUCCCCUGAGUAUGUGUGUAUGCCUCUUAAAGUUCCGAGAUUUUGACCUCCAAAAUGAUUAUUUUUAUUUAUUCGUUCAUAAUAUUGUGAGAGGUACAUGCAACAUUUCUGGACGCCUUAGGAGCCAGACAUAACAUCUCCCAGGUUCCAUAUUACACACACUUUUAGCAAGAACAUGGGCCUCAUUGUUAGAGCCUCUACCCUCGUACUUGUUGUGAGGCCUGCUCCGCUCGUGGGCUCGCAUCUUGGCGUGUAGGUAGGAGCCCACCUGAGAUAAGUUUAGAAAGCCUGGCUGUCGUCGAGGCCCAAAGAGUGGGAGCCCAGUUUGAUCACAGAUUAUAGCCCAAUAGAACCCCUGAGCGUUUUGGUCUACAUCCUGGUUGGGCUGGGCUGUCGAACGUUCGGUAGCAUCAUCAACAAACAACGAUAGAAGUUUUUCCGCUAAUUCGCGUGACAGGGUACGCCAUAAUUGAUAGUAGACCAAGGACACUGUCAACGAAAGAUUAAGGAGUGCUUUUGAUACGAGGUGCUAAACUUUAGCAGAGUCACAUCGAAUAUUCGAAUGCUGAUUAAACGGAUUAAAUAUAAACUAAUUAUAAAACUAAUUGCACGGAUGGAGUCUAAUUCGCGAGAUGAAUCUAUUAAUGCUAAUUAAUCCAUCAUUAGCAAAUGGUUACUGUAGCACCACAUUGUGAAAUCAUGAACUAAUUAGACUUAAUAGAUUCGUCUCGCGAAUUAGACUCCAUCCGUGCAAUUAGUAAUUAGACUAUAUUUAAUACUCCUAAUUAAUAUCCAAACAUCCAAACAUCAAAUGUGACAUAUUCUAAAAGUUUUGCGGGGCAUCAAACACCCGCUAAAGCGUGUCGGAACAAAACACUCAACCUCUCCCUCUCGAGAGAAGAGAGAGAGAAGACAAGAAAUCACGAUACUAAGAAACAAAUAUUCAAGUUUGCAUAAACCACUAUACCGAAAAACAUUCAAACUUGCAUAACUUGAAUAAAACAAAAGCUUGAAGAACGAAACCAUUUCAAAUAUGCUUGUAUAUAGUGAACAUGAAUCUGUCUACAUCUUGUGUAUUCAUGCCUUUAUCCAUACAAGUGAAAAAAAGCACAGUUUUCCAUUGGCCAGGACGAGUUGACGAUCUGUCUCCACCCCAAUCUCAAGUCAUUUGAGCAGCUAACAGGAGCAACGUAAACGUCGCAAAAGGCAUGUGCUUUGGUCGUAUACACAUACGGUAUAAUAAUAGAGUGGCUUGCAUCAUACUUAUCGUUGCUGUCGCUGGCCUGCUGCCGUGCAAGAACAGAAGGGCCAGCGCCACGUCAGCUUGCAAGAGAUCGACUUCAACGUGCUCUCUACUUCCAAGGGAACGGCGCGUAGAAUAUGCUAGACUCAGAUCCUGUUUGGCAACGCACUCAUAAACUUUAGUACCUAUCACAUCGGAUGUUUGAUACUAAUUAGGAGUAUUAAAUAUAGUCUAAUUACAAAACUAAUUGCACAGAUAGAGUCUAAUUCGCGAGACGAAUCUAUUAAGUCUAAUUAGCCCAUGAUUUAACAAUGUGGUGCUACAGUAACCAUUUGCUAAUGAUGGAUUAAUUAUGCUUAAUAGAUUCAUCUCGUGAAUUAGUAUAGAGUUCUGCAGUUAGUUUUAUAAUUAGCUCAUGUUUAGUCCUCCUAAUUAACGUCCGAACAUCCGAUAUGAUCCUCCUAAAGUUUAGUACCUCGUAUCAAACACCUCCUCACUUGCGUUAAUCUUUGCCCUUGAAUGGUUUUUUUUAUCUCUCGAGUUCAUCCACGUACUAAGUUACCGGUGUACGCGUUUGACCAAUAAUCUCCGAGAAAAAAAAAAUGGAACAAUGUUGAAAUUUCUCGCACCUACGUACAAGUUUCACGACGGUAUAACGGAAAGAUUCGCAUUGAAACCAAGCUUCACGUAGUAUGCAUUUGAUCCUACCUCCAAAUCGAAUCUAGCAACAAAUUCAAACAAAUGGCCUUGAUCAGGUUUUUGAAAAUCGAUGAAUGCAACUUGCAAGUACACAUCAAAACAUCAGCAUUUUCCUUUUCCAGGACAGAAAAUGGUGCGUUUUUCCAUCAAUUUUUUCCAUCAUCCACCACACCAGCGUGUCAACUCCUCGGUGCUCCGUAGCAUUUCCACCACCAGCACGCUCCCACGGCACUUCCACCCCGAAAGAUAACCCCGCGCCGCGCCGCGCCGCCGCACCAGCACGCCGGGCAGGCAGGCAGGCACGGCCAUCUUCUUCGUCCUCUCCUCCUCCAAUUCAAGGCGGCGCCCAAGUUUCCAGGGCCGCAGCCCGCGGGGCAGGGGGAUGUGGGGGCGGCACUACUGGGGCGGCGGGCGGCGUCCGGACCCGGCCGCCGCCGGCGUGGUGGUGAUGUUCGCGUGGCUGUCGAGCCAGGAGCGCCACGUGCGGGCGUACGUGGAGCUCUACGCGGCGCGCGGGUGGGCGUGCCUCGUCUGCCACUCCGACUUCCCCACCCUGUACGGCCGCCUGCGCGAUCUCUUCCUCCCAUCCGUUGCCUCCGAUGAACCCCCGCGAAAAAAAAUGUGGUCCUCAGAGGAUGGUCCGAUUCGAUGCGGUAGUGCGAGAAAGAUGCGGUUUUUAGUUUGCUCCUAUGUCUAGGCGUUCUUGGAUUUGCCGGAGGUCUGGGGGGAUUCAGGGGAGGAGGCUUCAGUUUCUUGUGCGUUGCAGUUGAGUCGUUUGCGGUAUUUGGGGACACGCAGACGCAACUGAUGCUAGACAUGAGAUGCGUUUGCCUUUGCGGUUACCAAUCUUGGUUGUGCAGAAUUUCAUAUAGCUAGGUUGGAUGAGCUUAGAAAUGCUGUGAUGACACAUGGACCCUGUUGGGUCAUUAGCUUCCUAUUUUUAGUGCCCUGUCUCGAUACUCCGUACAAAGUAAUCGAUUGUUCUGUUGUUUAACACUUACGCUUUGCUUAAGCAGGUUUUUCCCCGAGAAGGCUGCUAUGCUUGCCGACAGGGUGCUUGGGGAGCUUGUCAAGGUACGUUUAUUACCUCACUGCACUGCAAUUUCAACCGGGUUUGGUACAAUUUUUUGUGGUUGUGUAUGUUUAGGCGCAUCUAAUUGGUUGUUGCAAUCGGGCACCUGUUGCUAUAUUGCUCUUUGAAAACCAAGGAGCUGAAGAUUAGACCUGUACCUGUUGCGUUCGCAUCGUUUUCAGGAGGGCCAAAGGGUUGUACGUACAAGGUUCUUCAGGUAAUAUAUGGAAUUUUGCACCAUUUUGCUGAAGCAGUUACCUCUAGGUUAAAGCUGGUUUGGAAUCUCUAGGCUAAAGCUUUAAUUGUUCACUGACAGCUGAUAGAGCGAAGAUGUAAAGGGCAACUAAGUCUGGUAUGACUCUUACUUAUUGCCCUCCUCUCUUACUCAUUGCUGAAAUGCUAGCUGAAGCUUUGUUCGGUAAAUCAAAUAAGCUGUAGACACGUAGAUUUGGGUAUUCUGGUUUGAAUUUACUCGUUUUGAAGAAAGCUUCGUGUGCUUUUGGUUUCUACAGGAUGAGUAUCAGCUUGUACGGGAUUGUCUGUGCGGGCAAAUGUACGACUCAAGUCCUGUGGAUUUUGUCAGUGAUUUAGGCACUCGCUUUCUCCUUGACCCAAGUGUCCUGAAGAUGUCUGAACCUCCUCGUGUCUUGUCAUGGAUGGCUAAGGGUGUUGCCUCAGGUCUCGACGCCCUAUUCAUAAACAAAUUUGAAGAACAACGUAAAGAUUAUUGGGAAACACUAUACUCAUCUGUGGUAUGCCCCUCUAUUGACCACAUUGAUUAGAAGCCUGAUUUUAGAUGAAUUUUCUUGUGAAUAUCUGUAAUCUUAGACCGUGGUACAUGCAGAAUGUUGGGCCAAUACUGAUACUCUGUUCAGAGGAUGAUCAACUUGCUCCAUAUUCGGUUGUUGAAAAUUUUGCCAAGCGUCUGCUGGAGCUUGGUGGUGAUGUGAACCUAGUUAAAUGGCACAGUUCUCCUCAUGUAGGUAUGUUCUUCUUCCUCUUUCUGUCUGCAGUCUACUUAAUACUAUAUUAAGUUAACUAAAAUUGAUACUAGGUAGUUUAACCUAGUUGAAGUAGCAGUAUUAACCAGGGAGUUGUUGAUCUUUACUCCAUUUCUGUACCUAGCCAUUUUAAUUGUUAUGACUUCCUAGUUAGAGUUUUUGACAACCUUUUUAUCCUUUUUUUUUCUGAACAUCGUCCCCAUUAACUGCCGUUUACCUCACUUAACAUGCCUCUAGGUUAUAAAAAGAAAUGCAAAGACUAAACUUGUUAUUGAUUAUUUAUCUUGGUUUUCUAACAUGACAAGAGGUCAAGAGCUAUUCAGUUGUUUUAGGUACUGACAACAAUCUAUAGAAUGCUAAUGAUUUUAUGUAAAUUGUGAUGUGAUGAGAGGAGAAUGCAUCACGAUGGCAUGAUGGAACUAGUUCCCGAAUGCAGGACUACUCUAGUAGUACUGUAUCGGUAGAGCUCCAAGCUCUCAAUGGAAAAUCGCAAUUGGAACUUUUAGCAUACAUUGUAUUAGUCCCAGGGUGCUUACUGCCGCUAAUAGCCCCAUUGAUCAUAUUCAAUACUUGGAGGCUGCUAGUUAAUUUACCAGAAGGAUUUUGAGUCUGCACUCAGCAAGCGGCCAGAUCAUGAUGGUUUUCUGAAACUUUACGUUGAACAUUCGCCUAGCCUAAUAUAAGUCAACCUGCAAUCACACUUCUCAUUUAUAACUAUCCCUAGAGCAAAAUGUUUUCUUUUUAGAAGGUGGAAACAUGUCUGGUGUAAAGGUGCUUGUACACCUUGCCAGAAUUGGUUCUUUUGCUAACUGAUAAGCAGCUGUGUUCUAGUUUCAAUGGGGAAAUCUUUUACAGAAACAAAAAGAAAACAAAGUUUAUUUGGAGAAAUAAAAAAUACUCCCCAUCUUAUUGUGAACUAAAAGGUCAUAGGUAAAGCCAUCAUGAAUUGCGCAUGUUGCUUGGAGCUUGUUUCCAUCUAUCCAGAUGUCAAGAUACGGUUUGGAUAAACAUCUGAUCUUGCGUGCAGAAUUUUAACUGAUUACUCAAAGCUAGACUUCCCCAUUUCUUUAUGCCAAUCCCCUCACUGGAGAUGAACAUUAAGAACUCCUGGAUAUGCUGCUGUACUUUCUUAGGAAUUUCUCAAGACCGAUUUGUAAAGAAUUUUGUGCAUGGUGUUCUGUAAAUCCACUAAUAUCUAGUAAUUCAGGUCCUUUGUAGGUUUACAGAAUGUCAAGUCACCAACACAUAAAAAAUGUCUCAUUAACUAAUUUAUGACCCAUAUCAUAAAAUAAGACCUGCCCCUUGCAAUAGUUAAUACUGGUAGCUUCACCAAUUCAGUUAUCUGAAAAUUUUCAUCACGCGUGACUCUGUUCAGAUGUUCUACAUGCAAAAGAUUUUAUAGGGUGUGCUUUAUGCCUAACCUAAAAGAUGUGGAUGCACAAUGUCUCAAGCCAUGUGAAACUGAUGAGUAUAACACUUUUAUGAUUUCUUCUUAUUAUCUCUUUUCCUCUAUUGCUAUUUAUGCAGGCCACUACAAGUAUCACCCUGAGGAAUACCGAACUGCGGUGACUGAGCUACUCAUGAAAGCAUCGGCGCUUUACAUGAGCAGAAGACAACUUAACGGAUAUGAGGUGGGCACAAGUGAGCACAGCGACAUGCCUCCGUCCAUCUCCGAUCAGCGCAGAACUGCUGCAAGCUCUAACAACAGGCUAAGACGAGCACCGAUCGAUCCAAUGGAUCAGUUCUUCCUACCAAGCUCCAUGGAGUACCAUGAAAGCAGUGAGGGACCGAAGCCAGAGCUGUUCAACAUGCCAAGUGUGGAGAGCUUGAGCCUGCAUGGGGUGCUGGGGCAGGUGAUGUAUGAUGUAUGCGUUCCAAAAAACGUAGAAGGCUGGGACCUCAAGCCUUCUGCUUCGAGGCACAUGCAUACUGCUGCGCGUCGGCAUAGCAGCUUCAAUCCAAUGAAAUGUGUGCGGCGCUCGAGAUUGUGAAAAUUUUGACUGGAACAUUUGCAUGCAUACAGGUGAAUGUGUAUACUAUGAGAGAAUUUGUUUGGUGGAUGCUGGUGAAUCUUAAUAUAGCCACCAUCCAUCGAAUAAAAUGCGAAAUUUAAUUUUGUAAAUCUGAAGGAGUUGUGCACGUCUGUGUAUAUGAUAUGGCCACUUAUCUUAUUUUCCUCUGCCAAUAAAUGAAAUCUCCUUAUUAAUUUCUCUCAUAGACAAGAUCGGAACCAUGUAAAGAAUAUUGAGUUUGACAAAGCAGAAUCAUGUCAAGAAAGUUGAGCAACUAAUGACGUAGCAAAAUUGGAAGGAAAAAUAUCCCUGUCAUAGAAUUCUUUGCAUGAAUGGAUAUUUCAUUGGAACUAGUUGAAGAACAAGCACACAGCAAGAACCAAGAAAAAACGAGUGAGGCUAUAGGGAGUUCAGAGGACCACAGCUUCAUGAGAACAUUUCUGAGCAAGGGAAGACAUGAAAGUGGCCCAGAAAGAAGCAAUGAGGGCAUGCUUGCAAGGGAGAACUCGAACCCAGGGAGUGGUACGUGAAUGUGCAAAACAUUUUGGACCUGGAUGUAUGACAGCAGAAGUCGCGAGGGCCGGAAAAGAAUAGCCCAGGGGCGCAUCUGCAAAGGAAAACAAGCACCCAGGGGCGUAUCCGUGAGGGAAGAACUCCAGCCCAGGGACCGGCGCGCAAAAUCCCAAAAAAAUUUGGACCAUUUCUCGAUUUGUGCGUGUCAUCCUUGCGCAGGGGCCAUGCUAAUCUUCUCUGUAUCGUUCCAAUUUUAUCGGAUGUCUCCGAAGAGACAACAGAGUGGCUGCAGCCGAGCUUAUAACUUGGUCUUUUCUUCCCUUGCUGGCCGGUAUGGGACUAAACUUCGAUUCCAUCCAUCGCUCGUUGCCUCGUUCCCGUGAGCGCGCCAGAGCGCAGCGCAAGCGCCCCCGCGUGGGCUGAAUCUUUUAGAACGGCCCAGAUAUCACGGGAAAGAGCAAGGUGGGCUUUUGUGUCCCCCCCCUUCCCGUGGGCUGAUUUUUAACACAGCCCAGCUAACAAUAGGAUCCAGUAUCCGAUUGCAAACAGGUACAUUUUUUUUUACACACUUCACUAAAAAAUUAGCAGGUACAUAUUCCUAUCCCGGGAAAAACGAUAGUAAAAUUAUAUUCCUCAAAAUCAACAAGAAAAGUCGGUCACCGUCCUCGCUAGAAAAUUGUAUAUUUUUCUUCGAGAAAGAAACUAGCACAGCUCUCAUGGCUCCGUGAUGAGAAUUUCCAACAACUGUUCAGGGCAGCACUGCUCGUGCUUGACCGAUGGUCACGAUUCCCAGCUACCGUGCUUCCAGUUCUUUCACAUCACGUCUUCGAUGGUUUUUGGCUAUGGUCACUGUCUCUAGUCUUUUCGGGGAUUCUUCCCUGAAGUCGCACGCCUGGUUCUUUCUUCUUUUGAGAUGCGUCAGGUACUGUACUGCACGUUGAACGUGUUUCUAUCAGCAUCACUUGCUGUUAGUAGGCAGGUACGGCGAGCGAAGAUUUGUCAGCUCAAUCUUUUGAAAGUGCUCAUAAAAGUAGGAUUGUGUGUCGUAGGGAUGAGUAAGCAUGCGUGUAUGUGAUUUGAAAAAAUAAUCAACUCUUCUUUCUUUUUUUGUCGUUGAGAAAGCCAAGAUAACUGAUUGAAUGUGAUGAGCGUACAACUUAUUUGUUAGUGGGUAAUUCUUAGAAAGAAUGGCAAGAUUAAAUUCAUAGGAGUUUUUUUUCAAAGUAUCAUCUCACUUUGUUUGAUGAUACGACGUGUGGGAAUAUUUCCUUAUAAUGGGAAAAUUUAAGUUACGGAAAAAAGGGGCCAAAAAGAAGAUGGAGGAGUGAAAAGGAAUAUGCUCAUGCAAUGGUAGUGAUGCCCGAAUGAUGCCACGAAGAGCUCCAUCCUGAGAAGCAAAGGUUUUAAGAAAGGCAAAGAAAUAACUCCAAGAUACAUGCAUGCAUGAUGUCAAUCCAAUGGAACGCAUAUAUGAUAUUUCUUUUCAUUCUACUGCCUCAACUAACGUCAUGUGCCUCCGAGAUUAGUAUAAUAACAAUUAUAAAUGUGGAAUCCUCGUAUGUUCGAAAUUAAAUGAAAGAUGCGACCAAUCCACGAAUACCUAAAAUGAAAAUCAAUAAGAUAUGUAUAGUUUCUUUCAUUCGUAACUCGUUUGUCUAGGCUUUCUCCUUUUUAAUAUAAAGGUAGCUCUCCUGUCGGUUUGUUAAAAAAAAAGAAAAUCAAUAAGAUAUUGAGUUGGUUUUUAAGAAGGCAAAUAGUCGCUUUUUAUAUAAUUUCUCCCUCAUCUCAUUUCCAGAAAAUGUCUCAUCAAUUUGUACCUCGGAUGAGCCAUAAGCCCAUAACACCCUUUUCAUGCCUUUGUAUGCCUUUGUUUUGAGUUUUUCUAUAUUUUUUCGAAAUUGUUUUGAGUUUUUCUAGAACCUCUAGAUUAAAACUUGCAAGGUUCUACAUCUAGGGGGUGUUUGGAUACCCCGUGCUAAAGUUUAGCACUUGUCACAUCGAAUGUUUGGAUGCUAAUUAGGAGUAUUAAACAUAGGCUAAUUAUAAAACUAAUUGCACAGAUGGAGUCUAAUUCGCGUGACGAAUUUAUUAAGCUUAAUUAGUCCAUGAUUUGAUAAUGUGGUGCUACAGUAACCAUUUGCUAAUGAUGGAUUAAUUAGGCUUAAUAGAUUCGUCUCGCGAAUUAGCAUAUGGGUUCUGCAAUUAUUUUUAUAAGUAGCUCAUGUUUAGUCCUCCUAAUUAGUAUCCGAAUAUCUGAUGUGACCCUGCUAAAGUUUAGGUGUGCUAAAGUUUAGCACCUAAGUAUCAAAUAUCUCCAGUCCACCGGAUCUAGCCAGGGCAAGGUGCAGUUGCCGUUUUAGCUAGAGCCUACGUAGCUGUGGGCCCAUGACGAUGAGUGGCGGUUUGUAAAGUGACGGACGGAUGGAGCCGUAUUUCAUUGACGUCAUACACUCUGCAUACACGUUUGUUUACAAAUGUUUGCAGCGUCAGCUUAUCUCCUAGGUUUCCUUUUGUCUUCAAGUGCUAACUUUUUUUUUGUUUUUGUUCCAUUUUUUUUCCUUCUCUUCUAAUAGCUGUGGGACCGUGGCACCGUUGGGUGAAUUUUCCAAAAACGGCCAUGUUCUGGUUCAGUUACUGCCAGCUGCUAUGUUGACGAAAGUAAAACGGGUCCAGCGCAUCACUCAGGAAAUUUAUCAAUAAAGAAGUCACGGUACCACUAGACACACAACGUAGCGGAAGAAGAGUUGGAACAGAACCGGUUCAACGUAGUCGCGCAUUGUUAUGGAUGAAGUAGUUGAUUUCGUCCCACGAACCGAUCUCCACAUCCUCAUGCCAGCAGCAGCCUCGCAUCGCCGUAGCCGAUCAGCACAACAGCGGCGCUUCCCGGAGUCCACAUGUACGGGGGAAGAAUGCCGUGCACUGUUGUGCUAGCACCGCGCGCGUGGCAAGGAUCUCGAGCUCAGGCCGAGAGGAAGUGGCGGCUAGGGUUGCAGUGUGGUGGAUAAGUGCGCCCCCUAGUCCCACCUCUUAUAUUUAUAGAGCACACUAAUGAACUUUCAGGCUGAAGGUCCAUUAGUUAUCCUAAUUUCUUGUGGAUCAAUUAUUUUAUGGUUCUUUAAUCUGAAUUGUUAUGAUUAUCUCUUACGUAGAUCGUAGAUCAGCAACAGUUGACACGCACGAGGGCAAAAUUUGGAUAUGUUCGGUUAUCUCAUUCGUUUUUUUUUCAUGUUUUAUUUAUGGACUUGCCUCGUUUCAGUGCGGUAGAUAUGGAACGCACAAGGAUUUAUUUAGCUAGGAAAUACAAAAUACGUAAACAAAUGUAGGAGAGAUUCGUUUAAAAGAAAAACAAAGGCCAGUGAGAAAGAGAGAUGAUAGACGAGGAAGGAAUCAGGAGUAAACUUGUGUGAUAACAGGACGUCAUGAACUGCCUCGGGAAGCAAAGGUUAAACAAGAGAGCAAAGACUUCAACUUCAUUGAAUAAACCAUCCUAAACAACAAAUAGUCAAAAUGUAACUUCCAAUCUUUAGAAGUAUAUAAAGCUACUAAAUUUCACUUUUUUUUUUUGCAACGAAGAUCUAUCCUGUCAGCCUAGGACUAGCAGCGCGAAAUGACAUUGCUACAGUAAAAAAAUCAACACCGAGUGAGAUAAUACGUCACAUAUAUGCUCCCUUUUUACCUUUUCCAGGGGAGGGAGGUGCCAAGAAAAUAAAAAAAAUGCCAAUUCCAGGGGAGUAAACAAAUCCAGUGGCAUCGUCAUCAGGAGAACUACUUCUAUGCCGGUGAGGGGUGGAAUUAUCCCUUCCCCGGCAUUCUUCGAUCCCGGAAUAUGCUCCACGAGCUCCUUCCAAUCAACCAUUCCCCUCCACCCAAUCACCCCCGAUUCGCAAAUCCGAGAGAGCUGCAUCCGGCGGGCCUCCUCGCUUUCCCGGUUCUUGUACGGGUCACAUAGGGAUCCUUACUCCGUGUUGGAUUCGGUUACUUGCUUUCUUCUUCAUUGGGUCCGGAUUUCCCUGGGUUGAUCUGUUUAGUCUGCUGUGUUCGUCGCAUUAGGCGGAGGAUUGGGGGCAGCUCUGGUUGGUGGUAGCGGGCGGUUCCUGAUCCCGCCCCGGUGGUUCCAACCGCGCCAAUCGCGUGCUUGAUUGGCGUAAAGGGCGGAUUUUUAGAAGGAUUUUGUGGUAAGGAUCCAAUUCUGUGGAGGAUUUUGCUACUUUGGGAUUUGAGCGUCACUAGAUUUCGUCAAUUCGGUCUGAUUGUGAUUGAAAGGGAUAGGAAUUGCAUUUUUGUUGCAAAAUGGGAUGGCUGUCAUGGCCGCUUUGAAUCGUGCCUGGUUGUGGUGAAAGGAUUGUUUUUUUUCCCCUGAUAUGGUGGCUGUGGACGCCUGUGAUGCCCUUGCUCGAGGUUGAAGGAUUCCACGGUUUGAUGGUCUGUGCUGUCCGGGAGCUCGUCGUCGGCGGUGGGAGGCAAGAUGUACGCCGUGGGGAAGGUCGGCAGCCUCAUCUCCCGCAGCGUGUACACCGUCUCCGGCCCAUUCCACCCGUUCGGCGGCGCGGUCGAUAUCGUCGUCGUGCAGCAGCAGGACGGCAGCUUCAAGAGCUCGCCGUGGUACGUGCGGUUCGGCAAGUUCCAGGGGGUUCUCAAGUCGAGGGAGAAGGUCGUCAACAUCUCCGUCAAUGGCGUCGAAGCUGGGUUCCACAUGUACUUGGACAGCAAUGGCGAGGCUUACUUCCUCAGGAACGCGGAUCCGAAUGGUGAGGAAGGAGAGUUUGUUGUAUCACCCGCAUCGUCGGGAGAUGAGCGGGAGGCACCGAUCCAGGAAGCUCAGCUGAGGAAGUCGAAGAGCACUUCGUGUGAUAGCUCAACGAUGGAGGCUGAUGUUGGGGAGGGCAAGAUGCUCGCAAGGACAACCUCAAGGCGGACCACCAUACUUGAACGGAUGUUUGGCCGGAAAACAGUUAAGAACAAUGCGCAUGCUGUGGAUAGAGUGAGCUCAUUAGAGCGAGCAGAGAUUGCUGCCGAACUCCUAGAUACAAAGUGGUCGACAAAUCUCCCACGUAGUUCGAAAUCUCAUGGUUCUAAUGAUGAAUCUUCCAAGAGCAAGUUGGCAGAAGCUAGCAGCAGUAAUCAGAUGGAAACCUCAAAGACUCUAUUGCCAGAACAUAGCUUGGAUCAUGGGAAAGAGACCGACUCUAACUGCAAUUCUUGUAGUCCUCGUGGAGGAACAAACAGUUCAGCAGAUGAAACUGAUCAGUGUUUACAAACCACUAGUGUGAAGGAAGAGGUUGUUGAGAUACACACACGUGAGACUAGUGACUUCACUGAUAGGAUCAUCUCAACUGUGCAUCAACCAGGAUCAGAAUCUUUGUCAAAUGAUCUGGGAACAGAUAAAAGUAUACAUGAAUCUGUCGAUACUCAAGAUAAGUUGCCCCAUAAUUUGGAAGAUGUUGCAGGAAGGGAAAUACAUAAAAAGGAGGCCUUUUCCAAUGGCAUUUUUGAAAUCCAUACUGUUGAGACAGACACUACAAGUGGUAAGAGUGAGGUGGUUUCUCAGUUUGUUACUGUAGAUUCAUAUGGAGCCAACCAAAAUUUGACAGGUGCCAAUUCACCAGCUUAUGCAACCACAGACGAAAAGCAUGAGGUUACAUUGAUCCCUUCUGCGCAAGAUCCAGUUCAAGAGAAAGUAGUCAUUCUCAGCAGUUCUGAAACUGUGGAGAUUUCACAAGAUGCAGUUCAAGAGAAAAUGGUCAUUUUCAGCAGUUCUGAAACUCUGGAGAGCUCAUAUGCUGUGUCCAAUAUUUCAGAUGACAAAGUUCGUGAUGCAUCAGAUAUCUCACUGGCUGACAGCAUACAACGCGAGGAGCAUUCCGGAGUCUCUGAUGGGAGUCAAGAACAGGUAUUUUCUGAGGAAAGGUUAUCAGCAUGCAGUGGUGCUUCCAGCAACAAAAAAGACGUGAUUGAAGUGGUUGUUGAAGAACAUGGAGCUUUUAUCUUAGAAGAUCCAGCUCCCCAAACCUUGCAAGGUAAUGGUCCAGAUAUGGAUAUUUCUGUGGACAGUGUUUCACUUUCACAUACCGAUGCGGUUCAUGAUUUCGCUUGUCAGCAUGAUGUGGUUUGUCCUGAUGCUUCUUCUAGUGUUGUAGAGACAUCAACUUAUGUGCCUGACUAUGAUCCUGAAGAUGUCACAAAUAACGUAAUCGUGGAAAAUCAAGCAUGCAACAGAGAGCUUGAUGUUUCUGUUACUCAGACCUCAAUAAUAGGUGAUGAAUCCACAGAAUGCAAUGCUCAGUCAGCUAAUUUUCCUAAUAAAAUAGAAGUAGAGAGUUCACCAACUGCUACUGGGUCUUCCAGUUUGGUCAAUGAUCCUGAAGAUGUAGCUAAGAGCUUAAUCGAGGAAAAUAAAGCGUGCAACAGAGAGCCUUGUGUUUCCGUUACUCUGACCUCAACAAUAGGAGAUGAACCCACAGAAUGUAUUGCUCAGUCAGCUAAUUUUCCUAAUAAAAUGGAAAUAGAGGGUUCGCAAACUGUUACCGGGUCUUCCAGUUUGGUCAAUGAUCCUGAAGAUGUAACAGAAAACUUAAUUGUGGAAAAUAAAGCAUGCAACAGAGAGCCUGAUGUUUCUGUUACUCUGACGUCAACAAUAGGAGAUGGAUCCACAGAAUUCAUUGCUCAGUCGGCUAAUUUUCCUAAUAAAAUAGAAGUAGAGGAGGGUUCACCAACUGCUACUGGGUCUUCCAAUUUGGUCUAUGGUGAAGUGCAAAGCAUAAAAACAGAAGGUGAAACAGGAAGAUCCAGUUCUGUGAGUGGAGAUGAAGUUGGGUUUGUCCUUGAGGCUACAGCUGAGCCUGAGGAAGAAGCAGAAGCAAGAGUAUCAUUCUCUGAGUAUACAGAAGAAAUUCAGUUUCAGUUUAGUGAUACUGAAAAUUUUGCUGAUAGAAAGGCCAUGGAUGACAUAGUGGCUGACAAAACAGCAGGUGAAGGAGAACAUGAAGAAUCUGAUUGUGACACAGAAAAACAGGAAGAAGGUGAUUUAGAUCUUGCAAAUGUAUUGGAAAACUGCUCUGAUUCAUUAAGGCCUGUGACUAGCCCUGUUUCUAUUCCUACAUGCAAUCUGCAGUCAGAAGAUAAUACAAUGGAGGCUAAAUCUCUACCAAAUCUCCGUUCUCACAUACAUGAUCUUGAAAGGUCUGAUAGUUUUCAGCUAAGCCGCUCACUACAACCAAAUGCUGAAAAUAAUGGGGUUGACCCAGUCAAGAGUACGGAUUCUUCUUUUCUUGAGCAGAAAUCAGAAGUUACUGGUGAUUCAGAAGAAAAUUCCAGCCCACCUGAGGUUACCAGCAAUGUAGUACCUGAUGACAAGCAUGCUGACAACCUGAAAAUUGAUCCGUUCGUCCCUUUUGCGGGUGAGUUUUUUCUUUUUGCUAGGACUAGCAUUUCUACUUCUUUUUAACACUACUAGUUGUAAUUAUCUUUAUCUUGCAGAGUGAAUGUGAUUCUUUUGUUCGAAAAUUUCCCAAUAAUUUAGUUGGAACAAGUGAACAGUGAACUUUGAUAAAGACUGUUUAGUUUUUUUUGUUGUAGCAGUUUCUGUGAUUUCCUUCAGUGUCUUAAUAUUACUGAAGUAACUUGGCAGCAAUGACAAUCUCUAUCUGUGCCAUUUUUGCAGAAUUAUCAUUAUGCAGGCACCUGUUAUCUGAAGGCAUGGGGGAGGAUGCCGCCCGCAGUGCAUUUGAUUCUGAGAAGGUGACCUUAGAGAAGUUCCAUACCAUGAAGCAGUCACUAAUGAGAAACAACAAGCUAGUUGUUAGGAUUGCUGGACGCUAUUUUCCCUGGGAUGCAGCUGCGCCUAUAGUGCUCGGUUUGAUUUCUUUCAGCGAGGAACAAGUUUUUGAACCCAAAGGCAUGAUAAAGGUCGAGCAAAUUGAGACAAUUGCAGCACCAGGUGGCAGCUGGAGAAUCUGGCCGUUUAGUUUCAGACGAACAAGGACUAUUAGUGCUGUCCAGCCAGUUUGUGAAAGCACUGUUGAGACUUCCAUAUCCACUCCUGUUAAAGAAUCCACACCGUUUAGUGAAUCAGAUAGAGAAAGGAAUAAAUCCAGGGCAAAGAGGAUCGAGAGGAAGGUGCGAUCACUCACUCCAACGUCUGAGGAGCUCGCAUCUCUUGAUCUCAGAGAGGGCAGGAAUGUGGUUACAUUUACCUUCUCAACUGCAAUUGUUGGGAAACAGCAGGUUAGUUUUACUUAAAUUGUUUUUAAGUUCCAUUAAGUUGCAUUUCACAUCUUCCUAUCCUUUCAUAAACAGGUUGAUUGUCACAUAUAUUUAUGGAAAUGGAAUACACGCAUUGUCAUAUCAGAUGUGGAUGGAACUAUCACCAAGUAAGUCACAAAACUGGAGCAGUGAAGCCUAUGUUUUUAUGUUUAAUAUAAAUACUAUGAUUUGGAUACCUGAUUGCCAGGAGUAGCUGUUAUUCCAGCUUUCUCUUUAUUGGAUAAUAUUGUCCACUUCAAAGAUGGAGGGAAAAAAGGGAGAUAGUGAAUUUCAUGCAACUAAUGCAGUUUAUAGUCAUUAUAAAAUAUAGGAGCUAUCUGAUCCUUACCACCUACAAAUGCAGUAUAUUCAAUUCUUACAAUUGUCCACAUUUUUUCCAUGUGAUUGUAGGUCUGAUGUUCUUGGCCAGUUCAUGCCACUGGUUGGUGUUGAUUGGUCUCAAAAUGGAGUCGCUCAUUUGUUUUCUGCAAUAAAGGUAUUCAUGCUGCUCAUGCUUGUAACAAAAUAGGCAUAAUUUCAAUUUCACUUAUAGAUCUAAUCCUGCCAUAGCAAUUGAUUGAUUCUUUCUAAUGUUUGUGAACUUACGCGCGUAACUGGGUCUAGAAUGUUUGUUGAUUUGGUUUGUUAUUGUUAUCUUGUUCUUGUUGCAUCCGCAGGAAAAUGGAUAUCAGCUUCUAUUUCUAAGCGCACGUGCUAUUUCACAAGCCCACAUUACAAGGCAGUUUCUUUUCAACUUAAAGCAGGUACAUUGAAAUUCAGUCCUAGUCAAUCCUAUACUUUCAUAAUCUGUUUGUGGUGAUCAUGAAUUUAGUGUAUGCCCAUUAGGUAACAAAAUCACAGGUCUGAUCAUGCUUGCACAUUCACAAAGACACGACAGUGAAACUAAUAAAUAGAACGUGGUGCUCAUCUAUCUUAUUCCCACAUGUGAAUUUGGAUUUCAGGAUGGAAAAGCACUUCCUGAUGGCCCCGUUGUCAUAUCUCCAGAUGGUCUCUUUCCUUCACUUUACAGAGAAGGUGAGCACAUCCUGACAUAUUCUCACUAUUUUCUACUCAGUUAAUUGCCAAUGAGAGAGAAAAAAAUUGCAUUCACUACCUCUAUUUAUUAAUCUGGGUCCACAUGAGUAAUCUUGGGGUACAACCUUUUACUAAACUUGGUGUGCGCGGUAGCUUUUUCCAAACCAGUUGUAUCUCAAUAACCUUUUUGGACCCCCUCAACCAUUGUUGGAUACCAGGUCUAUGAUUAAGUUCUCAUAGUACAAUCAUAUUGACAUAAAAAGUAUCUCUAUUGACUCCUUUAUAUUAGCUAUAAGUUUUGAGUGAUCCUGAUAUUUUGUUGGCAUUGGUUUGUAGUCAUCAGAAGAGCUCCUCAUGAAUUCAAGAUUUCAUGCCUAGAGGUGAGUACUCCCUAGCAGCCUAGCGCGCACAAGAAGGGAAGAAUAGCUUGGCUUCUUUGAUGUUCUAUUCAUGAUUUUCUCUAUCAUUUACAGGCUAUCAAAGAUUUAUUUCCUCCUGACUCAAACCCAUUUUAUGCUGGAUUCGGAAAUAGAGAUACAGAUGAGCUUAGUUACCUCAAAGUUGGUAUUCCUAUGGGCAAGAUCUUCAUAAUAAACCCCAAGGUAACAGCCUAAGACAGGAAAAUCACUUGUCCCUCCCUCCUGUUAGCAUCUCUAUCUGCAUAAUUGUGCUGGAGUUCAGCCAGUGAGAGCAUUUUUGCACUGGAGAUGGCAUCUAGAGAAUCCGUGUUGAAUUUUUCCUUCGAUGCAGGGUGAAGUUGCAGUGAAUCGGCGAGUUGAUACAAAGUCAUACACGUCCCUGCAUGCUCUUGUACAUGGAAUGUUCCCUCCAAUAUCGUCAUCUUCGGAGCAGGUCAGCAUUCCCAUGUAGUAUUUGUCAGUGGUUCAACUUUAGUUACUACUUUUAGUGCUUCUUAUUCUGAAAAGUUCUUAUUCAAUUCAGGAGGACUACAAUACCUGGAAUUACUGGAAAAUGCCAUUGCCUGAUGUUGAUCUGUGAGAUACAAGUGCAGUCUGCACAACAGCGCUGCGCUAAUUUUAUUAUGCGCAGCAGUGGUGAUGAGAAAAUCAUGGUGAAGGUAGCACCCUGAGGUAUUUCAUUUUACCUAUUUUGCAAUAGUAGUUCUAUUUUUCUUUGUUCAUGAGCUUGUGUCUAACAUGCUUGGUGCAUUUUGCCACCUGUUUCUGCAGGCCAAUUGUUAGUUGGCUAGAUGUGGAUGCUCCUGAUAUAAGCUCCUGCAAGAACGAAACUGUAUAUAUAGGAUCAUAAUAGAUGACUAGCGAUCUGCACGCCGAUGAGGCAGCAGAAGCAAUGUAGCUGUUUCUUGUGACUCCCAUCUGUUGUUGUAGGACUGAACCUCCAUGUAACUGAGAGGUGUAUACUUUACUGAAUGGAGGAAUCUGAUCGAGUGUUGUUUCCCGUGCAGUUUCAUUUCAUCCUUCUUUGAUGUAAUUGUGGUGCCAUGUAAUCUGUACAGGAGCAGUUUAAUAAUGCAAUAGAAAGUCAGCUCUGUUCAUAUGCGAUUUUAAUUCACACACCUUUCUGGCAAUAAGCAUGUUGCUUUGACAAAGGUGCAUCAAGUAUUACCUCAUAAGCUUUGUGAGCACUUAACAGGAAAUUGUGGAUUUGUGGUAUGCUUGCGAAUUUUCUAGUAUACAACUGUGAUAUGCAAUUGAGCUAAGCUGCAAUUUUAUGGAAAAAAAACCUUUGCUAUUGUAGGGAUAAAUCUUUCUCUGGUAUUAUCGUGUUCAAGUAUUGAUUAAUAUGAAAAUAUUCGUAUAAUGCAAAUGCGAACUUUGUGAAGGACCCAAGCGCAAAGGUUCCAAUCCUCUUUAAGCAGGGAGACCUUUGGUCACUGGCUCUAGAACCCUAGAGCCGCCGCCAUGGCCACGCCCGACCCCGCCUCCGCCUCCACCAAGAAGCGUUCCAAGAAGCGCAAGGCCGCCGACGGCGAGGCCAAUUCCUCAAAAACCCUAGAGCCGCCACCAGAGGCGGACCUCCAAACCCCAGCCACGCCCGCCACCGCCUCCGCGUCCGCCAAGAAGAAACACUCCAAGAAACGCAAGGCCACCGAGGCCUCCACCGACGCCUCCACCGAGGCCGCCGGCGACGCCUCCACCGAGGCCGCCGGCGACGCCUCCACCGAGGCCGCCGGCGACGCCUCCACCGAGGCCGCCGCCGACGCCUCCACCAAGGCCGCCGUCGACGCCUCCCUCAACGUCACCGUCGAUGCCUCCCUCACAGGCGGCCGAACCGCAGCCGCCCCCGCCCCCGCGGUCGCUUACUUCCCCACCGGCUACGACCCCCUCGCCGCCGCCGCCGUCGCCGCAGAGGAAGACGAGUCGGCCCCCAACGCGCGGCUCUUCCGGCACGAGAAGCACCCCACUUGGGUCGACCUCGUGGUCGGGAGCUCUGGCGGAGGCCCCGACUUCGUCGGCCGGAGCUAUGCCGGUGAGGCAGCCACGCCGCAGCUCUGUGAGUACGCACUUGGAGUCCUCGAUAAGGCCUCCGGUACCCUCAGGGUCGUCCCCAUAGCCGCCAACAAGGUGAGCGUCUUGUCUUAUUGCACCAAAAUUUUGAUCUUUCUUGUAAUUGUUGUUGAUAGCCAAAACGAAAUGGCUAUAGUCACAUAGAUUUAAUUAAAUGCUAGCUGUUUAUUGAGGAAUUCUAGUUUAUAAGUAAAUACUAAAGAUUCCCUUUUGUCUAAUUGUGCAAUUGAAAAUUGCAAUUGGAUGGUCUACUGGUGCUGGACAAUGCCUACGUAGUUAGGAUUUUAGCAGAGUAACACUAAAGCUGCUAUCUUGUUUUGAUUUUAAAAAAUGAAGGAAAGCUCUUGCUGUGAUGUUUUCAUUUUCAGCAUAACAAUGCCAUACAUUUUAAAAGAGCUACAAGAAAUACUUUUGCACAAAUAACGUUGGCAUUGCUGAUAUUGAUGUUCUGGACAUCUGUACUCUGUAACAGAUUCUGAGGCUUGAGCCACAUCUUGAAGUGCAGCAGCCAGCACAUUCGCAGCACUCUGAGGUGGCAUCAGAAGCAGGUUCAGUUGCAGGAAAUGAUGAAUUGAAGGUUCAAGAUCUUACCAUGAUGUAUGGAACCAAGACAGACAGGGACAAGGUAUGUUUGUGUCGAGUUUUACUAGUCUGCUGUUUGCGACUAUGUUUCCGAAUUGAUCAGUGGUGUCAACCAAAAGUUUCCUCUGUGUGCCCCAGUUUGUUUGUCUUCUUCGUGUGAAUUAGGUUUUUAAGAUAGCAUUUGAGACAGUCACAUAAUAGAAUAGCAUUUAAGACAGUCACAUAAUAGAAUUUUGUUAAACCAGAACUCAACAUAACUGUCAUUGUACUGGUGUGAUUUCUGUUAGUUUUUCUGUCAAUAUAUAUUCUUGGUUUGGUUUGCAUGUGGAAAGGAAAGAUUUUUGUUAGUUAUCUAAACCAAUGAUUUAACCAUGAUAAUUUCCAUUUUGCACUGGUCACUGUAUUCAUCAUGUCACAGUGGUUAAUGCCUAUAUUCCUUGCAGGAUAACAAGUGGAGGUCAUUAAAUGAACAAAGGAAUGAUCCUUCUGCUUAUGAGGACAUUGACCUUGGAACCAGUAACGUCCACACCAAUGACAACCAGGAACCAGUAAUUGUUCGGAACAUUCCACCUUAUGAUCCUACAGCAGAUACAUCAGAAAAGGCAUAUCUUUUGGAUGAGAUUAUUCCAAAGAAUAUGCGGCAGCACCUUUUGGAAAUUGUGGACCAUUUUGAAUCAGGACAAAUUUCUUCAAAAGGCUACUCGAGUUUUGUCUCAAAUCGUGUGCAGAAGUUGCAGGAGCUUCAGGUAAUUAUUUACAUUUUUGGUAUACUUUUUCUCGUCAUCCAGUUGUCCACUUUCAGUUGUCACCUGCUAAUGUUUUAGGUUUAGAACAAGGAAAUUUAUUUUAUACUAGAUAAGAAAGUGAAGAGGAACUCGAGCCUUUUUCUUGAUAAGAAGUUAUAGUCUUGUGGGAAGACACCAUUUUAAUUGACUCUGACAUUCCUGUGGACAUUUGAAGGACAUGUUUUUUUUUUCUUGUUGUGGAACCUGCAACAGUUUAUAAUUGAUCCUUAGCGGGGUUUCUUGACAGUAACGCACAACUUUUUACUCGCAUAACAUUCUGAUAGCAUUAUAGCCGGCACUGUUACUACUGCAAUGUUGACACGUUACUUGUGUCGGUCCCCUCUUUAGACAGUGACAGUUUAUGGUUUGCUCUUAUGCCAUUUUUAAUUUCGUUGAACACUAGGUGUGUGUUUAUAUAUCUGUUCCGCUUGGUUAGCGUGAUAAAAAAGAAUCAUCUUUUGACUUGCAUUGUGUUAGGGUCAAGAUAAAGAGAGGCUUGCUUGGAUACUGUCCUACAUCCAACAUCUCCUAUCUUUAUAUGAACGGAAUGGUUGCAUGUCCAAGCAUCACAGGAAGCACAGAAAGGAAAACAAGGCAAACCAUGGACCAGGGACCCCGCUGGCUGUAUAUCGCAACCUGUUGCUGAUUUUUACAGAACCAGGGUCUAGUUCCAUGUCAUCGGAGAAAAAUGAACUUCUGAUUAACUACAUCUUGGUCCUGACACUCUUUGCUGAUGACUUCAGAUCCGAUCCUAAAGAUAUAUGUGCGGACCUGAAAAUGACCCGCCAGAUGCUUAAACCAUACUAUGACCAGUUGGGAUGCAAAUCUGUGUCCGCAGGUGCUUUCAAGUCCACUUUCAUGACGCUUCCAGCCCCUCUCAACUUUCCACAGGAUGUUACAAGGAGAAAGCGACGACGGUAAUCAUCAUAUGGAGAGACCAAUGGUUAUUUAUCUCAGAAAUGGCAUGAUUACUGAAUGUGAGUGAUUGGAUCCGCCCUGAGUUAUGAUACACUGCUAUCAAAGGCACGUUAAGCCUGUAGGUGCUUGGCCCAAUGUUGCAAUGUACUGAAAAUGACAAGCUGUUUCAAGUUUCAUUUUGUAUUCUGGUGUCCAUGGAUAUCGCUUUCAAGAAAGAAAACAUAUCUAUGUAUUGAUGGUUCUAUCUCUACCUGAGUACAUCCUAGUGCUAGUUCGAUGAAGGUAGACAAUAUGGAUUUGUUCGAUGGAGUACAGCACAAUUCCUCUGAUCUUGCAAGGAUAAAACUUUGUUCGUCCUUGCUACUGGAUAUAAUUUCCGUUGGAUGUUCAUCUGUACUGGUGGCUAAUGUAAAUCAUCUACAUCGCAUGCCGACCGUACAAAAAUAUUCUGAAAAAUGGAGACAGCAUUACAACUGUUGCAUCCUCACAAUUAAUUUCUGUUCAAACAUCAGUAACAAACAGUAACUCGUAAAAAGACAUGUUGAAGCCACUUUAACUAAACCACCAAAUUAGCUGGUAAACAUAAUAAAAUACGCUAGGACAACAGGCUGGUGAAAAUUAUUCAAUGAUGGCUACAGCAAUGUAAGAACGCAGUAACAAUCUUGGACAGAUUACAUCAUCAUCACCAAUCUAAACUUUGUUAUACAUGGAUCGAUAUGACAUGUCUAAACCACACAGUAAGGACUAGUAGUUGUCAUUCAAGAGUCCUUUCGUUUCGUUGCUAGUAUACAAGGCAUUAUUCACCUACCAGGCUGCUCGACUUAGGAUUUCUCCGCCACAUCGCCACCAGCCUCGUGAUCUGCUCCAGUUGUGCUCUUGUGGCUCUCGGUGCCAGAAGGCUCCGUGCUCACCCCAGCAGUUGUGUCCUGCUUGCCUCCUCGCCCAUCAGCAGGGACAGGCGCUGACUGCUGUAGGCUGGCAGCAGUGGCAGCAGGGUCGGUUUGCAUAGGCUGCAUGCCAUUGACGGUAGCCGGUCUCAUGACCAUCUGUCCGGGGAAAGCAAGAGCCUGUGCUUGCUGCUGUUGCAGCUGCUGCUGCUGCUGCUCUUGCAUCUGUUGCGGGGUUAAUGGUGUUCUUGGAGGAAACAUUGGUACUUGGGACAUGUAAUGCCCUGCACCUGGCACCAUACCAGGUUGCAUCAUCUGUUUGCAAACAAAUGGAAGUUUAAGUAAUGUUGCAAGUGGAGCUUGUGAAAUAGCACCAACUUGAACAGGGCUACUAACCUGUGGGCGACUUGCAGGGUUCUGUGGUGGUUGGGGUUGGGCAUCUGCAAUCGCAGCCAGGUACAAGAGAUUCUUCUGAAGCUGAGCUUGAUACCUGAAAGUUAGGAGCAUGGAAGAUACUGUUAUCCAGAAUGCAUUGCCAUUGAUACGUUUUAGAAGAUGGCAUUUACAAAGGCAGAUCGAUCAGGAAUAAGAUUUUCUUAGUCAUGAAUUAUCCUUCUGAAGUUUCAGUGCAUCCAGAAGGUGUGGAGUAGAAAUGCGCGUGCAUCCCUUUCAAUUGAGAGCUGAAACUAAUAUGACUCAGAAUUUCUAACAUCCUACAGUUAAUCUUAUUCAAACAGCCUUAUCAUUGAUGGGUGAAACUAGUACAGCAAAAUGAGGAACCUCACAAAUGGAUCAGAAUUUCUGAUAGAACUAAUCCAUCUUGUUAAAAUUUCAAGCAUUUUUAUCGUUGAUGAUGAGAAUAUUAGAGUCACAGUAGGAUCAUCAGUUGGUGUAGACAAUAUAUAUUAUAGAUCAUCAAUAGAAAAGCCAAGCAAUGCAAUAUUUUUUACUUCACAAGGAUGAUAACACUUCAGAAGCUACAAGUAUCUAUGAAUAGGUCACAAAUCACUCAUCUACCAGGGCAAUCAUUAAUCCUGAGAGUUAACACAAUGUCGCCAGAUGACUGUAAAUGAUGCUGCUGUUAAAAGAUACUCCAAAACAUCGUAUAUGAUCUAAUUAUUAUGCAGGUUAGAUUGUAUUGUACUCCAAACUCCAUGAUUCCUACAGCACUAUAUUUACAGAACAAUUCUACAGUCAAACUGUCUAAGCUCAUAACUUUUACAAGCAAACCAUUUUCAACAAACCUACAUCAUUAAAUAUAAGAGAAAAGAGAGUACAACUUAUGAAGAUCAUAAACAUGGCUUGGAUAAGGGAAAACUUUUGCUGGUGAUAUCCACAUCUUAAUGCUCAUGAUUUUUCAUACUUUAGUGAGUGAAUGAAAUAAGCAACAGAUGAAUUAAAGGUUCAUCAUUUUGAGACUAUUAAAACCAACAAAAAGCAUUUCCAGCAGUAAAAUUAGUUAUAUUGUUCAGGAAGAUACUUACUGAGCACAUUCAGCCAACUUUCCUAAGUUCUGAUUUUCCAGGAUGGCCAAAAUAAGCUGCUUAUUUUCAUCCAAAUACUGUGAAAGACGACAAAUUCAGUUAGUGUUAGUAACUAUAUGAAGUUAAUGAUGGCAUGCAAUAUAGUGUUAGGCUUAUGCAUAAUCAUGAAGCAAAUCAAGCAAUACAUUUACCUUCUGUGUAAGAAUUACGCAAGCGAUUUCAUUCACAAAAAGGUUUUGCCAUUUGAUUUAUUCAUUUUGCCAUACAGAUAUGGUUGGUUUCUUACAAGCCAAGCUUAAUUGUAUCUUAAUGCUGAGCAUUUGGUAGUGAGUUGCACUGGAUUGUGAGGAAUAGUAGAUAAAUGCAGCCCGAGAAGAAAGUGACCUACAUCUAUGAUAGCUAUGUAUUUCAUGACUUUAUAUGCCGCAGGCCAUAUCACUUGCAUGCCAUCCAUAUAAUUCAGUUACAGCAGAGAUGCACCUAAUUUAGCCUCAAAGAACCAUUAGUCAUGACUCACACAUCUACCAAUGCAGAUCAUUAUAUAUCAGUGACGUGACUAGCCCCAACCAUGGAGUAGACAAUAGGACUGAGGAAUGACAACCACAGUUACUAAACCGCAGUUACCUUUGCUAUAUGGCAGACAGCCACAAGUUGGCAGCCACACUGCCAUCAUAUUGCAGCUAGGCACCAAGUCAUCAUAGAGCAGGGUGACUGACUGUCAAAGCUGAUCGUAUACCAGCAAGUUACAUUCCAUGGCACAGGACUAUCGUUCAGAAAUAAUUAAGCACGGUUGACAGACGAGCAUUGCUGAACAAUGAUCGCCCGACAACCGUGCAAAAAUGGAAAAUUGCAAAAGCCCACCUGUGAAUGGGGAUUCGUCAAAACAUCCCUAGAACUUCUGUUUUCAUAUUCUACACCUGCAGCUCUACCUUGGUGUUUUACCCCCGAAAGGCCAUUGACCACAUGGCGUGCUGCUUGUGUUGCUUCUAACAUGGCAUGAUCACUUCUAGUGUGGCUUCUAGCAUAUCCGUACCAUUUAAUCUAACCUAGCACUCCAUUGUUUGCCCUCUCUACUUGCGCUUUGGUAUCCCUCUUAAAGAAUGCAGAAAAAGAGUUCCAGGUCAGAUUGAAUUAGCCCAAAGAUGUAGAAAGUCACACUACAAGCCACCAUACCAUGCUCGAAUGCACGCAAGCAGCAUACCAUGUGAUCAGCAUCCUUAAGGGGCAAUUUGACACACAGGAAGAGAACAGGUGUAGGAAAAACAGAAGUCGUAGGUUAUUUCGACAAACCCCCAAUGCAGAUGAGUUUUAACAAUUUCCCUAGUAAAAGUGACUGCAGGCAGGCAAGCCAUGCUGCAAGGCAGAGGACCCAGGGCUGGUCAGCUGCCCAACCACAGGGCAACAGGAAGCACAGGCUGAAAAUCUCUGCCGCAUGGCACAGGGUUAGCCGGUGGCCACACUUGGCCUUUGCCAAAAAUUCAAAAUUGAUAUUUGAACAGCACAUAUGGUGCCAUUGCUCAUUUGGCCGUUGCCAAAAAAAAAACCCCAAAAUUGACACUUCAAUGGCACAUUCCAGUGCUGUUACAGCACAUUUUGCCGUUACCAAAUAUUCAAAAUUGGCAUCUUAAUGACACAUUAUGGUGCCACUGAACAUUUGGCCUUUGCCAAAAAUUCAAAAUCAAUAUCUGAAUGGCACAUUGCAGUGCCAUUGCGCAAAAAAUAAAAUACCCUGGCCACAGAGAUUGAAGCCCCAUUCCAUGGCAAAGAGCCAUGGUCUGUAAAUAGCACAGCCAACUGGUAAGCAUUGGCUGAUGUGCUAUCACCCAACAAGAUGAGCAAUGAGCUCGCAGCGUGGCAGAGUACCACAGGGGCUGUUGUAUGGCAGCCAGAGAAUGGCACCACACAAAAAAGGGCCUUCAAGGACGCCUUCUUGACAUCCAUGGACCAGAACCUUCAGCCCCAGAUAACCGGGGCCUUAGGCCAGGAAGUUUCGCUAUGCAUUAAGCUCCCAAGGCACACUUAUGCCCACUAUUGACAGCACGGCCAGCCCAAGACCUUCACAGAAAGUCCAAAGCUUUUGAACUGCUAGCUACCCUCCACUCCCCAUUCGGGCUCAUCCUAUUCUGCUGGCCUAAUCCACCCUCGAUUGCGCGCAUGUGGCUGUCCCGUCUCCAAUACCCAAAACACGCCACCAACCUACUGUUACUCACCGAUUGACCAGAAGCACUAAGCCGAGGAAUCUUCGAUUACCCCCAAAACAGGAAAAGAACAAGAGCGCCCAAUAUUUCCCUAACCAACGGCGCGCAAAGAUCCAAUCUUUGAUCGAACCAACCCCCUGAAGCCUGAAAAAAAUCCAUCUUUCUCAGGCGCGGGCGAACCCUAGCAAGAAGGAGAGGGAAGGGAAAGGGGCGGGGCAGCUCGCACCUUCUGGAUCUGCUCGGUGGUGAUGCCGGCCGACGGUGGCGCCGCCGCCGCAGCGGCGGGCGCCUGCAUGGGCAUCUGCUGCUGCAUCGCCGUGGGCUCUGCCGGAGCCGGUGGGUGGGGGCGGCGUAUCUUGCCUUCGUCGCUUGCUUUUCGAGGUUUCUCGAGUUGGUGAAAGUGGAGUUGGGGCUUAAGGUUGGUUGUGGUACUACGACUACCGGGAGUUGGAAGAAGGAAAUUUUGCAGCAGAGUACUCAGCAACUUGGUAAUGGUACGAGUGCCUCUGAGAAUGGAAAAGCAAUGGGGAGAAAAAAGGAGGAGAGGGGGAAUGACGAGUUUGCCCUCGCCCGUCUAGAACGAGACAUAUGUAACCCUCACGAUGAUGAUACUAAUGCUUUUAUCGAAAUGCUGCUAUUAGAUAUUUGCAGCUAUAGAGUGAAAUAUCUAGUUAGUUAGACAAGGAAAUAUCCAGGACAAUUUUGUGCUGAAUUUAUUUAUUUAUUUAUUUAUUUACAACUCACGUGAAAAGAUCGGUUAAUCCAUUGUCUUGUGUUUAUUUUCGUCUUUUCCUUGCGUGCAAGCUCUUUUUCGCCGAUUCCACACGUGAAAUGAUAGAUUCACUCUUGUCUUCUAUAUCCUUUUUACCUUUUUCUUGUGUGGACGCUCCACGAAAACAUCUUCGGUGGGUUGUACUCAUCAAUCUAUCUCUAUGGACCAUUUCUUUUCGAGAGUGGGCAACACAUACAUUUUAUUAAGCAGUUAAGAGUUUUUUUAUAGCAUACAUGAUAUCUUAUCAUCCUUGAUUGCUCGGGAAGGAAAAAGAAACCAUUAAAGCUAUAUUAAAAGACUAGGCACGACCGUGGAGUAAACAAUUUAUGCGUCUCAUUGUCUAUGUAUAGCAGUUUUCUUAGCCAAAGUUUCUAAUUUCAUAAUUCAUAUUAUGGAGAGUUAGUUAUCGUGACUAUAUUAAUUACUUAGCCAAUGGUGUGGGGAUGAAGAGCUUAAUUUUGUAGCAUCUAGUAUCAAUUGUAUCCAGAUGUUAUAUUUUUAGUGCAAAAAUAGUAUAAUAUUAACGUUGACUCAGUGCUUUAGAGAAGCAAAGAGAAGGUGUGGUGCGAUGAGCGUGUCAUAAAACAACAUAAUAAGUGGAUGGAAAUGGUUUUAUUUUUAUCGUGAACGCGAAUAUGGGAACACCCUAUUAACUAACAUUAUUACCAUUAUUGAAUAUUACUCUGCACUCCAUCCAUUAACUAACAUUAUUAACUAACAUAAUUAUAAUGUGAACGCGAAUACGCGAAUAUGGUUGUCGUCUUGUCACGUAGCAGGAGCUCAAACUAAAGAAAAAAAAUAUGUGAAUAAUUGUGCGUUCACAUUAUUGAAUAUGCUGUUUAAUUUUGUACUGAGAGAAUCUAAAUGACCAAAGCACUACUGUAACGUGAAAUCUUACCAUGCGUCACAAGUUUUCACGGUUCUUCCUCCUCAUGGAUUUGAGGAAAUUGCUUGGGAGGGUUAAAUGGCAAGAACAGGAGGAAGGGGUAAACCUGUCUUUCUAGAACUUUAUGGUUACGGCAGCAGUUGCAGCACUGCUGACUGAUGAGUGAUGGAUGGAGUGCAGAGUAGGCAAGCAGAGCAUUGCCCUGUGCGACUGCGACCGCGACAGUGGGGAGCGCACACUUUGGAGUCUUGGAGCCUGGUUUGAAAAGGUGAAACUCAUGGCUCCACGUGACUCGCACGGUUAAAAAAAAGGUUACGCCAUGUCUCUUUUUUUUUCCCUUUCCUUUUUGUUUCGCUUCGAAGCAUAGGAAAAGGGAGGAAACAGAUUCCGUAACUAAAAAGAGGUGAAAGCGAAAUGCUGGUCACGUCUAAAAGAUGCAAGUUUGCAUGAAAUCUAUAAGCGCCAAACUAAUGCUUUUUUGACUUGUCCAUGAAUCUAAGCAUUAGUAGAUUUCAAUUAGAGGGUGGCUCAUUAAGACAAAGGCUCGUUUGGCUGCAAGGAACUUUUCCAGUUUCUUCCAGAAUUACCAGAAUCCUUACCAAAUGGUGUUUUUUAAACGUUUCGAAUCAGAAAUAGGAGAAACCGUUUCAGUUUCUUCCAGAAUUACUAGAAUCCCUACCAAAUGGUGUUUUUUUUUAAAACAUUUUGAAUUAGAAAUGGGAGAAACGUUUCACUUUUUUACACUACGAAGGAGAAACAGGCAAAAAGGUGUUUCACCCAUUUCUGAUUCACUUCUUUCUCAUUUCAACUAUCAUCCUUGAUCAGAAUCAGAAUCUAUUGAGUGAGCCACUGAAUCCAAAAUAUUUUGAGGUAGAAACUGAAUCCAAAAUGUUUCUAGAUGAAUCUGGAACCGUACCAAACGGGACUAAAAAUGUUGCAUUGGAGGUACUGGGACAAGGUCACAAAACCGGAUAUCAGAUACUCUUGGCAUCUUGGCGAGUUUCGUCGUUGAUCUUGUGAAAAUAAAUGGCAUACAUAUAGUUAAAUCAUGCUCAUACAAAAAUCGAUUCCAUGCCAUAAAGUCCAAGAAUAGAAAUGACAAAUUGGCAAUGCACUUUGUUCGUACUUAGACGACGUUAACUUAAAACUAAAACACUGCUCUCAAACUAGUUUGGUCGUUUGACUACAAAAAAGUCGGCACAGGAUGCUGGGGCUGUACCGAACGGUCGUCACAGACUCACUUGACUUGACUCACAGCUUUGUGCAUGCGUGCGCGACGAGAAAAGAAAGGUUCUUGGUGAGGAGCGGCUGGCGUCGCACGUGGCAGAAUUUAUAGGUAGCUGGGCCAAGCAAGUUUAACUAUACUGUCUACUGCACGAGCUGACAAGUGGUGCCAGUGGCAGCCACAUAAAAAUAGCAAUGAAAUGCUGCAGCACGUACUAGGACCAAAUAUUAAAAAGCAGCAAAUGUUGUUGGAGCUUGGAACUUGGAAGCUGCAAAUGUUGUUAAGAUUCAACAAAUAUGCCAAGGGAGGAAGAGGACACAUGGUAACUAGCUCCUUACUUGCAUUAUGUGGUGUGUAAAAUAUACACAUCCCUAAGGUAAGGUACCAUGUCAACAACAUCAGUGGCAGUAGUAGGCUAGUAGCCAUGCCGCUUCAUGGAGAUGACUAUUGUCAUUAGAAUCUCGUGGGGGAGCAAGGGUACAUGUUUGAACUAUUUUUCCGAUAUGAUUUGUUGGUUUUCCGAUAUUGUCAUUAGAAUGUCGUAAUGCAAUUAUUUUUCAUUGAAUGAACAAAAGAGUUUAAGAAGUAGAUAUUGUCAUUAGAAUGUCGUAAUGCAAUUAUUUUUCAUUGGAUGAACAAAAGAGUUUGAGAAGUACUUAGACUUCAAAUGGUAGCACUUCAUUUGAGUAAUCCACGCAUUAUUGAGAAGCUUUAACUCGUUGGCACAAGCUCGUAAAGAAGCAACAUGCUCACCAAGUCAAACCUAUUUUCUCAGAAAUUUAGGCGCGUAAUUUACGUUUAACUUGCAAUAUUUGUUUCGGUUUUGAGUACCACUUCCUCAUGGGUGGGUAUAUAAUAACUAUCGUUGGUUAAGAGAGAAUGUUCCGCUAAAAGUUUGACAAUUUUAAAUGCUAUCCUAAACAUGCAUUAUCAAGGGCACAUGGCCCACCUCCCCCCCUCUCCUUCCGGCCCCUCUCCCCCCUCAAUUUUUCUUUCCAAUAUUUGCAAUACGACCAUGGACUGUGAACCUUCCGUCCGGCUUUUCUUAGACUAAACAUAGAGCUCGGCACCUGGCUUUAGGACUGAAGAAGCAUUGAGGUUGCGGACGGCGACGACAUCCAUCUGUGAGUGACGUACCAAGAGCAUUGCAGUUGUUCAUGCCACCAAGAUUUUCGGUGGAAUAAGAAGUUGAUCUGUUCCAAGAAAUGACAGCAAUGACCACUACACCCACAUCAGUACAACACACAGGGGGACAUUUUGUCAAUGACAUCUUCAUGAGGCGUGAACAGCCUCACAGAUGCUACGACCGAUGGCUUCCUAUGUGCGCUGUAACAACAGAGUUUUUGGAGCUCUAAAAUAUCAUCAAGUUGAUGAUAAGGAAAUUUGAAGCAAAUUAAGAUAUUAUGAGCCAAAUUCAAAUUUGGAUGAAAGAUGACAAAAAAUUCAAAUAAAUGGUUAAAUUUGGAAAAAGUUGAAUCAAAUAUGGAAUCAUGAGUUUAAAUUGACUAGAAUUCAGUGGAAUCAAAAUUGGGACCAAAUUCAAGUCAUAAGGGUCUCAAUUGCUUAGUCAAAGUUGUUGACUAGAGUCAACUUGAACAAAUCUGAAAUUUGUCCCAAGUCAUCUUUGAGCUUAAUUCCUGAGAAAUUUUCAUUGCAACUUAUAGUAUUUCAUUUACCAGAAACGCUUGAUGCUCAAUUGUGGUUAGUCCCAUCUCAAUUACUGUCUCGAGCCAUUGCAUUUUCCGUAACUAGUUCAUGGUACAUCCCUCUUGUCAAUAUAGUAAAUGGUUCCUCGAAACAGCGUGAUGUCUAAUUGUAUUACGGUAACCGGAUUUGCACUUUGCAGGUGCUGGUAGACAAAAAUCAAUAGGGCCGCAGUAUGCCGUUAACAGGGAUUACGAAAGCCAGUUAGGAUGCAUCACGCCGCUGGCUCGGCUUGUGGGCUCUUGGGUUUAGUACGGUAGUAAUUAACGCGGAACGGGCGGAGCGUCAACGUGGCUCGGAGACUACGUACUAGUUUGCGCGGUCGGUUCGCUUGGCUACAGAAUGGUCCUGUGGUGCUUUGACACACCACGAUUUACCUUGUUGUUCGCAGCCCACGUUGGUUAGGAUAAAACCAAUUAUCUUGACCUACCUACUGCAAACCAUGAAUUUUUAUCAAAAUAUUUUCUACCAGACAAAUUAAUAUACUAAAAUUCAUGUUCGUCUUAUCCAUGGGUGUCUCCACGUCGUACAUACUGAGUUAGACAAAAUUAAAAUGAUCUACAAUUUGAAAUGGGUUGAGCCAAAUUAUAGAUUGUUGGAAUUUAGGUUCUUGGAUUCUUAUUAUCUACACUAAAAUUUAGGUUGUUUGGAUCAACAACAGAUUUUAAACUGAUUUUCAUAGUUUGUACCCGCCCUAAAUAUGCCCUUAGUUUUCAUCUGAACUAAAUAGUUUGUCUAAAACGUCAGUAAAUUAGAAGUGGUGGGAACAAUAUUUUAGGCCCAUAUGGGUUAGCCCAAUAGAGAGUUUGUUUGGAUUGAUGUUACAAUUUGAAAACCCAUAAUAUCAAAAAUGUUAUAUAGUUAGAGAAGGACCGAUGAGUAGCGAUAUUUGUGAAAUUUCAAUUUCAACAAAAAUUUGAAAACCCCACAAUUUUUUGCGAAUAUAUUUUAACCUAUACUACACGAGUAUAGAUACGGACACACGGACACGUCGUUUCACAAAAAUACAUUUUAUCAUUUUUAAAUUAAAUAAAUAAUAACACAUUAAAAUUCUAAAGGCAUUUGCCGUCUAAUAUGGCAAUAGUUCACAGGAAGUAGCUUGCAAGCAAAGCAUCCGAAUGGGUAGAAGAAAUCAACCAAGAAGAAGAAUAGAUCGUGAAAGGGAAAGGGAGGAAACUUAUCGGAGGUCACCUCGCCGGCAAGCGCUGGAGCUUGGAGGAGUAGAGUAAUGGAGGUUGGUUGUUGCUGGCAAGGACUUGACGAGUGGAGGAUCGUGUCGCGUGUUCGCCGAUGGCAUGUGCCGGAGGAGCGGAGGCUCAUCGUCGCGGGACAUCAGCGCUGCACGCUCUUGCAGGUGGCAGCCGGCCGGCAGGUCGCCCACGGGAGCCGAGGAUAAGGCGUCAGGGCUGCUGAGACCUGAUGGUGGGCUGGGCCGUAUCGCCAAACUCGAUUGAUACGUCUCGGCCCACGUAUUUGAUUUUUUUGUAUUUAUUUUUAUUGCCUGAUAGUAUACGUAUCCGAUACAAUUGCCAUCUAACAAACAAACAAAAAACAAAGUCAACGGCCGCGGAAGUUGACACCCCGCCGCAGUGGCCAGGUCCAAUCCGGCGAAGAGCGGCGGCGUGAUUCCCGCCGGCGGCGAGCGUUGAGUCCUAGCUCUCUCUCGUACUCCCGUUCUUCAAUUUGUGAAGGUCCCAGAACCGAGCUCCUACUUCUCACGCCAUUCUACAAUUGGGGGUUCUUCAUAAAUGUUCCACGCGCAUACACAGCAACCUUACUCGCAAUCUUGCAGGGACGGAUUCAUGGAGGUGGUGAUGGGGGUAAUGUCGAGGCUCAUCCUCAAGAUUGGGGAUCUGCUCGUCAGCGAGUACAAGCUGCAGAAGGAGGUGAAGGGGGAGAUCAUGUUCCUCCAACCUCAGCUCGAGAGCAUGCAGGGCGCCCUCAAGGAGAUAACCAAGGUUCCGUCAGACCAUAUUGACACCCAGGACAAGGCCUGGGCCAGCGAUGUGCAAGAGCUCUGCUAUGACAUAGAGGACAACAUCGACACAUUCAUGGUGCGCGGCAUGGGCAUUGAGCCUGCAGGGCCGGAUGGCAUGAGGGGGUUCAUUAGCAGGAGCCUUGAUUUGCUGACAAGGCUCCGGAUUCGCCGCAAGGUUGCUACUGACAUCAGGGACAUCAUUACAAGAAGGCAAUAGAGCUCGUUGGCAUUGAUGAGGCAAGGGAUGAGCUGAUUAACAUUCUGGUGGAAGGGGAUGGUGUGUCCAGCCAGCAUGGCAAGGUAGUUUCCAUAGUUGGAUUUGGGGGGCUGGGAAAGACGACUCUUGCUAAUGUGGUGUAUGAAAAGAUCAAGGAAAAAUUCGAUUGCUGGGCUUUUGUUACCGUGUCUCAAAAUCCUGACACGAGGAAAUUCUGCAAGGGGUUUCUCUAUGAACUUGGAAAGAACAUCAAUGAUGAAACAUUGGAUGAGAGGCAGCUCAUCGAUCAAACCAGAAAACUCCUUCAGAUGAAGAGGUAUGAAGAAAUUGCACAACAUUUACACUCCGUCAAUUUCACAAUACUACUAUACUAUAAUCGUCAUGCACAAAGCUUACAUUGGCACUAACUCAAAAAGUAAGUGACCUUAACUAGAUUAGUUUGCAUAUUAUGAUAAGUUUUUUGUAUUAUAUGUGCAGGUACUGCAUUGUUACUCUGCAUUGUUACUGAUGACAUAUGGAGUGUCUCGAUUUGGGAUAUGAUUAGAUGUGCUUUCCCCAAUGAUGUUGGUGGAUACAUAAUUAUCACAACUACCUGUAUUUUAAAGGUAGCCGAACGAGUUGGUGGUGCUUACAUGAUGAAACCCCUUUGUCUUGAGAGCUCCAGAAAAUUACUAUACAGAAGAAUAUUUGGCAAUGAAGAGAAAUACAAAUGUCUUGAUGAGCACUUAACAGAAGUAUCUGAUAGAAUUUUAAAGAAAUGUGCAGGUGUACCAUUAGCCAUCAUUACCAUAGCUAGUUUGUUUGCUAAUAGAGCUAGAGAUACAAUGGACUGGUAUGAGGUGUGCAACUUUAUUGGUACUGGAUUGGAGUAUGGUCUAGAUGUAGAGAAUAUGAGGAAGAUUUUGGCAUAUAGCUAUUAUGAUUUGCCACCUCAUCUAUGGACUUGCUUACCAUAUUUAAGUGUAUUUCCUGAAGAUUCUGCAAUUGAAAAAUUUCGGCUGAUAUGGAUGUGGAUAGCUGAAGGUUUUUUACAACAUGAACAAAAAGGGAAAGGCCUAUAUGAACUUGGAGAAUAUUAUUUUAAUGAGCUCAUAAACAAAAGUUUGAUCCAACCAGUGUAUGACAUGUAUGAAGCCACAAUAGAAUCCUGCCGUGUACAUGAUAUGGUCCUUGACCUCGUACUUUCCAUUUCAAGUGAAGAAAAUUUUGUUACCAUAUUAAUCAAUGAGCACAACGCAUCUUAGGAAAAAAAAGGUUUGUAGAUUAUUGCUUCAGAGCAACACUGGUCAAGCUAUUCCUUGUGCUCGUAUGAACAUGCUACAAGUGAGGUCAGUUGUUGCCUUUUCACUAGCUUUUAAUCUAAUGCCAGCCCUUGGGACAUUCAGAGUUUUGCGUGUAUUGGAUUUAAAAAGCUGUUAUCUUUCACAAGGUUGUGAUCUUAAGCAUCUCGGAAAUCUAUUUCACUUAAGGUACUUGGGAAUAGGAAGCACAUAUCGUGCUCAGCUCCCUGAUGAUGUAGGAAACCUGCGAUAUCUACAGACAUUAGAUGUAGUGGGAAGUCUUUUUUUAAGUUUGCCAUCAACAAUUGUUCAGCUAAGAGAUUUGAUGUGUCUACGUGUCGACCAGAGUACAAGAGUGCCAAACGGGAUUGGGAGCCUAACAUCCCUUGAAGAGCUCUCAACCCUUUACAUAUGUGAUGACUCCAUGAAUAUUUUAGAAGAGCUAUGCCAUCUGACCGAACUCAGGGUGCUAGGCAUUUUCUUGUUCCCUACAGAGAAUGUAACCUUGGGGAAAUCUCUGGUGAUGUCCCUAUGCAAGUUGCAAAAAGUCCAGAGUCUGACUAUCUGGGCCACUGGUGGUGAAUGCAACUUCGAUGCAUGGGUUGCCCCUUGACAACUCCAUAGAUUGCAACUACAAUCCUGCUGGUUCUCAAGGCUUCCAGAUUGGGUGAAUUCAUUACUUCAGGACCUCUUCUCCCUACGGAUCUCUGUGAGGGAGCUACAUCAUCUUGAAAUUCUUGGAAAGUUGCCAGCCCUUCGUUAUUUGUAUCUGAUGGUGGACCAUGAGAACCUCAAAAUCCCUCAGAGAUUCAUCAUUUGUACUAGUUCAUUCCCAUGCCUUGUGCGAUGCAUGGUGUUGGGAUUUUUAGGAGCAGUGGUGUUUCAGCAAGGAGCUAUGAUAAGGCUUGAAAGCCUUGCAUUCACAUUCCAUGCAUGGGAGUUGAGAGAAAUUACGAGCAGUGAUGGUAGAUUGAACUUGGGCUUGGAGAACCUGCUGUCACUCCAGGAUGUCCUGGUUUACUUCCGAUCAAGAGGCACCAGUGUGAUGGAAGUGGAGGAGGCCAAGGCCGCACUAAGCCAUGCGAUUGAGAUUCAUCCCAGUCAUCCCAAGCAUGACAUAUGGGGAUGAAGGUUAGCUAGCCGGCUAGCCGUGGUUGUUAUCUUUUUUCUUUCCUCCAUUUUGUCCGCUGAUCUAAUCUUAAUUUUUCUCUGUUUUUUUUCUCACAUUCAUAUUGAUGUUCGUCUGUGCAACAGAUAUUCAUCCUACAGAUAGAUGAAUCCUGCGUGCACACAUACUUAACACAUGUAUUCUGCCAAGAAAACUAUCUAAUUCUGCAUACCAGUACAUUUUCUCAGUAGUGGCGAUCUUGUUUUAGUUACUCAUUUGACCGAGGACAUGAUGCAUGUCCUCUUUUGCUUUUCCAUCCACUCUAGGUAGGCAAAUAUGUUUUUUAGUCAUGUCUCUAUUUUUAAGGGGUAAUUUUUUUGGGUGAGCCUAUUGCAAUUUGUGCCUAUUGCCUCCUGGAACUUGUCCUCGGUGAUGAAGUUGUUAUCGCCCAUGGCGGCAGGAAAGCGAUGAGUUUAGCAGCGCGCAGGGGAAUUUGGGGCGAGGUGGAGGGGCGAUUGGCAGUAGGCAGAAACCAAGGAUGGUCCCGUCUGAUGAGCCCUUUAUUGUGGACUUUGACGUGUCCGGAUCUGGUUUUGGAGCUGUUCUGCAUCAAGGUGCAGGGCCUAUAGCUUUUUUCAGCAAGACGGUCACCCCUCAGCCUGCUAAACUUGCAGCCUAUGAACGGAAGUUAAUUGGGUUGGUUCAGACAGUAAAGCAUUGGCAGCCAUAUCUUUGGAUCCGGGAGUUCAUCAUUUGCACAGAUCACUGUAGCUUAAAGCAUCUCCUUGACCAGCACCUGUCCACAAUUUCGUAGCACACUUGGGUCAGUAAGCCAUUUGGCUACAGCUUCCAGGUUGAAUAUAAACCCAAGAAACAGAACGUUGCCGCUGAUGCUUUGCCUCGCUGAGAUGAACAGGACCUAACCGGCCAAGUCCACGCCAUCUCUCGCCCGGAGUUUGCUCUAUUUGACUAAUUCAGGGAGGAGGCGUCCUCCUUGCUGGAGGUACAGACCAAGAAGCAGGAGAUUGAAGAUGGGACAGCAGAGGCGGCAUGGUCUGUUGUUGAUGGAUUUGUCAUGCAUCGACGCCCAAUUUUUGUUCCUGAUUCAUUUGCCAUGUUGCCGCAACUCCUUGUUGCUGCCCAUGGUGCCGGCCAUGAAGGGACAUAGAAAACUCUCCAUUGGCUGCGCGCUUCAUUCUACAGUCCGCAUGCGCCCAAGUUGGUUCACGACUAUGUCCGGGGCUGUGAUGUCUGUUAGCACAAAAAGACUGAACAUCUCCUCCCGGCGGGAUUGCUGCAGCCAUUGGACGUUUCCCAGUCCAUUUGGAGUGAUAUCGCUAUGGAUUUUGUUGAGGGGUUUCCCAAGGUAGGUGGCCGGUCUGUUGUCCUUAUAGUGGUUGACAGAUUCUCCAAGAUGGCACACUUCAUCGCUUUGGGCCAUCCCUACGUAGCCCUCACAGUGGCUCAAGCAUUUUUUGAUGACAUAGUUCGCCUCCACAGUCUGCCAUGCUCCAUUGUUAGUGACCGUGAUCCUGUUUUCACUAGUACAUUGUGGAAGGAGCUCUUCACCCUUGCCGGCAUCAAAUUGCGCCUCAGCUCCGCUUUCAGGCCGCAGACAGAUGGACAAUCUGAAGUCACCAACCGUGUUCUAGGGAUUUAUCUUCGCUGCUUGGCAGGGGAUCGUCCUCACAGCUAGCUGUGUUGGUUGCCUUGGGCUGAGUACUGCUACAACACCUCCUAUCAGUCCAACCUGCAAUGUACUCCUUUCCGGGUGGUGUUUGUCCAUGAUCCGCCAUCACUGUUGUCCUACCAGCCGGGUUUAGCACGUGUGGUAGUAUUGGACCGAUAGCUCGUGCAGCAUGAUGAUUUUUUGGCAGAGAUACGGGAACAUCUUCUGCAACGUCUUCUGUAGGCCCAGGAUUAUAUGAAGGCCACACAUGAUAAAGCUCACAGGGCGCUGGAGUUUGAAGUAGGCGAUUGGGCCUGGUUGCGCCUGGAUCACCAUUCAGCCGCGGGUAUUAGUGACAAGACCAAUGCAAAGCUUCCUCCUUGCUUCUAUGGUCCAUUUCAGGUGGUUGAACGAAUUGGGCAAGUGGCAUAUCAUCUUUGCUUGCCACUAAAGGCUCGGAUUCAUGACGUUUUUCAUGUUGCCUUCCUGAAGAAACAUCAGGGACCUGUUCCUGAUCAGAUUAUUGCUCCUGAUCAGAUUAUUGCUCUGCCACCGGUUGUUCAUGGUUGUGCUGUUCCUACUCCGGAUAAGGUGAUGCGUGCUAAGCCUACAGCCAAUUCCUGGCAUCUUCUAGUGCAAUGGGCUGGCUGUGGUGCUGCUAAUGCUACAUGGGAGCCGUUGGACAAGUUCAAGGAAAGCUACGCUGAUUUCAAGCUCGAGGGUGAGCUUUUCUGCCAGGGGCGGAAGUGUUGUGGACAGCUUCUUUGGCAAGAAGUUCCACCGCAGGCCUAAAGGGCUGGCCUCUUCUAGUGCCGUCAGUUAGUUAGCCUCAGCUUAGAGAUAGACUUUGAGUUUGUUACAACUUAUAGAUAGAAUCCUAGUCUAUUAAAAUUUUGUAUUAGCCGGCUCAUUAUAUAAGAGUCUUAGGCGUCAGGGAUUUGGCAAGCAGAAAGGCAGAUCUGAACUCAGAACCUCCUAGGGAGGGCGAGUAGGACUCUGCCAAUCUGCCAUUGUAAUCAUAUCCAAUCAACUAGCCAUAUCAGGUGAACCUAUUGCAACUUGUACCAUUUCGCCCAUGCUCACAAUGCUCAAGAAUUGGGAGCAACUAUGUCCAUUUCGCCAUCUGCACCUGUACAAGUUGUCGAUCACCCUCCUGGAAGCAGCAGCAUCAAGACCAGAGAGGCCCUCUCUGACUGGGCGCUGAUGGAAAGCCUGGAGGUUCAUCUCAGUGAGAAACUGAGGAUGUGGCCGGUGUUGGAUGGUUGCACUUGAACUGACCUGACCUGAGAAAUCAAGUAAUGCUAGCUAUGGCCGAUGUGCUGUCUAUCUAGAAUUAGCCGGAAUGUAAUGUGUGUGAUGUCAGCCUAUUAAUGCUAAUUGAGUUAAGAACUUAGGCUGGCCUGAGUGCCAAGCUUUUGUGAAGAGUGACAGGCACUUCCAUGUUGUAAACUGAACCAGAAUCCUUGUUUUCCCUUUUGCAAUGCAAGCGGACUGGGGGUAUACCCCUACAACUCUAAAAAAACUUAUUGCAACUUGUGCUAAUUAAAAGCUGACUUGAUACUUACUAUAAUGGAUGAAACUACAUCACUGCUGGUUCUCUGCACUGAUGUUUGUUUCGCCCUUCAAUAUCAUUGUAGACUGAAACUGCAUGACUACUGGUUCUCUAAUCUGCUAUUUUGGACUCAUCCCAAACUUAUGGAUCUCUCUUUCAUUUGAAUAAUCUGGAUACCUUCGGGAGGUUGCUAGCUCCCCGUUAUCUUUAUUUGAAGGUGGGCCAUAGAAAAUUCAAAAUUCCCUUGUUUGGAUAAAGCCAAAUCAUCCCAAUACUCAUGUAUUGGAGUGAAAAGAAAAACCAAUUGGAAGGGACUACUGUGUUUCCAUUCAAGACCAAGGACAUUCGCUGUUGGUGCUUGUUCGUUCCAAUGCCUGGUAGGAAGUUGGUUGUUCAGAUUUAUAGGAGCUUUGAAGUUCUAAGCAAAAGAAGCUAUACUGUCGUGAUUUUCACCUUCAUCAUCUUGUGAAUUAGUCGGUGAAUAAAUAUGCAUAGUAUUUAUUUGUUUAAGGUCCUUUUCUUCUCUGCUAACAAAUGGCAGUGGUGCUUGCAAUUUCAAAUCACUACAUUUACUUAAGGACUGUUUUCAACUUUUGAUCCUUAUGUAUUCCUAGCCUGCUAAAGCUGACCUUUUAUUUUGUCACUAUAAACCCACUGCAGGUGAAAUAGGCAAUUCAGGAGACAGGCUUCUGUACAAGGAAUGUUUGUUUAUCAGUGUGGAAUGUAACCAUCAGCAGUUUUUAAAAGUUAGUUAUUUAUGAUAAAUGGUCAAAAUAGUUUAAGGUGAUUGCAAUCAAGUCAGUAAGCUAUGCCGCUCAGUAAACUAGUCCUUGCUCUUAUUUGGGUGUUCUAUGGAUUUCUUUUGGUUCUUAUUUGCAAAUAGACCCCAAUAAUUAUGAUAAUUACAUAAAUAGGAGCUGCCGAAGGAUCGGAGCUCAACUCAGAGCCGAAGCUGUUCGAGGACGACAACGAAGAGGAAGACUGCUCAAGUUCACAUCCAUCCGCUUUGAAUACGUAUUAGGCAUUGCUACUAGUAUGCUAGUGCUUUAUUUCUUUCGAAAUAGCAUGGUAGAUCAUGCUCGGCAUCUAACUUCUAUAAAUAUGCAACAAUUUAGGAAAAGUAGCUUUGACCCAAAAUACCUAUAGGUUUGCCACCCAUUUAAUUGGUUUUUGACUUUUGGACAAUCAAAAACAGAUUAGGAACCCAACCAAACCAAAGAGACCGUGAGCUAGAUAAGCAGCAUUCAUGGGCCGAGGAAGGAUCACAUCUGGGCUUUGAGCGUGACAUGCAUGCAUGCUGGCCCCUUCCAUGCAUGGACGACCUCUUGUUAUUUUUAUUAUGAUUUCCAAGAUAGAGAAACCAUUUAUUUAUUUUUUAUAAAAAAUAUCAGCGAGAUGCCCAAACAAGACUAAGCCCUUGUUUAGUUCACCCCCCACUCCCAACUUUGGCACUAUGUAAAAAGAAGAUUCGCCAUCACAUCAAACUUGCGGUACAUGCAUGGAGUACUAAAUGUAGACGAAAUUAAAAACUAAUUUCAUAGUUUUGUUGUACUUUGCGAGACAAAUUUUUUGAGCCUAAUUAGUCAAUGUUUGGACAAUAAUUCACAAAUACAAACGAAACGCUACAGUGUGCUACAGUGCUGUAACAGUAAUUUGGCACCUCCAAACUUUGGCAACUAAACAAGACCUAAGGCUACGGCACAUGGUAAAAAAUUGAGUGGGGACGGCCCCCACAAUCCUCCGCGUGAGCACCUCCUCACGAUUUCUGCCGUGUGGAGAACUCCACGGAUCGACGACGCUCGUGCCGCGCUUGUUCCGCAACGCGCAGGCUCGCUGGCUCGCUCGGCUCUCGUCUCCAAACUCUCUCCAGGCUCGCUUUCUCGGCUCUCGUCUCCACUCGUCCGCCGCCACCGUCCGCGAAAAAAAAUUCCGUCCUCCGUCGCCGGCUGCCGUCGUCCACGCCGCCGUUUCCACCGCGCACCUCUGCCACCCGCCGUCCAGUUCGCAUCGCCCCUGCAGUGCUAGAUACAGAGAAAAUACCAAUGGCGACCAUCAUAUAUGUUGUUUCAACUAAAGAGAGCACGAGUUUCAGUUUGACAACUGAGAUUUCCGGUCAAAAAGCGCUGGCAAUCAGCAAUCCUUCUCAUUCAUUGCUGGGUCCCAGAAAACCUUCCAGGACAUAUUAGCAGUACAAGAGGUUUCUGGAAGUUCCUCUACUUACAAAAAAUAACACACGACUUGCUACAAAAAAUCAAAGUAGAUUAUGAUGAAACUCUAUGAUGCACUUGCGCUACUCCAUUCAGUUCGGCAUGCACCGACGAACCCACGCCGAGAGAUAGAAAGCAGUCAUGAACUCAUGAUGAGCCACCGAAAUUUCGAGGCAAAUUUCCAUGAGGGAUGAAACUUACUCCGGCUAAAUGUCUUUCGAAAGCUUCGAUUUAGUUUUGGCGUCUGUCUCCCCAACCAGUUUCUUUUGAGGAAUUGGACGCAUCAGUCAAUGGAAACAUCCAUACUGACUAUGAACAGCAUUUUUUAUCUACUGGGCACAUUAAGCUUCUGAAAUUGGCACUACACUCUGCAGCUAUCCCACCAAAAUUAGCAGCAAUCCCACACGCGAGCGUCGAUUCCGCGUAUUGAUUACCUUCGGACACGAGGUAAAUCCUAAGUUCGUCGCCGUACUUGGAGAGCAUCUGGAUGUGCGACGGGUUCAUGUACGGCGGGACGCGGCUGAGGUAGCACACCCCACGCUUGCCGAACCCGUCCAAGCUCUUCCCCAGUAGCUUCCUCUUACCCCCUACUCCUACUACUCCUUCCUCGUCUUCGCUUCCAAGGCCUUGCUCGUCCAGCUCCUCAUCCAGGAAGUCAUCUUCCUCCUCAUCCGUGAACUGGUCCCUCUCCGUGGGACCCACCAUGGUAACUGGCUCAGGCGGCAACCGACAGGGUAGAGAAGGCCUGUGGGUGCGCCUGUGAUAGCGGCCGCCCUAAGUGCGGGGGCGAUGCGACCUGGACAGUGGGUGGCAGAGGUGCGCGGUGGGAAUGGCAGCGUGGACGAUGGAGGACGGAAUUUUUUUUCCAUGGACGGUGGCGGCGGACGAGUGGAGACAAGAGCCAAGUGAGCGAGCGAGCAGAGAGAGUUUGGAGACGAGAGCCGAGCGAGCGACCGAGCCUGCCUGUUGUGGAACCUGCAUGGCGCACGAGUGUCGUCGAUCCGAGGAGUUCUCCACGUGGCAGAAAUCGUGAGGAGGUCCUCACGGGAAGGACUGUGGGGGCCGUCCCCAUCCAAUUUUUGCCAUGCCAGAGGCCUAAUUAGUUUGAUCGAUGGCUCUUGGAGCGCGGAAAGGUCGUCAACGGAGGACUAUAAAUAUUCAACUUUUGAUCCUUAUGUAUUCCUAGCCUGCUAAAGCUGACCUUUUAUUUUGUCAUUACAAACCCACUGCAGGUGAAAUAGGCAAUUCAGGAGACAGGCCUCUGUACAAGGAAUGUUUGUUUAUCAGUGUGGAAUGUAAUCAUCAGCAGUUUUUAAAAGUUAGUUAUUUAUGAUAAAUGGUCAAAAUAGUUUAAGGUGAUUGCAAUCAAGUCAGUAAGCUAUGCUGCUCAAUAAACUAGUCCUUGCUCUUAUUUGGGUGUUCUAUGGAUUUCUUUUGGUUCUUAUUUGCAAAUAGACCCUGAUAAUUAUGAUAAUUACAUAAAUAGGAGCUGCCGAAGGAUCGGAGCUCAACUUGGAGCCGCAGCUGUUCGAGGACGACAACGAGGAGGAAGAUUGCUCAUGUUCACACCCAUUUGCUUUGAUUACGUAUUAGGCAUUGCUAUUAGUAUGCUAGUACUUUAGGUCUUUCAAAAUAGCAUGGUAGAUCAUGCUAGGCAUCUAACUUCUAUGAAUAUGCAACAAGUGAGGAAAAGUAGCUUUGGCCCAAAACACCUAUAGAUUUGCCACCCGUUUGAUUGGAUAAGCAAAAGCAGGCAAGAAGACCGUGAGCUAGAUAAGCAGCAUUCAUGGGCCGAGGAAGGAUCUCAUCUGGGCCUUGAGUGUGACAUGCAUGCAUACUGGCCCCUUCCAUGCACGGAUGACCUCUUGUUAUUUUUAUUACAACUUCCAAGAUAGAGAAACCAUUUAUUUUUAAAAAAAAUAUCAGCGAGAUGCCCAGACAAGACUAAGGCUACGGCACAUGCCAUGCCAGAGGCCUAAUUAGUUUGAUCGAUAACGGAAAGGUCGUCAACGGAGGACUAUAAAUAUUCAUAUUAUAAAAAUAAUAUAAUAUGUGAUCGUGGCAGAUGGUUUGGACUCGGGGAUCAAUCAAAUGCGCUAUGAGAGUACGUAGUGCAAGGCCACAUUUUGUUGUUUCAAUCAGUACCACAGUUUAUGCAAAUUGAGGACAAUAGUACAAGACUACGAGAGCACCAGCUACCCAAGAACUUUGUUAUUUUUAUAGAGAGGUGAUAGUGCGUCGUAUGGAACAAUUCCGUUACAAAUUAAUUAUGUGGCUGUCAAUUGUUGCUCAUCAAUGGAGAAAAGUUCUAGCUGAUGCCUAUAUGAUAGCUCCAUGAACAAAACAUAAAUAUAAACAAAUGACUCUAAAAAUUGUCUUGAGUUGAGUGACCUGCCAAUUAAGAAGCUGAUGAUCGUCUACCUCUUGUUUGUGUGCCACUAUGCCAGUGAGGCCAACAACAAUGAUAUCAAAGCUACCUUCUCCACGAAGACCAGGAUUCUGCGUCUCGUUUCUCCCCACCACCGCAAAACAAGUAAUCAUCCGGCUAAAUUUAGCUAGCUAAACUUUAAAAAAUUUCUUUUAGCUAAGGGAAUACCCCUUGCUAAACUUUAGGGACUAAACUUUAGUCCAUUUUAGCCUCUAAACCUCCAAACACCCCUACUUAUUUGGACUAAACUUUAGCCUCUAAGGGUAAGCAAAUAAGUCACCAAGAGGUUGCUUAUGGGGGCUAAAGUACACCCUGGACACCCUCUGCCCUCAUUAAUUGCUUGUCAGUUUCCCUCUCCCCUACCCCUCCGCAUGACCGCACCCACCAGUCCCCAUCAUUUGCCUCCGGUCGCCGCCACCGCCCCCUUCCUGGUUCCCCCCUCUCGCAUCCUCUCGCCAUCCCCUUCGGUGUGGUGCGGCAUGGCGCGCAUGUGCGGCGGCGGCGGCACACGCACGGGCUAGCAGCGAGUGGCACGCGCGUGUGCGCGGGCGAAGGCGCGGCGCGGCCACUAACCGGCCAAGGCAGGGCCUUUGGUCGUGGCGUUGCGCGGGCGCAUAGGCAUGGGGCUUGCCCCGGUCGCGACACGGCUGCGGUGACGCGUGGGACACCGGCGACCCAGGUCCGCGGCGGCCGGCGGCAAGGCAGUAAUGGCGGCAGCCUACUGACUAUGCUACUAGAUCUACCGAGGAGAAAAGAGCAAGGAGAGGUAAGCGGCUCACGGCAGCGCGACGGUGGCGAGCGGCGCGGCGCCGACUUCGGGCGGCGGUUCCUCAAGUGGCAGUGGCUCCGGCUCCCCUUCCACGGAUGGCAUCCUCUCCUCCUCCCUUCUCCUCUAUUCCCUUUCCUCCCCACGGCCCUCUCCUUCCUCUCUCACGCGUUGGCGGCGGCGGACGGGCAGCUCCCGGAGAGGAUGGCGAGGGGUGGGCAAUGUGGUCAUUGUAUAGGACAUUAAAUGUUGUUUAGCCCCUAAAACUAGACAGGAGGGCUAAACUUUAGUUCCCCCAAAUAAGAAAGUUUUAGUCCUUAAAUAAGCAAGGGUAAACCAAACAUGCUCUAAGUUUAGCGAGGGGUGUUUGGAUCGACAACCUAGUUAAAGAGGUAUUUGUCUAUUUUAUCCUUUUCUCCCAUUUUAGAAACUUUUCCCGAGGAAGGUGGAGGGGCAAUUUGGUCUUUAGUAAUUUAGCUAGGUUUAACAAGUAAAGAAAUCUUUAGCUAGCUAAAGUAGGUUCUAUUUGGAUCCAUAGCGAGCUAAAUUUUACUCGCUGAUCCAACCAGGUAAAAGUAGGCUUUUUUUAUUUACAAUUCUCAAACAGAACCUUGAACGAAGAGGUGGGUGGGCUUGUGAGUGCACGUGAUAAGUGAUAACCAAGGCUGGUCAUAAUGCGAGGUGACAAUGGCCCAAAGCACGAAGGAGUUGGUGUCAACUUGUGCUGUUGUCUUUCUAGGCACCGCGCUGCCACUCCCACAUGCAAAAAGUAUUUUCCUAGCUUGUGACAUUAAAAUUAGCUAAGGCCUUGUUUAGAUGGCCAAUUUGGGAGAUGCAAAAUUCCUGUUACAGCACUGUAGCACACUGUAGCGUUUCGUUUGUAUUUGUGAAUUAUUGUCAAAAUAUUGACUAAUUAGGCUCAAAAGAUUCGUCUCGCAAAGUACAACAAAACUGUGCAAUUAGUUUUUAAUUUCGUCUACAUUUAGUACUCCAUGCAUGUACCGCAAGUUUGAUGUGAUGGGGAAUCUUCUUUUUGCAUAGUGUCAAAGUUGGGAGUUGGGAGGUAAGUAAACAUGGCCUAAAACAGCUAGCACACUGCGGCGCUGCAUGCGCGCCACUGGCGCUAUGUCAGUGGUCUCUUGCGCUCAUAUAUGUGAAUCGAGAUGGGAGACAUCAGUCAUCACAAUUCUUUUAAGAGGUGUUUGGAUACUAGGUGCUAAACUUUAGCAGUGUCACAUCGGAUGUUCGGAUGCUAAUUAGAAGGACUAAACAUGAGCUAAUUAUAAAACUAAUUGCAGAACCCCUAUACUAUUUCGCGAGAUGAAUCUAUUGAGCCUAAUUAAUCCAUCAUUAGCAAAUGGUUACUGUAGCACUACAUUGUCAAAUCAUGGACUAAUUAGGUUUAAUAGAUUCAUCUCGUGAAUUAGACUCCAUCUGUGCAAUUAGUUUUAUAAUUAGCCUAUAUUUAAUACUCCUAAUUAGCAUCCAAACUUCCGAUGUGACAUGUGCUAAACUUUAGCAUGGGAUAUCCAAACACCCCCUUAGUCCUCGUUCAUUGAAGCACAUCACUGAAUUUCGGGUGGUUACGUCUCAGAAGAUUACUGCGAGCUCCGACACUGACACUAUUAGAAAUUUAUUUGAAAGGGAGGGAGCCAGAGCUCGCGGAGAAGGGAGAGGGAGCCCUCGCCCGCGGCUGGCGUGGAGGGCGGCACUGUGCUGCAUCCUCUCCUUUUCUCGGAAGAUGCUAAGGCUAAGGACAGGUAAAGGAGCGAACCGGUAUCUUAUAAUAAGUGGUAGGUGGGUAAUUUUUUUUAAAAUUGCAUACCUCCACAGCUCGUGAAAGUAAGAGAAAGUUGCUAUUAGUUUUGUAGUUUUAUACUGAGGAAAAAUAGCUUUGAUUUAAAACACCUAUGGAUUUGCCACCUUUGGCUUUUGACUUUUCGACGAACGCAGAUUGAGAAGAAAAAAAAAACUAAGCAAGAUAAGCAGCAUUCGUGGGCCGAGAAAGGAUCACACAUCUAGGCUUUGAGUGAGCAACACCCUUCCAUACAUGGAUGACCUCCUUUUAUUUUUAUUACAACUUUCAAGAUAGAGAACCCAUUUAUUUAUUUUUAAAAAUAUCAGCGAGAUGCCUAGACAAGGCUGAUACGGCACAUGCUACGCUAGAGUGUACUCCCUCCGUCCCAUUUUAAGUGUCGCUUGGAAAGCGUGACUGUGAGGGAAACACGGUUCCGAGCCACACUUAAAAAGGACAGAGGGAGUAAUUUGAUCGAUGGCUCCUUGAGCACGAAAAGGUCGUCACCGGAGGACUAUAAAUAUUCAUAUUAUAGAAAUAAUAUAACGUGUGAUCGUGGCAGAUGGAGCGGAAUCUCGACUGCCUUAUGGUUAGCAAGUGUCACAUCAAUGUUUAGAUACUAAUUAGGAGUAUUAAACGUAGAUUAUUUACAAAAUCCAUUACAUAAGUGGAGGCUAAACGACGAGACGAAUCUAUUAAGCCUAAUUAGUCCAUGAUUUGACAAUGUAUUGCUACAGUAAACAUUUGCUAAUGAUGGAUUAAUUAGGCUUAAUAGGUUCGUCUCGCUGUUUAACCUCCACUUAUGUAAUGGGUUUUGUAAAUAGCCUACGUUUAAUACUCCUAAUUAGUAUCUAAACAUUGAUGUGACACUUGCUUAAAAAUAAGCAAAGGAACCAAACGCCCCCUUAGUAUCGUUGGCACGUCUAUCCAAGACAGUGCCUGCUCCGUCCAUCCAGCCAGGCUUAAGCUGUUAAUAAGCACUCCUCCUAGAGAGAGAGACUGCUCUAAUCCAGGUCUCCAGCUGUCUCUCUCUAACAUGCUGAGUGAAAGACCAUCCAUGGAUAAAAAAAUUCAUAGCUCUACACUCUAAAAACUGGCAAGCCUUGACGAGCGGCUCCUUUUCGAUGGUUAGUGUGCUCCAACAAUACCGAGAAUUGAAGCCAAUGUGUCACCUGAAAUUUUUAUGUACUAUUAUUAAACACUAUCGUUGCUUAUGAGCCAUAUUGCCAACAAUAGAUGCAGCACCUAUUAAUAACAAAAAUAUUAUGCUCUCGACCCCCUUAUUUAUGCCAAUUAUUAAACAUAUAUUCUGUGCUUUGUAGUGGUCAGACUCCUAACACAAUGUGUACCGUAAACAAAUUUUUUUUGCAUAAUAACAUUAAAAAAGUGUUGCAAAGUUUCAGAUAGCAAGCCUUGCUCCCAUCCCAAUUUCUCCUAAUUCCUCCAAGCUAGAUUGUCUUUCGUAAGUAUCACUCUCCUUUUCAAAUACCACAUAAAUAUUUUUAUUUUGAAAGGAACCUUUAUAUGUUAAAUUUCUUGCGUAACUUUGACUCCCUUAUUGACUGGAGUUCACCAUGAAAACUCCAUUGUUAUGUAGAUUUCACCUAAAUAUAUUCGCGUCCUCAUUCAAAUUAAUACUUGCUAUUCUCACGACUAAGUUUAUACUACUCAAUUAACUUAUCCCAACUAAACUUUCUCCUAAACAAAACAUUAAUUGGGUUGGUACCAAGCACUUCCGCCACAGUUUUCGCACUAUAUUAAGGUGCUGUUUGGUUUCAGGGACUUCCCUAAACUUCCAAAUAGAGGGACUAAAUGGAGGACUAAAGGAAUUAGUCAUUUAGUCCCUGGGAUGACCAAAGGGGACUAAAGGUCCAGGAGGAUACCUUUACCCCUCAUUAUUGCAGCGUGGGAUGCAGAUUUUAUGCAUUGAUUAGGAGUAUUUUAAUCUUUGUUCAUCUGCUUUAAUGGCCUUUAGUCCCUGCAUCCAAACAGGAUAGGUUCCUAGAACCAAACACUAAGGGGGUGUUUGGAUAUCCCUUGCUUAUUGUUAGGGACGAAACUUUAGUCCAUUUUUAGCUCUAAACCUCAAAACACCCCUGCUUAUUUGACUAAACUUUAGCCCCUAAGAAUAAGCAAAUAAGCCACCAAGUGGUUGCUUAUGGUGACUAAACUGGACCCUAGACCUCCUACCCUCAUUAUUUUCUUGUCCGUUACCCUCACUCUCCCUAAGGGCACGUACAAUGCGUCUCUUCGCUCCAUCUGCGUGAUGUAUUUUUUGCAAGAAACCCCCCACCAGUGCCUGGAGACGGAAGCGUCGUCGUCUCGUGAGACGACGGGGAAGGCUCGUGGCCCGAGACCGAAACACCAGCUCUAGCAGUGUUGUACAUAUCGCCUUCCUAACUCGACGACACGCGGAUCCCGUGUACGUGCAGUUCUGGUUUGGACGUAUUAAACAGCUUGCAGAUGACUCUUGUAUUCGAGACUGUCACAGACGACCCUCUGUCUAUGGGUUGAACGUACCCUUAUAUGACCUGUCUUUAUACCUACCUGUAUGAUAGAUUCGAGACGUUUAGAGACAAAUACUUAUCUAUGGGUUGUACAUGCCCUAAGGGCACCUACAACCCACAUACGGGUGCCGUCUUUGUAGCUUGGGCGUUUGGUUCCCUUUGCUUAUUUUUAAGCAAGUGUCACAUCAAUGUUUAGAUACUAAUUAGGAGUAUUAAAUGUAGGUGUUGACGCCGGAUUUCGUCAUCAGAAGAAUCGGCGUCAAAGAGAAAAGGAAUCGGUCAAAAGGUGCUACAGUGUGGAAUCGGUCAAGUGGCUUUUACUUCGCUUCAGGUUCCCAAUCGGCAGUCCUUUGCUGAUACGAAAUCGGCCAAUCGGGAGGGAGGACUAAAAUGGGCCUGUAUGGGCUUGGUUAAGUGGAAAGAUAAGGUGGGGUUCAGCCCACGAAGCGUAGGGUAGUUAGUUUAGCACGGAUUGUGCUUGUAGAUAUUUGUUUUCUGUUUGAAUUAGAGAUAGAGUCCUAGUCGGUUAAGAAGAUUAUUUGUACGGGGCUAUAAAUAGCUACCUUUGUAAAUAUGUAAACACAACAAUCAAUCAAUACAACAAGUUACUUUAUUCUUCGUACUACUUUCGAGCAGGCGAUUUCGCCAUUGUUUUUCCUUCUCACGAGUUCGUGCGGGUUGGCAGGGCUGCAUCACCUUGAUCUCCGGCCGAUUCUGUAAGUUCCGCUUAUCGAGUAAUAUCUAAGCUUUAACUUCCGGCGUAUCGCUGUUGUUUCGUUUAGAUUUAUUCACUAGUUAUCGAUAUCAACUAGAUUCAUAGGUUUUUACCUGUUUUUCUAGCUUUUAUCACCAGUUAUCCCGCUAGGAAUCGGUAGUAUCGGCUUUCAUUACCUUCUGUUGCUAGAUAUAUCCGUUGCCGAUUAGAUCUUUUUCUAGUGCUGUUACGGCAUACCUUGUAUCUAUUACUUCGAUAUUUUUCUAACUACAAGGCUACAGGGAUCGUGCUGUCUAGUAGCCGAUUUCUCUACUACAGUAAAUCGGCCGAUCUGCCGAUAAGCAUUCUCGAUCGGAAACUUAGCCGAUCGUAGUUACUGAAUUUGAUACGUGUUUUUCCUUGCCAAUCAACAGGUCAGAUUGGCUGGCACGCCGCGCGAACCGCACCAGGGCAUUCACCCGAACAGGAGUUAAGCAGAUUCUCCCGGGUCGUGUGUCGGCCGCUGGACCGAUUUCUAGCGCCAACACACUUUUGGCACGCCCAGUGGGACCAUUACAAACGCUGUCAUGUCGAAAGCUGCUGAAGUCUCCGAAGAUAACGUCAUCGAAGUAACGGAAGCAGAUCUGAAGGACGACCAAAAAGAGGAUCUGAAUCAGUAUUUGGAGCAAGUCCGGAAAACUUGCUUGAAAUCCUUCAGUCGUUCCAGGAGCGGGGAAACUAUUAAAAAGUCUCCUUUUCCUACUCCCCGCCAGAUCACGAUCUCAGAAGAUUCGGACAAAAUGUCCGAUAUGAUUCAGCAAUCUCUUCACCACGCCUUCAUCACCCAGUCCCCGGUACUUUCAAACAUGGUGCAUAAUGCUGUUGUCAACUCCUUCGCCGGAGGCAUACCACAGGGGUACAAGGGGCCCACGUAUUUUCAGCCGAUUCCACCAAAUCAGGUUUAUCCGACUUCACAACCGAUCCAAUCCUCUGUUGAAGGAUCUGGUGCCUCUACGUCAUCAACUCCUUUGGGAUACGGCUCCAUCCAGCCGUCCACUGCACCACUCCCUCCAGUCAUUCCUCUACCCUGGAGGGCACCUUUAAACUCGACCGGUUUGAAUCAAUCGGUCAGCCAAGGAAAUUCCCCGUUCCAGAUACCUUCCCAAACGGCCACUCGGCCGAUCAUACCACCAUACCAGCCCAUCACUCCGGAGGUCAACAAGACGUCAGAGCUCAUGCUAUAUGAUGAAACGAGUGGUGCCUACAAACAGCCGUCCUUUACUACACCGCCGGCUUAUACUCAGAUGCCACCGUUUCACCAAUCCUCUUUCAUACAACCUCCGAUCUAUCAACAUGUGCCGAUUCCGCCGCCAGUUAUUCCCCAGCGACAACCAGAUUGGGCGGCGCAAAUCGCGGAAGUGAUGCAAGAGCAAUUCGGCUUGAAGCCGAAGGUUCAAACUUAUACCUACAGGACACCAUACCCGUCUACAUAUGAUUUGUUGCCGUUUCCCCAUCGGUACAAAGUUCCGGAUUUCACUAAAUUUUCCGGAAUGGAUGAUACUUCUACCGUAGAACAUGUGAAUAGAUUCAUCAUCCAAUGCGGCGAAGCAGCUACGCAAGAUGCCCUGCGGGUACGGUUGUUCUCGUCAUCUUUGUCUGGAUCGGCCUUCCAAUGGUUCACCACUCUACCUCCAAACUCGAUUAUCACAUGGGCCGAUCUAGAAAAGCAAUUUCACAAGUACUUCUAUGCUGGAGUCCACGAAAUGAAGCUGUCUGAUCUGACUAGCAUCCGGCAACGGAGUGAUGAGCCGAUACCCUCAUACAUACAGAGGUUUCGGGAAAUCAGGAACAAAUGCUACUCCUUGGCUCUAACUGAUGCACAGUUGGCCGAUAUAGCCUUCCAAGGCCUACUGCCACACAUCAAGGAGAAAUAUGCUUCGCAAGAGUUCGAGAGCCUAAGCCAGAUUGUCCACCGAUUGUCCGGACAAGAAGUGCGUCCAUUUGACCCAAGAAGGAAUUUCCAAAAGAAGGUAGCAUUCCUGGAAGAAGUAGAGGAUGAGGGAGACGCCGAAAUCGGGCUUGCAGAGUGGAUUAAGGGAAAGAAGCCAAUAUCAUGCCCAUUCGGCAAAAAGGAGCCAGAAGCAUUUGGCUUUGACACAACUAAGGCUGACAAGAUCUUCGAUCUUCUACUUCAGGAAGGGCAGAUUAAACUCUCGCCCUACCACACGAUCCCCUCUGCCGAAUAGUUGAAGAAGAUGAAGUAUUGCAAAUGGCACAAUGCCACGUCGCAUGAUACCAAUGAAUGCAAAAUCUUCAGACAACAAAUACAGUCGGCCAUUGAACAGGGCAGGCUCAAGUUUGAAGUGCCGGCAAAACCGGCCAAACCAAUGAAGAUUGAUCAGCAUCCGUUUCCUACCAACAUGGCGGAUACGGGUAAGAAUCCCCUCCAAACGAAAGUGCUGACAUCCGAAUCGGCAAAAAAGAGUGGCGCUGUCGAUCCCAGGAAUCAAGUCACAUCUGAAGACAUCAAGGGGAAGCGACGGAUGGAGGCCGAUGACGGUGAGCCAGAAGGACCACGCAUUACCUCCCAAUUCCUGCUCCAAAAAUACCAGCGCCAACAUGAACGAUCAAGGUCACGAGAGGAAGCAAUACGUCGGCACGAGGAACAUUGGAGAUGCCCAUUCUUCAUCCACUGUUGGGAGAAUAACCUCAGACUUCCAUCCGCUGAUACGUGCCCAGAGUGCAACGGCCCCUAUCGAAACAAUCGGCCGUUCGCAAGGUCUCGCUCUAGAGACGGAAGGCCAGAACCGAUCAGCAGGAAUCGGCGAAUUUCAGAUGAACAACGCCCUUCCAUGCGUGAUCGGCUGGGGGGCAGAAGCGACCGAUAUGAUCGGUCAGAAGGAAGAGGCCAUAAUAGGCAGGGGGGCAGGACUGAUCACCGCGAUCAAUCAAGUAGCAAAGCCAGCGUUCACAGCCGGCUCGAAGACAUGGCCGAUGCGCGGGUAACGGACGCGAACCAGAAUGGGAACGCGCCGGGAAAGAAGGGAGGCCAAUAAACCCCAGAUGGUGCCCCGACGGCUUAACCAAAUCACAAAAACGGAGAAUUCAACGCCUCCGCCAAUGGGAACAGCAAGAAGAAGAGGGCAUGAUGGACGAAAAGCAAGAAAGGCCUCGGGUGUGGCGCCCCAAAAGAAACGACAAAGGUAACGACGAGUCGGCGGGCGACGAAUCGGCAGCUGAAAUCGGUAUGGUUUUCAUAUUGCCGAUGGAGUUCAUGACCCCCGAUCAACAGGAGGUGUCGGCGAUAGAGGAACAAACAGCAAGGUUGGCUUUAGAACCGAUGAUGGCCACGUUUGAAAAGCCCGAGGAUGACGAACGACAGCAUAUGAAGGCGUUGUUCCUUAAAGGGCAUGUUGACGGUCGUCCCCUCACUAAGUUGAUGGUCGACGGUGGAGCUGCCGUCAACAUCAUGCCAUAUGCCGUACUCCGAAAGCUGGGAAAAAGCGACGACGACCUGACCAGGACGGACAUGAUGCUCAAGGACUUCGAAGGCAAGGUGUCAAACGCUCGCGGUGCCCUCUGCGUCGACCUCACCAUCGGCAGUAAGACCCUUCCUACCACAUUUUUCGUCAUUAAUGGCAAAGGGUCCUAUAAUAUGCUUCUUGGCCGAGACUGGAUACACGCAAACUGCUGCAUCCCAUCAACUAUGCAUCAAUGCCUUGUACAAUGGAUCGGCGAUAACAUCGAAGUGGUCAAAGCCGACUCCGCGUACAGCAUCGCAGCAGCCGACGCACAACAGUGGAGCUGCGAGACUGUCAGGUGCAUAUCAGGUAGGGUGUGGGAAACCGAUUUCCUGAAGGUCACCGAUUUUGGCCUACAGCCGAUCCGAGCAGUCGGCUCCGAAGAAGCGCAAUAAAUGGAUCAGUUCGCCAGAGAAGACGGGAAGCUGGGACACGGGUUCACGUCGGCCGAUUCAUUAGAGAUGGUAGAUUUAGGUGACGGGACCAAACCAAGACCGACUUUCAUUAGUGCAAAUUUAGAUCCAGAGUACAAGUGUAAAUUGACAAAUUUAUUAAGAGAAUUCAAGGAUUGUUUUGCGUGGGAGUAUCACGAGAUGCCCGGAUUAGAUCGAUCUAUUGUUGAACAUCGGCUACCCAUAAAACCAGGGUAUCGGCCGUACCAACAACCCGCACGACGAUGCAAUCCUAAAAUUUUACCGGACAUAAAAGCCGAAAUAACUCGGUUAAUUGAAGCGAAAUUUAUUCGGCAAUGUCGUUACGCCGAGUGGAUUUCUAAUAUCGUACCGGUGUAUAAGAAAAACGGGAAGUUGCGCGUUUGCGUCGAUUUCAGAAAUCUUAAUCAGGCCACACCGAUGGAUGGCUACCCCAUGCCCACGGCCGAUGUACUAAUCGACGCCGCCGCAGGGCACAAAAUUAUUAGCUUCAUGGAUGGGAACGCCGGAUACAAUCAAAUACUUAUGGCCGAAGAGGAUAUACCCAAAACGGCUUUCAGAUGUCCAGGACAUCUUGGUCUAUUCGAGUGGGUGGUGAUGACUUUCGGUUUGAAAAAUGCUGGUGCUACAUAUCAGAGGGCCAUGAACUAUAUUUUUCACAAACUCAUCGGCCUCCUGGUGGAAAUCUACAUCGACGACGUUGUGGUCAAGUCCAAAAGCCACGAGGAACACCUAGCCGAUUUGCGAAGGGUCCUAGAGUGCACCAAAAAACAUGGUCUUAAGAUGAAUCCCAACAAAUGCGCUUUCGGCGUCUCCGCCGGACAGUUCUUAGGAUUCAUGGUGCACGAACGAGGCAUUGAAGUCAAUCAGAAGACCAUAGCGGCCAUCAACAAAGUCGUCGCCCCACAAAACAAAACUGAGCUACAGUCUCUAAUCGGCAAGGUAAACUUUAUCAGAAGAUUUAUAUCUAAUCUAUCUGGACGGAUUCAGGCGUUCACGCCACUUCUGAAGUUGAAGCCAGACCAGGAGUUUAUAUGGGGAGAAGAACAACGCAAGGCGUUAGAAAACAUCAAGCGAUAUCUGGUCUCACCCCCAGUCCUGGUUCCUCCUCAAACGGGUAAGCCGUUUAAACUAUAUUUAUCAGCCGAUGACAAAGCUAUCGGGUCGGCUCUAGUCCAAGAGUUUGAAGGCAAAGAACGGGUAAUUUAUUACGUUAGUAGAAGACUCCUGGAUGCCGAAACAAGAUAUCCUCCAGUAGAGCGUUUGUGUUUGUGUCUUUACUUCUCGUGCACCAAACUCAGACACUAUCUGCUGUCGGCAGAAUGUAUAGUCGUGUGCAAAGACGAUGUAGUGAAAUACAUGCUGUCACUGCCGAUAUUGAAAGGGAGAAUCGGCAAAUGGAUUUUGGCUUUAUCAGAAUUUGACCUACGAUACGAGUCGGCAAAAGCCGUCAAGGGUCAAGUUAUGGCCGAUUUCGUUGCCCAGCACUGUGGGCCAGAGGUCGCCUUCGUAGAAACAGCGCCUUGGCAGUUGUUUUUCGACGGGUCAUCAUGCGGAGCCGGAUCGGGAAUCGGCAUCGUCCUCAUAUCGCCUCGGGGGGCAAGAUAUGAUUUUUCUCUGCCGAUAGAAACCGCCGCCACAAACAAUCAAGCAGAAUACAGAGCCGUAUUAAAAGGCUUACGAUUAUUGAGAGAGAUCAAGGCCGAUUCUGUUGAGGUCUUCGGAGAUUCGAUGCUAAUUGUGGAUCAGCUAACCGGAAGAGCUGAGUGCAAAGAUGACGUAUUGCGAAUCCAUCACGAAGAUUGCUUACAACUGUUGAAAGAAUUCAGAUCGGCAGUGAUCGAACACGUCCCAAGAGACCACAAUGAAGAAGCAAACAAACUCGCUCAACAUGCAUCUGGGUAUCGGCCAAUUCUGGGCGCCAUGGCCUUAGAGCUUGCAGCUGAUGAUUGGCGUAAGGAAAUUGCCGAUUACCUAAAAGAUCCUUCCAAAAAGGUGGAGCGACGAGUGCGUUUUCAUGCUACCAAAUACGUGCUGCUCGAAGACGAUCUGUUCUACCGAACGAUCGAUGGUGUUCUUCUUAAAUGCCUUGGAACAGAAGAAGCCAAGACUCUAAUGGGAGAAAUCCAUGAAGGGGUAUGCGGGGCUCAUCAAUCAGCACAUAAGAUGAAGUGGAUGAUCAGAAACAAUGGGUACUAUUGGCCUACGAUCCUGGAAGAUUGUUUCAAAUAUUAUAAGGGUUGUCAGGAGUGUCAAAAGUUUGGAGAUGUCCAGCGUGCACCCGCAUCGGCCAUGAAUCCCAUCAUCAAACCGUGGCCGUUCAGAGGGUGGGGAAUAGACCUUAUCGGCCAAAUUUAUCCGCCAUCAAGCAAGGGGCACAAAUUUAUUCUGGUCGCCACCGAUUAUUUCACCAAAUGGGUGGAGGCAAUCCCACUAAGGAAUGUGACCUCGGCUAUCAUGGCCGAUUUCGUAAGGGAUCACAUCGUCUACCGAUUCGGUAUCCCUCAAACUAUAACAACCGAUCAAGGAACAAUGUUCACAUCGGGAGAAUUUGAGGAGUUUACGACCGAUAUGGGCAUCAAGUUGCUGAAUUCGUCUCCGUAUUACGCUCAAGCCAAUGGUCAGGCAGAAUCUUCCAACAAAGGAAUAAUCAAGUUGAUCAAGAGGAAGAUUGAAGAAUGCCCCAAGAAGUGGCACCUAUGUUUGACCGAGGCCCUAUGGGCAUACAGAAUGGCCUGUCACGGAGCGACCAAGUUAUCCCCCUAUUAGUUGGUAUACGGUCACGAUGCAGUGCUUCCAUGGGAGUCAAGGGCAGGAUCAAGGCGCAUUUCACUGCAGGACCAGUUGUCGGCCGAUGACUACUCGGCUCUGAUGAAGGAAAAACUUGACGACUUGGCCGGCCAACGACUAAGAGCCCUAAUAAGCAUCGAAGAGAAUAAGAAGAGAGUGGCCAGAUGGUACGAUAAAAAGGUCAAGAUCAAACAGUUCUCUCCUGGAGAUUUGGUAUGGAAGUUGGUACUACCGAUUGGGUCGAAAGAUCCUAAAUUCGGCAAAUGGUCUCCUACCUGGGAAGGGCCGUAUAGAAUCGGCAGGUGCGCUCCAGGGAAUGCGUAUAUCCUGGAAACAACUGAGGGGGAAGAAUUCACUAGGGCCCUGAAUGGGAGAUACUUAAAAAGAUAUUACCCAAGUAUAUGGGUCGGGACCUAAAGGGAUAGACACAGUCAAAUAUGACCGACACAACUCGGUUUUAAGAUUCAUGUGAAAUCGACCAGAAUGGCCGAUUACGUUCAUAAUGGCCGAGGACAUUCAUUCGGGCCGAUUACAUUCGGUACGGGCGACCGAUUACAUGGCCGACAAAACACUAAGUCGCCCUUAGAAUAAAAAAUACAACAACUAAUUAUUCUUAUUCUUACGCUCCCUCUCAGCCCUACCCAGCUCUAUCAGGCGUCGAAUGUAUCUUUCCUCCAUGGCCUCCAUCGAACUCCCUGCUUCAGCUUGACGGGGAAGGCCCACGGGAGGGCGUGAGUCCGCUGCCGCCGCCAAAGCAACGGGCCGAGGUAGCAUACGAACCCUGUCGCUAGUAGGCCGCUGGUGCCGAGGAAACGAGCGGGCCCCAUCGGCAGGAAGCCGCGGAUUGCCGUUCCUUUCCAGGAAGUUCAGGAUCGCGCAGGCCGUUGAGGCGAUGUCACUACCAAGAAUGCUGCUGCGACGACCCCUCACGGCUCGGCGCGCAUGUUGAUAUUCAUUCACCACGGCCUCCAGAACCACUCGAGCAUCUACGGUGACGCGGUCUUGAAGCUCCGCCCGAUGAGCUAUGAUCAAAGCGUUGUCCUCCGGGGUCAGAGGAUCCUCAGAAUGGAGGCACUCGAUCGCGCGCACAAGCUCGGGGCUAAGGCAUUGAGGCUGAAAUAGAGAGGAAACAAGUUAAGCACGUUCACUUCCUAAGAUCUGAAAAAGAGAAGAUGAAGCGUCACCUGGUUAACGGAGGAGGACGACGAUGAAGCCAUGACGAAAUAAGCGGCGCCGAUGAGAGGAAGAGGAGAAAUGAGAGGGAAGCCAAAUCGGUGUUAUCGGAGAGAAAGCGCCGGGGCCGAUAUUUAUGGGAGAAUACAGUGAAAACUGAUGAGGCCACGUCCCAUCGGUAAUAAGGAAAGCAGUAAAUAAAGGGGAUCACGAAGGGUCAGUCAAAAGCGGCAGUAAAUGUUCGUACAAAACGGUCAGUGCUUUACAGAUUACCCAAAAGGGUAUCGAUAGCCGUGACGGCCCGACGCCGGAUCUGAUCGGCGGAGUCCAGAACCCGUUGGUCUUCUUCUGCCGAUCCAGGGACUUCCGAUGCGGUGCGGUGGAGCCUCAGAGCUUCCUGAGCAAGACGCUGCCUCUCCCGGGUCAAAUCGGCAAUAGCCGAAGGUAGUUCUUGAAGUCUGCUCUCUUCGGCGCUGAUGGCCUUGGUCACUUGUUCCAUUUCCUUGGCAAGGUCCGCUCUCCGCCGUUUGAGGCGAUCUAUCUCACUAAUAAUCGCCGGCCGUGAAUCUUCCAAGACAUGGAUCCGCCGAUUCGCUUCUUGAGCCUGGUGCUUGAAAGCAUUUUCAUCUUCACGAAUCUUGGCUAGUUUUGCGCGAUCGGCCAUAUGACGAAGGGCUCUAAAAACUGGGAUCCUCAUGGACUCAAUAAAAGCCGCCGGUGCCAACGCCUCUUCCGCUUCCUCUGGUACGCGUCCGCUGACGUCACUAAAAAGCUGCCGAAUCGGCGAAGCAUCUUCUACCAAUCGGCCGAUAUCCCCUUGAAGGAGGGAUCGGAUGUUGAUAAGCUUAGCCCGGACGUCAUCAGGGACGGAGCUUAAGGCGACUUGGCGAGAAGAGGUCUCCUCAUCAUCAGAGAGAACGACCGCGAAAGAGAAGAGACUGUUGUUGGGAGAAUCCUGUUCCUGAAGAAAUAAAGAAAAAGGGGUAAAUCGGCAGGGGGGUAGAAUAAAUCGGCUGGUAAAGCUGGUUCAAGAAACUCACCAUCUUAAAACGGGUUUCCUCGUGCUGCGCUUGCAGAGCCGUUGUACCUUGGUCAGUGACCUGAGUCAUGGGUUCAUCCGAUGAAGAAGACUCUACGACAAUCGGCACGGUGCUCGGACCGGCUCCCUGGGAAGGAAUCGGUUGUUGAGAAACGCUUGAUGUGCCGAUGGUCUGCGUCAAAGGAUCGGUUAAAUGUGUAAUGCAAAUACCCGAAGGAAGCCCAUAAGACAAGUACUGUACCUCAACGGAUGAAGGCAGGGGCGUAUUGGCCUCCGGUCGAGUUGUUGCUGACUGUGGUAUUUCCAUAGAAGAGCCCUAAGAAGCACAACAAGUUAACAAAAGUAAUUACCGAAUUGACAAAUCGGAAGAGAUAAAGUUUGAACUCACUUGUAAAGCUUCCAGCAACAGUGAGGCGGCUGCCGAUCCGGCUUGAAUAAUGGCUUGAGUGUCAUCAUUUUGUAUGGCCGGGGGUGGUGCAGUCGAGGCUUCUGCCGAUACAGGUACAGGAGGGUCCACCGAUUCCGUACGAGCCCGAACUCGGCGACUGGUUUUCUUGACGACUUUCUUCUGAACUCUCUUCGAUCGGCCAGAAAUUACAUCGACCGAUGGAGCGUCAUAGCCGAUGAGAGGGUAAAUGGUGUACGGAUAACUUUCUAUUAGCCGGCCACUGCGGCUGUGCGUGGGAGGGACUUGAUUCCCAGCCUAAAGGGGAAAUGAAAUCAUUAAGUGAUCAAUUAUGGCGAAAAGAGUACGAUCAGUAAUCAGAAGUACCUCAGCGUUGGGGUCAAUGUUGGAUGGAUCCAGAAGGUUGCAGUACGCCGAUGAUGAAUUGCAAAAUAAGAAUUGCUUCCAUUCGGCCCACCAAAGCUUGAAAGGCUGAGUUGCAAAUGGAUAUAACAGCCAAUCAUUCAAGUUGAUCGUACUGGAAUCCGGAAUUCGGUCUCGCAGCCGACAAUAGUCCAGGCCAGAUUUGAGUGCUUCUCUGAACUUGAUUUGGCCAGCGAAAUACACCCGUAUCGGCAGUUGACCCAUGCCGAAUUGCCGAGCAGCAGUAGAUGGGUUGUAGAACUCAUAUGUGGGGGCAUUUUUCCCCGAGAAGAAGUUGGCCGGUAAAAGUCCUGGUUUGAUCAACUCUUCAUAAAGACCUUCAUCAAAUCGGCCAGAAGUAGAGUCGAAGCAGGAGGGCAGCUCGAAGACUGGGAUGUCUCGUUGGUAUGGGAACCAGAUAGUGGCGUCUUCAUUAAAUCCGUUGUAAAAGCACCGAAAGUAUUCGGCUACUUUUGUGGCAGAGUAUGCACAAACCUGGAAAAGCUGACGCUGCUUCGCCAUAAGACAUACAUCGGCGGCGCUCUGAAGGGUCUUCUGCCGAUUCAAUAUUGGGAAAUGACAUGCGGUCUACUGGCUGCCGAGUGAUCCUGCUCAUAUAGAGGUUCAACCAUAAGUUGACAAACCACCAAGGCCCACCUGGGUUGCCGAUUGGUUCUCCUUUGGAAAGCUUUGUGCCGAUUUGGUGGAGCAUGUGGUACACAGCACCUAGAAGAUGUUUCCCGAGAGGGAUGCGGCUUCCUCUGGAUAGUGCUUCGGCUAAAGGUUGGGUAUUGGUUGUUGGGCCGGCGGCUCGUCCACAGAAAAAAUGUUUUUCGAGCCACAUUAACAGGAAAGCAGUGUGCUCCCUGUUAUCAACAGUACCGGUCUUCUGGUUCUCACUAAGAAAGCCCUUCCAGCCGCCGAUUCCUCUUGUGUCCAGCCGAUGUGACGGAACGGUCAAAAGUUGAUAAGGCGCGUCAGGGGAGGAUACAUCUAAGCCAGUCAAAAGGACCACAUCGGCCAGAGUGGGGGUCAUAGGACCAUGACCAAAUAAAAAUGCAUUAAGGGCAUCAGACCAAAAAUAGGAAGCUGCCAUCACCAGCGGCUCAUUUUUCUCCAUUUGCGACAGAGAAAGGUUGAUGCAUUGGCCGAUUUUAAGCUCAUCCCAUGAGACACUCCUCGAUGCGGCCACCCGUUGGUACCAUUCCCUCCAACCAGGGGUUUCAUUCGGCCAGGACCUAAAAGUACUUGCCCAUUGAUUCAAGUUCAUAUCGGACCGUUUGAAAGGUAUCCGGUCAGUUUCCAAAUCUAUAAGAACCGCCGGAUCUGGGUUUCCCAUGGGACCAAGGCAAACGAGGCCGGGACUAUCCGUAAGGUGAAUGGUAAUUCUAUCUCUAACCGCCUAAAAAAGGAAAAGAGGGCAUAGGGAUAUAAGGAGUAGAUCUAAAAAAAAAUAUUGCCGAUAAGGAGAAGAUUCGGUAUUUACCUCCGGGAUGAAGUUCUGAGUAAUCGGCGUAGCCGCCGACGUUGGCGCAGAUGAUGGGGCUGUGAAGGGAAUCGCCAUCGGAAUUUCUGAUGAAGCCCUUGCGCCUGUUGAAGAAGUGACGACCGUCGCCACCUCCGUCGGAGGAAUUGUUCCUGCGGCGUCGCGUGCUGGGGAGUUGCUGGAAGGAGUCGCCAUCGAGGGGAAAGGGGGAGAAGUGAUUGAAGCUGAAACUGGAAGACUUUGAUGGCAAGAUUGAAGAAAGAAGGAGGCGCGUGCGCUGGAAAGGAGAUAUGAGCUUGAAGAUGAGUUGCGGUGAAAUGGUAUUUAUAGGGUGCCUGAAAGAAGGGUAAAAAUGGAAUUUUCACCGCGCCGGCGCGUCAAGUUUUUCGGGGUAGUGGCCGUCGUGGGCGCCCGUUUCAAAAAAGUUGCAAUGAUCAGCCGGGAAACCGCGAAACCGAAGGAUAUUUUCACUGCGGCCGUUUCGGAGGAGAGGUUGUAAAGAAUUUCGAAGUAAAGGACUAUGUUUUACUCCGAAACUGGGGGGCAUGUGUUGACGCCGGAUUUCGUCAUCAGAAGAAUCGGCGUCAAAGAGAAAAGGAAUCGGUCAAAAGGUGCUACAGUGUGGAAUCGGUCAAGUGGCUUUUACUUCGCUUCAGGUUCCCAAUCGGCAGUCCUUUGCUGAUACGAAAUCGGCCAAUCGGGAGGGAGGACUAAAAUGGGCCUGUAUGGGCUUGGUUAAGUGGAAAGAUAAGGUGGGGUUCAGCCCACGAAGCGUAGGGUAGUUAGUUUAGCACGGAUUGUGCUUGUAGAUAUUUGUUUUCUGUUUGAAUUAGAGAUAGAGUCCUAGUCGGUUAAGAAGAUUAUUUGUACGGGGCUAUAAAUAGCUACCUUUGUAAAUAUGUAAAUACAACAAUCAAUCAAUACAACAAGUUACUUUAUUCUUCGUACUACUUUCGAGCAGGCGAUUUCGCCAUUGUUUUUCCUUCUCACGAGUUCGUGCGGGUUGGCAGGGCUGCAUCACCUUGAUCUCCGGCCGAUUCUGUAAGUUCCGCUUAUCGAGUAAUAUCUAAGCUUUAACUUCCGGCGUAUCGCUGUUGUUUCGUUUAGAUUUAUUCACUAGUUAUCGAUAUCAACUAGAUUCAUAGGUUUUUACCUGUUUUUCUAGCUUUUAUCACCAGUUAUCCCGCUAGGAAUCGGUAGUAUCGGCUUUCAUUACCUUCUGUUGCUAGAUAUAUCCGUUGCCGAUUAGAUCUUUUUCUAGUGCUGUUACGGCAUACCUUGUAUCUAUUACUUCGAUAUUUUUCUAACUACAAGGCUACAGGGAUCGUGCUGUCUAGUAGCCGAUUUCUCUACUACAGUAAAUCGGCCGAUCUGCCGAUAAGCAUUCUCGAUCGGAAACUUAGCCGAUCGUAGUUACUGAAUUUGAUACGUGUUUUUCCUUGCCAAUCAACAGGUCAGAUUGGCUGGCACGCCGCGCGAACCGCACCAGGGCAUUCACCCGAACAGGAGUUAAGCAGAUUCUCCCGGGUCGUGUGUCGGCCGCUGGACCGAUUUCUAGCGCCAACAGUAGGCUAUUUACAAAACCCAUUACAUAAGUGGAGGCUGAAUAGCGAGACGAACCUAUUAAGCCUAAUUAAUCCAUCAUUAGCAAAUGUUUACUGUAGCAACACAUUGUCAAAUCAUGAACUAAUUAGGCUUAAUAGAUUCGUCUCGCCGUUUAGCCUCCACUUAUGUAAUGGAUUUUGUAAAUAGUCUAUAUUUAAUACUCCUAAUUAGUAGCUAAAUAUUGAUGUGACACUUGCUUUAAAAAGAGUAAAUCGAGAGGAAUCAAGCUGACGUGGACAGUGAUUAAUGAAGUGGGAGAAGAGAGCCAUCGUCUCGUGAGACGACGGCCGGAGCUCGUGCUCCGAGAAGCAACAGACGGGUCGUCGCGCGUUGUGCGCGUCGACUCCACCUGACGACGGCGACGCAAGAUCUGCUGCGGCUAUACUUCUUUUGGCAGCGAAAAAUUAGUAAUGGAGUGCCUUCUCUCAACAUGCGCGUGGUGGCCGCCGGUCGCCGGCUCCGUGCCACCAGCCAGCCGCAUGCGCUGGCCGGUGCCGAGCCGCCCGUCUGGCCCCGCGCCACGCCGCCAAGCGGAGCUGCACUGGCAAACGAACGUCGCGCUGGGCAAGCGAAGUCUUGAUGUCGUUCCUUGCUGUUUAGCUGCUGGCCGCCUCGCCCAGAUCGAAACGGGAGAGAGAACGAGAGUCAACGGAAGAGACGGGGCCGAACAGGAGGGCCUCUUUGAAAAAUAUCUUCAUCAUGUUACAUUGUGACCCUAAUAAAGAUAGAAAUUACAUAAAGUUCUUUUAGGCAGGCUAGAAGGGUAUGAAUUAAAAUCAAAAUGUUACAUAUUAGUCCUUUACAUAGGUUUGCAUUCUCUCAAACGGCAUAUGUCAUUUAUUCUCACGCAAGCAACUAAAAUAGCGGCAAAGAUCAAGUGUACACUUGAUCACCGUUUCAUUCAUUAAAUAAUUUGUAGACAGUUAAAUAGACGGCUCACUCUACGAGCUGUCCUGUCUUUUUAGCUGUCUGUGUCUGACGUUGCAAGUCCCUAAACUAAACUGUUGUACGGCCCUAAGUAGAUUAGGCUAUUUACUGUCACUGUAGAAAAGCAACUCUUUUCUGUUGCUCACCUUGUGAUGAGUGUGUCAGAGCAUUUACAGAUGGCAGCACAGAUGGUGAACACUGGUCAGUAACUACAAAGGAUUGGCGCGUUAUUGGGGGUGUUUGUUUCUUUAGACACUCCUAAAAUUCUUGUCACAUCGAAUGUUUAGAUACUAAUUAGAAGUAUUAAAUAUAGACUAAUUACAAAACCAAUUGUACAGAUGGAGACUAAUUUGCGAGACGAAUAUAUUAAGCCUAAUUAGUCCAUAAUUUGACAAUGUGAUGCUACAGUAAACAUGUGCUAAUGAUGGAUUAAUUAGGUUUAAUAGAUUCGUCUCGUGAAUUAGCCUCCAUCUAUGUAAUUAGUUUUAUAAUUAGCUCAUAUUUAGUCCUUCUAAUUAACAUCCGAAUAUUCGAUGUGACAUGAAUUUUAUGAGGUACUAAAGAACCAAACACCGGCACCAGCCAUGGGGCCGUUAUCUCUAUAAGAGCUCCACGUAGGAAAGAGAAAGCCGGAGAGAAAAGCGCACGUCGCAAGCCGGCGAGAGCCGCUACGCGUCUUUCCACAUGCGAGCGGGCCCCACCAUGUGCGUCUUGUCCUCCUCCUCUCACGCACCCUCUUCAACUGUCGGAGGGGCUGGCGUUGGCCGCCGGCUCGGUGGAGAAGGGCGCGGGCAGGGGAGCUCGCUGCCGGCAAGCGCGCGGGUGGCGAGGCCGUUGGGCGCGGGCGGCCUAGCUCGCCGCCGUCCGCGAGCGCGUGGGUGGCGCGGCCGCACAAGCCCGGGCGUGGGGAGCUCGCCGCGGGUCGCCGUCGAGGCCUCGUCGGCCAGGAGCUGUGGAGAGAGAUGUGGAGAGAGCAGCGAGAGAGAUGUAAUUAAAAAAUAUUGAACCUUUUGCUUUUAUCGAGCUGCGGGGAAGCGGCAGUGCGGUCGGCCGGCCAUUGCGGGUGCCCCAAUCGCUAACCGAGAGGAAUAUUUCAUUUGGAGAGGAUUACAGGGAUGCGCGCCAACCUGCCCUUGAACAUGACCUCGACCCUCGAGCAGACGAAUAGUUUAGCGGCAGGAGAAUAUAUAGGACGAAUAGUUUAGCCCUUGGCAGGGAAUCAGGGAUCCAAUGCUCUUUCUACUACCUCUCUUUCUACUACCUUCACCUUCCCCCCGGGCAUCUGGAUCCCAUCGACCUCUGCUUCGUGCUCUUCCAAGGCGGCUGCGAGCGGUGAGCUGUGUUGCGGCCGAGCAAGCUUGAUUAAUCAAGCAACCUCGGUCCGGCGACGAGCGGCGGGCAGCGAUCCAGCAAACCAGCGAGUCCUAAGCACCGGCGACAAGGAGAGGGCGGCAACCGGUGAGUCCUCGCUCACUUCCGUUCUUUGUGCCCGUCUGUAGACCUCCGACGGCACUAUAAUUCAUCGUCACGCGCCCCUGCUUGCUACACCUACACCCAUACUGUACAACCUUACUCAUUGCUAACUCUUGCCCAGGGACAAAUCCAUGGAGAUCGUGACAGGGGCAAUUCCAUUGAUCUCCAUACACCACUGCUGCUCAUAGCUCACACAUACACACUACAAUCUCGCUCCUUGAGCCCAGAGGCAGAUCCGGCCAUGGAGGUCGUGACAGGGGCACUUCCGAGCGUCAUCGCCAAGCUUGGUGACCUGCUCGUCGGUGAGUACAAGCUGCAGAAGGGGGUGAAGGGAGAGAUCAGGUUCCUCCAAGCUGAGCUCGAGAGCAUGAAGGGUGCUCUUGAGGAAGUCUCCAACACACCGGCUGACCAGCUUCACAUUCAGGACAAGAUUUGGGCCAAGGAUUUGAGAGAGCUGUCCUACGAUAUAGAGGACAAUAUUGACACAUUCAUGGUCCGUGGAGAGGGCAAUGAGCAGGCCAAGCUGCGUGGCAUCAAGAAGUUCAUUGAUAGAAGUGUUGGUUUGUUCAGAAAGGCCAAGGUUCGCCAUGGCAUUGCUACUGAAAUCAGAGACAUCAAGAGCCGUGUUGAAGAGGUGGCCGAGCGGCAUGAUCGGUACAAGUUAUCAAACAGUAAUGUGGCUAAGCAUGUCCCAAUCGACCCUCGAAUACUUUAUCAGUACGAUAAGGUGACUGAGCUCGUUGGCAUUGAGGAGGCAAGAGACGAGAUAAUUCGGAUUCUGAUGGAAGGUGAUGAAGUGUCCAAGCAGCAAGACAAGAUAGUUUCCAUUGUUGGGUUUGGAGGCCUGGGAAAGACAACUCUUGCUGAUGUGGUGUAUAAAAAGCUUAGAGCACAAUUUGAGUGCGCAGCUUUUGUUUCGGUAUCUCAGACACCUGACCUGGAAGAAUUACUCAAGCGCAUGUUCUUUCAACUUGUCAGGAAGGAAAGUAACAAGAGCAGCGAUGUUGCCAGAGAGCUCAGAGAAUUCCUCGAGAAUAAGAGGUAUGAAAGCAUUUCAGUACACUUUAUUGGCAUCUGUUUAUAUCUAUCUUUUUGUUUGUUUGUAUUUUCAAGUAUGGACAUUGCAGCACCUAGUAAUCAGAUUUCAUUACUAGAAGAAACAGGCUCCUCAUUAUCAGCUCAUAUGUGUAGUAAAUUUGAAACCGAUAUGGAUAUGCAUGUUAUCCAUGCUAACUCAUAAUGUGAGCCAGUAGUGAUAGGUCUCCAAGUAUUAUUCACAAGUAUGGAUGCUAGUUAAGUAUGCAUGUUAGUUAUCCUUAUGCCUCUUAUUACGAGACCAGUGCUGAUACUUUGCACGCUUGUAAUUAUAAUUUUGUCUUAUUUUAAAAAUUGUAACUUUUUCAGACUUCAUAUGGCAAUUGUAGGUUUCAGCAAGAUCUACAACUGUUUAGUUGAAUAUUUAAUUAAAGUUAUUUAGAUGGCUAUAUAAUUGAUUAAAAAUUUAGAUGACGAGGGUCAAAGGAAGAAAACUCUCCAUUGCUGUUAGCAAUGAAAUCUAGAUUACAUGGUAAGAAGGGAUAGUGUGAUGGGGGAGGAUGUCCUUUCAAUCCCUGAAAACAUCUUACACGUCUAUUUUGUGCGAAAAGUACGUGACUUGUAAUUUGCGACUCGCAACAACUUGGGUAGAUCGGGGAUUACAUCCAGAUUUACGGAUUUUUUUCUUGCUACCUUUUGGUUCUACUGUCUCACUGGCUCUUAUUACAAGUCGGAAAGGAUACUAGCAUCUCUAUCGGCCAUGCAACAACGGCACGGAUACCGCCGGCUUGAAAAUAGAUAUGGAUGAGCAUAUUUGUCUUUGCUCCUUUUAUUUGCCACUUCCGGGCUUCAUGUGACUUCUACCAUCAACUAUAGCCCCUUUUGGGGUCUUGUCUUGCGUCCGCUUGUUUUCUUCUCGAUCCAUAUGGUCUACUUCUACUAGUGAUAUUCCUUUCAAUACUAUCUUGAUUUACUAAAUCUUUAAUAGCCCACUAGUUAGCAUAGCUUAAUUAAACAUUCUAUAGGAGAAAAAACUAACUUAUUAUAAAGUUUAAUUUGCUAGUAAUAUGGCUUUCUUGAAUUAUCUGGUACAGGUACUUCGUUGUUAUUGAUGACAUAUGGAAACUCUCAGACUUCAAAAUGAUUAAACGUGCUUUGCCUGGUAAUAAUGUUGGAAGCAAAAUAAUCACAACUACUCGUGAUCUCAAUAUUGCUGAACAAGCUGGCUCUAUUUACAUGUUGCAACCCAUGUCUCCAAACAACUCUCGGAAACUAUUUUUUAGAAGAAUAUUUGGUAAUGACGACAAAGACAACAACGAAGAAGAAGAAAGGUGUCCUAACGAUGAGUUGGCUGAAGUAUCUGAUAAAAUACUGAAGAAAUGUGCUGGUGUGCCCUUAGCUAUUAUUACAAUGGCUAGUUUGUUAGCUUGCAAAGCAAGAAAUAAAAUGGAGUGGUAUGAGGUCUACAAUUGUGUUGGUACUGGUCUGGAAAACAAUCUAGAUGUGAAGAAUAUGAGAAAGAUUUUGUCAUUUAGCUAUUAUGAGCUACCAUGCCAUUUAAGGGCUUGCUUGUUAUAUUUGAGCAUUUUUCCUGAAGAUUAUAAAAUUGAGAAGGAUCGUUUGAUAAGGAUGUGGAUAGGUGAAGGUUUUAUCAAAUGUGAAAAAGUAGGGAAGAGCCUAUUUGAACUCGGAGAGAGUUACUUCAAUGAGCUUAUAAACAGAAGCAUGAUCCAACCAAUAUAUUAUUGUUCAGAUGAUAUAAUGUCAAGCUGUCGUGUACAUGAUAUGGUGCUUGAUCUUAUCCGCUCCUUGUCAAGUGAAGAAAACUUUGUUACUGUACUAAGUGAUAUGGGAGGCACAUCUCCGUCAAAUACGAUUCGGAGGUUGUCCCUUCAGAAUGGCCAGAAAAGUCAUGUGAUGGCUCAACUUACAUGGAGCUUGCAACAUGCAAGGUCAGUUGUUGUCUUUCCAGCUGCUGAUUCUCUAGUGCCGCCUCUUGCCUGCUGGCGAGUUUUACGUGUUCUGGAUUUAUGUGGCUGCAAUCUUUCACAAGCUAAUAGUAGCCUUAAGUACCUUGGGAUUCUGCAUCACUUGAGGUACUUGGGACUACGUAAGACAAAUAUUUACCAGCUCCCGAAAGAAAUAGGAAACCUGCAGCUUCUACAAACAUUGGAUGUAAGUGCCAACAAAAUUUCCAGGUUGCCUUCGAGUGUUGUCCAGCUAAGAAAGUUGAUGUUCCUAUGCAUUCCCUCUACAAGAGGGCCAAACGGAAUUGGAAACCUGACAAGCCUUGAACAGCUGUCAUGGUUAGGCAUUGAUAACUCCAACGUAAAUAUUAUAGAAGAGUUGGGCCAGCUCACUGAACUGAGGAUUCUGCAUAUUCGAUUGGAUGAGUGGAACGACAAGCUGUUGGAGUGCCUACACAAGCUACAAAAGAUUCAAGAACUAGGUAUCAUGGUCUAUGAUGGUCAACCCAGCCUCGGCGGAUUAGAUGCCUGGGUUGCCCCUCGACAUCUCCGCGUAUUGAAUACAAUAGGCAGCUGUUGGUUUUCGACACUUCCAGCUUGGGUGAGUCCAUCGCUUCUUCCGGACCUCACCCAUCUAGAAGUCGCCGUGAGAGAGCUACAUCAGGCCGAUCUCGAAAUCCUCGGGAGGUUGCCAGCUCUUCGCGUUCUAUUUCUGGUGGUGGACAAGAAGAACCUCAGUAUCAUUCGGGGAUUCGUUGUUGGUGCUGGUGCGUUCCCGUGCCUUGUAACCUGUAGCUUCCGUCAAUUUGUAUGGCCAGUGGUAUUUCAAAAGGGAAGUAUGCCAAGGCUCAGAAAUCUUUACUUCUCUCCGUUUUAUCCGUUGGAGAUAAGAGGAAUUGCCUGUAAUGACGGUAGUCUCGACUUGGGUCUGGAAAACCUGCCAUCGCUGCAGCAUUUCGGUGCUGACCUACGAUGUGAUGGUGCUGGCAAGGAGGAGGCAGAGCAAGCCAAGGCUGCGCUGACGCAUGAAGCUAAAAUGCAUCCCAAUCAUCCCCAUCAUUAUAUCAAUAUUGCAGGUGCGCCAGCUUCCGAUUGUUAUUCCUUACUUGUUUCCUUCCCCUUUUUUCUAAACUGUAUUUGCGUUUAUUCCUUUGUUUGAUAUAUAGAUGACGAUGAUGAGUAAUAUAAGACUUUACGCCGGAAGGUGAAGCUGGAGCAGAGCAGAUGACAAAGUCCCUCUGUUUCGCCACGCAUGCAGAGGUUAAACUGCUCGACCAUGAGCUUUACCAGACACGCUCAGACUCAGAGUAUGCGUCUGAGACUCAGAGCUUUGAUCGUUUCUGCUGUGCAUCAACCAAUAUGGCAUUUCGUUGAGAGUGCAGGAUGACAUUGUCAGUGGAUAUGACUCCCUUCCCCCUCUGUACUCAUAUUAUCGUUUUGUUUCAUCGUAAGAUUUUUACUGCAGCCUGCUGUUUCAGUGCAAGGAACGUUUAUUUUACUCAUUGCAAGCUGUUGGAGUGCCUAUGCAAGCUACAAAAGAUGCAGGAACUAGUUAUCAUAGUCCGUCCUGGUCAACGUAGCAUCGGUGGAUUGGAUGCCUGGGUCGCCCCUCGACAUCUUCGCCUAUUGAAUAUACAAAACAGCUGUUGGUUUUUAACACUUCCGGCUUGGGUGAAUCCAUCGCUUCUUCCGGACCUCACCAAGCUAUCCAUCCUCGUGAGGGAGCUACAUCAGGCCGAUCUCGAAAUCCUCGGAAGGUUGCCAGCUCUCCGCGUUCUAUUUCUAGAGGUGGACAAUAAGAUUCUCGGUAUCCAUGCGGGAUUCGUUGUUGGUGCUGGUGCCUUCCCGUGUCUUGUAGUCUGUUGGUUCAAGCAAUUUAUGUGGCCAGUGGUAUUUCAACAGGGAGCUAUGCCAAGGCUCAGAAAUCUUAAGUUCUGGCAGUUUCAUCUGCGGGAGGCAAGAGGAAUUGCCUGCAAUGACGGUAGUCUCGACUUGGGCUUGGGGAACCUGCCAUCACUGCAGGAAGUCGAUGUUAUCCUGCGAUGUGAUGGUGCUGGCAAGGAGGAGGUGGAGCAAGCCAAGGCUGCGCUGAGGCAUGAAGCUGAAAUGCAUCCCAAUCAUCCCCGUCAUUCGAUUGGUGUUAGUUACAGGUGCGCCAACUCCUGAUUGUUAUUCCUUACAUGUCUCCUUCCCCCUUUCUUCUAAACUGUAUUUGCGUUUAUUCCUCUGUUUGAGAUGGUUGAUCUCCAGCUGAUCCUUCACCACGCCUUUCUUCUGGCCCCUUUAUUUGCCUCAAUUCUUCUAAUCUUCCUUUCGUAUAUUUCGGUCUGAUAUACAGAAGGCGAGACUGGAGCAGAGAUAGCAGAAACACACGCAGAGGUUAAACUGCUCGGCCAUGAGCUUUACCAGACACCCUCAACCUGUGAGUAAACAAUGAAUGCUGCACACAUGAUCGUUUCUGUUGUGCAUCAACCAAUAUGACAUUUCGUUGCGAGAGUGUAGGAUGACAUUGUCAUGGAUAUCAUUGUAAUACCUUCCCCCGCUGUACUCAUAUUGCCGUUUUGUUUCGUCGUAAGAUUUUUACUGCAGCCUGCUGUUUCAGUGCAAGGAACCACCCAUCAUCAGUUUUCACUUUUCAGUGCAAGGAACGUUUAUUUUAGUCAUUGCAAAGGGACUGAGCUGUCUCCUGCGCCCCUGAUCUAGUUGCCUUGGCUGUUUAUUUUGAUGAAAAAUAAAAAGGAGGUAUUUUCGGGUUAAUGUUGCAGCUUGUGACCGUAAUCAUCUUGUGAACCGUAAGCAUGGACGGCAGUAUGUAUUCAUUGUUGCGCGGUUUCUGAUAUACGAGGCCAACUGUUAUGGCAUUUCGUUGCAGCUACGAUGCCCAAGACCACAUUCAUUAUGCAUCUCUCUGAAGAGAUUCUAGCUGGCUAGACUUCUCUAAUCCAUGAUUUUUAGAAUUUUCGUGGCGGACGGGAUCGCGAUCCAGAAUUUUCAAAACGCACCCUUGAACAUUUUUAAAUAACCCUCUUAUUUGGAUUGCGAUUAUUGAUCGCGAUCUGAAUAUUUACAAACACCCCUUUUUAUUUGCAUAUAACCCUCUAAUUUGGAUCACGAUCCGAUUAUUUGCAAAAAUACACCUGGUCUGGGUCAUCUCCCUCCCCCACGCGUCCAGCGCCGCCGCCGUUCCUGCCCGCCUCGCCAUUCCAAGCCGCAAAGCCCCAUCUGUCGCCGUUUCCCUCCGUCGUGGCGGCAUGCCGUCUUCUUCCAUGCAAAGCCGCAGCAUGAAGCAGAUAGGCGUUUCUUUUCAGCCGCAGCAGCAGGCAAGAACCUGCAGAGGACCGUAACGAGUACCUUGCUUCGAGAGGUUCAACAGGCCAAAAAUAACGGGACGUCAAAAGCUGGACCUUUCCACUGGUAAAAUUUCAGCAAGUAUGGCACCAGGUCACGAGCAUCAGCUAAUUGUCCAACAAAAAAAAGCCGAAUUCGUAAAAACAAGUGUACUUUCUUUCUGGCAGUACAGAAGUUCUCAACGCUACUUGAAACAAACAGUGUGACAGGGCUGCAGUGAAUCAGACUAUCAGCGACUGCCCUAGUGGACUUGACAAGAGUAUGAUGAUGACAGCCAUGGCAACACGUACACUAGGCAGAUUGGCCCGCAUCAACAUGGCCACGCUUCGUACAAAGACUGUCUAUUACUGAUCGAUGAUGGGAAUAGCAAGAAUCUGGAAGCGUUUCACAGCCUUGCAAUGACGGCUUCGACCUCAGCAGGGGUGUAGAGGUCACUUGGGGGCGACCUUGGCAAUAUCAACGUUGUUUGGGGUCACCUGUUCAGAAUGCGAUGAUAAGAUCACAUGUUCCCCUAAGAGCGAGCUAUGGAGCAUGGAAUGGUUUGCCAUGCCCUACCUUCUCUUCCAUAACCUGCUUCAGGAUAGAAAGGGCUACGGUCUCCGCCUCCUGGAGGGUCAGAUCCUGCACCAAGAUGUCAGCAAGUUGUUACUCUCGAUUUUCUUUCGUUGGAAUAACAGCCGACAUUUUCUAUGGAUCUGCUCCCAACAUGGCAGUAAUGCAUACACUAGUACAAGUAUUUAAAUAAUGAGGUAAAAUCUUGGGGUGUCAUUCUGUGAGCAGCAUAUUGCCUUAAAGAUUCUAAGCAGAAUUGCAACCGACGUAUUACCCUUAGACACUGUUUCAAUGGACUGAGUUUAUAUAAGAUUUAAUCGGAGCUUUGAUGCAUAAUUCCAUGUAACUAGGGUUGACAUGCAUCAUAUCUCCGUAGAACUCUGUGAUUCUUUGAUUAACUUAGCAUUUAUCCCUUGUUGUACUGCUCCUGCAAGGAGCUAUCAGCUCCUUCAGAGCCUGAUCCAAUUGCCUUUGCGUUGCAUUGCCAAAAGGUCCCAGACGGGUCCGUGUAGUACCUGCAGGACACAGAAGGCGAUGAAUUCUUAGAAGUUCAGUGGCUUUGUGUAAAUUGAUCAUGACAUCAUUACAAAAAGAUUUGUCUCAUAAUAGAGGGAUGAAGAUACCAUGAUUGCAUAAUAACCAAACUAUAUGUCCGGGAUUUGGCUAAACAGAAUAAUGAUUUUUUCCAAACACUUCCUGGGAAGCAGGAAAAGAAAUACUUUUAUACUUGAAAACUAUACGCAUACAAAUAUAGAGCAUGAGCACAUAAAACCCUGCAGAAAAUUAACACUGAGCCUUCUUUAUAUCACUUAAGCUUGUUAUAGCUAAGACCUUGUCCACAUACAGAAUAGAACCCAAUACACGAUGAAGAUAACCACUAGGACAGUCCGUGUUCACAAGUUCAACAACUUUCUGUAUUUCCUUAUUUUAGAAAUUCCACUUUUCAAGUAAUUUCCCUUCCAAAGAUUUGAACAUAAUGACCUAGAACAAAACUGCCUAACAAACAACCAUAGUUCAUGGGAGUCAAACAAACGGUAAGUCUACUGUCUACCCUCUACAGCAACUAGACAUAGGCUACUCAAUACAGAAACCAUGACAACCUAAAAAGAGCCAACAGAGAGCAAUUACGAUGCAUGAUAGAAAAAAUAAGUAAAGCAUCCCACUUUACCAGGACAGUUUACAAAAAAGCCAAUAAAAAGAAGCUACCAUUAAUUGCAUGGUAGUACAAUGAUUUCAUAUAGCAAAAAAAUACAGCUGUUUUUUUUAAACAUGGAUUCUAAAGCCAGUUGUCAAAGAAAACACAGUUCAGUGAGCUAAAUGGAUCAAUACUUACAAGCUAGGUCCAUUCUCAUCAUGUCCAGCAAUUAGGAGAGACACUCCAAAUGGUCGUGACUGCACCAACAGAUAAGUACAUCAGAACCCCACUCCAUAAAAUGAUUACUUUUGCACAUCUGUUCUAGUUUAAUGCUCUUUAGUCCCUCCAACCAAAUAGGGGGGAGUAAACUUUAGUCCCUGACUAAAGGAGCAUUUAGUCCCUAAAAAUAAGUAAUUAAGGGCAAACCAAACAAGCCCUUACUGGGAAGCAGGAAAAGAAAUACUUUUAUACUUGAAAACUAUAUGCAUACAAAUAUAGAGCAUGAGCACAUAAAACCCUACAGAAAAUUAACACUAAACCUUCUUUUUAUAUAUAUCACUUAAGCUUGUUAUAUCUAAGACCUUGUUGUAGCUAAGUUUGUUACCAUUUUUAAUGAUGUAUAUCAAACAUAUUCAACAGAAAAGAGGUUAUCCUUUCAAAAUAGCAUGGUAGAUCAUGCUAGGCAUCUAACUUCUAUGAAUAUGCAACAAGUGAGGUGAGUUGCUGUCUUUCCAUCUGCUAUUAAUCUCAUGCCUGCCCUUUUGAGCUUUAGAGUUUUUCGUGUACUGGAUUUACAAGAUUGCCACCUUUGACAACCUUACAUUCCUAAGGAUCUUGAAAAUUUAAUUCACUUGAGGUAUCUGGGACUAAGACGCACACAUAUUGCUCAGCUCCAUGAAAAAAUAGGAAACCUACAACUUCGUCGAACACUAGAUGUAACAGGCAAUGGAUAAAAGGUGCCCCUAGCUCGAGUUGUGCUUUCUCUCCACUGUGGGUAAAAGGCAAUGGAUAAAAGGUGUAUCGGCGCGAAGGAAAAAUGGAGAUGCUGUGGCCACCGAAAGGGAGGUGAUGCGCAGGACCAGUACUUUUGCCUUUUGCUGUAGUCGCAUGGGCCAGUACAGAAUCAAUAAGCCUCGGGAGAGAGAAGAGAAGAGAAGAGGAUGGAGGAAAAUAAAAUAUUUUUUGUAUGUGGGUCCCACAAAAGUUUGUAAAAAUAUUUCCGCUUGCGACCAACCUGCCGUCUGCUUCGUGCUGUUCCAAGGCGGUUGCGAGCUGUGUUGCGGCCGAGCAAGCAACCUCGGUCCGGCGACGAGCGGCGGGCAGCGCGAUCCAGCAAACUAGCGAGUCCUAAGCACCGGCGACAAGGAGAGGGCGGCAACCGGUGAGUCCUCCCUCACUUCCGUUCUUUGUGCCCGUCUGCAGACCUCCGAGAGCACUAGGCACAGCACUAUAAUUCAUCGUCACGCGCCCCUGCUUGCUACAACCUUACUCAUUGCUAGCUCUUGCCCAGGGACAAAUCCAUAGAGAUCGUGACAGGGGCAAUUCCAUUGAACUCGAUACACCACUGCUGCUCAUAGCUCACACAUACACACAACAAUCUCGCUCCUUGAGCCCAGAGGCAGAUCCGGCCAUGGAGGUGGUGACAGGGGCACUGCCGAGCGUCAUCACCAAGCUUUUGGUGACCUGCUCGUCGGUGAGUACAAGUUGCAGAAGGGAGUGAAGGGAGAGAUCAGGUUCCUCCAAGCUGAGCUCGAGAGCAUGAAGGGUGCUCUUGAGAAAGUCUCCAACACACCGGCUGACCAGCUUGACAUUCAGGACAUCAAUGACACUAUACAAGGGCUUGCUCUAUCAAACUAUACAAGGGCUUGCUCUAUGAUCUAAGCAAGAACAUCAAUGACGAAGUAUUGGAUGAGAGCAUUUGUGGUACCUAUGAAGUUUCUUUUGACACCGAUAAUUACACUCUCCAUUCGUAAUACUAAGUCUAAAUAUGGUUCAUUAAAUCUUCAUGCGCGUCCCUUGUUAACUGACAAAACACAGCCACUUCAUCUUUAUCACAUCAUUAUUAACUGAAAAUAAUAUGGCAGCAUCUAAAAUCUUUGUUUUGUCAAAGAUUCUGAGUAGACUUAUUUUGUGUAGAAACUCGAUAAUCUAGCUGCUGCCUAACUAUUUUAGUUUAAUCAUUAAAUCACUACUGUCUAGUCUUCCUAUUACUAAUUGGAGGCUUCUUUUGAAUUUUGAAAAAGAGAGAAAUCCUAGAAAUUUUCAAAAAAAAAGAAAAACAUCCUACCAUCAAUAGAUUCAAAUCAUCAUAGCUAUUGAAUCUAUUAUGUUUUUAAAAAAAUUACCCACCUAUGCUAUUAUGAAAAUAGCAUAAAGUAACCUCCUAAAUCUAUAUAUAAAUUACGCACCUCUGCCAUUAUAUAAAAUAAACUAAAUUAACCCCCCAAUCCUCAUCAAAAUUACCCACUUAUGCCAUUAUAAACAAUAUUUAAAAUAACCCCUAAUUUACGACUAAAUUGCCUACCACUGUUACUUAAAAAACUUAAAGUAACCCCUUUAAUUUGCAUCUAUAUUACCCACGCAUACUAUUAUCUUUACCUAUUAUUAAAGCAAGUAACGUCUCUGCCUGAAUUUUUCGUCCGUCGUGUCAUUUUGCAAAAAACCCCCUGACGUUUCGUGAAAUCAACCCGCAGUCCACUUUUGAAGAGACGGGGGGCUCGUUUGCUAAAAAGUGCAAAGGGAGGGUGUUAAAGGUGAAAGAGGUUUUCUUUCAUAGAAACAGAUAUCCGCCUUCCCCACCUUCGGCCGCCUUCUCCUUCCCUCCCCUUUCGCCGACCAUCUUCGGCCGCCUUCUCCCUCCGCCCCUUUCGCCGGCCAUCUUCGGGGGAGAAGGCGCCGCCACCCUGUCCAACCGCCCCCCCCUACCCCAGUGGGGAAGGACUUAUUAUUCUGGCAAUGAUGACUAGGACCGAUGAAUCGUUUCCUGUUAAAAGAGUAAGAAGGAAAGCCCGAGCCGCAUCUAAACAUGACCACAUGAAAUAUGCGGAUACAACGUACCGUGACUUUCUNNNNNNNNNNNNNNNNNNNNNNNNNNNNNNNNNNNNNNNNNNNNNNNNNNNNNNNNNNNNNNNNNNNNNNNNNNNNNNNNNNNNNNNNNNNNNNNNNNNNGCUCCGAGCGCAGUGCUAUAGAUUUACCAUGUAGAUGUUGUUGUUUUGAACUUUUAACAUCACCAUAAAUUUUUUGAUUACUUGCAGAUUAUGAAAUGACGGACCUGGACUACUGUGCUCUAAUAACAAUAGAAACAUCUUUGGAAUCUGAUAUACUUGUGAAGAUAGAUGACAUCUUUGUCACACAAUCUCAAUUGUCAUGUUUGCUAGAUCCAAAAAAAUUCCUAAAUGAUGAUGUAAGUACUUUAACUGAAUUUUUUUCGAUUAACAUUUAUUUCUUUUGUAAUAAAUGUUUUUUAUUUGAAUCUUUGUAGGUCAUCAGCGCGUAUAUAUGUUGCAUAAAGUAUCAAACCCAUUUACAAAGUAGGAAUGAUGUUAAAUUUUAUUUAGAGAAUCCCUUUAUUUCUGUAAUUCUAAAAAGGGAUGGCAAGUUUGGUGUAGGUCAAGAUGGUAACCAUAUGACAAAGAUUGUGAGAAACUAUCUAAAGCAUGAAAUGGUAAUUUCUAUCUCUAUAAUUGACAUGUUUUUAAGGUUUUAAGAUUUUAAUUUGUAACUGUUAAUGUGUUGUACUAAUUCAAUUUUUCAUUUUAGAUUCUAAUUCCAAUAAAUAUCAAAGAAACACAUUGGUAUUUGGCUAUUAUUAACACACAGAAGUGUGAGAUACAAGUACUUGACUCGUUGUGUUGGGACUCCAACCGAGGUGAUCUUGCCGAUACGGUCAGUUUUUUCUGCAUUCAUUCUUCUUUGAUAUUAUAAAUUUAUCCUAUAUUUAAAUGUAUUUUUUCUGUUAUUAUUAAUUUAACAGCUGCAAGGACUACAAUUUCAUUUGGACAUAAUUGGAAGGCAACAAAACUUGAUUAGCCAUAACUGGAAAGACCUCCAGGUUAUUUCAUGGAUAAUCACAGAACAACUACAAGAGCCAAUUCAGAAAGAUGGGUAAGUUGAUAAAAUAUAUGCUAUCAUUUAUAAAAUUAUUUAUUUUGUUGUUUGGAGUACUCAUUGUUUUUUAACCAUGCAGCUCAUCUUGUGGACUGUUCAUGCUCAAGUUUAUGGAAUACUGGACUGGAGAUUCACUAUCUCAUCCUAUUACACAGGUUUUUGUUUUUUAUCUUAUGAAAUAAUAUAAAGUCAAUGACAUGCUAAUUUUUUACAAGUUCUAAUAAUGAUUGCUACCAUGCAGGAAGAUAUUAAUUGUUUUAGGUAUAAGUUAGCAGGCAUUCUAUUAUGUUGGAAAAGAAACACAGCACAAACAACUCCUAAAAAUAUCUCAUUGUUGGGUAAUUCAGAUGACCAAAAAGAACCCAAGGCAACAGAUUCAUUAUUAGAGGAAACAAAAUACCAAUCAUUAAUGUCUAUUCUUUCUAAGAUCAGUGAAAAUGAGUUAAUUGGUGGCCUUUGUGACUACAUCAAAUCAAUUAAUUGUCUAGAGACCUUGGAGUAAGAACCUUCUUAUUACUACUGUUUAUUUUUUUAUUAAUAGAAUAAUACAAUGUACAACAUAACAGUGUGAAACCAUCUUUUUGUCUUAAUGCAGAGAAGUAUGGGUGAGAAACUCCAAGCCAUAUUCCAUUAGUUUGACUGUCAGGAAGCUGCAAGAAAUUUUGAAAGAAGAUCUGCCCAUGGACUGUGAUUGUUUGAAUUUGGUUAUUCGAAAAUUCAUGUUUGACGAGAUCCAAAUGAUGAAGAAAACCAAAGGAACAAUAUCAAAGCAUUAUCUAGACACGAGGUUUUGGGUAUGUUCUUAUAAUCAUAAUAUAAAUAUAUUUUUUUUUCCUCAGGUUUUUAACCAAUAUUUUUUUUCAUAGAUGAUUACUGAUUAUGGACGACACCCAAACUUCCGUAAAAAGUUAGAUGUGGAUCAACUUGCAGAAACCGUUUGUAGCUGGCCUGGUGUUAAUUAUAGUGUUUCAAGAUGCAAAUUGGUAAGACAUCACUUCCCUAUACCUAUUCUUGCGAUUAUAGCUACUAGCCUUCUUGUACAUGUUAAUGCUCUUGCUCUUGUUGUAACAAAUAGCAUUUUGCAGAUUCUUAUACCAAUAGUACAAUUCAAUAAAACCUUUAUUCUGUUUAUACUAAACCAAGAUACAAGAACAGUCUAUAUUUUAGACCCUACUCCACUUGACCCUGUUUACAAAUAUAACCCAAAUGCAAGAUAUGUGAAGAAACUUUUAUGUAUUGCUGAAUUCUUGCCAAAAGCCAUGUCAAAAGUAUGCCCUGGCUCUAGAUGGAGUGAGGAUGUUUUCCUAUGGUGUCAAAUAAUUUUAUCUGAUGUUCCUAUCGAAAACAGGUAAGCAUUCUUAUAAGCACUGUUCUUAUGUUGUAGCUCAGGAUUGAUUUGAAGUUUUAUUGUAAAAUUCUGUGUCUUACUGGUUGGUCCAAGUUAACUGUGUUGUAGUCUCUAAUGAGCGCGAUUUGGUUGGAUUGGUAAUCAGGCUUUAGUCCACACAUCAAACUAUUAGAUAUGUGAUCAAUAAGACCUUUUCAUCCAUAGUCAGUUCCCAAGAUUUUCUGCACUUGAUGAGUCCUUUUUAGUUACCAAUUUGAACUGAAAGCACUGUACUGAUUUUUUGAUACUGUCCCUAUUCAGAAACUGAGAAAUAUAACAAAGUGUUAGAAUUUGACAUGUCAAACAUCCUUAAUUGUGUGGAUAUGUGGAUAAGAGAAGUUGGAGUCUGUUUCACAGUGUAACUUCUAACUGCUUAAUUUGCACAAUGCACAUCAUAUUAGCAUUUGACUGUUAAGAUGUCCACUAGACUAUGCAAUUGUUAAGCCAACAACAGCUUUGGUGAUGCCAAUUUGUUUUUGAGCGUGGUCCCCACAUGUACCUUCCUCUGAUUAAAUUAACUGCCCUACCCUUGUAAUUUCGUUAGCUUGAUCAUACUGGUGGCCUGCAUAGUAGACCUGUAUAUGCACUGCUCUGUCCUGCAUAUUAGACUUGUAUAUGUAAUGCUCUGUUCAGGUUUUCAUGUUUGGGUCAAACUUUAGUAUGAAACAAAAAAGUUUAGGAUGCCUUAGCUUUAGCUAGGAAUAAUGAUACAAGUUCAGGAUUCAGAAUCUUCCUUGUGGGAGGUAUCUAAGAAAAAAUUGCUAUUCAGAGGCAUUCCUUUCCUUUUCCACUGGAUGGUUGUUGCAAAUGACGCAAUAAAUCUUUCCCUUGGGGAAAAGCACAAAGGGAGUUUGUUUUGUUUUAUUGACAAGCCACACAGGAAGUUAGAAUUAACAUGUCAUAUCCAAUUGUAACUUCUUUUUUUGCUUAUUAAGAAAUGUGUGUGAAAUUGCAGAUAACAGCUUGCUUUUGACUUUAAUGAAAUAUACGCUGUGAUGCUGUUUUAACUUCUAUAGAGAAUGCAAGGCCUAUGAUGUUAUUGCUGAUUAUUAUGCCCAUGGCUUUGGUUUUGCUAAGAGCUUAAACAUCCAUUAACUUCCAAACAUUAUCUGAUGAAAUAGAUGACCAAUUGAACAGUCUUAUCUAAAUCUCAUCAUCUAGCUCUACUUACACCUGUAGUUGAUAGCUAGGAGUUGUACCCACUCGAUAUUUCUUCUGGAGCAGAGACCUUUUACAAUUUUACUCUCUAUUAUAGUUGAUUUCUUAUAAUAACUGCUUUAUUCACUGUACAGUGAAGACUAUAACUUCAAAUUCUUUCUUUUAGUAAAACAUGCACAUCUGUUUAUGCAAAAGUAGUUCAACCUUCAGUGUCGAACAUAUUAUGAAAAUAUAUGUAUUAUAUUACUCACUGAUGUUCUUGAUGUUCUUAUCUUAUCAGGGAACUAUCCGGUUAUCUUGUUUCUCUCUUCAUGUGCAUAUGGAAAGAUGAAGAACUACGGUUGCCAAUUUUAAAGGUUAGUUUCAUUAGAACUUCAAAUGUUACUAAUAUAUGACGCUAAUUAUUAAUUGUUUGCAUACAUAUAUGCAUGUACAGGAUGGCUAUGAACUAAGAAAGCAAUUUAUGGCACAACUAUUAACUUACAAGGACAAUGAAUGUGAAGACAAUUUGCCUGCCGGUGUUCGAGACUUUCUUAGGUGUAUCAAUGCUACUCAAAGUUAAAAAUAGUUAUGCAAGCACAGAGAAUGUAUGAGAUCAUGUUGAAACGGUCUACUAUUACAGUUGGACCUUUUUGUUUAUAGGAAUAUUUAUUAUUCACUCAUUUCAUAUAUGUAUCAUCAGCUCAGUGACAUGUUGGAUUUGUUGAACUGCAAUGUAUACCGUAUUAGUCCUUACAUGCAAAGUUACUAUAUCUUGAUGAAAGCUCUUAGUUCAGGAGAAGCCAAGUUCCCCCUUUCUUUGAUCUAUCUGAUUACUUACAGUUGCCUUUGGUUUUUGUUGAAACUUGAGUGCACCAUUUACCAGUAGACCUGAAAAGGCAAUCACCAAGAGGCUAGGAUAAUACUGUUGGAUCCAAAAUAAAGAACGAAGAACUUCUGAAAUGACUUUUUUUGUCUGUUGAAUCAUACAUGCUUAUGUUAUUAACUAAUGCAUGUCUCCAACCUGUAAAUCUCACUAAAUUGGUUAGGAACACAGCACUAAGAAAUGAUGCUAUCAGCUGCUUGAUACACGCUUGAAAUUUGCAGUGCAUAUUACAUCACACAAUAGUCAAAGCCGUUCAACCAAAUCAACAAUAGCAUCAAAAUUCACUUAGCCGGCUACCUGGGCUGCUGUAGGUGCUGCUGUAUCCCGUGUCCUUGGUGCAUUAGAAUGACCUUGAGCGACCAAGCGGCCCAAGCGCUGUCGCUUGGGAGUGUACUGCUUCAGACCUCGAGAGCUAACGCUGCCGGCGAGCACCAAAAUUGCCACAUCUAACGCCAACCUCCCCCUCCCACAGCCGGACUCUGCUAACCUCGCGACAUUCUCUGUUUACCGCCGCUCCCUUCUCUGUUUAUCGCCGCUCCAUCCUCCCAUCGCCGCCGCACUCAUCAUCCGGAGAUUGGGCCCCGUGGCGGCACCUGCGCAUCACGCCGCCGCUCCAUCCGCAUCCGGGACCGGCGACCGGUUCCCACCCCAUCGGUCCCCGGAGCUGGAUUAGCCGCUGCCACCGGAUUCCUCUCACCGUCCUCCCAUCGCCGCCGCACGCAUCCUACGGAGAUUCGGGCGCCGUGACGGCACCUGCGCAUCACGCCGCCGAUUCAUCCGCAUCCGGGAGCGGCGGCCGGUUCCCACCCCAUCGGUCCCCGGAGAUGGACGGCAGCACGAGGCACCUUUUCAUGGCUGGAGGAGCCUCUCCUCCUCCACUUCCAGGAGGAGGCUCCCGGCCGUCGAGAAUGUCCACUGCCACGACACCGCCACCAUCGUCUCCAGGAGGUCCUCAUGUCCACCGACGAGAUUCCGCUGUCUACGUCGACGCCCUCAACCUCCGGUUCCUACGCCACUUCAAGGACCCGCCCGAUGCCGGCCGUGUCGACGGAUUGGCAGCCGAGCUCGAUUCCGAAACGGAUUGGAAUCGAGGCUGACUCGGGAACAGACUGGAAGGAGAGUUUGCAACCGAAACGUAUUGGAAUCAAGACGGACACGGAUCGGAAUCAAGGUUGCGUUCCUGCCUCUAUACAUAGCUGCGGCUUUGUGGCCAGGAGACCAAGACAUCCUCGCCAUCGAUAAUACUCAGCAACAAGCACAAGCUUCUUACUCUACUUCCACAAAAGGUACGAUAAGUGCUGUUUUUGUUUUCCAAUUCCAAAAACAAGAUCAUUUUAUUUACUGUGAAUGUGAUAUUUUGCAUGACUCGUUGCGUCAAGGAUCUGGACUGCAGAAUAUGAUAUUUGAGUUGCAUGGCCAGGAACCCAGGACAUCCUCGCCAUCUAUAAUACUCAGCAACAAGCACAAGCUUCUUACUCUACUUCCACAAAAGGUACGAUAGGAGCUGUUUUUGUUUUCCAAUUCCAAAAACAAGAUCAUUUUUUUUACUGUGAAUGUGAUAUUUUGCAUGACUUGUUGCGUCAAGGAUCUGGACUGCAGAAUAUUAUAUUUGAUUUGCAUAUUUCUAUAUGCUUCAUAUUACAUUAUAUUGAAUGAUAGUUGGGAAAUUAGAUGUAUGGUGUGAUGAAAUCACCAGGCACUGAUGCUAUUAAUACUAUAUUUACACGGUGCUUUGCAUGCUUAGAACCUCACCAGCCAAUUAUAGCGGCCCAUGUUGCUUAGGAUGGUCAACUAAAUCAAUGAUCAACUUUCGUGAGUACAAGUGAAAAACCGUAUUGUAUGACUAAGGCUCAUUUCUUUUGAAGCCAAUAUAGACACUGCCUAUUAUGGUGUUUGAACGUAUCUGAAUGCAUAUAUUUUCAGCCUAUUCCUUACCAAAGACUGGAGUGCAGAUGCACAACACCGAACUAAGAAUUGGUUGAGAGAAUUAGGAAUGAGCACCUCAUCAACUUGUGGGCUUAUGGGAGAACCAUGAUGGACCCUUAUUUCAGCACUGACAGUUGCUGUAGUAAUUGUUAAGCCAACGACAGCUUUGGUGAUGCCAAUUUGUUUUUGAGCGUAGCAUCAGCUUGAAAUUGGCCAGAUGCCCAGAUGGAAUUGAAUGAAUAUCCCUGCUAGCGCCUUUUUCCCUGUGAACUUGUCAGCUUGUAGGCAUGUAGUGUUGGGCAACCUUUUUUGCUGCCUGGAAGGUGCUUUUUUUUUUCUUUCCUGCAUGCAGUUUCUCGGGGCGCACUAGCUUAGGCACCAUGUGAAUGAAGCACUUAGCGAGACAUGUAUCCAGAGGCAUUCCUUUCCUUUUGAGUGAUAAAAUAGAACCUGUUUUACAAUUCCAAAAACGCAGGGAGCUACUGUGUACCAAUUAAUAAUGCAGUUUAGAUCUUUUUUUUGUCUUUCAAAACAAAUAAUUAGAUCAUGUCGUACCAGUUGGCAAUAUGAAAUGAACAAAGCUAAUAUUUUUGAAAUAUUGCAUAUCCUGAAAACUUGAAGGUUACAUUCAAAAAAGACAACCUGUUGUUCCAAGAAUUUCUUUCCAUGAUACAACAGCAUGCCAUGGUUUUCCUUAGUGAUUUAAUAGAUGAACCUAGGCUAAUUAGUUUGUUUCAAUCAAGUUUAUGUAACAGAUUGCAUAAUAGAUAUCCUAUCUGAAAUUAAGCAAUCCCCUUUCAUGCUAAUUGCAGACAACUCACAAGAAAAGAUUUUGAAGCUGCAAUAAUUGCUUGUCCGUGGACUUCUUACUGGAUUACCUUCUCAACAUAUCACACACAUAUAGUUAUCUCCAGCGAGCGGCGUAUAAUCAAUGACAACUCUUGGUAUGUUGAAUAUUAUUCAAAUCUUACAAACCAUUAAACACAGAAUUAGUGUUUCUCGGUCUCAUAUAUUUUCAUAAUAUUAUAUAUAUCUCUUUGCAGAAAAACCAUUUGAAUCAACAUCGCAACUCUUGGAUCCCAAAGAGCAGAAAAGGAAAAGAGAAAGAGAUAGGUAUGCACGUAUGACUGAUCAAGAAAAGCAGGAGAAACUCAAAAAACGUCGUGAAGCCUAUCAUCAACAUAAAAGAACAAGAACAAAUUCAACUCAGAUCCAACAAAAAUGCUCAGAGGAGACUGAUCAAGAAAAGCAGCAAAAAAUACAGAAAAAAUGCAUGCAUGAGAAGGAAAGAUAUGCAAACAUGCAACCAAACCAAAAGAAAGCAAAGUUACAACAAGAUUCUGCUAACCGUGCACGACGACGUAACACUCUAAGCAAGAAUUCAAUAGCAAUGGAGAACCCUGCAAAUAUCGUAACAGAUGAAGACUAUUCUACAAAGACCAAAGUCAUACAUGAUCUGCAAUCUAUAAAACAGCCAACAAACAUGAAGGAAGGUAAUACUCCUAAUUGCAUAUAUGACUCUAACAAUCACAUACAACAUGCAUCAAUUUUUACAAUGAUAACAAUCUUUCAUGGACAGAUAUCCCCUAUUCAAUGGGAACAGCAACCAAGGAUGGAGAAGAACCAAAUGAAUCAAUCAUUGAUGAUGAACCAUAUGGUAAGGAUAUAUACUAAAUUUAUAUUCUCAUGCAAUAGAAAACAACAUAUAAUUCACAUAUUUCUAUGCAGAUGACGAUGGAGUUGUAUAUGAAGAAGACACCGAUGAAGAGGGUAACAUAUUUUCUGGUCAAGGUAUGAUAAACAUGUUAAAAUAUUUUCACAUCUCAAUGUUAGUACUUCUCUAAUUUCUUUAAUCCUACAAAUCAUAGCAGAAUGGGAAGAUAUAGAGGUACAAAUAAAUGAAAAUGAGUCAACCGUUCCAGAACAUUCAAACAUCAAUGAUCCAUAUGACCUCGUCUAUAGUAACAUACCAGACAACACACACAAGCUGAAACCUGUUGAAAAUUGCAAAUAUUGCGAUGCAAAGAAAUUUCACCAUGAACCUGAAGGCCUAUGCUGUCGAAAAGGACAAAUAAAACUUGCAAAUCUUGAGACACCACAUCAGCUCAUGAGACUAUGGACAAGCAAUGACUCUGAUGCAAUACAUUUUCGAAAGAAUAUAAGGUUUUUCAAUGGCCACUUCUCAUUUACUUCUCUAUACUGUCACCUCGAUAGAGAUACAACUACAAUGAGAAAUAGCGGUAUUUACACCUUCCGAGCACAUGGUCAAAUCUAUCACAACAUACGGUCAUUUGGAAAAGAUGGUUCAGAUCCUAAGCAUCUAGAACUCUACUUCUAUGAUGAUGAUCCAAGCCUAGAGCAUCGUUACCGCUAUUGCCGCAAGGAAAUGUAUGAGCAAGAGAAACAUGUAUUACUCAUUAUAACCAAUAUUCUUCGCAACAAUCCAUACUCUGAACAAUUUAGGACUUUGGGACAGGAAGAAAACAUUGAGGAGUACAGAGUGAUGUUGAACCUUGACCAAAGAUUGGACCAAAGGACAUACAACGCACCAAUCACAUCAGAGGUAGCUGCAGUUUGGGUUGAAGGAAAUGAACGAAGGAAUACUUUUGACAGAAAUGUAAUACUACAUGGAAACAACAACGAAAUACAAGGAAUCCGAUCAUACGCUGGAUGCUACGAUCCAUUGUCUUAUCCUCUGUUCUUUCCAAGAGGUGAAUUGGGAUGGCAUGCCGAUAUCCCAAAGGUUGGAAUUACUACAGAAGAUAUAAAGAAAGCUCGUGCUAAUAAAAAUAACAAAAACAAUGACCCAGGUAACUAAUUCAAAUAUUAGCCUUCAUAAUUACAUUUACUAAUUAAAUAAUUGCCUAUGCCGUUAACAAACAAUUAUAUUUGUCCAACACAGAUUCAAGUGGUAGAAUGUGGGUAACCAUGAGAGAAUACUACUGCUAUAAAUUUCAUGUGCGACCAAACAUAUUUAACCCAAUAUUAUACGGCGGACGACUUUUCCAACAAUUCGCCGUGGAUACAUACAUCAAAAUUGAGAGCUCACGACUGGACUUCAUAUGGAAUCAUCAAAAAGAGAUAAGGGCGGAUCUAUACCAAGGCCUUCUAGAUAGCAUUCAUGCAGGACAAGACAGGGGAGAUAAGGUCGGAAAACGGACAGUGCUUUCGUCAUCAUUUAUUGGGGGUCCUCGAGACAAGAUGCGUCGGUACCUAGACGCCAUGGCUUUAGUCAGAAAAUAUGGGAAACCGGACAUAUUCCUCACGAUGACAUGCAAUCCCAACUGGGAAGAGAUCACGAAUGAACUUGGGGUUGGUCAAACACCACAAGAUCGCCCUGAUCUUGUUGUUCGUGUUUUCAGAGCAAAACUAGAAGAAAUGAAAAAGGAGUUGUUAGAAAAGCACAUGCUAGGCAAGGUGAAGGCCUAUACCUAUGUUGUAGAGUUUCAAAAGAGAGGUCUACCGCACGCUCAUUUCUUGCUUAUAAUGACCGGAAAAUAUAAGCUUACUUGUCCAGAGCAAUAUGAUAGACUAAUCUCGGCGGAGCUCCCAAACAAACAAAAGUACCCAGAGUUGUACAAGAUGGUUAUCAAACAUAUGAUGCAUGGACCUUGCGGUACAUUGAAUAGGAACUGUGCAUGCACAAAGAAUCGAAAAUCAUGCAAGAACUAUUAUCCAAGGCCAUUUAACGCUACUACCAUUCAAGGCAAGGAUUCUUACCCAUUAUACAGGCGACGUGAUGACGGCAACAAUGAAAUAGUCCGAGGGCACAAACUAGAUAACAGGUGAAUACAGUGCCCCCUCACAUGUGGUANNNNNNNNNNNNNNNNNNNNNNNNNNNNNNNNNNNNNNNNNNNNNNNNNNNNNNNNNNNNNNNNNNNNNNNNNNNNNNNNNNNNNNNNNNNNNNNNNNNNNNNNNNNNNNNNNNNNNNNNNNNNNNNNNNNNNNNNNNNNNNNNNNNNNNNNNNNNNNNNNNNNNNNNNNNNNNNNNNNNNNNNNNNNNNNNNNNNNNNNNNNNNNNNNNNNNNNNNNNNNNNNNNNNNNNNNNNNNNNNNNNNNNNNNNNNNNNNNNNNNNNNNNNNNNNNNNNNNNNNNNNNNNNNNNNNNNNNNNNNNNNNNNNNNNNNNNNNNNNNNNNNNNNNNNNNNNNNNNNNNNNNNNNNNNNNNNNNNNNNNNNNNNNNNNNNNNNNNNNNNNNNNNNNNNNNNNNNNNNNNNNNNNNNNNNNNNNNNNNNNNNNNNNNNNNNNNNNNNNNNNNNNNNNNNNNNNNNNNNNNNNNNNNNNNNNNNNNNNNNNNNNNNNNNNNNNNNNNNNNNNNNNNNNNNNNNNNNNNNNNNNNNNNNNNNNNNNNNNNNNNNNNNNNNNNNNNNNNNNNNNNNNNNNNNNNNNNNNNNNNNNNNNNNNNNNNNNNNNNNNNNNNNNNNNNNNNNNNNNNNNNNNNNNNNNNNNNNNNNNNNNNNNNNNNNNNNNNNNNNNNNNNNNNNNNNNNNNNNNNNNNNNNNNNNNNNNNNNNNNNNNNNNNNNNNNNNNNNNNNNNNNNNNNNNNNNNNNNNNNNNNNNNNNNNNNNNNNNNNNNNNNNNNNNNNNNNNNNNNNNNNNNNNNNNNNNNNNNNNNNNNNNNNNNNNNNNNNNNNNNNNNNNNNNNNNNNNNNNNNNNNNNNNNNNNNNNNNNNNNNNNNNNNNNNNNNNNNNNNNNNNNNNNNNNNNNNNNNNNNNNNNNNNNNNNNNNNNNNNNNNNNNNNNNNNNNNNNNNNNNNNNNNNNNNNNNNNNNNNNNNNNNNNNNNNNNNNNNNNNNNNNNNNNNNNNNNNNNNNNNNNNNNNNNNNNNNNNNNNNNNNNNNNNNNNNNNNNNNNNNNNNNNNNNNNNNNNNNNNNNNNNNNNNNNNNNNNNNNNNNNNNNNNNNNNNNNNNNNNNNNNNNNNNNNNNNNNNNNNNNNNNNNNNNNNNNNNNNNNNNNNNNNNNNNNNNNNNNNNNNNNNNNNNNNNNNNNNNNNNNNNNNNNNNNNNNNNNNNNNNNNNNNNNNNNNNNNNNNNNNNNNNNNNNNNNNNNNNNNNNNNNNNNNNNNNNNNNNNNNNNNNNNNNNNNNNNNNNNNNNNNNNNNNNNNNNNNNNNNNNNNNNNNNNNNNNNNNNNNNNNNNNNNNNNNNNNNNNNNNNNNNNNNNNNNNNNNNNNNNNNNNNNNNNNNNNNNNNNNNNNNNNNNNNNNNNNNNNNNNNNNNNNNNNNNNNNNNNNNNNNNNNNNNNNNNNNNNNNNNNNNNNNNNNNNNNNNNNNNNNNNNNNNNNNNNNNNNNNNNNNNNNNNNNNNNNNNNNNNNNNNNNNNNNNNNNNNNNNNNNNNNNNNNNNNNNNNNNNNNNNNNNNNNNNNNNNNNNNNNNNNNNNNNNNNNNNNNNNNNNNNNNNNNNNNNNNNNNNNNNNNNNNNNNNNNNNNNNNNNNNNNNNNNNNNNNNNNNNNNNNNNNNNNNNNNNNNNNNNNNNNNNNNNNNNNNNNNNNNNNNNNNNNNNNNNNNNNNNNNNNNNNNNNNNNNNNNNNNNNNNNNNNNNNNNNNNNNNNNNNNNNNNNNNNNNNNNNNNNNNNNNNNNNNNNNNNNNNNNNNNNNNNNNNNNNNNNNNNNNNNNNNNNNNNNNNNNNNNNNNNNNNNNNNNNNNNNNNNNNNNNNNNNNNNNNNNNNNNNNNNNNNNNNNNNNNNNNNNNNNNNNNNNNNNNNNNNNNNNNNNNNNNNNNNNNNNNNNNNNNNNNNNNNNNNNNNNNNNNNNNNNNNNNNNNNNNNNNNNNNNNNNNNNNNNNNNNNNNNNNNNNNNNNNNNNNNNNNNNNNNNNNNNNNNNNNNNNNNNNNNNNNNNNNNNNNNNNNNNNNNNNNNNNNNNNNNNNNNNNNNNNNNNNNNNNNNNNNNNNNNNNNNNNNNNNNNNNNNNNNNNNNNNNNNNNNNNNNNNNNNNNNNNNNNNNNNNNNNNNNNNNNNNNNNNNNNNNNNNNNNNNNNNNNNNNNNNNNNNNNNNNNNNNNNNNNNNNNNNNNNNNNNNNNNNNNNNNNNNNNNNNNNNNNNNNNNNNNNNNNNNNNNNNNNNNNNNNNNNNNNNNNNNNNNNNNNNNNNNNNNNNNNNNNNNNNNNNNNNNNNNNNNNNNNNNNNNNNNNNNNNNNNNNNNNNNNNNNNNNNNNNNNNNNNNNNNNNNNNNNNNNNNNNNNNNNNNNNNNNNNNNNNNNNNNNNNNNNNNNNNNNNNNNNNNNNNNNNNNNNNNNNNNNNNNNNNNNNNNNNNNNNNNNNNNNNNNNNNNNNNNNNNNNNNNNNNNNNNNNNNNNNNNNNNNNNNNNNNNNNNNNNNNNNNNNNNNNNNNNNNNNNNNNNNNNNNNNNNNNNNNNNNNNNNNNNNNNNNNNNNNNNNNNNNNNNNNNNNNNNNNNNNNNNNNNNNNNNNNNNNNNNNNNNNNNNNNNNNNNNNNNNNNNNNNNNNNNNNNNNNNNNNNNNNNNNNNNNNNNNNNNNNNNNNNNNNNNNNNNNNNNNNNNNNNNNNNNNNNNNNNNNNNNNNNNNNNNNNNNNNNNNNNNNNNNNNNNNNNNNNNNNNNNNNNNNNNNNNNNNNNNNNNNNNNNNNNNNNNNNNNNNNNNNNNNNNNNNNNNNNNNNNNNNNNNNNNNNNNNNNNNNNNNNNNNNNNNNNNNNNNNNNNNNNNNNNNNNNNNNNNNNNNNNNNNNNNNNNNNNNNNNNNNNNNNNNNNNNNNNNNNNNNNNNNNNNNNNNNNNNNNNNNNNNNNNNNNNNNNNNNNNNNNNNNNNNNNNNNNNNNNNNNNNNNNNNNNNNNNNNNNNNNNNNNNNNNNNNNNNNNNNNNNNNNNNNNNNNNNNNNNNNNNNNNNNNNNNNNNNNNNNNNNNNNNNNNNNNNNNNNNNNNNNNNNNNNNNNNNNNNNNNNNNNNNNNNNNNNNNNNNNNNNNNNNNNNNNNNNNNNNNNNNNNNNNNNNNNNNNNNNNNNNNNNNNNNNNNNNNNNNNNNNNNNNNNNNNNNNNNNNNNNNNNNNNNNNNNNNNNNNNNNNNNNNNNNNNNNNNNNNNNNNNNNNNNNNNNNNNNNNNNNNNNNNNNNNNNNNNNNNNNNNNNNNNNNNNNNNNNNNNNNNNNNNNNNNNNNNNNNNNNNNNNNNNNNNNNNNNNNNNNNNNNNNNNNNNNNNNNNNNNNNNNNNNNNNNNNNNNNNNNNNNNNNNNNNNNNNNNNNNNNNNNNNNNNNNNNNNNNNNNNNNNNNNNNNNNNNNNNNNNNNNNNNNNNNNNNNNNNNNNNNNNNNNNNNNNNNNNNNNNNNNNNNNNNNNNNNNNNNNNNNNNNNNNNNNNNNNNNNNNNNNNNNNNNNNNNNNNNNNNNNNNNNNNNNNNNNNNNNNNNNNNNNNNNNNNNNNNNNNNNNNNNNNNNNNNNNNNNNNNNNNNNNNNNNNNNNNNNNNNNNNNNNNNNNNNNNNNNNNNNNNNNNNNNNNNNNNNNNNNNNNNNNNNNNNNNNNNNNNNNNNNNNNNNNNNNNNNNNNNNNNNNNNNNNNNNNNNNNNNNNNNNNNNNNNNNNNNNNNNNNNNNNNNNNNNNNNNNNNNNNNNNNNNNNNNNNNNNNNNNNNNNNNNNNNNNNNNNNNNNNNNNNNNNNNNNNNNNNNNNNNNNNNNNNNNNNNNNNNNNNNNNNNNNNNNNNNNNNNNNNNNNNNNNNNNNNNNNNNNNNNNNNNNNNNNNNNNNNNNNNNNNNNNNNNNNNNNNNNNNNNNNNNNNNNNNNNNNNNNNNNNNNNNNNNNNNNNNNNNNNNNNNNNNNNNNNNNNNNNNNNNNNNNNNNNNNNNNNNNNNNNNNNNNNNNNNNNNNNNNNNNNNNNNNNNNNNNNNNNNNNNNNNNNNNNNNNNNNNNNNNNNNNNNNNNNNNNNNNNNNNNNNNNNNNNNNNNNNNNNNNNNNNNNNNNNNNNNNNNNNNNNNNNNNNNNNNNNNNNNNNNNNNNNNNNNNNNNNNNNNNNNNNNNNNNNNNNNNNNNNNNNNNNNNNNNNNNNNNNNNNNNNNNNNNNNNNNNNNNNNNNNNNNNNNNNNNNNNNNNNNNNNNNNNNNNNNNNNNNNNNNNNNNNNNNNNNNNNNNNNNNNNNNNNNNNNNNNNNNNNNNNNNNNNNNNNNNNNNNNNNNNNNNNNNNNNNNNNNNNNNNNNNNNNNNNNNNNNNNNNNNNNNNNNNNNNNNNNNNNNNNNNNNNNNNNNNNNNNNNNNNNNNNNNNNNNNNNNNNNNNNNNNNNNNNNNNNNNNNNNNNNNNNNNNNNNNNNNNNNNNNNNNNNNNNNNNNNNNNNNNNNNNNNNNNNNNNNNNNNNNNNNNNNNNNNNNNNNNNNNNNNNNNNNNNNNNNNNNNNNNNNNNNNNNNNNNNNNNNNNNNNNNNNNNNNNNNNNNNNNNNNNNNNNNNNNNNNNNNNNNNNNNNNNNNNNNNNNNNNNNNNNNNNNNNNNNNNNNNNNNNNNNNNNNNNNNNNNNNNNNNNNNNNNNNNNNNNNNNNNNNNNNNNNNNNNNNNNNNNNNNNNNNNNNNNNNNNNNNNNNNNNNNNNNNNNNNNNNNNNNNNNNNNNNNNNNNNNNNNNNNNNNNNNNNNNNNNNNNNNNNNNNNNNNNNNNNNNNNNNNNNNNNNNNNNNNNNNNNNNNNNNNNNNNNNNNNNNNNNNNNNNNNNNNNNNNNNNNNNNNNNNNNNNNNNNNNNNNNNNNNNNNNNNNNNNNNNNNNNNNNNNNNNNNNNNNNNNNNNNNNNNNNNNNNNNNNNNNNNNNNNNNNNNNNNNNNNNNNNNNNNNNNNNNNNNNNNNNNNNNNNNNNNNNNNNNNNNNNNNNNNNNNNNNNNNNNNNNNNNNNNNNNNNNNNNNNNNNNNNNNNNNNNNNNNNNNNNNNNNNNNNNNNNNNNNNNNNNNNNNNNNNNNNNNNNNNNNNNNNNNNNNNNNNNNNNNNNNNNNNNNNNNNNNNNNNNNNNNNNNNNNNNNNNNNNNNNNNNNNNNNNNNNNNNNNNNNNNNNNNNNNNNNNNNNNNNNNNNNNNNNNNNNNNNNNNNNNNNNNNNNNNNNNNNNNNNNNNNNNNNNNNNNNNNNNNNNNNNNNNNNNNNNNNNNNNNNNNNNNNNNNNNNNNNNNNNNNNNNNNNNNNNNNNNNNNNNNNNNNNNNNNNNNNNNNNNNNNNNNNNNNNNNNNNNNNNNNNNNNNNNNNNNNNNNNNNNNNNNNNNNNNNNNNNNNNNNNNNNNNNNNNNNNNNNNNNNNNNNNNNNNNNNNNNNNNNNNNNNNNNNNNNNNNNNNNNNNNNNNNNNNNNNNNNNNNNNNNNNNNNNNNNNNNNNNNNNNNNNNNNNNNNNNNNNNNNNNNNNNNNNNNNNNNNNNNNNNNNNNNNNNNNNNNNNNNNNNNNNNNNNNNNNNNNNNNNNNNNNNNNNNNNNNNNNNNNNNNNNNNNNNNNNNNNNNNNNNNNNNNNNNNNNNNNNNNNNNNNNNNNNNNNNNNNNNNNNNNNNNNNNNNNNNNNNNNNNNNNNNNNNNNNNNNNNNNNNNNNNNNNNNNNNNNNNNNNNNNNNNNNNNNNNNNNNNNNNNNNNNNNNNNNNNNNNNNNNNNNNNNNNNNNNNNNNNNNNNNNNNNNNNNNNNNNNNNNNNNNNNNNNNNNNNNNNNNNNNNNNNNNNNNNNNNNNNNNNNNNNNNNNNNNNNNNNNNNNNNNNNNNNNNNNNNNNNNNNNNNNNNNNNNNNNNNNNNNNNNNNNNNNNNNNNNNNNNNNNNNNNNNNNNNNNNNNNNNNNNNNNNNNNNNNNNNNNNNNNNNNNNNNNNNNNNNNNNNNNNNNNNNNNNNNNNNNNNNNNNNNNNNNNNNNNNNNNNNNNNNNNNNNNNNNNNNNNNNNNNNNNNNNNNNNNNNNNNNNNNNNNNNNNNNNNNNNNNNNNNNNNNNNNNNNNNNNNNNNNNNNNNNNNNNNNNNNNNNNNNNNNNNNNNNNNNNNNNNNNNNNNNNNNNNNNNNNNNNNNNNNNNNNNNNNNNNNNNNNNNNNNNNNNNNNNNNNNNNNNNNNNNNNNNNNNNNNNNNNNNNNNNNNNNNNNNNNNNNNNNNNNNNNNNNNNNNNNNNNNNNNNNNNNNNNNNNNNNNNNNNNNNNNNNNNNNNNNNNNNNNNNNNNNNNNNNNNNNNNNNNNNNNNNNNNNNNNNNNNNNNNNNNNNNNNNNNNNNNNNNNNNNNNNNNNNNNNNNNNNNNNNNNNNNNNNNNNNNNNNNNNNNNNNNNNNNNNNNNNNNNNNNNNNNNNNNNNNNNNNNNNNNNNNNNNNNNNNNNNNNNNNNNNNNNNNNNNNNNNNNNNNNNNNNNNNNNNNNNNNNNNNNNNNNNNNNNNNNNNNNNNNNNNNNNNNNNNNNNNNNNNNNNNNNNNNNNNNNNNNNNNNNNNNNNNNNNNNNNNNNNNNNNNNNNNNNNNNNNNNNNNNNNNNNNNNNNNNNNNNNNNNNNNNNNNNNNNNNNNNNNNNNNNNNNNNNNNNNNNNNNNNNNNNNNNNNNNNNNNNNNNNNNNNNNNNNNNNNNNNNNNNNNNNNNNNNNNNNNNNNNNNNNNNNNNNNNNNNNNNNNNNNNNNNNNNNNNNNNNNNNNNNNNNNNNNNNNNNNNNNNNNNNNNNNNNNNNNNNNNNNNNNNNNNNNNNNNNNNNNNNNNNNNNNNNNNNNNNNNNNNNNNNNNNNNNNNNNNNNNNNNNNNNNNNNNNNNNNNNNNNNNNNNNNNNNNNNNNNNNNNNNNNNNNNNNNNNNNNNNNNNNNNNNNNNNNNNNNNNNNNNNNNNNNNNNNNNNNNNNNNNNNNNNNNNNNNNNNNNNNNNNNNNNNNNNNNNNNNNNNNNNNNNNNNNNNNNNNNNNNNNNNNNNNNNNNNNNNNNNNNNNNNNNNNNNNNNNNNNNNNNNNNNNNNNNNNNNNNNNNNNNNNNNNNNNNNNNNNNNNNNNNNNNNNNNNNNNNNNNNNNNNNNNNNNNNNNNNNNNNNNNNNNNNNNNNNNNNNNNNNNNNNNNNNNNNNNNNNNNNNNNNNNNNNNNNNNNNNNNNNNNNNNNNNNNNNNNNNNNNNNNNNNNNNNNNNNNNNNNNNNNNNNNNNNNNNNNNNNNNNNNNNNNNNNNNNNNNNNNNNNNNNNNNNNNNNNNNNNNNNNNNNNNNNNNNNNNNNNNNNNNNNNNNNNNNNNNNNNNNNNNNNNNNNNNNNNNNNNNNNNNNNNNNNNNNNNNNNNNNNNNNNNNNNNNNNNNNNNNNNNNNNNNNNNNNNNNNNNNNNNNNNNNNNNNNNNNNNNNNNNNNNNNNNNNNNNNNNNNNNNNNNNNNNNNNNNNNNNNNNNNNNNNNNNNNNNNNNNNNNNNNNNNNNNNNNNNNNNNNNNNNNNNNNNNNNNNNNNNNNNNNNNNNNNNNNNNNNNNNNNNNNNNNNNNNNNNNNNNNNNNNNNNNNNNNNNNNNNNNNNNNNNNNNNNNNNNNNNNNNNNNNNNNNNNNNNNNNNNNNNNNNNNNNNNNNNNNNNNNNNNNNNNNNNNNNNNNNNNNNNNNNNNNNNNNNNNNNNNNNNNNNNNNNNNNNNNNNNNNNNNNNNNNNNNNNNNNNNNNNNNNNNNNNNNNNNNNNNNNNNNNNNNNNNNNNNNNNNNNNNNNNNNNNNNNNNNNNNNNNNNNNNNNNNNNNNNNNNNNNNNNNNNNNNNNNNNNNNNNNNNNNNNNNNNNNNNNNNNNNNNNNNNNNNNNNNNNNNNNNNNNNNNNNNNNNNNNNNNNNNNNNNNNNNNNNNNNNNNNNNNNNNNNNNNNNNNNNNNNNNNNNNNNNNNNNNNNNNNNNNNNNNNNNNNNNNNNNNNNNNNNNNNNNNNNNNNNNNNNNNNNNNNNNNNNNNNNNNNNNNNNNNNNNNNNNNNNNNNNNNNNNNNNNNNNNNNNNNNNNNNNNNNNNNNNNNNNNNNNNNNNNNNNNNNNNNNNNNNNNNNNNNNNNNNNNNNNNNNNNNNNNNNNNNNNNNNNNNNNNNNNNNNNNNNNNNNNNNNNNNNNNNNNNNNNNNNNNNNNNNNNNNNNNNNNNNNNNNNNNNNNNNNNNNNNNNNNNNNNNNNNNNNNNNNNNNNNNNNNNNNNNNNNNNNNNNNNNNNNNNNNNNNNNNNNNNNNNNNNNNNNNNNNNNNNNNNNNNNNNNNNNNNNNNNNNNNNNNNNNNNNNNNNNNNNNNNNNNNNNNNNNNNNNNNNNNNNNNNNNNNNNNNNNNNNNNNNNNNNNNNNNNNNNNNNNNNNNNNNNNNNNNNNNNNNNNNNNNNNNNNNNNNNNNNNNNNNNNNNNNNNNNNNNNNNNNNNNNNNNNNNNNNNNNNNNNNNNNNNNNNNNNNNNNNNNNNNNNNNNNNNNNNNNNNNNNNNNNNNNNNNNNNNNNNNNNNNNNNNNNNNNNNNNNNNNNNNNNNNNNNNNNNNNNNNNNNNNNNNNNNNNNNNNNNNNNNNNNNNNNNNNNNNNNNNNNNNNNNNNNNNNNNNNNNNNNNNNNNNNNNNNNNNNNNNNNNNNNNNNNNNNNNNNNNNNNNNNNNNNNNNNNNNNNNNNNNNNNNNNNNNNNNNNNNNNNNNNNNNNNNNNNNNNNNNNNNNNNNNNNNNNNNNNNNNNNNNNNNNNNNNNNNNNNNNNNNNNNNNNNNNNNNNNNNNNNNNNNNNNNNNNNNNNNNNNNNNNNNNNNNNNNNNNNNNNNNNNNNNNNNNNNNNNNNNNNNNNNNNNNNNNNNNNNNNNNNNNNNNNNNNNNNNNNNNNNNNNNNNNNNNNNNNNNNNNNNNNNNNNNNNNNNNNNNNNNNNNNNNNNNNNNNNNNNNNNNNNNNNNNNNNNNNNNNNNNNNNNNNNNNNNNNNNNNNNNNNNNNNNNNNNNNNNNNNNNNNNNNNNNNNNNNNNNNNNNNNNNNNNNNNNNNNNNNNNNNNNNNNNNNNNNNNNNNNNNNNNNNNNNNNNNNNNNNNNNNNNNNNNNNNNNNNNNNNNNNNNNNNNNNNNNNNNNNNNNNNNNNNNNNNNNNNNNNNNNNNNNNNNNNNNNNNNNNNNNNNNNNNNNNNNNNNNNNNNNNNNNNNNNNNNNNNNNNNNNNNNNNNNNNNNNNNNNNNNNNNNNNNNNNNNNNNNNNNNNNNNNNNNNNNNNNNNNNNNNNNNNNNNNNNNNNNNNNNNNNNNNNNNNNNNNNNNNNNNNNNNNNNNNNNNNNNNNNNNNNNNNNNNNNNNNNNNNNNNNNNNNNNNNNNNNNNNNNNNNNNNNNNNNNNNNNNNNNNNNNNNNNNNNNNNNNNNNNNNNNNNNNNNNNNNNNNNNNNNNNNNNNNNNNNNNNNNNNNNNNNNNNNNNNNNNNNNNNNNNNNNNNNNNNNNNNNNNNNNNNNNNNNNNNNNNNNNNNNNNNNNNNNNNNNNNNNNNNNNNNNNNNNNNNNNNNNNNNNNNNNNNNNNNNNNNNNNNNNNNNNNNNNNNNNNNNNNNNNNNNNNNNNNNNNNNNNNNNNNNNNNNNNNNNNNNNNNNNNNNNNNNNNNNNNNNNNNNNNNNNNNNNNNNNNNNNNNNNNNNNNNNNNNNNNNNNNNNNNNNNNNNNNNNNNNNNNNNNNNNNNNNNNNNNNNNNNNNNNNNNNNNNNNNNNNNNNNNNNNNNNNNNNNNNNNNNNNNNNNNNNNNNNNNNNNNNNNNNNNNNNNNNNNNNNNNNNNNNNNNNNNNNNNNNNNNNNNNNNNNNNNNNNNNNNNNNNNNNNNNNNNNNNNNNNNNNNNNNNNNNNNNNNNNNNNNNNNNNNNNNNNNNNNNNNNNNNNNNNNNNNNNNNNNNNNNNNNNNNNNNNNNNNNNNNNNNNNNNNNNNNNNNNNNNNNNNNNNNNNNNNNNNNNNNNNNNNNNNNNNNNNNNNNNNNNNNNNNNNNNNGUACGUUAUUACAGCAAGGGUAGCACUCAUGUGUUUUUCGUUAAUAGUAAACAGCAGACCACAUUGAAACAGAGUGCAUAUACAGAGAGGCAGAGCUUUCUAGUGUAUAUAUAUUGUGCCAUACGCAAGUAGAUAGCAGACCAGCUACUAGCUCGCAAAUGCCCUAGCAUGCAGAAGUUUUAAGGAACUACAGUGCACUAGGACAUAUGCUUUGAUCACCUGGCGUAGUACGAACUUCCUGGGUUCAUGGGCAGGCUCUCACCUUCUUGUGUAGGAUAACCAAUACUAGUGGCACCUUCUAUUUCAAAGCUAGCAGUCGACGCUCCACCGAGAAGACUCUGAGCCUCCAUCUCAACAUCGACUUGUACCCAAGGAUGCAGUGAAAGCUUCCUCAAUCUGCUGAGCUCAUCGGCGAUCUCCUUCAUCGAUGGUCUGUUGCUGCCACACAUGUCCAGGCAUUGCUUGGCUAGCUCCGCAAGGCCUCUGAUCAAUUCAUUGUUCUCUUGUCCCUUUACAUGGCUCGGCAAGAUCGCAUCAAGGUUGUUCUCCUUCAUAGAGGACAAGAAAUUUGACGACAGACUUCUUUCCGUCUCAGGCCCAUCCAACUUCAGAGGCUCUUGGCCAGUGAGUACCUCUAGAAGGAUAACACCAAAGCUAAAGACGUCGCUUUUCUCUGUCAAUUGGCAUGUCAGCAUGUAUUCAGGGUCGAGGUAGCCACAGGUACCUUGAACCAUUGUGACAUACUGCUCUUUAUCUGAUGGGGCUAGUAUGGAGGCUCCAAAAUCUGACACUUUUGCCAUGUAGUUUUCAUCUAAAAGAAUAUUGGCAGUCUUCACAUCACCAUGGAUAAUUGGGGGAGAUGCGUAUGAGUGUAGGAAAUUGAGACCUUCAGCUGCUUCAUGAGCAAUCCUUAAUAAAGUGCUGAAAGAGAUUUGUAAUGCUUGGUUCUUGCCAUGGAUAAGUUCAAACAGUGUGCCUUUUGGGAUGAAUUCAUAGACCAACAUUGGAACUUCCACCUCAAGGCAACAACCCACUAGUUUGACAAUGUUCUUGUGGUUGAUCUGGGAGAGUAUUAGCAUUUCUUGUCCAAAUUCCUUCUUUUGUCUUUCAUCAAUAAGUGCACAUCGCUUAAUCGCAACAGGCAUGUUGCCCUUAACUAUCCCUUUGUAGACUGUUCCAUGGCCUCCUUUUCCAAUUAUUCUGCUCUUGUCGUAGUUGUUUGUGGCUUGUAUCAGUUCAGCUUCGCUAAACACCGUGAAAGCAAGACCUUUUUCUGAUCUCAUCCUCUCAAACAGAAUCAUGCCCCCAUGUUCUCGAAAAUGUUCUUGCCUAACUUGGUUCAGCUUUCUCUUUUGAAGAAUCAUGUAUCCGAAGGAGGAGAAAAUCACGAGAACAAGAGAGCCGACUGCAACUCCUGCAUAAAAGCAUCGAAUAAGAGCAUAUUGUCAGAAAACGUGCUUUCCUUCUUAUAUAUAUUGCCAUGUGGCAUUUCUCAAAUAUAUUGGUCCAGCAAGCUGAUCUCGGCGUCCUACCUAUUAUUAAGCCAGUAUCAGGGUCGCAUGUGGUUCUUUGCCUGUUAAACUUCCUUCCUGCUCGACAAGAACACCGGUAGCCUCCUUCCGUGUUGUGGCAAACACCGCCUGAAGGGCAUGGGCGGCUACUACACUCAUCAACGUCUGCAGUAAGAUGAGCAAAACCAAGAACGAUAAAUACAAGUUUAGAGAUUGAAUAUUGUUCAAAGAUAUUGUUAGUCAUCUUAGCAUACUCGUUACCUUGGCAUCCACCUUGAAGAUACGGGUUGCCUUGGUACCCUUUGGAGCAGUUGCACAGGUACCCUAGCCCGUUGGCUGAAUCCACGCACCCGCUGUUGGUGCUGAGGCAUGCGUAAGUGCCCGUGGCGACCUCACAUGUCGUCUUGUUACUUAUCGCCCAGUCCAUCACCACUGGUGCUCGCCCAAUUCUUGUGUCAUUGAACGUGGUCGUGCUGAUGUACUUGGUGCUGAAAUUGAACGCCUCCGCCUCCAUCAGCACGGCGUAGCUGCAAGGGCUGAACCUCUGAACUUUGCUUGUGUUGAAACCGCGACUGAACAAGACCUCGUAAUAGCCCAUAUUCCUAGGUAUGGCUGUCUGGCAGCAGCCAAUUCCGGAGCAGGGUCCGUCCGCUAGGUCUGACAGAUUCCGGCAAGUUGAGACACACCCACUUAGGUAACCGGUGCUGGUGUUGUCGUAGAUAUAGGCGAGGGUGUUGCAGCCAAUGACGGUGAACUUAUUGUGGACGUCUGAGAAUCGGAAUGGGCCACCUCUUAUGUCGAGCCACCAACGAUUAUCCUCCAUCUGACCGGAGGAGUUGUUGUAGCAGUAUGUUGAGAUUUGGUUGAGCACCCUGAUCGUGCCUUGAGCCAAGGAAAUGUUGAGCACCUCCACGAAACCGAGGAAUGGCUUGUAGACACCAUCGUGGAUCUGGCAGCUGACGUUGAAGCUGCUUGACAGCGAGCAAUUGUCACCGAUGCCGAACGGGUACGGAAUCUCAACACCGCCACACUGCGUUUGGCAUUGAGAGCUAGGAACCGCAAGAGCGGGGUCGUGCUUUGCUGCCAACAGAAGUAGAAAACCAAGACCAAGCUGCAGAAAGCGCACUUCCAUAUAUACUCCUUGGCUGGAUAACUAGAAAGUAGAAAUCAUGAUGUUGCGAAGGUAAGAUAAAUCAGUGGAUGCACCGUAUACCUAAUAAGUUCUGCUUUGUGUACUACAUGUACUAAAAGAAAAUUCCCAUUAUGCACGCUUAAAAAAUUAUUGAUAAAAAUCUUCACACAUGCAGACAUGCUCCGUGAAAAGAAACAAAAAGAUAGCUGAAAAGGUACUAAUGGGUUAUGGAACCCCCAAUAUCUUCAAGUCGAAGAAUAUUAGGUUUCAUGGUCAAAGGAAUAUAAUGUUAGGUAAGGACAAGACAAUUCCAACAAAUCGAUCUCUCGCUAAUUAAAAAACCGUGAAGUAUCUCUCAUGCAUAAUCAGCAUGUAAGGCCGGAUUGGUUUGACUUGCUCAAGGAAAUGCUAGUAAAGCAUGGUUUUGCAAAGCAGUCAUGGUAAUUUAAAGCCGGUUUAGUGUCUUGCAUUGGGAAUAUACGAGCGUUCAUCUUAUUGGCGUAGCAUCUAAAAGAAUCUAAAAUCAACCUCUUCACAUGCAGAUAAAAGAACUAAAAGGGAAGAGGGCUGAUAAACUAAACUGUUGAUGAGGAUAAACUUAGUAGAAGAAUCAGCAUGAAAUAGCAAGGGAGUACAGCUUUCAUCGAAUUAGUAUAUGUACCUUAGCUUUGAGGAGAGGUUUUUGAGCCUAUCUUCCCCGGAACGCCGAGAGUCGCCAACGUAGAGAACUGAUUGACUGAACCUUUGGAGAUUGCUUCGGUUAUUUGUUCUAACAAGAGCAGACAACCCUAUGUGCGUUGGAGUAUAUAGGAAGUGCACAUCCACAUCACUGUACGGGUCGUCGGGAAUGAGUCAAGACACAGUGCACAACAGAGACCAAGUCGUGGCAGACAGUGCCUGCAAUUUUUUCCGGCCUCAAGUACCCACCAGCGAGAACGCAUCAUCAACAGAUAAUGACAUAGUUAGACUUUGAAAUUAAUCUUUUUCGGUGGAUAAAAUUGUUGAGGAGGAUAACUACUAAUGCAAAAACUUAGCUUCUCAUUUUUCAGAUAAAAGGAAGACAUAAUUUUAGCCUCUCUCAUUUUGUGAUGACCUAAACACAAGCCAGCCGCCCAUCUCUCUCUCGCGCGCGCGCUGCCACACACAGGAUUCCAGGAGAAGUGGAGAAAUGGUAUAAAUUAUUCUAAUUUUUGCCUGAAUUCUGAAAGAACUCACGAUUCAAACGAUCUUGGGAAUGUUUUCUGCCUUUUGCCGGACGCCCGGACUCUUGCUUCAGCUGAAUAAUCCAUCUUGGAGUGGUAAGGUAACCUAUAUUGCAAUUAAGUUUGAAAUGACAAAAUUGGAAUCUUCUUUGCUACGAGGGUGAGAAAUUGGAAACAGACACCGAUGGUCAUGCAAGGCGACAGUGUAACACGUGUGGUGAAUUUUUAACGCUGUUCUAUACUUCUAUCUCUUGGAAAAACGAAACUUCCUCGUAGAAACUUAUCUCGCGUCAACGUACGUGGUCGUCGCGAGUCAGUCAACGCACAGCAGCGAUUGAGUCUAAAGAAACUUUUGUUUCAAAAAAAAAAACAGGGCCUUCAAAUACGUCCUCCAGUACUUUGUCUUAACAAAGAUAAAUCUUGGAAAAAAAACAAAGAAUACGUCCUAGCGUGUAAAAACGAUGUCGUGCAGUGGUAAGCUUAUUAUUCCUACCACACAAGCCACUGCAAGUUGAAAAAUGAUAAUAUUGGGGUCUUCUUUGCUCUGAGCUAGGGUGACGGUGCUGGAAAUUGGAAUCAGUCACCGAUCGCCAUGCAAGGCGACAUUGAGAUCUUCUUUGCUCUGAGGGUGAAAUUGGAAACAGUCACCGAUUCCAUGCAAGGCGACAGCGUAACGUGUGGUGCAUUUUUAACCGUGUUCCAUACUUCUACCUCUUGGAAAAAUGAAACUUACUCGUAGAACAAAACCACUACUGGAAAAAUGACGUCCAGACCGAUUAGUAACCUCCCUCUAGUACCGAAUGUGCAACCGGUACUGGCAAUCCGGUACUAGAGGGGGUCCUUUAGUACCGGUUAAAAUACCUGGUACUAAAACCCUUUAGUACCGGUUAGGGGUACUAGCCGGUACUAAAGGGAUUCCCACGCCACGUGGGGAGGUGGCCUUAUUAGUAUUGGUUGGUAUCCCCAACCGGUACUAAGUUUUUUCUCCCUUUUUUUCUUCUUUCUGUUCCUUUAGUCUAUAUUCGUAUUUCGUAUUUGUUUCCUUUACAUAUAGUUAUUCUAAUAUGCUAAUUUAUGGUGGGUUCUAUUUAGAUUUAAUAUAAUAUUUAAAAUAAUCUUAUAUAUAUACAUAUUGUGUAUACACAUAUGAAUAAUAUUACAAUUGAAACUUAAUAAAAAUUUGGCACUAGACUAGAUCCUGAACUAUGGAACUCCCCCGCAGGAUUUGUGACCUCAUCCAGAAGAAAUCCACACAGUUGAUCUUGUAUUUCCCUGAAAAUUUCGGUGUGGUCUAGUUCUUCCUUCCUGUUCCUCUCUUCUUGUUUAUCAUUUGCAAAUGAAUUAGAAAUACUUAAUCUAAAGUUAAAGCAUAUUAACUUUUUUUUAAGUAUAAGCAUAUUAAUUUUGUAUACGUACAAUUAUUUGGUGUUCGAUGGUAUGCAUCAGAUCCACAAAUUCGUGGAUGAAGUUACAAACAUAGUAUCCGCAAUAAUGAGUACCCUCCUGCUGUCUCAAAAACUAUAUAUACGAAAAAAAAAGUUAUGAAAUAUUUGUUAUGUUAAAGGAAGUGUCACGAGAUUUGAAAAUUGAACACAUACCGGGAAAUCUAUAUGCAAAACAAGUUUCUUGUUGUAAUCACACUUGUGAGUUUUAAGAAAUUGAGUCCAGCAUUUGUUCAGAGUGCCCAUGAGGUUAUUGAAAUUUUUUUUGGGUUUCCUCAAGGAGUCUCAGAUAGUCACUAAGCUCUGAUCGGGGAUAAUAAUAAUGAGUACCCAAUGGUACCUGUAGAUCCAAAUUGAAGGUAGUUAGUAUUAUGUGUAAGUGCUAGUUCGGAAAAGAAAGAGAUGGGAAAAACACUCACUCAUAGUGCCAAGGUAUUAAUAUACAGCUCUUCUCCCAGUGCCAAACUGCCAAGGUACUUUUGCCUUUUGCUUUUCUUGCGACCAACCUGCCCUUGACUUGACCUCGAGCAUCAAUUAUUAAUUGCCUUUCCCUUCCCCUGCAUCCGCAUCCCAUCGACCUCUGCUUCGUGCUGUUCCAAUCCAAGGCAGUUGCGAGCGGUGAGCUCCGGCGACGAGCGGCGGGCAGCGCGAUCUGGCAAACCAGCGAGUCCUAAGCCCCGGCGACAAGGAGAGGGCGGCCGGUGAGUCCUCGCUCACUUCCGUUCUUUGUGCCCGUCUGCAGACCUCCGAGAGCACUAGGCACUCGACAGCACUAUAAUUCAUCGUCACACGCCCCUGCUUGCUACACCUAUACCCAUAGCGUACAACCUUACUAAUUGCUCUGCCCAGGGACAAAUCCAUGGAGAUCGUGACAGGGGCAAUUCCAAGCCUCCUCGACAAGCUUGGUGAAUUGCUAGUUGGCGAGUACAAUCUGCAAAAUGAGGUGAAGGGAGGGAUCAUCUUCCUCCAAGAUGAGCUCAAGAGCAUGCAAGGUGCCCUCGAGAAGAUCUUGAGGACACCAGCAGAUAAGAUUGACAACCAGGACAAGAUCUGGGCUAGGUAAAUGAGAGAGAUGUCCUACGAUAUAGAGGACAAUAUUGACACAUAUAUCGUGCAGUGCAAGCGGAGGAAGAGGAAGAGGAAGACGGAUGAACAGCAUAGCUUCAAGGAAGCCAUUGAUAGGAUCCUCGAAUGGUUAUGGCAGCCUAUGAUUCGUCGUAAGAUUGCUACAGAAAUCAGAGAGAUCAAGAGCCGUGUCAUCGAGGUGCAUAAACGGCGCCGCAUGUAUGAGGUCAGCCUUGGUGUUGAUAAGCCUGUAACUGUGGACCCUCGUUUAUUCGCUCAGUACACGGAGGUGAAAGAGCUUGUUGGCAUUGAUGAGGCAAGGGAUGAGUUAAUCAAUAAGAUUUUGAUAGAAGGGAAUGAAGUUCCCUUGAAGCAAGGCAGGAUAGUUUCAAUUGUUGGAUUUGGAGGCCUGGGAAAGACAACUCUUGCCAAUGCAGUGUACAAAAAGAUUAGAGCACAAUUUGAUUGCUAUGCUUUUGUUUCUGUUUCUCAAAUUCCUGACCUGAAGAAACUGUAUAAGGGCUUGCUAUAUGAUCUUGGCAAGAGCAUCAACGAAGAAACAUUGGAUGAAAGGCGACUCAUAGAAGUACUCAGAGAAUUCCUUGAAGACAAAAGGUAAGAAAGCAUUCCUUUGGCCAAUUUAUACAUAUGAACUUUUUUUGGACUGAUAAUUUAUGCCUCUGUUCACAAUACUAUAAGUCUGCAUAGGGUUAAUUAAAUGUUCAUGCAGGUGGCCACAACCACUUAAGCAUUACCACAACAUUAUUAAGUGCAAAUAAUUUCCUCACUGGACCUCGAUUUGUUUUGAUAAAAUUCUGAGUGGACUUAUUUUAUCCACGGACUUGCCAAUCCACCUGCUCCCGAGCUAUUUUAGUUUAAUCAUUAAACCAUUAGCAGUGGUCUGAUUUGCUUAAUUUUCUUGUAGCUGGUAUAUGAACAACAUUAGAGCUUUAUUCAGUCCUUAAACCACUAUUUUUGGCUAAUAACUUGGCAUAUGUGUAGGUAUUUUGUUGUUGUUGAUGACGUAUGGGAUUUAUCAGUUUGGAAAAUGAUUAGAUGUGCUUUGCCUGAUAAUGAUGUUGGAUACACUAUUAUUACAACCACCCGUAUUUCUCAUGUUGCUGAACAAGCUGGGGGUGCUUACAACAUGAAACCUCUUUCUUUGAAUAACUCCCGAAAACUACUGUAUAGAAGAAUAUUUGGUAAUGGGAACAAAGAGAACAAUGAAGAAGAAGAAAAAUGUCACGACGAGCUGGCCGAAGUAUCUGACAGAAUAUUGAACAAAUGCACUGGUGUGCCAUUAGCUAUAAUUACGAUGGCUAGUUUGCUGGCUUGCAAAGCAAGAGAUAAAAUGGAGUGGUAUGAUGUGUGCAAUUCUAUUGGUACUGGUCUGGAAAACAAUCUAGAUGUGGAGAAUAUGAGAAAGAUUUUGUCAUUUAGCUAUUAUGAGCUACCAUGCCAUUUAAGGGCUUGCUUGUUAUAUUUGAGCAUGUUUUCUGAAGAUUAUGAAAUUAAGAAGGAUCGUUUGAUAAGGAUGUGGAUAGGUGAGGGUUUUAUCCAAUGUGAAAAAGCAGGGAAGAGCCUAUUUGAACUCGGAGAGAGUUACUUCAAUGAGCUUAUAAAUAGAAGCAUGAUCCAACCAGUAUAUGAUUUUGAUGACAUAAUAAUACAAGGUUGUCGUGUACAUGAUAUGGUGCUUGAUCUUAUUCGCUCCUUAUCAAGUGAAGAAAACUUUGUUACUGUACUAAGUAAUGUACUAAGUAAUAUGGGAGGCACAUCUCCGCCAAAUACAAUUCGGAGGUUGUCCCUUCAGAAUGGCCAGGAAAGUCAUGUGAUGGCUCAAGCUACAUGGAGCUUGCAACAUGCAAGGUCAGUUGUUGUCUUUCCAGCUGCUGCUUUUCUAGUGCCGCCUCUUGACUACUGCCGAGUUUUACGUGUUCUGGAUUUAGAGGACUGCAAUCUUUCACAAGCUAAUAGUAGCCUUAAGUACCUUGGGAAUAUACAUCACUUGAGGUACUUGGGACUUCAUCAGACAGGUAUUUCUCAGCUCUCGGAAGAAAUGGAAAACCUGCAUCUUCUACAAACAUUGGAUGUGAGCCGCAAUAAAUUUCUCAUGUUGCCUUCGAGUGUUGUCCAGCUAAGAAAGUUGAUGUGCCUAUACAUUGACGGAUUUAUAACUGCACCGGACGGAAUUGGAAACUUGACAUGCCUUGAACAGCUGUUAGGGUUAUGCAUUGAUCCCUGCACCAGAAACGUUAUAGAAGAGUUGGGCCAGCUAACUGAACUGAGGCAGCUGUCCAUUGAUUUGGACGAGUGGAACGACAAGCUGUUGGAGUGCCUAUGCAAGCUACAAAAGAUGCAGGAACUAGCUAUCGGCAGUAGGGGUCAACGCAGCAUCGGCGGAUUGGAUGCCUGGGUCGCCCCUCGACAUCUCCGCGUAUUGGAUACACGAAACAGCUGUUGGUUUUCAACACUUCCGGCUUGGGUGAAUCCAUCGCUUCUUCUGGACCUCACCAAUCUAAAGAUCGCCAUGAGGGAGCUACAUCAGGUUGAUCUCGAAAUCCUCGGGAGGUUGCCAGCUCUCCACUAUCUAGACCUGCUGGUGGACAAUAAGAACCUCAGUAUCCUUGCGGGAUUCGUUGUAGGUGCUGGUGCAUUCCCGUGCCUUGUAAACUGUUACUUCACGAAUUUUGUGUGGCCAGUGGUAUUUCAGCAUGGAGCAAUGCCAAGGCUCAGAGGCCUUGAGUUCUGGUGGUUUUAUCUGCGGGAGGUAAGAGGAAUUGCCUGCAAUGAUGGUAGUCUCGACUUGGGCCUGGGAAACCUGCCAGCGCUGCAGAACAUCUAUGUUGACAUGCAACGUGAUGGUGCUAGCAAGGAGGAGGCAGAGCAAGCCAAGGCUGCGCUGAGGCAUGCAGCUGAAAUGCAUCCCAAUCGUCCCUCACAUUUGAUCGAUAUUAUAGGUGCGCCAGCUCCUGAUUGUUAUUCCUUGUCUCCUUCCCCCUUUCUUGUAAACUGUAUUUGCAUUUAUUCCUCUGUUUGAGAUGGUGGGAUCUCCGGGUGAUCUUUCACCACGCCUUUCUUCUAGCCCCUUUGCCUCAAUUCGUCUAAUCUUCAUUUGGUAUAUUUCGGUCUGAUAUACAGAUGACGAGUAAUAUAAGAGUUUACGCCGGAAGCUGGAGCAGAGCAUAUGACAAAGUCCUUCUGUUUCGCCACGCAUGCAGAGGUUAAACUGCUCGGCCACGAGCUUUACCAGACACCCUCAGACUCAGAGCAUGCGUCUGAGACUGAGAGCUUUGAUCGUUUCUGCUGUGCAUUUCGUCGCGAGAGUGUAGGAUGACAUUGUCAGUGGAUAUCAUUGUAAUCCCUGACGAACUUCCCCCUCUCUACUCAUAUUACCGUUUAUUUUAGUCAUUGCAAAGGGACUGAGCUGUCUCCUGCGCCCCUGAUCUAGUUGCCUUGUAUCGUCUCAGUGGUUCAGGGCUUUGGCUGUUUUUGGGUUAAUGUUGCAGCUUGUGAGCGUAAUCAUCUUGUGAGCCGUAAGCAUGGACGGCAGUAUGUAUUCAUUGUUGCGCGGUUUCUGAUAUACUAGGCCAACUGUUAUGAAAUUUCAUUGUUGCUGCAGCGGCGAUGAGCAGAGGCAUCAGCGCUGGCACAGUGAUGGCGAAGACGAAAAUAUAGAUAAAAAUAGAGAGAUAGAUAUGCAUGGAUACAUAUAGACAUAGAUUUUAAGGACCUUGAUCCUCGAAACAUAUUUUACUCUCUUAAUUGACCAAGUUCUGUGCGUUAGAAUUAGGAAUUAAUUGAAAAAUGCAAAGGCAAUACACGGUACAUGGUUCAUGCGGGAGUACGGGUCGAUGGACUAGUGAAAUCUAGAUUACAUGGUAAGAAGGGAUAGUGUGAUUGGGAGGAUGUCCUUUCGAUCCUUGAAAACUUGUUACACGUAUAUUUUGUGCAAAUAGUGUGUGACUUGUAAUUUGCGACUCGCAACAACUUGGGUAGAUCGGGGAUUACAUCCAGAUUUACGGAUUUUUUUCUUGCUACCUUUUGGUUCUACUAUCUCACUGGCUCUUAUUGCAAGUCGGAAAGGAUACUAGCAUCUCUAUGGCCAUGCAACAACGGCACGAUACCGCCGGCUUGAAAAUAGAUACGGAUGAGCAUAUUUGUCUUUGCUCCUUUUAUUUGCCACUUCCUGGCGUCAUGCGACUUCUACAGUCAACUAUAGUCCCUUUUGGACUUGUCUUGCCUUCGCUUAUUGUCACACCCGAUUUUAAGGACAAAAUCGAGUGCAUUAAAUACAUGUGCGCCAGGAUCAAGUUACACACAUGUACGACAAUCGUGAAUAACAAAGACAGUGCUAAAUCGAAUUGAGAGAGUAUUAAACAUUAUUACAUGACCGAAAGUCUCAAUAAAACAUAAGCCUAAUUUAUUAAGCAGCGGAACUCCAAAGAUGACGACGACUCCACAGGCAGCUAACUGAAGAAACGUACACCUAGAACUUCUCAAAGUCGUGUAGAUAUUCCUCUUCCCAAUUAGCUUGGUCUGAACAGCGGUUUUGCAAGGGUGAGUACACUUAUGGUUGGUACUCAACAAGUCGUGGGGAAAUAGUGUAGUUUAAGGCAAAUACAAGGUAUGGCUAAGGCAUAAAUAGCAUUCGCUUUUAAUUAAGUUGGUCAAGUUUUAUUAGCAAUUAACUAAGUAUAAGUUCAUACCACCCGAAAUUAAACAUGAUCAUAAAUAAAGUAAACAACAUAUGCAUGAAAUGACAACAAGUUAAAUCCAUCUUCCGAUAACAUUAUCAUGUGAGGGUCCAGGCCGCUCUUAACCGUGAGCAUGGCUGAUCGAUCAGUUUUACACUCUGCAGAGGUGGCACAUCUUUACCCACAAGUCGCGUAAAAGUUCAAAAGAACUUUGGACCCAACCAUGCGGUGUUUGCAAGGCACCAUACCACACUUCCGAGGUGUGAUUGCAUAGGGACGCUACGAGGCCUUUACAAAGAUUCGCUAGCAAUGUGGUAACCCGCUAAGGUUUCAGGUCGAAGUGAAACAUAGCAGUCCCCUAGUGGGUAUAGUGUCUUAGCCAAGCCCACUUCCCAAGAGAGCGAGUGCUAUACCCCAUCAACGCCUCCCCUCUUGCCCUUUCGGUAAGAUUACCCCAAACUAGAGUUUCUAAUUAUUCAGCCAAGACCAAAGCCAUUUAGUCUUGUGGUAGCACUGUUUUCCUGGGAGGUUCUCCAUGUUCCGAUUAACAAUAAUGAUCUUGUCUUAAUGAAAGGUAUAACAGAAGUAAAGCAAGAUUAAACAUUGUGUUUAGUUAAACCACCAUACCAAGUAAGCACUAAGCAUGAGCUACCCAACAUAAAGUAAACCGGUUGGUCAAGGCAAAGGUAAUACAAUCUAGGCGAACCUUAAUUGGGACCCAUCAAUUUAAUCUUAACGUGUGCAUAGCAUAAAUGUUGAGUACGAGAAAGUAAAGGUGUAUAGGAUGAAAAGUAGUGAUCAAGGGCACGACUUGCCUUCUUGGCCUUGCUCCUGCUGUUCGUACUCCUUGAAGGCUUGAUCUUCAACUCCCUCGAACUGCGGGACGUCUACACGCGUCACACGAGCACAUACAAGCAAACAUGGGCAAAAAGUAAGAAAACAGUACAUCAAUCAUAGUUAAACAGAGAAAACAAGCUUGAAAAGUUGAUCUACGCUUUAAAACGAACACGUGGAUAUAAAGAACGCGAAAAACGGAGUUAAGAUGCAAAAGAUAUGAUUAAAACAAGAUCCAGGGACUUUUCUGUGAGAAAAACAAAACUUUUAGGGCCAAACCGCGAAAACCGAGGGCUUAUACGUAAUUACACGUAUAAACCGAAGGUCUAACGCGCAAAAACUCAAAUCCGGACGGUGGGUUGAUUUUUGGAAAGUUCAAGGAAAAACCGAAAAGUGCGAGGGCAGAUCUGUGGAUAUUUUUCAAAGCGAUCUGGACCGCGGGUUGAUUUGCGGAAAAGGUCGGGGCUUAAGAGAAAAAAGGCGUGGUGCGGCACAGUUGACCGUUACGCGGUCUUGUUUGACUCGCUAUCGACCGUCGGAUCGAGAUCGGACGGCCACAGUCAACGAUGACUCGCGGCAGCGGCGGAAAAGGGGCAGCCGGCGACGGCGAGCGGCGGCGGGCGACGGUGAGCGGCGGCGAGGUCGCCGGAGUUGACCAAAAAGGCGCUCCGGGGCAUGGUUUGGCGCGCGGAUUGCACCAGAAGGAAGAGGAGGGUGCGGCGAACUCGUUUUAGGGGUCUACGGCGACCGGAGUUCACCUGAGGCGGCGCUAGGCGGCGGGGAAGAGGCGGCGGCGCUGGAGCUCGCGGCGCUAGGGUUCGGGUGCUGCGGGUGCGGGCGGAGGAGACCGGGGGGGCAGCUUAUAUAGGGGCGGUGCUUGGAGAUAGAGCGGCCCCGAGUUUAACCCCCCCCCCCCCCCCCGAAGGAGUCGGAGCGGAGGCGGGCGGUUGCGGAGUCGGCGGCGCGGCGGUUGCGGGAGGGAGUCCCGACCGGAUACGGCCGGAGGAAGGGGAUGAUGGGUGGGGCCCACCCAUCAGGCCGGAGGAGGGAAGCGGUAGGCGGGCCGGCGUGACUUCGUGGGCCGGCGCGCGUUCACGGGCUGCGGGAAGGAGGUGAAGCGGUGGGCCGCGGCGGUGGGGAGUUGGGCCGGCAAGGAGAAAAAGAGGAAGGGGCCAUCGAGCUAUUGCGGCUGGGCGGCGAGAGAAGGUGGAGCGGGCCGGGGCACUGGUGCUAGGCUGGGCCGAAAGAAAAAGAAGAAGGGAAAGGAAGGAGAGAUGCGGCCCAGGUGGAGAAGAAGAAAAAGAAAAAGAAAGAGAAAAGGAAAAAGGUUUUGGAAAUUGAAUUUAAACUUGAAAUUCAAAUUUUUGGUUCAAACUCCAACCAUCAAAAAUUAUGCUCCAGCAUGAAUGCACAAAUAAUUCCUAUGUUGAAUUAAUUAAAUUAAAGAAAAUGAAAUUAAAUGCCUAGAAUUUAAAUGACAUCCUAAUUUGAGCAAAUUUUAAUGAAUUUGAAUUCUCUAAAAUUUUGGGUGUUACACUUAUUCUCUUCUCCAUCCAUUUGGUCUGUUUCUAGUAGUGAUAUUCCUUUCAAUACUAUCUUGAUUUACUAAAUCUUUAAUAGCCCUCUAGUUAGCAUAGCUUAAUUAAACAUUCUAUAGGAGAAAAAACUAACUUAUUAUAAAGUUUAAUUUGCUAGUAACAUGGCUUUCUUGAAUUAUCUGGUACAGGUACUUCAUUCUUAUUGAUGACAUAUGGAAACUCUCAGACUUCAAAAUGAUUAAACGUGCUUUGCUUGGUAAUAAUGCUGGAAACAAAAUAAUCACGACUACUCGUAUUCUCAAUAUUGCUGAACAAGCUGGCCGUGCUUACAAGUUGCAACCCAUUUCUCUGAACAACUCUCGGAAACUAUUUUUUAGAAGAAUAUUUGGUAAUGACAACAAAGACAACAAUGAAGAAGAAGAAAGAUGUUCUAACGAUGAGUUGGCCGAAGUAUCUGACAAAAUACUAAAGAAAUAUACUGGUGUGUCAUUAGCUAUAAUUAUGAUGGCUAGUUUGCUAGCUUGCAAAGCAAGAGAUAAAAUUGAGUGAUAUGAGGUGUGCAAUUCUGUUGGUACUGGUCUGGAAAACAAUCUAGAUGUGGAGAAUAUGAGAAAGAUUUUGUCAUUUAGCUAUUAUGAGCUACCAUGCCAUUUACGGACUUGCUUGUUAUAUUUGAGCAUGUUUCCUGAAGAUUAUGAAAUUAAGAAGGAUCGUUUGAUAAGGAUGUGGAUAGGUAAAGGUUUUAUCCAAUGUGAAAAAGGAGGGAAGAGCUUAUUUGAACUCUUAGAGAGUUAUUUCAAUGAGCUUAUAAACAGAAGCAUGAUCCAAUCAAUACAUGAUAAUUCAUAUAAUAUGAUAUGGUCCUAUCAUGUGCAUGAUAUGGUGAUUGAUCUUAUCCGCUCCUUGUCAAGUGAAGAAAACUUUGUUACUGUACUAAGUAAUAUGGGAGACACAUCUCCGUCAAAUACGAUUCGGAGGUUGUCCCUUCAGAAUGGUUAGGAAAGUCAUGUGAUGGCUCAAGCUACUUUCACCAUGCAACAUGCAAGGUUAGUUGUUGUCUUUCCAGCUGCAGCUUCUCUAGUGCCAUCUCUUGCCUGUCUGCCGAGUUUUACAUGUUCUGGAUUUAGAGUACUGCAAUCUUUCUCAAGCUAAUAGUAGCCUUAAGUACCUUGGGAAUAUACAUCACUUGAGGUACUUGGGACUAUGUAAGACAGGUAUUUCUCAGCUCCCGGAAGAAAUAGAAAACCUGUAGUUUCCAGGUUGCCUUCAAGUGUUGUCCAGCUAAAGUUGAUGUGCCUGUACAUUGACGAGUUUACGAGAGUGCCAAACGGAAUUGGAAACCUAACAUGCCUUGAACAGCUGUCAUUGUUACGCAUUAAUGACUCUGCCAUAAACAUUAUAGAAGAGUUGGGCCAGCUAAGUGAACUGAGGCAACUGUUCUUUGGAUUGUACGAGUGGAACGACAAGCUAUUGGAGUGUCUAUGCAAACUACAAAAAAUGCAGGAACUAUUUAUCGGCGGUCCUGAUCGGCGGUCCUAUUCAACACAGCAUCGGCGGAUUCGGUUCCUUGGUCGCCCCUCGACAUCUCCCCAUGUUGAGUAUACAAGACAUCUGUUGGUUUUCAACACUCACUGGUAGAGAACUCGGUAUUAGUCCCGAUCGGUAGAGUGCAAAUCUUCCAAAAAUCCAUCCAGGAUAAACCAACCGAGACAAAAGGGGGGUCUUUUGUCCCGGGUCACUCAACCGGGACUAAAGACCCCCUUUUAUCCCAGUUGGUAAUACUAACCGGGAUAAAACAUGUCACCACGCCAGGCGCUGCAAAAAAAAAAAAGAAAUCCCAAGAGCCCCACCCCCCCCACAUCGCAAGUCAUGCGCGUGCGCACUGCGUGGGAUUCGAACCCACGACCUCCAACCUUGCAUGUAGCUUCCUUGCCAUCCCACCUACACAACACAUCUGACUAUAUAGGGGAUGCAAUCCUUUUAUAUUAACUCGUGGGAACCCUUUUAUUCCGGUUAGAAACACCAACCGGGAUAAAAGACCCCCUUGUAUCCCGGUUGGUAUUACAAACCGGGAUAAAAGGGUUCGAGGGAUUUACUCCUCUUUCAGUCACCCCGUUGGGGACCCUUUUAUCCCGGUUUGAAACACCAACCGAGAUAAAGACCCCCUUGCCUUUUAUCCCGCUUUGCAAUACCAACCGGGAUAAAAGACCCUCUUUUAUCCCGGUUGGUGAAAGGGGUCUUUUAUCCCGGUUGGUUUUUCAAACCGGGAUAAAAGGUCUCUCAGGAUCUUUUUUUUCCACUAGCCUUUGCAACCGGGAUAAAAGGUCCCGGUUGGUGAGCCCCCGCCAGUGACUGAGCUUUAGUCCCGGUUGGUGAACCUUUUGUCCCGAGCCAACUUUAAACCGGGAUAAAAUGGGGUACAUGGAAGGUGAGUUCUCUACUAGUGAGAGCCAGCUUGGGUGAAUCCAUCGCUUCUUCUAGACCUCACCGUGCUAUGCAUCGACGUGAGGGAGCUACAUCAGGCCGAUCUUGAAAUCCUCGGGAGGUUGCCAGCUCUCCGCUUUCUAAAUCUGGUGGUGGACAAUAAGAACCUCGAUAUCCUUGCGGGAUUCGUUAUUGGUAGCCUUGUAAGCUGUUGCUUGUGGCAAUUUGUAUGGCCAGUGGUAUUUCAGCACGGAGCUAUGCCAAGGCUCAGGAAGCUUUUGUUCUUGUCAUUUUAUCUGCGGGAGAUGAGGAAUUUCUUGCAAUGACGAUAGUCUCGACUUGGGUCUCGAAAACCUGCCAUCGCUGCAGGAUGUCCGAGCUGACCUGCGAUGUGAUGGUACUAGCAAGGAGGAGGCAGAGCAAGCCAAGGCUGCGCUGACCCAUGCCGGUGAAAUGCAUCCCAAUCAUCCCUCACGCUGGAUCAAAAUUACAGGUGCGCCAGCUCCUGAUUGUUAUUCUUUACUUAUCUCCUUCCCCCUUUCUUCUAAACUGUAUUUGCGUUUAUUCCUCUGUUUGAGAUGGUCGAUCUCCAUCUGAUCUUUCACCACGCCUUUCUUCUAGCCCCUUUGCCUCAAUUCUUCUAACCUUCCUUUCGUUCUGAUAUACAGAUGCCCUUUACGCCGGAAGGUGAAGCUGGAGCAGAGCAGAUGACAAAGUCCCUCUAUUUCGCCACGCAUGCAGAGGUUAAACUGCUCGGCCAUGUGCUUUACCAGAUACCCUCAACCUGUGAGUAAACAAUGAAUGCUGCACACAUGAUUGUAAUCCCUGACUAACUUACCCCUCUGUACUCAUAUUACCGUUUAUUAUAGUCAUUGCAAAGGGACUGAGCUGUCUCCUGCGCCCCUGACCUAGUUGCCUUGUAUCGUCUCAGUGGUUCAGGGCUUUGGCUGUUUUUGUGUUAAUGUUGCAGCUUGUGAGCGUAAUCAUCUUGUGAGCCGUAAGCAUGGACGGCAGUAUGUAUUCAGUUGAUCGACCAUACUUGCAGACAUUUGAUUUGUUCAUUAUUCAGUUGCUAAAUCAUACGGAUCAAGGCAUCAAGAAGUCCAUGGUAACAUUUGUAGAUGCAGGAUUGGGCCGCAGCAGCAGUAGACGAGCCCGCUGUCCGGGUUGAAACCCAAGUACUUGCACCUUCAUACAGAUUAUCUUUUUCCGGAUGCUACUGGACGGCGCUGCCAUCAGCUGACUAUGCUGCAGCGGCGAUGAGCAGAGGCAUCAGCGCUGGCACAGUGAUGGCGAAGACGAAAAUAUAGAUAAAAAUAGAGAGAUAGAUAUGGGUACAUAUAGACAUAGAUUUUAAGGACCUUGAUCCUCGAAACAUAUUUUACUCUCUUAAUUGACCAAGUUCUGUGCGUUAGAAUUAGGAAUUAAUUGAAAAAUGCAAAGGCAAUACUGACAUCGUUUUUCCUGGAUCCACAUUGAGAGGAAAAAUGAGAAUGUACUGUAAUCAUAUUGCCACCGUCUACCAUCUCUUUCUCUUCUGCACUGCUUCUAGAAAAAUCAUGUGGCCACGGAGGAGCUUGGGCCGGAGGAGAAGCUGUCCCAGAGGGACCUGGGGACGGGGAAGAAGGAGAAGCUAUCGAUAUGAGAAGCAAUAAUUUGCCUAUCACCGAUCCAUACGUCUCCCACCUGCCCUGUUCCAAUAAUUGCAAGACAGCAGGACGCACAUGCUGUGUUUCAGCGUGCAAUGAAAGUAGUGAUGCAAUACUCUAGGGUUUUUGGUUCCCUUUACGUGUCACAUCGAAUAUUUAGAUACUAAUUAGAAAUAUUAAACGUAGACUAUUUACAAAACCCAUUACAUAAGUGGAGGCUAAACUGCGAGAUGAAUCUAUUAAGCCUAAUUAAUCCAUCAUUAAUAAAUGUUUACUGUAGCAAUACAUUGUCAAAUCAUGGACUAAUUAAGCUUAAUAGAUUCGUCUCACCGUUUAGCCUCCACUUAUGUAAUGGAUUUUGUAAAUAGUCUACGUUUAAUACUCCUAAUUAGUAUCUAUACAUUCGAUGUUUCGGUGUGCUUUUUCUGUUGUGUGCGUAAUAACUUUGCUCCGCAGAACACGGUGCCCUGCUAGGUCCUGUUGUUAUUCGUUUACAAAACUGUAAGCGAUCUAAAAAACAUUUGUCAAGUGGCACCCUGUUCGCUUCAGCUUAUUCAAUUGGCUUAUCAGUCACCAAACAGUGUUUUCCUCUCACAAUAAAUCAGCCGUUUCAGCUUUUCAGCCGGCUUAUAAGCUGAAGCGAACAGGCCCUGGAUUUGUCAAGAAAUUGCAAGGAAACUUUUCACAGUCGACAGGGACCAAAGAAAUUCCAUCGAUAUUUCAGGCUGUGGUCAAUGGGUUUCUACACUGAUAGGCAUACCGCAGGCCUUGACCUCGUGCCUUGCCGUGGUUCUCUUGACAAACAGAUGAGGAAGAAUUCAAAGUCCUUCUCAGGUGUGACGUGCAAUCGUCACAGUCGCAUGGGCCACGAAUGAUAGGGUUCCACAGUGACCUCUUGUAUUAGCUCUCUCGUCUUCCGGUAUGAACGGUCGUCAUUCGUCUGGUGAGGCCGCUAUUAAUUGUUUGCAUCCAUUUGCAUCUUGUGUCAUGUUGCAGAAUUGUAUGCAUAAGCAGAGACUUGUGACGUACGAGGCGUGGUUGUGCUCAAAAGCUAGCUUAAGCACCACAGUGUAACUCCCUACGCCACUACUACUGCUCCCUGCUCACACACAUACACAGCAAACUUCCUCCUUGCACCAAAACCAAGAGGUAGAGCUAUGGAAGUCGUAGCGGGCGCACUGCCGAGUCUCCUCCCCAAGCUUGCUGAGCUACUUGUUGGAGAGUACAAUCUUCAGAAGGAGGUGAAGAAGGGGAUAAUGUUCCUCCAAGAUGAGCUUGAGAGCAGCUGGGUGCCCUCGAGAAGAUCUCCAAGAUACCAUCAGACAAAAUUGAUGACCAGGACAAGAUAUGGGUCAGGAACGUGUCGCACCUGAUUUUAGAGCAAAACCAGAUGAAUAAAUUACAUAUGCGCUAGGAUCAAAUUUUACACGUGCAACGACUUCAGUAAAUAACAUAGAUAGUGCCAUGUGCGUUAGGAUCAAGUUUCACACAUGCAACGACUUCAGUAAAUAACAUAGAUAGUGCCAAAAGAUAAAGAGAGUAUUAAAUUUAUUACAUGACCAAAAGUUUUUAAUUCGAAUAUCAAAACGAGUCUUUAUUCUAACAGCGGAACUCCAUCGACGACGACAAUGACUCCACAUGCAGUUGACUGGUGGCACACAUACGCCUGGAAUUUUUCAAAAUCUUCAAGAACCUCCUCAAAGUUGACGUGAUCCAAACAACGGUUUUUGCAAGGGUGAGUACAAUUAUGGUUGAUACUCAAUAAGCGUGGAGAAUGUGUAGUGUAAGGCUAUUCAAAGAUAGGCUAAGGUUUAAUAGCAUUUUAAUUGGUUGGUCAAAUUUUAUUAGCAAUUACUAAGUAUAAGUUUAUACCAUCCACAUUACACAUGAACAUAAAUAAAGAUCACAACAAUAAAUAACAUCAAUUUAAUUCAACUUUCGAUAAAUUAAUCAUGUUAGGGUCCAGACCGCUCUUGACUGUGAGCACGACUGAUAUAACAGUUUUACACUCUGCAGAGGUUGCACAUUUUUACCCACAAGUUGCAUAAAAGUUCAAAAGAACUUUGGACCCAACCAUACUGUGCGGGCCAGGCACAAUACCAUACUUCCAAGGUACAUGACCCAAUGCUCUGGUCGCUCUGCAGGAAUUGGUACUUGAUUUUCCCGCCACUCUACCAUGAGGUAGACUAGUGUCUAGGACUUGAUUGCUAUCCUUGGCUUGAAGUCUAAGGAUAAUGCCCCGGGUUCCACUGCCCACUUGGAUAUCCUCCCCGUUGCAUCGCCGUUUUGGAGAGUUUCGCCCAAGAGAAUGUCUGUGACGAUGGAGAUGCUAUGCUCCUGGAAGUAGUGGCGUAUCUUCCGCGAGAUGAAUAGUAUUGCAUAUAACAAUUUCUGAACUAGCGGGUUGCUUUUCUACAGUGACAGGUAUAGUGCGAAAACUGUGGCGGAAGUGCUUGUACCAACCCAAUUAAUAUUUUGUUUAAGAGAAAGUUUAGUUGGGAUAAGUUAAUUGAGUAGUACAAACUUGAUUUCUCGAAGAUUUUUGUACCCUGGAAGAUUUCUCGAAGAACAAAGCAUGCAUGAACAAAGCAACGCUGAGACCAAUGCCAGGGCUUGUCCCGGGUGCCCAGUAGCAUGUAUAAUCACGCAACUGCAAGCAAUCAAAAAAGAUCUUGAGAACAAGUGGACCGGGGUGAUUGUAUUUGUCAAGAAAUUGCAAGGACCCUUCACAGUUGACAGGGACUAAAGAAAUUGCAUUGAUUAUCUAGGACCCUUCACAGUCUACAGGGACUAAAGAAACUGUAUUGAUAUUUCAGGCUGUGCUCAAUUAGUUUCUACACUGAUAGGCAUACCGCAGACCUUGACCUCGUGCCUGGUCGUGGUUCUCUGAACAAACAGAUGAGGCAAAAUUCAAUGUCCUCGUUAGGUGCAACGUGCAAUUGUUACAAUUGCAUGGGCCACUGAAUGAUAGGGUUCUGUUGACGCUAGAAAUCGGCUGAUCGAAUUCCCAGCGUCGGACACACGAUCCGGGAGAAUCUGCUUAGCUCCUGUUCGGGUGAUCGCCCUGGUACGGUUCGCGCGGCGUGCCAGCCAAUCUGACCUGUUGAUUGGCAAGGAAAGAAACGUGUCAGUUCCCAGGGGUUGCGAUCGGCUAAGGUUCCGAUCUCGAGAAAGCUUAUCAGCGAAUCGGCCGAUUUGCCGUAAUAUAGAAAUCGGCUAUGAUGCAGCCGAUUACCGGGCAACGUUAAUGAAGAAAACUGCUAGAGUAAUCUAAACAACGCUACAGUAGCAACACUAGGAACAGAUCUAAUCGGCUAUGCGUAAAAUAAAUAGAUUAAACAACGAAGUACAAGAAAAGCCGAAAUUACCGAUUCCUAGCUGGAUAACUAGUGAUAAAACCAGAACAACAAGUAAAACCUAGAAUUCUAGUAAAUAUCGAUAACUGAUGAAUAAAUCUAAACGAAACGACAGCGAUACGCCCGAAGUUAAAGCUUAGAAUUUACUCGAUAAGCGGAACUUACAAGAUCGGCCGGAGGUCAAGUUGAUGCAGCCCCGCCAACCCGUACGAACUCGUGAAAAAGAAGAAAAGUAUUGGCGAAGUCGCCUGCUUGAAAGUAAGUAUGAGGAAAUAGUAGUUUGUUGUAUUGAAUUGAUGAUGAUUACAGAUCUACAUGGGUGGCUAUUUAUAGCCUGUUACAAACGACUUCUUAUCCGACUAGAACUCUAUCCCUAAAUUUAAACAGAAAACGAAUAUUUACAAGUACAAUUCGUACUAGGUCGAUUAUCACGCGCUUCAUGGGCUGAUUCCCUCUUCAUUUUCAUAAUCCUUUUUAGGCCCACACCAGCCCAACUAUUCCAGCCUCCUAAUCGGCCGAUCACCCCAUCGGCAAGGGACAACCGACUAGGACCCACAUGUCGAGCGUUUAGACUACUAAGGUCGGGCGUGGCGAAACUCCAAGAGUCAAUCGGCCAAUCCUCGACUGUAGCAUCAAUCGGCCGAUCCUCAACUGUAGCACCAACCAACCGAUUCUUGACUGUAGCACCAAUCGGCCGAUUUCCAAUCGUCGCCCUUGCAUCUCGCCGCAUCUUCUAAUUUCUUCCUUUCCUAACGCCGAUUUUACUCGUGUCGAAAUCUGGCGUCAACAGGUUCCAUAGUGACCUAUUGUAUUAGGGGGUGUUUGGUUUGGGGCUGCUAAAGUUUAGUCACUUUUAGUCCCUAAACUGCCAAACACGGUGACUAAAAGCCCUUUGGUCCCCAAGAGGUUGCUAAAAGGGACUAAAAGGGACCUUGGACAGGGUGUGCCCCUUAUUAAUACCCCGUCCCUCCCUUCCCCACCCCGCCGCUGGCCUCCGCCCUCCCCGGCACUCGCCUCGCUGCCAACCCCCUUUGGCCCUGACCACCCGCCCACCGCUCCCGGCCGUCGAUAAGGGCCCUGCGAGGCCGCGCACGGGGAGGCGCAGGGACGCCAUGCGGCCGCCAGCAUUGCAGGACAUGCUGUCCCAGGCGCAGCACGCAGGGGCGGAGGAGGGGACCACACGGCGCGAAGGCCGGCACCACCGACGCCUGUGAGGUUCCCGGCGAAGGCCCGCAGUGCACGGAGGUCGUCCAGGUGGCAUGACACGGCUACCGCGGCGGCGGCGCGCGACAGGAGAAGUGGGAGCAAGAGUGCGCAUUUGGCGGUCAUGGAUUUGAGGCUUGAGCAUGUGCUGUGUGUGCCUGCAUGGGGAAGCAAAGAAGGAAAAAGGCAACGGGAAGCAUUGAUUAGGGGUAGUUUGAUCUUUAUUCAACUGCUUUAACGGCCUUUAGUCACUAGAACCAAACAGGAGGAUUAAAGUUUAGGGUGUGUUUGUAAGGGAUGCUAAACUUUAGCACCCCACUUUUAGCCCCUUUUAGCACAUGGGUUCCCAAAUAGGGGUGAUAAAAGGUGUGUGCUAAAGUUUAGGACCUCCAUUUUCUUCAGCACAUCCAAGAGGUGCUAAAAGGUGCUAAUGGGUGCUAAAAGUGGUCCAAGCCCACUUUUUCCCCUGUUGCCCUCCCGCAUCCCCUUUCUCUCUCUCUCACAACGCAUAUGAGGGGCACUGUUGUCAUUUGCCACCAAAGGUGCUAAAGUUUAGCACACUAUCCAAGCAGCCCAAGGUACUAAACUUUAGCCCUCCAUUUAAGGGUGCUAAACUUUAGCACUUGGUUCCCAAAUGGGGCCUUAGUCCAGUGAAUAAAGGGGGAUUAAAGUUUAGGGGUUGUUUGGUUCCUUGAGCUAAAGUUUAGUCCGUAUCACAUCGAAUAUUCGGAAGCUAAUUAGGAGGACUAAAUAUUAGUUAAUUAUAAAACUAAUUGCAGAGAUGGAGGCUAAACGGCGAGACGAAUCUAUUAAACCUAUUUAAUCUAUCAUUAGCAAAUGGUUAUUGUAGCAGCACAUUAUCAAAUCAUGAACUAAUUAGACUUAAUAGAUUCGUCUCACCGUUUAGCCUCCAUCUGUGUAAUGGGUUUUGUAAAUAGUCUAUAUUUAAUACUCUUAAUUAGAAUCUAAAUAUUCGAUGUGACAGGGGCUAAAAAUAAGCAACGGACCAAACGCCCCCUUAGUUUAGUCCCUAAAGGAACAAACAGGUCCUUAGCUCUCUCAUCUUCCGGUAUGAAUGGUCAUUCGGCUGGUGAGGCCGAUAUUAAUUGUCGCAUCUAUUUGCAGCUUCUGAUAUGUUGCAGAAUUGUAUGCAUAAGCAGAGACUUGGUCAAUGCAACCAGGGAGGAAAUUGGAAAACGUAUAUAUAUACAAAAACAUGCUGGCAUGAGACCAUAAGAAAUUCUCUUGCAGCAGAAUGACUUCUCUUGAUUUUUUUUUUUGCCUUUUUCCUCAAUAUGAAGGUCAAACUGGUGUUUCAAAGCCAACAUGUGUCAUAAGUAAACCUAGGAUAUCUAGAUGCACGUCUAGUCGGGAUUCUGGAUUUGACAUUGAGUUCAUGGGGUUCCAGUGUUAACCGAGAGAGAGAGAGAUGCGUACCUUCACCCCUAGGGGUGGAAGCGGCAGAGCCGCUGGCCAUUUCAGGUUCUGUCGGUGAAGUUUUGCGCGUGAGCACGUGAGCGUGGCCCUCCUGGACAAGCAGCGGGGCCAGGAGCAGGACGUGCAGCGACCAGCAAUCAUUGAGUUUGGUGGUUGAGCAGCGGGGCCACUGAGCUCUUUCGGGCUCUUUCGUUCUCUGCCAAGCCAGCAGCGACCAGCAAGCAUUGAGUUUGGUGGUUGUACCAGCUAGUAGUGGGAUUGGGAGCCACGUUAUAAAAAGAUGAUAUCACAUUCUAUUGGUGCGUAGGUCCUGUUGUUCGUUAUUUAUUUAUUUAUUUUUGCCGAAAGUGUACCUCCGUAUGUAAGAUGAGGCUAUCACAUUCUUUCUUUCUGCAACCUGUCCCACAAAAGUUUGUAAAAAAUUUCCCCUUGCGACCAACCUGCCCUUGACGUGACCUCGAGCAUCAAUUAUAAUUUGCCUGUCCCUUCCUGCAUCCGCAUCCCAUCAACCUCUCGUGCUGUUCCAAGGCGCUUGCGAGCUGUGUUGCGGCCGAGCAAGCUUGAAUCAAGCAACCUCGGUCCGGCGACGAGCGGCGGGCAGCGCGAUCCGGCCAUGGAGGUGGUGACAGGGGCACUGCCGAGCGUCAUCACCAAGCUUGGUGACCUGCUCGUCGGUGAGUACAAGCUGCAGAAGGGGGUGAAGGGAGAGAUCAGGUUCCUCCAAGCUGAGCUCAACAGCAUGAAGGGUGCUCUUGAGGAAGUCUCCAACACCCCGGCUGACCAGCUUCACAUUCAGGACAAGAUUUGGGCCAAGGAUUUGAGAGAGCUGUCCUACGAUAUAGAGGACAAUAUUGACACAUUCAUGGUCCGUGGAGGGGGCAAUGAGCAAGCCAAGCUGCGUGGCAUCAAGAAGUUCAUUGAUAGAAGUGUUGGUUUGUUCAGAAAGGCCAUGGUUCGCCAUGGCAUUGCUAAUGAAAUCAGAGACAUCAAGAGCCGUGUUGAAGAGGUGGCCAAGCGGCAUGAUCGGUACAAGUUAUCAAACACUAAUGUAGCUAAGCCUGUCACAAUUGACCCUCGAUUACUUUAUCAAUACGAUAAGGUGACUGAGCUUGUUGGCAUUGAGGAAGCAAGAGAGGAGAUAAUUCGGAUUCUGAUGGAAGGCGAUGAAGUGUCCAAGCAGCAAGACAAGAUAGUUUCCAUUGUUGGGUUUGGAGGCCUGGGAAAGACAACUCUUGCUGAUGUGGUGUAUAAAAAGCUUAGAGCACAAUUUGAGUGCGCAGCUUUUGUUUCGGUAUCUCAGACACCUGACCUGGAAGAAUUACUCAAGCGCAUGUUCUGUCAACUUGUCGGGAGGGAAAGUAACAAGAGCAGCGAUGUUGCCAGAGAGCUCAGAGAAUUCCUCGAGAAUAAGAGGUAUGAAAGCAUUUCAGUACACUUUAUUGGCAUCUGUUUAUAUCUAUCUUUUUGUUUGUUUGUAUUUUCAAGUAUGGACAUUGCAGCACCUAGUAAUCAGAUUUCAUUACUAGAAGAAACAGGCUCCUCGUUAUCAGCUCAUAUGUGCAGUAAAUUUGAAACCCAUAUGGAUAUGUUAUCCAUGCUAACUCAUAAUGUGAGCCAGUAGUGAUAGGUCUCCAAGUAUUAUUCACAAGUAUGGAUGCUAGUUAAGUAUGCAUGUUAGUUAUCCUUAUGCCUCUUAUUACGAGACCAGUGCUGAUACUUUGCACGCUUGUAAUUAUAAUUUUGUCUUAUUUUAAAAAUUGUAACUUUUUCAGACUUCAUAUGGCAAUUGUAGGUUUCAGCAAGAUCUACAACUGUUUAGUUGAAUAUUUAAUUAAAGUUAUUUAGAUGGCUAUAUAAUUGAUUAAAAAUUUAGAUGACGAGGGUCAAAGGAAGAAAACUCUCCAUUGCUGUUAGCAAUGAAAUCUAGAUUACACGGAUACUACCAGCUUGAAAAAUAGAUAUGGAUGAGAGUUAAGGACCUACAUGAAUAGAUGAAUAGGUGUUAGUCUUAGUAACAUUCAUAUUUGUCUUUGCUCCUUUUAUUUGCCACUUCCUGGGCUUCAUGUGACUUCUACCAUCAACUAUAGCCCCUUUUGGAGUCUUGUCUUGCGUCCGCUUGUUUUCUUCUCAUCCAUAUGGUCUACUUCUACUAGUGAUAUUCCUUUCAAUACUAUCUUGAUUUACUAAAUCUUUAAUAGCCCUCUAGUUAGCAUAGCUUAAUUAAACAUUCUAUAGGAGAAAAAACUAACUUAUUAUAAAGUUUAAUUUGCUAGUAAUAUGGCUUUCUUGAAUUAUCUGGUACAGGUACUUCGUUGUUAUUGAUGACAUAUGGAAACUCUCAGACUUCAAAAUGAUUAAACGUGCUUUGCCUGGUAAUAAUGUUGGAAGCAAAAUAAUCACAACUACUCGUGAUCUCAAUAUUGCUGAACAAGCUGGCUCUGUUUACAAGUUGCAGCCCAUUUCUCCAAACAACUCUCGGAAACUAUUUUUCAGAAGAAUAUUUGGUAAUGACGACAAAGACAACAACGAAGAAGAAGAAAGGUGUCCUAACGAUGAGUUGGCUGAAGUAUCUGACAGAAUACUGAAAAAAUGUGCUGGUGUGCCAUUAGCUAUAAUUACGAUGGCUAGUUUGCUAGCUUGCAAAGCAAGAGAUAAAAUGGAGUGGUAUGAGGUGUGCAAUUCUGUUGGUACUGGUCUGGAAAACAAUCUAGAUGUGGAGAAUAUGAGAAAGAUUUUGUCAUUUAGCUAUUAUGAGCUACCAUGCCAUUUAAGGGCUUGCUUGUUAUAUUUGAGCAUUUAUCCUGAAGAUUAUAAAAUUGGCAAGGAUCGUUUGAUAAUGAUGUGGAUAGGUGAAGGUUUUAUCCAAUGUGAAAAAGCAGGGAAGAGCCUAUUUGAACUCGGAGAGAGUUAUUUCAAUGAGCUUAUAAACAGAAGCAUGAUCCAACCAAUACAUGGUAUUUUUGGAGAAAGCUGCCGUGUACAUGAUAUGGUGCUUGAUCUUAUUCGCUCCUUGUCGAGUGAAGAAAAUUUUGUUACUGUACUAAGUGAUAUGGGAGGUACAUCUCCAUCAAAUACGAUUCGGAGGUUGUCCCUUCAGAAUGGCCAGGAAAGUCAUGUGAUGGCUCAAGCUACAUGGAGCUUGCAACAUGCAAGGUCAGUUGUUGUCUUUCCAGCUGCUGCUUCUCUAGUGCCGUCUCUUGCCUGCUGCCGAGUUUUACGUGUUCUGAAUUUAGAGGGCUGCAAUCUUUCACAAGCUGAUAGUAGCCUUAGGUACCUUGGGAAUCUGCAUCACUUGAGGUACUUGGGACUAUGUGAGACAGGUAUUUCUCAGCUCCCGGAAGAAAUAGGAAACCUGCAGCUUCUACAGACAUUGGAUGUACGCAUCAACAAAAUUUCUAGGUUGCCUUCGAGUGUUGUCCAGCUAAGAAAGUUGAUGUACCUAUACAUUCAUGGGUCUACAAGAGUUCCAAAUGGAAUUGGAAACCUGACAUGCCUUGAAAAGCUGUCAUGGUUAGGCAUUGAUGUCUCCACCAGAAACAUUGUAGAAGAGUUGGGCCAGCUAACUGAACUAAGGCAGUUGUCCAUUGAAUUGGACGAGUGGAACGACAAGCUGUCGGAGUGCCUAUGCAAGCUACAAAAGAUGCAGGAACUCGUUAUCACAGGCUAUCGCCGCUAUCUUGGUCGACGCAGCAUUGGCGGAUUGGAUGCCUGGGUCGCCCCUCGACAUCUCCGCAUAUUGAGUACACAAGGCAACUUUUGGUUUUCAACACUGCCGGUUUGGGUGAAUCCAUCGCUUCUUCCGGACCUCACCUAUCUAGAAGUCGCCGUGAGGGAGCUACAUCAGGUUGAUCUCGAAAUCCUCGGGAGGUUGCCAGCUCUCCGCAAUCUAGAACUGGAGGUGGACAACAAGAACCUCGGUAUCCUUGCGGGAUUCGUUGUUGGUGCUGGUGCGUUCCCGUGCCUUGUAAGAUGUCACUUCCUGGAAUUUGCAGUGGUACUUCAACAGGGAGCUAUGCCAAGGGUCAGAGACCUUACGUUAAUAUCGUUUUAUCUGCGGGAGGCAAGAGGAAUUGCCUGCAAUGAUGGUAGUCUAGACUUGGGCCUGGGGAACCUGCCAUCGCUGCAGUAUGUCCAGGUUGCCUUGCAAUGUGAUGGUACUAGCAAGGAGGAGGCAGAGCAAGCCAAGGCUGCGCUGACGCAUGAAGCUGAAAUGCAUCCCAAUCAUCCCGAUCAUGAUAUCGGUAUUAUAGGUGCGCCAGCUCCUGAUUGUUAUUCCUUACUUGUCUCCUUCCCCUUUUCUUCUAAACUUUAUUUGCGUUUAUUCCUCUGUUUGAGAUGGUGGAUCUCCAGCUGAUCUUUCACCACGCCUUUCUUCUAGCCCCUUUGCCUCAAUUCUUCUAAUCUUCCUUUGGUAUAUUUCGGUCUGAUAUACAGAUGACGAUGACGAUGAUGAUGACGAGUAUGACGAUGAUGAUGACGAGUAAUAUAAGACUUUACGCUGGAAGGUGAAGCUGGAGCAGAGCAGAUGACCAAGUCCCUCUAUCUGGCCACGCAUGCAGCGGUUAAACUGCUCGGCCAUGAGCUUUUCGUUGCGAGAGUGUACUGUACUCAUAUUACCGUUUUAUUUCAUCGUAAGAUUUUUACUGCAGCCUGCUGUUUCAGUGCAAGGAACAACCCAUCAUCAGUUUUCACUUUUCAGUGCAAGGAACGUUUAUUUUACUCAUUGCAAAGAGACUGAGCUGUCUCCUGCGCCCCUGAUCUAGUUGCCUUGGCUGUUGAUUUUGAUGAAAAAUUAAUAAAAAGAAGGUAUUUUUGGGUUAAUGUUGCAGCUUGUGACCGUAAUCAUCUUGUGAGCCGUAAGCAUGGACGGCAGUAUAUAUGUAUUCAUUGUUGCGCGGUUUCUGAUAUACUUGGCCAACUGUUAUGAAAUUUCGUUGCAGCUACGAUGCCCAAGACCUCAUUCAUUCUGCAUCUCUCUGAAGAGAGAUUCUAGCUGGCUAGACUUCUAGUCAAGAAGUCCAUGAUUUUCAGAAUUUUCGCGGCGGACGGGAUCGCGAUCCAAAAUUUUCGAAACGCACCCUUGAACAUUUUCAAAUAACCCCCUUAUUUGAAUCGCAAUUAUUGGUCGAAAUUCAAAUAUUUACAAAACACCCCCUUUUAUUUGCAUAUAGCCCCCUAAUUUGGACCGCGAUCUGAUUAUUUUACAAAACACAGGCCAAAAAUAACGGGACGUGAAAAGCUGGACCUUUCCACUGGUAACAUUUCAGCAAGUAUGGCACCAGGAUAAGAGCAUCAGCUAAUUGUCCAAAAAAAAGCCGAAUUCGUAAAAACAAGUGUACUUUCUUUCUGGCAGUACGGAAGUUCUCAACGCUACUUGAAACAAACAGCGUGACAGGGCUGCAGUGAAUCAGACUAUCAGCGACUGCCCUAGUGGAGUUGACAAGAGUAUGAUGAUGACAGCCAUGGCAACACACUAGGCAGAUUGGCCCGCAUCAACAUGUCCACACUUCGUACAAAGACUGUCUAUUACUGAUCGAUGAUGCGAAUAGCAAGAAUCUGGAAGCGUUUCACAGCCUUGCAAUGACGGCUUCGACCUCGGCAGGGGUGUAGAGGUGGUACUUGGGGGCGACCUUGGCGAUAUCCACAUUGUUUGGGGUCACCUGUUCAGAAUGCGAUAAUAAGAUCACAUGUUUCCCUACAGAGCGAGCUAUGGAGUAUGGAGUGGUUUGCCACGCCCUACCUUCUCUUCCAUAACCUGCUUCAGGAUAGAAAGGGCUAUGGUCUCCGCCUCCUGGAGGGUCAGAUCCUGCACCAAGAUGUCAGCAAGUUGUUACUCACGAUUUUCUUUCGUUGGAAUAACAGCCGACAUUUUCUAUGGAUCUGCUCCCAACAUGGCAGUAAUGCAUACACUAAUACAAGUAUUUAAAUAAUGGGGUAAAAUCUUGGGGUGUCAUUCUGUGUGAGUAGCAUAUUGCCUUAAAGAUUCUAAGCAGAAUUGCAACCGACGUAUUACCCUCAGACACUGUUUCACUGGACUGAGUUUAUAUAAGAUUUAAUCGGAGCUUUGAUGCAUAAUUCCAUGUAACUAGGGUUGACAUGCAUCAUAUCUCCGUAGAACUCUGUGAUUCUUUGAUUAACUUAGCAUUUAUACCUUGUUGUACUGCUCCUGCAAGGAGCUAUCAGCUCCUUCAGAGCCUGAUCCAAUUGCCUUUGCGUUGCAUUGCCAAAAGGUCCCAGACGGGUCCGUGUAGUACCUGCAGGACACAGAAGGCGAUGAAUUCUUAGAAGUUCAGUGGCUUUGUGUAAAUUGAUCAUGACAUCAUUACAAAAAGAUUUGUCUCAUAAUAGAGGGAUGAAGAUACCAUGAUUGCAUAAUAACCAAACUAUAUGUCCGGGAUUUGGCUAAACAGAAUAAUGAUUUUUUCCAAACACUUCCUGGGAAGCAGGAAAAGAAAUACUUUUAUACUUGAAAACUAUUACGCAUACAAAUAUAGAGCAUGAGCACAUAAAACCCUGCAGAAAAUUAACACUGAGCCUUCUUUUUAUAUAUAUCACUUAAGCUUGUUAUAGCUAAGACCUUGUCCACAUACAGAAUAGAACUCAAUACACGAUGAAGAUAACCACUAGGGCAAUCCGUGUUCACAAGUUCAACAACAUUCUGUAUUUCCUUAUUUUAGAAAUUCCACUUUUCAGAUAAUUUCCCUUCCAAAGAUUUGAGCAUAAUGACCUAGAACAAAACUGCCUAACAAACAACCAUAGUUCAUCGGAGUAAAACAAACGGUAAGUCUACUGUCUACCCUCUACAGCAACUAGACAUAGGCUACUCAAUACAGAAACCAUGACAACCUAAAAAGAGUCAACAGAGAGCAAUUACGAUGCAUGAUAGAAAAAUAAGUAAAGCAGCCCACUUUACCAGGACAGAUUACAAAAAAGCCAAUAAAAAGAAGCUACCAUUAAUUGCAUGAUAGUACAAUGAUUUCAUAUAACAAAAAAAUACAGAUGUUUUUUUUAAACAUGGAUUCUAAAGCCAGUUGUCAAAGAAAACACAGUUCAGUGAGCUAAAUGGAUAAAUACUUACAAGCUAGGUCCAUUCUCAUCAUGUCCAGCAAUUAGAAGAGACACUCCAAAUGGUCGUGACUGCACCAACAGAUAAGUACAUCAGAACCCCACUCCAUAAAAUGACUACUUUUGCACAUCUGUUCUAGUUGAAUGGAAACAAAAAAGUAGAUGGGCGAUGCAGUUUUCUGUGGGGCUGGGUUGCCAUGUUAAAAUAGUUGGCAAAUGGGAAUAUUUUCAAACUUUUUGUAACUGAAACUUCAAAAAGCAAUUCAGGGGUCCAUCUUCACCUAUGCCCUUGGUAAGAAGGUCAAAGAUCAAAGAGACAAUGCAGGCAGGAUGGGUCUCGAUUAACGAAUUCCUCACUAUUUCAUAAAGUUUGGUAGCAUGUGUUCUCUCUUCUCCAAUGCUACUACUAAACUUCAAGCACCACUCAAAAAUCUUAUGCAUAUGAAAUCCCAUAUAUAUAGAUAGUGGUUUCGUUAUCGUCAAUUCACUCAUUAAACUCCUUCAUACUUUAGUUAAGUAACCAUUAUUGGAGUAAUAGGGCUAACUAGAACACCUAAAUGCGAAAAAGGGUAGAAAGUGAUUCUGAUUACGCCUCUACUUAAUUCAACUUCCUCUUAGUCAAAACAUUUCAAAAAUAAGCAGAAGAUCAUCAAGCCACAUUUAGAAUGCAGCAAACAAAGAUAUAGGUGUAAACCCUCUUAGUCUGCAGGUAAUUAAUCUUGUUUCUUGUGUUCUGGAGGUGGUGUAAUAACAUAAACGAAGCUCACCAUUGACUCUUCGUCACCUUCACCAAAGCGCAGAGCCAAGUCACAGAUAGCUUGUGUAGAAGAUUCUACAGUCAUUGGCUCCCCAUAUGAGAACCUAUGAUUCUGAUUGUAAACAUGUCAAGUCAGAUAAAGAUUAACAGAUAAAGCUCCCCAAACAUGUAAGUUUUUACAUCAGUAAGAAAGUACCUGGGUCUCAACACGAGCAUGCUCGACUAGCGUUCUAGCAUCAGCAAUAAGUCCACUCAUGGCACAGCCUAUGUGCUCAUCAAUUUCCAUUAUUUUCUCCACACUGCUGGGUUCCUAUAACAUCAAAGAGCAAAGAAACAUUGAAUUCAUUAACAGUUUAAGCAUUAAACAACCUAUAACAUGAAAAUCAGAGGCUAAGUGGAGCUGCUAAAGCUACCAAAUUGAAUGAAGUUGAGAGUUUAAAACUCUAAAGUUGUAUCAGCUUGAGUACAAAAUAUUACGAAAAUAUUGUAGUAGAAUUAGGGGCUGCACCAAGAAUGUAACAACUGCGUGAAAGAGGAAUAUCCUAACAGAACUACCUAAGGACAAGCAUUGUAUAGGAAACCAUGAGAGUAAAAUGAUAGACCAAAUGAGAGGAGAUUCCUAUUGAGCAAGUGGCCAACAAGCAAAUGUUUCUCAACUGAACAUCCCAAUGUUUCGUUGUGCAAUGUUCAAUAUCACAAGCUAAAAGGAAGAAUAAGUAAGUUCGUAAGUACCAGCAGUGGCGAGGUGACACGUUUCUCAACAGCGAGGACAACACCAUCCUUUGUCUUCAACCCGAUUGCAGUCGAUCCCAACUGCAAGAGCAAAAGAAACAGCAACAUAAGCAUCACUUUGGCACAAGAGCAUGGAAUCAAAAUCAGUAGGGGUUUGUGUUUGUGUGUAUUGUGGUGCAAGAGUUGUUAUUGAGCAAUUUCCUACUAAAUGCAGUGAUCUGCGGCUCUCCUAAAAACAAGCAUGGCACCACAUCUCAACUGGAAUUGACACAUCAUAACAAACUGAAAAGCCAUACAGAACCUUCAACAAUCCCAAACCCCAACUAGUAAAAUUGAGGGAUCCAUACUCCAGACUUGAGCACCAAACAACCGCAACGCCUAAAUCUCCGCAAUUUAGUUCAUCCUAAGAAACCCCAACUUCCCCCUCCCAGAUUCGCGAGCAAGCAGCCGCCCAAACCCCACAAAUCUAGCCCCCUUCCCCCAACAGUCUGCACAGGCGCUCGGCAUCACGGCUUCCCCGCCGUCCAGAUUCGAUCCAACACCUCGCCCUUCAUCUACGAGUCGAGAGACAGGAACGGGAGGGAGAAAUCUCACCUUGAUUGCCUCGAUGGCGUACUCGACCUGGAACAGCCGCCCCUCCGGCGAGAAGGUGUUCACCCCGCGGUCGUACUCCGUCCUGCACGCAAGGGAAACGCAGCCGCGUCAGCGCCGGACGCGCCGCCGGCGGAUCUAAUCGAGGGUUUAAAGAGGAAACAGAAUCUGAAACUUCACGGGCGGGGAAGGGAAGCAUCGGCUACCUCGUGAGAAACAUCCUGUCGUGAAGGCGAAGGCGGCGGCGUCGGCAGCGGCGGCGGGUGCUGGAUCGAACGGGAACUCCGCGUCGGCGCCUCCCUCUUCUCCUCUCGCCUCUCUCUCUCCCCUCUCGCUCGCUUUUGAUGGCUUCCUGAGCUUCUUGCGAACGAAGUUGAAAGAGCCGAGAUGAAGGCACGUUGUCUCACUUGCAGGCGGGUCCCACACGCCAGGCAGACGGGGCCUAGGUUUCCUACUUUCCUCUCCCUCAUUCCCGUACACACCUAGCUGGGCUAGAUUGUGGGCGUUCGGCUCACGCCAUGGCCCAUUGGCGGCCCAGGUUGGUCCGAUAAUAGAAGCCCAUCCAUCGUCUCCGGCUCUUGGGCAGCGUUUGGUUUCCCGAACGAAAUCAUACGUGCACCGUUCUAUCCUCACCCAUCAGACCGUUUGUAAACGGUUGCCUGACUCGAACGAUCUCGUUCAGAAACGAUCCAGAGUCAUCGAAUAUUCCUAUUCCUUUUAGAUCUUGUAUCCUCCGUGCGAGAAAAAAUAUCGAACUACGCCAUCCUAAACGGAUCAUCUCGCUUGCAUCUGCUCACCUCCACCCCUUCUCCCCUCUUUAAUCCAGCCUUCCCUCACGCAGGAGCUACCAGAGCCGCACAGACUGUUGCUACUGGCGCUCGUUCUCUCCUGGUGACGUGGUGCUCUUUGCGCAGGUACAGACUUCUCCUCGUCGCCCACUCAAUCUGGUUGCAGGUUUGGUUCUGCGUUGAAUCAAAGGUUAAGAAUGGGUUUGUGCUGUUCAAAUCUGAUGUUGUACCGGGAGAUUUGCAAACGAAUAUGUUGAUUGGUUGCAUUACAGGUUUCGGGUGCUUCUAUGGUUUCUUUUACAUUUGAUUAGUACAGAUGUGAUUCAGUCUUGCUGAUUUUUUUAUUGCAAACUGAUUUGCUGUUGUCCAAUACAAGCUUCACGUGAUAGCAUGCGUGCAAAACUAAUUUGUUCAGUCCAGUAGAUUAGCACGGAUGUUUAAUUUCUCUUAUCCCUAAAAAUCUUGAUACAUGUUUUGCACUGUUUUGGAUAAUGUAGAUGGACAACAGGAACCUAAUUAGGAGAAAAUUGUUGAUGCUUAUUACUGCAGCAUAUGCAGCUUCAUGUAUGGUGGCUUUGUUUGUAACGUCUAGACCAUUAAGCAAUAAUAGGCAACAUACUACUUAUGGGCCCAUGGAGGAGUGGGAUAAAUUUAGGAUUGAGCAUCUAACACAAGGAUCUAGGAUGAUACGACCUGCGCAAAAAUGAUAAGGCUUAAGAGAAUCUCAUUUUUCCGAUUGUGCCAAGUUUUGAGGGAACGCUCUCUGUUACGUGACACUAAUUAUGUGUGCAUUAAGGAAUAAAUUUCUAUGUUCUUGAAUACAGUUGAUCACAACCUAUAAAAUAAGUUAGUUGGUAUCAUAUCGUUCAAAAUCAUCCUAUCCAGAUGAACCUUCCCAUACAUAUUCCACCUCGUUCGGGUAACCAAACCCUAACCUGAGAUGACGGCGAGAUGGGAACGGACGGUGUAUGCUGGACCACUGGCAGUGUUACAGGUAGGUCCCACGCGCCAGGCAGACGGGCCUAUUUUUCCUCCCGCAUCUCAUUCCCAUCUUGUGUACACCUAGCUGGGCUCCAUUGCCGGCUGCGUGGGCUCACGCUGUGGCCCAUCGGCGGCCCAAGUUCGGUCUGAUAAAAGGAGCCCACCGUCUCCGCCUCGAAGCGCGCCUUCCCAUUUCCUUUGAACGAACAGACGCGCAGGGCAGGAGAGAGAGAGAGAGAGAGAGAGAGGAGUCAUGUCGGCGGCGGCUCAGCAGCAGGGGGCGGCGGGGGCGGAGCAGCAGGAGGAGGUGGAGCACGGGCCCUUCCCCAUCGAGCAGCUUCAGGUACGGUCCUGGGCACCUGGCUCUUCCCGUCCCCUCGCCGAAACACUUGCCGGUUUCUUGGCCAGCUUCCUUCCUGUUCCUCUCCGCCCGCGGCGGCGUCUCCGGCUUUUCUUGGGGGGUCCGGGUCUGCGUGACGGGAAAUGGGGGUGGUUUCCGUAGCGGGCUAGGGUUCUUUGUGUGGGGGCGUUGGGUUCUUGGCCGAGGAUUCGAAGGUUCUUGAAUCUUUUGCCCCUUCCUUGGAUUUCCCGGCCCGCGCGCGGAUGAACUGGCAUGGCUUUUCCCAGUUGUUGCCGGCUUGCCGCGGCUUCUUGAUUGAUCGAUUGGUUCGCCUCUUCCCGUGAAUGGCGUCAGGAUUCUGGGCAUUUCUUGAAUUUCCGGUUCGUGCGUGGUCGAAUCGACAUCUUGUCCCCAGAUUCUUGGUUGCAAAAACCUAGGUUUCUUGAUUGAUUGAUUGAUUGAUUAGCAAUUCCCCCCUGAAUGGCGUCAAGAUUGAGUGGUUCUUGGAAAUUCCUGUUUGUUUGGAGUUGAAUCGGGAACAAAUUUUUAGUUGUUAUGGAACUCUAGGUCCUACCUCGUCAAGAUUCGUCCUUGAUUCAGGGCGUCAAGGCUGAGCUUCUCUUGAAUUUUUCUGGUGGCUUGCAGUCGCAGUCCACUUAGGUUGGGGUUUCCUGGAUUCAUUUGGUGGUUUCUGCAGUGAUAAACAGUUUCAACGUUUAGGACAUUUCCAGCUGAACUGAGAUGUGUGCUCUCAAUUGAAUCUAUCUAGUCUCUUGAGUUCAUUCUCAGAUACUUUUUGAGAUUUGCUUGAGAAAUGAAUCAUGAAGUUACUAUUCAGUUUCUUGUGAUAAAUGCUAUUCUAAAUGAUUUUCCUAUGCCUGAAGCAUUUUAAAAGAUGGUGUUAGUUUUUCCCUACCUGACCAGUUCUGAAAAUGAGAAAUUUGCUGCCUGAACAAAACUGGCUUGUUAAGUAAUGAAUGAAUGAUGGAAAUACAAUUCAUUGCUUAAUGAUAUAACUUUCUUCAAGCUCAACGUAGAAUGCCAAUCCUCUUUAGGAUGUAUUUUGCAAUUUGUUUCCAUUCCCUCGUUUCAGUGCCAUCUUGGAUCUGCAGAUUGCAGAUUCUGCAGUAAUAAACAGUUUCAACAUUUGGGACAUUUCUGACUGAACAGAGAGGAUGUCCUCUCAAUUGAAUCAUAACUAGGCUACCAAGUUUAUUCAGGGAUAUGCUUUUGAGAUUCGCUUGAGAAAUGAAGCAUGAAUUCACUAUUCAGUUUCUCAUUAGAAAUGCUCUCCUAGUUGUUGAUUUUUCUUACAGCAUUUUAUAUUUGCCAGUUUUCCCUAUCUGACCAAUUCUGCAAAUGAAGAAUUUGACACCUGAAUAACACUGGCAUAUUAAUUAAUGAAUGCAUGACACAAGUGCAUUUCAUUGCUUAAUGAUAUAACUUUCUUCAAGCUCAAUGUAGACCGACAAAGAUCUUAGGUUUGCAUUUUGCAAUUUAUUUCUAUCGCUUUUUUUAGUGCCAUCUAAGGUGCCUGAUUAAUUAGUUCCUGUUUCUUGAAAACAUUUAGAUGUACACUGCUGUAUUAAUAUUAAGUUUGUGCGUAAUUUGUUGUCUAGGCAUCUGGAAUAGCUGCACUGGAUGUAAAAAAGCUCAAAGAUUCCGGUCUCCACACUGUGGAGGCUGUGGCUUACACCCCAAGGAAAGACCUUCUGCAAAUCAAAGGAAUAAGUGAAGCUAAAGUUGACAAGAUAGUUGAAGCAGGUAAGUAACAUGAGGCUGCUAAAUGUGCUGAUCGUGUUGAGUUUCAGUUGUACGGAAAUUGUAUUGCACACUAUAAAUGCCAUAAUUGUCCGCAAACCUUUUGCAGCAUCGAAGAUAGUUCCACUGGGGUUUACAAGUGCCAGCCAACUUCAUGCACAGCGGCUGGAGAUUAUUCAAGUUACAACUGGAUCAAGAGAACUUGACAAGAUCUUGGAGGGUAAUGCGCUUGUUCAUUCCAUGAUCCUUCUUUUCCUUCAGAAUUUGUAUGCUUAUCCAGUUGUAACUUCAACUUGAAUACUCUGUUAUGAACUUCUUUCAACAGGGGGGAUAGAAACAGGAUCUAUCACAGAGAUAUAUGGUGAGUUCCGCUCUGGAAAGACUCAGUUGUGUCACACUCUUUGUGUUACUUGUCAGGUGAGGUUUUUGUCUGCCCACCUCUUUUUCCAUUUCAUGCUUGAAUUGUUUUGUUGGUCUCAAACAUGCUCAAAAUUCAUAUUACAGCUUCCAUUGGACCAAGGUGGUGGUGAAGGAAAGGCUCUAUACAUUGAUGCAGAGGGUACAUUCAGACCACAAAGGCUCCUGCAGAUCGCUGACAGGUGAUACCUUGAUUGCAUUCAUAUUGUAUUCUAACAUAAAUUGGAUUUCUAAACAUGAACUUUCUGGAAUCUAGGUUUGGACUGAAUGGUGCUGAUGUGUUGGAGAAUGUGGCUUAUGCCAGAGCUUAUAAUACGGAUCAUCAAUCCAGGCUUCUGCUGGAGGCAGCUUCCAUGAUGAUAGAGACCAGGCAAGUUGAAAUUCCAACUUUCAUUUGACUUUAGAGUCUACCUGUUGACUGUAUGUUACUUUAAGCUCAUAACAAGAACAAAUGUGCUUUGUUUGCUUUAUAACCGACUGGCAUUUCUGCACUUGGUAAAUAAGGUAAUAUAUAUUUGGUUGUCUUUUCUGCUUAUGAAUCAUAGGAUUCAGGCCUUAGUUAAUAUACUGUUUCUUUCUAUCACAUACCAAUUCCAUAUGAACUUAAAGAAUAUAUAUAGCUCUUUCAAAGAACUGGACUUCACUACUAUUUAAAGCAGUAGCUUUGUGAGUUUUCACUCUGUGCAUAGAUCAUGAAAAUCCCGGUUUUCUUCAUGUCAUAUUAGUCAGCUAAGUUAACACAGAUGUAAUGUGGUUAGGCAGCUGAUAUAUAUUUCAGUCCAAAAUGUACAGUACGAAUAGGGUACUAUGCUUAUACUGUAUAUACUGCUGAAAUGUUCAUUAUUUAGUCUAAUUGAGAAAUGCUACUGCAUGAUUGCAUCAUAACGGGUGAUACAAAAACAGCUGAAAAAUUGUCAACGCAACUGCUACUCUGUCAGCGAUUUUCAUUAAUUCUGCUUACAGAUACUUGUUUGCUGCACUCGUCAACGUAUCAGAAUAGCUGGUCCUGUUUCCAGUGAUUCUUCGUAUAUGAUUGUUAUGAAGAUUAGUAAUAGCAGAGCUAGCUGUUGUUCCAAAUUUCUCAUCUGAAUUUUUGAAUGUCUACAAUUGCAGGUUUGCUCUCAUGGUCGUAGACAGUGCCACAGCUUUGUACAGAACUGAUUUCUCAGGAAGAGGAGAGCUAUCAGCAAGGCAGAUGCAUAUGGCUAAGUUCCUGAGGAGCCUUCAGAAGUUAGCUGAUGAGGUCAGUUAUAACUUACUAUAAGUUAGCAAUUUUUUUAAUCAUGGAGAAAACUGAAGUCUUUUAUCUUUAUGUUUAUAUUUAUGUUAUAAGUGAUUUUUAAACGGCCCUCAUGAUUGUUUGGUUUGCUUAAUUUUGAUUGUUCACUGCAGUUUGGAGUAGCUGUGGUUAUCACCAAUCAAGUAGUAGCACAAGUGGAUGGCUCUGCUAUGUUUGCUGGACCGCAGAUCAAGCCCAUUGGUGGAAACAUCAUGGCUCAUGCUUCCACAACAAGGUGAUUUACUUUGUAAUAUGAUACAACCACUUAUCUGUAUCAAAUCCCCAACUCCUGUUGUAUUCCUAUCCACAUCUUAUCAUAAAAUGUCAAUACUGUUUCAGGCUUGCUCUUCGCAAGGGAAGAGGGGAGGAGCGAAUCUGUAAAGUAAUAAGCUCUCCCUGCCUGGCUGAAGCCGAAGCGAGGUUUCAGAUAGCUUCUGAAGGUGUCGCAGACGUCAAGGAUUGAGACCAAUUGACCAUCUACCUCUACUUACUACAGGGCACAGCACUUGACCUCCGUUGCUGGCCUGCUGCUUGCUUUGUAACUGCUGGGUCAACUGCUGUGUUGCCCCUCCUUGAUGUACAGAGCACUUGCUUUCGCAAGAUGCAAAUGCAAAUGCAAAUGCCGCACAUCUGCCGUGAUGUUGUGAGUGCCACUGUUGUAUAAAACGAUGUUUGUACUGCAUUGCAUGUGACAUCUGCUACAUAUAUUGAAUCAAUUGUAGUUUGUUCUGCCGAAUCAGCUGUUUUCUCUCAGUUUAUCUUGCAUUCAGUUUAUAUACAUGCCAGCUACUGAAUCAGUAGUGUACUAGUGUGACUGUGUCUGUGCGGGGGAAAUUAUGACACUGCAGAAUUAUGGAUGGCAAAGGCAAUCGCCUGGAUUCUAGAUCUUUUUUUUCUGUGAAUGGGGACUGUGGUGCAUAAUAUUCAAAUACCUUUAAAUUUGCCAUGAAACAUUCUGGAUUCCCUCAAAGAUUUGGAAUGCUACUGGCUAGUGCCUGCUGAAUGCUGACAGAUGGGCAACCGGACAUAGUUAUAUGAUCGUUUAUGCUUUCUAUUGUAGAUGUUCAACUAAAUGAAUCUAUUGAUUUUGGUUGGAUAAAAUUCCAGCAGCCUAAGUGUAAUUUUUAACCACCGGAGUUAUGCUGGAUAAAAUUCCAGCAUCUUGUCAAUAUACAAGGAAAGUGAUGUUGCUGAAGAUUCCCAACCGUUCACAAGUGCCAGGCAGCCCUUGCAUUGAUGUUCAACCUUCAUGGUAAGCCAUGGAUAGUUCGAGGUAGUAUAUUGCAAAAGCCAUCCACGAAAGCCAGUUGACUUCAUAGCAGAUCGUGGUUGCACGAAAGUCAUACGCGCAUUUCUCGCCAUUGACAAACAUACGUGCGAGCUGGAAACUAGUUGCUUGGCAUCAAGGCCGAGGUCAGAAGAGCCUCUCGUGUUGAUGCAACGGCGUCCCAAGUUCCAUGAACAUGUCAGUCGUCAUCAAAGAAAACAUUCGUAUUGCUUGGGUGUACCACUUUGAAUACCGUACCUGUCAAACAACAAGGAAAAGGUCAACAAAUUAAUGUUGAACUAUUUCUAAGUAAUAUAUGAACAUUUUGUUUGACUUUUGUUGAUAUAUUCAUAUAUCAAACCACAUCUGUCUGACACCAGACAUCCAAAAACUAAAUGCCGAACUACUCCUAAGUCAGAUCAAACAUGUUUUAGCUUGCACAUUUUGUCCUUGUUUUCGUCUUAAGUUUGUCCCUUGUAAGCUCCUUGUUCUUAAACAAAAGCAAUAGGAAGAUAGGUGUUCUAGGUAGAACAUGAACCUUUAAUAUGAAAAGUAAAUGAGUUGGAAUGAAUCAACAAAAAAUAGUCAUCCAUUCACACCCUACAAUGACUGUGAACUAUGCAGAAGUACAGAAGUCGAAAACUGUGGUACUAAACUAUGUAUCUCAUCAUGAAAAAAAAAACCCUUAAGGUUUGUGCACUUUGAAUCAGUCCCAGCAUCAGUCCAUUACUCACACAUCUUCAAGCCUAAUGAUCCUGUGUUUCCAAUGGUCGCGGCCUUCUCCUUAUUUUACUGAUUUCCGGAGGGAGCUAGGCAUAAGUUGGGCUUUGACAAGCUUUCUAAAAGCGCCUAAACAUAAACCGCACCUCACGAGCUGCCGAGCUCUGACUCUUGACCAUUUGCCCUUCUCUUCAUCGAUCGAUCGAGAGAUAGAGAGCACAAACCUACCCGUUCUCGACCAAUGGCCGCCACCGCUGCCCUGGUCUUUGCAGGGAAGUCGAUCGCGACGCCUGCCAUCUCGUUCAUCGUCAACAAGGCGUUCAGCUACCUCAGCGAGUGGCACCAGGCCGAGGGCAUGGAGGCCGUCAAGGAUCGGCUUCUGCAAAGACUCUCAGAGAUCCAGGCAGUGUACGCCGCUGUCAACCUCGAGCAGAUUGAAGCACAGAAUGGCAGUGCACUGAACCGGUGGCUUUGGCGGUUCCGAGAUGCGGUUGAGGGUGCUGAGGAUGCACUUGAUGAGGUAGACUACUACAAACUGGAGGAAGAGGCACAUGCACGAAAUCUUCAACAUCAGGUACGCAAUCCGGUCAUCAGUUUCAUAAGAGAAAGAGUAGUUGAAAGAUUCGUGAGGCAUGCCUCUGAAGGAAAAAUGGUGAAGACGCUAAGGAAGGCUUUGGAGGAUUUAGAUGGAGUUGCAAAAGGUGUGUGCACAUUCCUUCAACUCAUCAGCCGUUUUGACACUCAUCCCUUAAUCGGCCAUGCUGAAAGCAGCUAUCAACAGACCAGCUCUGCUCUGACAGCUACUGAGUUCUUUGGCCGUGACAGGGAGAAGGAACAGAUCAUGAGGUGGUUGACUGAUAAGUUGGAUGAAGGUUCAAGCACUUCUAGAAAUAGCACAAUUCCAGUGUUUGCAAUAAUCGGAAUCGGAGGUAUAGGGAAGACCACCCUUGGUCAACUUGUGUGCAGAGAUUUAGAAGGUUCAUCUCAUUUUGAGAUAAUUGUGUUGGCACAUGUGUCUGGUAAUACCUUCAGUGUAACGAGGAUAACAAAGAAGAUCUUGGAGGCAAUUACAAAACAGAAGCCAAAUGCUGAAACUUUGCAAGCAUUACAGCAAAUUCUCAAACUGGAACUCGAGAAUAGGAAGUUUCUGCUUAUUCUAGAUGAUGUUUGGGAAGACGGCCAAAGGAUGGAAUGGGAACUAUUAAUGGCUCCUUUUCAGACUAGCCAAAGAGGAAGCAGGAUCCUGCUGACAACCCGAAUGCAAUCUGUGGCAGAUAUGGUUACAAGUGUGAUGGGAAGUAAAAAGGAGUAUAUGCACUUACGUGGACUAGAUGGAGACGACAAUUUUAGACUAUUUCAGAAAGUUGCAUUUGAAGAUUUGAAAGCUGAAGAUUACACACAUCUCUUGCGAGUAGCUAAAAAAAAUCGUAUUGAAGUUUCAAGGGUGUCCAUUGGUGACAAAGAUUGCGGGUGGUUAUCUGAAGGAAAACGUCAGUGAACAAUAUUGGGAGAACUUGCACACACAACUUGAACAGUUAGAAGGGAAAUUGGAUGUUAUCGUCAUGACUGUUCUUCGAUCAAGCUACCGGCAUCUACCUGAAGACUUGCAGCUUUGUUUCAGAUACUGCAGCAUAUUUCCAAAAAAUUAUAUGUUUAAGAAGGACGGAUUGGUGAAAAUGUGGAUGGGCUCAGGACUGAUUCAUGUUAAAGGUGGAAUGGAGAGGCCAGAAGACAUUGGUGAAGGAUACUUGGCACAAUUGACAAGAAAAUCAUUCUUUUCUUUUGUGCCAACAGGAGAUCCUUACAGCAAACACUACACCGGAUAUUACAUCAUGCAUGAUUUAUUGCACGAUUUGGCACGCAAUGUUUCUUUUAGUGAAUGUGUAAGACUUGAAUAUGGUGAUUAUAUGCAUGACAGACAUACAGUCAGACACUUAUGGAUUGCAAAAUUCAGCAAGUUAACAAUUGAGGAGAUUGAGGCAAUACCAUUCUUCAAGAAUUUGCGUACACUUGUCAUAGAAAGCUCCAGUGAUCUUGGCAUUGUACAUGUACAUGCACUGGAGAGAGCUGUAGAAAACUUGAAGGGCUUGCGGUUAUUGAUCUUAAAAAGGGUACCCAAGUUCUGCUUUGCAAAAGAAGUUGCUAAUAAGCACCUUCGUUAUGUCUCUUUCUCUGGGAUGCAGGAAGUACAAGGACUUUCUAAGCUCUAUCACUUGCAAAUACUUGCUUCGGAGAGGAGUAUUAACCUAGGGCCAGAGCAAUUGAAGAAGCUUGGAAAUCUUUCUCGUCUGAGAUAUGUGUCUUAUGGAAUUAAUGGAUUUGGUGAGUUUUUUGUUGUUGGACUAUCUUCCCUUCAGGAAUUGCACAAUUUUCAGGUUCAAGAGAAGGAAGGGUACCAAAUACAUUCCUUGAGAAAUUUAAGCAAACUUUGCAAGUUGAAGAUGUGCAACCUUGAGAAUGUUAGAAGCCAUAAAGAGAUUAUCAAGGCCAAGCUGAGUGAAAAAUUCCACCUUAGAUCACUAUCACUUAACUGGUCUGAGACCAAUGAUGCCCCAAAGGAUGAAGAUGACCGGAUUCUUGAUCAGCUUGAACCACAUACUCGCCUUCAAAAUCUUGAAAUUGCAUGUUACAAUGGUGUUCGAUUUCCAUCUUGGUUUAAUCACCUGUCCCUCACAAAUAUGGUGUCACUAGAGCUGCGAAGGUGUGGAAAGUGGGUGCGCCUCCCAGCCUUUGGAAAACUGAAGUUGCUCAAGCAUCUUGAAUUGCAAAAACUUACUGAACUGAAACAGAUAGGCAUAUCACCUGAUGUUUCCUUGCCUCAAAAUCUGAAAACUCUGGUGGUGGAAGGUUGCAAAGAAUUGAGGGAGCUGCCACUUCUACCUCCUAGUUUAGUUCAAUUGGAAAUCAAUGAUGUUGGAUUGAGCACCCUCCCAAGAAUCGAGGAGCGACAUGGUACCAACAUGGGUUCUGAAGGCAUGCCACCUAAGCUAGUCUUGGUUAUCAUCAGAGAAUGUCCAAAUUUAACUUCUCUUGAAAGGAGCUUUCUACUGCAGGAACACUAUGUACGUGCUCUUCGGAUCCUAAGCAUUGUUGAUUGUGUAGGAUUAAUAACUGCACCUUUGUUAUUUGGAAAAAUGAACCAGCUCACAGAAUUUCGUAUUGGUAGCUGUUCCAAAUUGGAAAUGCCCCCUGCCAAUCAACUUGGGGACCAACUCAGUCCGGGGAAUUCCUGGAUCAAAUGGAGAAUGAGAAAUCCUGAAGAUAAGCAAUUUUCCAUUCCCAACACACUCAAAGAACUCUCCAUGGUGGAGUGUCGUGGCUUCGAAGUUCCACUGCUGAACUCACUGUUUGGUCUGACUAACCUCACUUCAUUGAAUUUGUGCGAUUGCGCCAAGGUGGAGUCCCUUCCAUCACCACGGGUGUUCACAAGUCUUCAGGCACUGCGAGAGAUUUUUGUGACAAGGUGUAGUUCUUUGUUAAGCCUGGGUGGGAUGGGAGUCCUGCCAUACCUUACCUGGCUGGAAAUCACAGGGUGCCCAAGCCUUCACAGUAAGACCUUGUUUACUUCCCAAGUUGGGAGGUGCCAAAUUAGCAUUUUGCCAUAAAUGCGACACUGUAGCGUUUCAUUUGUAUUUGUGAAUUAUUGUCCAAAUAUUGACUAAUUAGGCUCAAAAGAUUCGUCUCGCAAAGUACAACAAAACUGUGCAAUUAGUUUUUAAUUUCGUCUACAUUUAGUACUCCAUGCAUGUACCGCAAGUUUGAUGUGAUGGGGAAUCUUCUUUUUGCAUAGUGUCAAAGUUGGGAGUUUGGAGGGAAGUAAACAAGAGCUAAAGGUGCAUAUUCUUGGGUGGGAAAUGAAAAUCUAAAGGUCUACUCACUCUGGAUCCAGACCCCAAAUGACUUAUUCCUGAAGCCAUUGCGGACAUUGCGCGACACCAAAAGCUUGAUUAUCUCAGUUGGCUUUAGAAGCAUACCUCAGCAAUGGCUGCAACAAAAUAACAUGUCCCUCAAGUCCCUGGAAAUACUGAAACCAGAUACCAGGCUACCACUGGAAGACCUUAUUUCUCUCAAGAGAUUGGAGUUUGAUGAAGCUCGUCGUCACCUAGAGUUUCCCAUUUUGCCCUCCUCACUUGAGUCUUUCAUUAUCAGAAAAUGUGAUCCAGAGUUGGAGAAGAAAUGGACAACACAAGAGACCCCUGAAUGGAACAGUAUUUCCUGCAUACGUCAUGUGAAAAUAGGUUUUUUCUCCCGUAUUCCUAUUUCUUACUCACUUCUCUCAUGCCAUUAUCUCCCGCAAUUUCUCAGCCUAGUAGACUGGAUAUGUUAAUCCUGUGCUAGGUGUUUUUUCAUGUUGUUGGGGUAUAAGUGAAUUGCCCACCUCUCCCCAUUAGCUUAAGCUUUUGGGUUGAAUUGGUUGGUGCAUGCAACUCAAUACAUGUUAAUCCAGAAUUAUCUCCUGUGAGAAUGUGUUUAGGCAUCUGGCUGACUAUUAAGUUAAUUUUUGCAGGAGACGAGUACUACAGUUUCGGUAAACAAAGCGAAUCAUUUCCACAGUGGAUUUCCCCAUCCCUUGAAACGAACAAGGGUUAUCUAACAUACAAGAAAAGAAAAGGGUAUAUUACUGCAUCGUCUUAGUAAUUAAAUACAGGCACUUCACAUUUCUAGAUUCUCACUUCGUUAUGAAUCUACUCCACUGGUACGUUACAGAUCCGCGAAAUCCAAACUGCAAACCUGCCUUUAGGUUCCAGAAACAAGAGAGGAAUUGAACCGGAUCCUUCUUAUUAGGAUGAGAUUGGACAGGUCUGCGAGGAAGAGACGUUCUUCUGGGAUAUGUGUUUCGCUUGGUAGGUUUGGGCAGAAGCUUUUGGUAUAUUCCGUACGUGUUAGAAGAAGGUCCCAAAAGGGGCAGCCAAUAACGUUACCAGAUUCGUUCUGAAACUUUAUCCCCACUUGAGUGGUAUGGUUCUUCGCGGGUUUGAGAGCCUGGUAGGAUGAUUAGUAGAGAUUUUGUUCCCGACAUCCACACAAUCCCAGGGAUUUAGAGUGUGGUUUGUAAGGCGAUGUAUAUGGUUCUUCUCCAUAGUGGAUGAUUGCUCACAUCUCUUCCGUUUAUAGGUUUUCAGGUAAAUCAUUGGUCUCAGGCCUCAAUUUGGUGCUCCCUCUCUCUCUCUCUUCUCCCUCCUAUUUGGUUACCACACUUGCUACUUUGAUGACAUAAAGGAUGAUUUGUGCUGAUUUCUUGUCUGAUACUGUAUAUUAGUAAUGUAAGCCAUUGAUGAUGGGUGAGUGACAGAGGGGGGGGGGGGGGGGGGGGGUUCUUAUUCGGCCAAAAUUUAGCUACUGGAAUUGGUUUGGACAAAAACACAAGCACGUGGUGUGCAUGGGGCGCUUCCUGUGGGCGGCGCGCUCUAGGCACAUUACGCGCACAGGUAAGGCAUCUGUAUGUAGAGGUAGAGAACAGGGAAGAACAAGGAACCAAGCAAACCAAAGAAUCAGAGGCGAUACGCUCUGAUCCGAGUAGAGAACGGCAAGGUUCGAGAAGACAAACUGGAGCAGGACCCGUCGCAGCUGAGGGCUCGACCGCCGCCGCGGCCGCCCCGGGCUCGCUCCCUCCUACCCGCUCAGGCGCUCCGAUCCGCCGCCGCCGCCGCCGCCGCACGCGGAAGCCAUCAGAUGCCACGGGCACGCGCCCACGCCGUCGCACGGGAAAGCGCUACACGCCCUCGGCUGCCAGCGGGGACGGCCUUGGUGGGGCGCCGGGAGGUGUGUGGACACUCGGUGGCAACACGCGGUACGGGGGCGGAGGGCUGCGUGGCGGCGGCGGCAGCGUCGCAGGAGGCCGCGGCAUCGGCGAAAGGGGAGCCGUUAGGAGGAAAAAAAAUUCUCUGCGGCGGUGCCGCACCGCGCCUGGGCGCCCACAUGACCGACGCGUAUCCACAGAGCACCCAUCCUUUCCAUCAGCGAACCAAACCGAGCCGGGGUCUCCUCCGCGAAGCAGAUUGAGCUGAAUUCCGCUACGGAGCAGAAACAAAAAUCAAAUUGGGUCUUUGAAAAUAGAUCGAGCCCCCCUGUCCUCGGGCGUUCGUCGCCGAUGGUGAGUGGCACCUCCGGCCGUCGAGCUUGAUGCCGCGGCUGCACGUGGACUCUAGCUACUUGGAGCAGGUGCAGUUGGGCAGUUCGCGUGCGUCCAAGAGGUGCAUACCCAGCAGAACAUCACCGACUCAGAGGAUGAGAGCGCAUGGUGUCCAAUCCUGUCCAAUCCAGUCAGACUCGUCGGCUCCAUCCGUUAACCACGCCGGCGGCCACCUCUACAGUGACCCGCUCCUGCAGCCAUGGCAUCCUCAUGUACCGAGGCAAACCGUAGUAGAUGCAAAUCCAGAGAAAGGCAAGGAAUACUGCCAUCUUCAGACAUCAUCUGUGGUUGGUUGCAGCCUUGUUGCCGGUAGCAAAACUAUGCCGGGCAUUUACAUCCUGAUGUUUUGGUAGCGUAUUGUCGGAUGGAUGGAGGAUGGAGUUUAGAUUUCAGGAGAAGAUUUGGUUCAGGAUCUCUAGUUAUUGAGCCUUUGUAGUGUAGGUUCGGUACUGAUUUGAUUUAUUCUGUAGUAGCAAGUUUUGUUGGAAUUUGUAGAGGAGAUAUGCAGUGUCAAUUUUGAAUCAGUACCAAUUAAUCUGAAUGUUCGAAGUGUUGCUGCGGGAUUUGAUUUGGUUCCGCCCAGCGCUCAGCUUAGAAGAAAGCUCCAUGACCCAAGUCAGCUUGAUCCUCUAGCAGAGGAGACGCAGGCUCGACUCCAUUCGAUCGCUGAUGGAAAUGUCCAUGGACACGCGUUGGCCAUCUGGGCGGUGUUGCACCAGACGCGCGGUGCGGCACCGCCGCAGAGAAUUUUCUUCCCGUUAGGAGAUGCCGCUGGACAGGAUUGGAAGACACGUGGCGAAUUAGUAAUUCUUCCUGCUUCCAAACAUCGACUUCAAAAUUGUUUUUUUCUUUUCUAGGAAAAUACACAGAUUCCAUAAGAGCAUCUACAGUAUGAACCCGUUCCCCAAUCCAACCACCAUAUUUGAAGAUUGCUCCAGCCGACUCAAUUUACUUUUCUCUUCUGCCAAUAAUUAUUGGGACAAUCCAAUAAUUCAACCCAACUCUUCCUAAUGGAGUAGAAGUUGUGCCUCUCCCAAUGUAGUUGUUGGAUCGGGAUGAGAUUAUUGGGAGACUGCAAGAGUAACUCUUCCAAUAAUAAUAAAAAAAAUAUUGGAAUAUACCUUUAACUAACUAUUAGGAGAUAUUUAUUGAUGCUCUGAUCUCGAAGCACUUUCUUCGUAUAAAAUAUUUUGGAUGUGCUGGUGCCCGGACGGACGGAGGCAAAUGUAAUUGGAUUGUCGCGGACAAAAAGCACGUCGACAAGAUAUUCCAAUAUUUUAAAGAUGCGCGUCUCAGUUUUCUAAAGCUGAUAAUGAAAUAGAAAAUAAUAAUAAUAAUGGACGCGUAAGUCUUUUUAGGGAAUAAAGGACGCGUAAGUACGAAGUCCAUCACUCAUGGCCCCGCAAAUAAUGUUUCAUCGUGGGCCAACAAGAGAAACAAGCAAGAACUUCAUCCGUGGGCCAAGCUAGAAAAUGAAGUGGGUGGGUGUGGCAAACUUCGCUUGUGGGCUAACAAAUCAACUCGUGGGCCAACACGUCUGGUACAUUCCCUCGGCCCACUUAACCCGCCGUCCAGAGGCCCAACUAAACUGACCCAUCCCUACCCGUAUCCCCACUUCCUCCUAAACCCUAGGCAACAUCAUCUACCAGACUACCACGCCUCCCGCCGCCAUUGCCGGCGGCGAGGACAACACCCCUCCCCCCCUCUCCCUCCAUGGCUGCUCCGCCCUACGGCGGGAGCACAGACGACUCGCCCGAGGACUACUCCGCCGCGGCCACCGUCGUCCGCUUCGACCCGCCGCUCCCACUCCUCCGCGCUCCCGUCCCCUCCGCCGCCCCCGGCGAGCCCCACGUCCUCGCCUUCCGCGACGCCGCCAGCUGGAGAGCCGCCUGGGACGCCGCCGAAGCCAGCCUCGUCUCGCAGUGCGAGGUAACGAUCCCCCCCCUGACUACACCGUCUCCCCUCCUCGGUCGCGCCUGUGUUAGCAGUUAGCAAAGCUUAGGGGUUUUUUUGGAUGCGUGGAACCAAUGCGCAAGGGAAUGUAGCCGUGCGUGCAGGGUUAGAGCAGAUUCGGCGCGUAGGUUAGAUUGUUACGGUGAGUGUGCCGAUGCGGCUACCAGCGCUGGAAACUUUGCCUGUGGAGUGUGUAUUGUGGUUGUGUUUUGUUCUUGCAGCUGGCCGAGGUGCCUCGCGCUAGUUAUGCGAGGCAGUAAGUUUAUCAGCUGCGGAUAUCGAACAGGGCAAACCAGCUCCUGGCUACUGGAGUUCAGUGGUCGGGGUUGACAAUGCUCUAUAACAUCAAACUACUAUGUUUCCCCCCUUGUGGUUUUCAACUUUCUGAUGGUGCAUAAUGUGUUCUUUGCGGAAUGCUGUUUAUGAAGUCAGAAAAGGCAGACUAGUUGUGCCUAUUUGAUUGGACUUGUUUUCGUCCUUCUGCGCCCAUUUGCUCUUCUACAGUUUGAGCAAAAUAUAUGUUUCAUCAGAAGAUUAAUUGUGUGUUUGUUUCAUCGAAUCCUGUUUUGUUCUGUCUUUUGGGGAAACAACCUCACCUACAGUUUUUUUCACAACAUUAGCUAUUCUACAGUUUGAGCAAAAUAUAUGUUUCAUCAGAAGAUUAAUUGUGUGUUUGUUUCAUCGAAUCCUGUUUUGUUCUGUCUUUUGGGGAAACAACCUCACCUACAGUUUUUUUCACAACAUUAGCUACAAUCUAUCAUACAUGGUUUUGCACACACAUAAAGUUGUGCUCCAUUCAUAAACAACUGGGUGACAUAUUGAUGUUAUCUGAUAAUCUGAAGUUAACUAUUGGAAACUUUGACUACAAAAUACUUUUCACAUGUUGCUUGGAUUAUACGAGUAGAUUUUAUCUUAGAACAUAGUUUCUUUAGAGUAUGCAUUUGGUAUAUUUUAUAGAUAUAUUAUUAUAAAAACUAGUAGUCAACGAUUGGAAUAUUUGACUUCAGACAAUCCCGAAACCUCACUUUUUUGUGACUGGAGACAGUAUUUUUCAGUCAGAUGAGUUAUGUUUUUUCUUAUUCUUUAAUUUGGCUUUCCAAUUAUAUGCAAGUUAUGUUCUCUUCUUCAAAUUAGACCUAUGUUCACUUCUGUUCUGUCUCAAAUGCUAUUGAGCAUCAGUUUUGUAACUGAGACAGAGGAGUUCAUUUUCUUUUUCCUCCCUUGUUCUCUCAUACCUAAAAUGUAAGGGCUUUGAUUUACCAUUGCAGCUGGCCGAGUUGGCUGGCUCAAGUUCUGCCAGUCAAUAAGUAUAGCAGCUGCAUACAUAAAAGAUAGCAAACCAGCUCAUGGCUACUUAGCUUUAGUUGUUGUGGUUGACACUGCUCCACAGUGCUCUUUUUUUUUUUUGACAUCUGGCUGUUAUAUUUUCACACCUGCUCCACAGUACUCAUGGCAUGUUCGAUUCUCAUAUUGAUAUUGGCAUCUAAUACAGUGUCAACGCUGAAACAGAGAAUUUGCAAUUGACACGUGGGAAGCACAUUAUUUUGCAGUUAGAACGUUCAUUGUAAUUUGAUUUAGUGAUUCUUCCAGUAUCUGUAUGAUAUAAUCCUUCAUUAUUUUAUGCCAUAGUGUUGCAUUAUGAAGAGCUAUACACGUUGAUAAAUGGUCUCAGAAGUAAAUUCCUGGAAUGUGCAUAUUGACUAUGUAUUUCCUGUAGCAGAAGCAUUGCUUUCCGCAGACAUGAAAGGCUGAACUUUUCAUUUUUAAUUUGUGUUGGAUACAUCAUUCACAUUUGACAUAUGCUUUAAUCUAUGUGGUGUGUACUGUGUACCUAGCACAAGGUUUUUUUUGUUUCAUAGGAGGCUUUUCACCUUCAAAAAUGUAAUAACAAGAUGUUGAUGCACAACUUUUGCAGGCUGGUGCACGGUCAGGGUGCUCAAUCACUGCAUCACGCAAAUGCAAACCCCCCUGGUGGAAAGGCUUAUUGGGAGCUGCCCCGACUGAUUAUGAAGAAAGAGAGAGAUGUGAAGAGCGAGAGAUGGCCGCUUGUCUCGAGGCAGCCAAGGAGGCUUGCAUUAAGUUUGCAAAGGGAAAAUGCAUUGGACCAUUCCGAGAUGCAAGGAUCGCCUCUGGGGGUCUCCUGGAAAAUACAGAUUUUGAUGUCUGGGGUGCUGGAGGUGACAAAACAGCAUCAGCAUCAUCAUGUGCUCUGAACAAUCAGCAGUUGUUCAACCCUGAUCACAGUGUGACAAACUACAGAGGAAGUGACUUGCUAGACAGAUUGUCAGCUAAAGACAAUGAUAACGCUUGAUGGCUUCCCAACAAAAGUGUAAAACUGGUGAAGACAUCAUGAUGGGAUCCAGAAUUGAAGCAAUAAUCAAAUAACGGCGUACAGAAGUCUGAGGCUGGUGGUUUCAUGCCAUAUUGAAGUUGGUUCAGUGGCUAGAGAUGGUGAAAAACUAACUUCUGGGAAUGGGUGCAGAAGAUAAGAGAAGAUUCCAGUUAUGAGGGCCCAGAGGAAGUGCAGUAACCGCGGAGUGGAUAUCAAAAGACUACUGUUUAUUGUGCGUGUUGACCUAUUAUUCGAGUUGGUGCUCGGGGCAACACAUCAGGCAUACCGUUUCUCAGUACGUCAAUUGCAGGAAAACACAAUUAACUUUUCUAGAAGCAACUGCAAUAAUGCGAAUAGUUUUCUGAGUUGUGGAGCCAUGGAGGAGACGGCAAUCUUUAUGCAGAUUCUCGCAGCUUGAAGAUCAAUCUCUUCUUUUGUGGUAUUAGCCAAGUGUACUUGAAGAUCUGUGAAGCAAUCUGUUCUUUUGGGAUAUUAGCCAAGUUUACUUGAAGAUCUGUGAAGCAAUUUAUCCUUUUGGGGCAGUAGCCAAGUAUUCUUGAAGAUCUGUGAAACUUUUUAUCCUCGCCUCUUUUGGCGUAUACACUGGAAGUGAAUCGAUUGCUUCCAUAUUCGAUUUGUAGCAGCACCCACCUGUGUAAUAACUGACGAUGUGGAAGAGUAGCUCGCUGCCUAGUACUGGCAGUUGUACAUCAUCUCUAUGCCAACAUGCGUUGUGCUUGUAUGGUUUCACGCGCUGCAGAGUCUGUAAGCAAUAAAAGUAGGAUCAGAAAUGCACGGGCGAUUUCAGCCUCAGGGGCCGGUGCCAAUUAAACAUCGCUGCUGCGCAGCCUGGACAGUGAAUGGCAAAGGGGCCAUGCAUGAAGCGUAGUCAGCCCAACAGCGCUCCUCCACCGGCUGGAUUAUUUUUCCUUUCUAUUUCUUCCUUGCAGUUUACCUUUCAUUUUGUGCUGCAACAGAAGCAAUCUUUGCAAAGCAAGGAGGAAACAAAAAUAAGCAGCUUCUAAAUAGCAUCACCCUUAUGCAUGCCGGGGCUGAAUGACAGGGCAGAUUACGAAAUAGUGAGACUCUAUUUUUGCAUAUUACUAUCUAUAAGGUGUAUCUGUGCUCAGAAAAUCGAUUGCAACGACACAGGGAAGCACCAAGAGAAACAAUAGUGAAAUCUGAGAGGAAAGGAAUGCACAAUGGAUGAAAACAACAUUCAGCUCCCAAUACCAUAGGUGCAUAUAACAAACAUGGAAACUACCACAUCAACAGCAUGCAUGUGCGUGUGUUCAAGAGAAUUUGUUACAAUUCCCACACUUUGCUGCAGUAAAUCUUUCGAGUGGAUCUCAUCAGAGUGCACGCUCACCGUUCUUCCAGCCCUCCAAUUCCUCGUGACCAACAGCCUCGUUGAGAUAUUUGAGAUGCUGGAUUCCACUGAAAUUACGGUAGAAUACAAACUUGGGACAGAGCAGGUGAAGAGAGGUGAUUGUGCUCAUGCUUCCGUCAUGGAUAUGCACUUCGGGAAGGUCUGAGGCUUCGAAGCACAGCCGCUGAAGGCUUGGGGAUCCACCCCUUUGUAUGAUGAAGGUCUGAGGCUUCGGGAAGUGCUGCAGCUUGAUGGAGCUGCGCAUGCAGGGACCUUCAAGUGAUACAGAGUCAUGGAAGUUAAAAGAUUGUUUGCCGAAAUCAAUUGGUAGAGACUCAAUUCCAUUGCCUUUCGAGAACCACUUCUGGAGGGAGCAAGUUAGGUCUUCUGACUUGGUGACAGAUUGCUCGCACCAUAUCUUAACCUUCUUCAGAAACCUCAUGUGAAGCAGGAUGAGUUCAAAACCAGAGUUGCCGUCCAUGAUAAAUCCUGACAGAGUCUGCAGUACACUUUUGUCUGAGAAGAAUGCCUGCAGCUUGCUCCUCUUCUUCUUAUUCACAAGUUCUUGAGGUAGCUCAAACUGACCCAACAGGUGAACCAACCGUGGGAGCAUGAUGACUUCCAAAGGCACAGUCUGUUCACCUCUGUCUCUCGGAUGUCCAACGUCUCUAAACACACCAGUUUGUCUAUUUUUUUGGGGAUACAGUAAACAUCACUGCCCCUGAGGCUCAGGUACUUGAGCAAGAUCAGCUUGCAUAUGCAACGAAGAGUACGCUCGUCAACCCCCUUGCGACCCUCAGGAUCUAAGACUCGCACCAAACGGCAGCUCUGGAAAUGAAAAGGCUCACCGUUAUGGUCAGCAGUCCGUCGUCACCGUGAAUGGAGGCCCAGUACUCGCGUCUUAGGCCUGGAUUGGGCCCAGCAGUGCGCGGGUGUUCAUUGUGAGGAUCGAGGUGGGGAAAUCAAUCAGCAAGCAUCUUCAACCGGGUCGAUGUCCUCCUCCUCCGGUCUGCUUGACUUCUUGUGAUCUUAUAGUCCAUGGGUUGGAGUCCUAUGAAAGAGCAUAAAUGGAUGUCCAUACCUUAGUCACCAGAUACUUCUUCGACCCAUUCUUCCUCCUCAACUUACAGUCAUUAUCCUUAGUGCCCGUGCUCCUAUUUCAAAAAGAAAAAGAAAAAAAAUUCCAGACAUAUUGAUGUUGUUCAUGGAAGGAAUCGGUGCUCGUAGCUUAAAAAAGAGAGGGAUGAAUUAGGCACUUAUGGCUUCCACUAGUUGCAUCAAAAUAUAAACUAAAUCAUGCUAUCUAAAUGUGCAAUCUACGGUUGAUCUAGUGUGAAACUCUCAUCCCAAAAUAAGUUUUGCAACCUAUAGCCAAACCUAUAAAGAUACUAUUAUAGGAAAGUAAAGGCACACAAGUUGCAAGUAUGAAAUACCAAAACAUAAGAAGUGGAUGAGGGGAAGCAAACUCCUGACACAAGGAUUUAUCCCGUGGUAUCGGUAGGCACUAAGCCACCACUAGUCCACGUUGUUGAAGCACUCACACAAGAGUAUUGCUUCCCGAUCACCAAAUAUCUCCUAAUGUGCCCCUUGACUUGCCACAAAGGCUCGACUACUAAGGCUCAUGCCAAGUCCCUCGAUCACUUUGAUGCCGUCUUCACUAAGGAGCUUCUCCACGAAGGAAAGGGGUUUCCAUGUCCCCCGCACAGUGAGAGGUUGUCGACGCCGCUCCACACCAAGCUGGAGAGUCGAAGACUUACCGGCGAGCCAUCAAGGCUCCAAGACAGUGGCACAUCUCUUGUACAGCGGUGGUUCACUCUAUGCACUCACUCUUUUUUAGGCCUAUCCUACAACUAACCAUUCUUCUAAGCUUGUGCUAAGCCUUUUAUGGAUCACUUAAGCACUUUUGGUGGCAUGCAUGGAUGUGUUCAUGAUGAGUCUUGGUGUUCAAUGCAUCCCUGGAUACUUCAUCAACUCGAGGUGGUGGUAUAAAUAGCCCCAAGGGCUCAAAGAGCCGUUGCUCCAACGGCUAGUGAAAAAGGAUACCAUCGGAUGUUCCGAUGGUCUAUUUUUAGCCUGCAUCGGAAUAUCCGGUGCAACUAGCAGUUGGCUCCCCACACACAAGUUCCUCAGGAAUUCGAUGACCCCAUCGGAUCAUCCGGUGCCACUGUUCACGUCAUUGCUCCAACGCUUUCUCCGAUGGUGCUGUCGAAUCAUCCGAUGUUGAAGAAUUUUUGCCUAAAACCUCUCUGGAACUUCUCAAAGAAAAUAUGCUUUGUCCGACGGUCAACACCAUAGGGCAUCCAAACAUCUGGUGCUAUAGGGUUUCCUCUGCCUCCUCAGCGAAUUGCUCUGAUGCUUGUAAAAUUACCUCCAUCAGAUCAUCCGCCAUUUUUUUUCCUGUUGUACCAAUUGGUCUGGUGGUUGCUUCGACACUUUUUAGGUGGGGCAUUGGAGCAUCCGAUGGUGCAUUUUUUAUUCCAAUUUAUCCAAUGCAAGCACGCUAAAAAUAUUGUCACUUGGAUGGCCAUGUUCGCUACAUUCAGCCUUGCUUUAGUGGAGCAGGAAUCAGUGAAAUCGUCUUCAGCUUCAAUGCCACCCGAGGUUCAGUCUUUACUCUGUCUGAUUCGCUGAUUUGUUAAUUUCUUUUAGGGAGACUAAUCGGUACCAGAAAUUGGGCCAUAUCGCGCCUGCGAAAAUCUCAGCUACUAGCAGCAAUUAGAUGCCCCCUAUAGAUCAUCCAAGAAGAGCCUUAUAUAGUAAAAAAAAAGGCUAAUAAGAAAUAACAAAUGCGAUAGUUUUAGUCGAUCGACUAUGAAUUAUAAAAUAGGAUAUCCAUUACAGAUACAGAAUCAUGGCUUAUAUCACCAUGGUUAUCAGGUCCACACACAUAUAAUACAUAGCCCAACAAAACACAUAUGCAUGCAAAACAAGGCCUGCUAUAUGAUCUAUGCAGUCCAGCAUGCUUUAUUCAUGUUUUCAGUGCUAGAAAGCAAUAUACACAUCAGAUGCUGUAUUAUUCAUAGAGAUGUGUAAGGACCAUGGACGCUGCAGCUGGUCCACGCCAUUUCGUUUCAGCGUACGCAUGCAUACUGUAUGCAUGACGAAGUAAUCUCCCUCAACCACAGAUAUAAAGAUUCAUGCAUGCUGCCCAUAGGAGGAGCUGCCAGCAGAACUGGGUCCCUGCGGAUCGAUGUACACUUCCUGUUGUGUAGAAACUGAAGUAUUUUCCAGUGAGUUAAGGUCUGGGAGUGACUUGCCAUGCUCCAGGACAGCCAUUACUUGCUCCAUGCUAGGCCGCUUCUUACUAUCAUCGGGGUAGGAGCACCAGAGCCCUAGGGUGAUAACAUUCUCCAUUUCACUUCUAUGGAACUUGCCCUGUAAUUUGUCAUCAGCAGCCUGGAGGAUAGAUCUGUUGGUGUACUGCUUCCAAACUGUUUCCCUGACCAUAUCUUUUUUGCAAGCGAUAUCAAGCAGGACGAUGCCGAAGCUGUAGACAUCAGAGCUACGGCUAAACUCGACCUUCCCGAAGGGUUUCUUGCACUGUGGAUCUAGGUAAGCCUCGGUUCCUAUAGGGACCGUCAGGAGCUUUGAACUGUCAGAGUCAACGAUCCUCGACAGGCCGAAGUCAGCGAGUUUGGCAUUGAAGUUGUCAUCCAGAAGUAUAUUGCCCGGCUUGAUAUCUCUGUGCAAGAUGAAUGGGUCGCACUCGUGGUGGAGGUAAAGAAGAGCAUAUGCUAUGUCUUUCACUAUCUUGUAUCUGAUUAUAGAUAGGAAAAAAUAAAAAUCUUCAAUAUCUUGUUGGAUCUCAAAUGUAUAGUAUUGCAUGCUCAAUUAAAGAACAUGUAGGUAUAUAUGUAAAGUACCUUGUUUCCCAUGGUAGUAUUAUUUCGUCUUUGUGUAGGUGGUCGUGCAGGCUUCCCUUAGGCACCAAUUCAUAGACAAGGAAGAGCUCAUUGUUUUUGUUCUUCCAACACCAACACAUGAACUCAACAAAGUUCCAGCUGUUUCCACUGCACCAACCAACGAGUUUGACAAGAUUCUUGUGCUUUACUGAAGUGAUGGCAUUGAGUUCGUCAUAAAAAUUCUUGGUGUCUGGUUCCGGCAUAGCAUGGGACUUGUUCAGGAUCUUCUUUACUGCUACUUCACAUCCCGAUUUCUUCAGGUACCCUCUAUAGACCACCCCAAAGAAACCUUUUCCAAGUUUCCUCUCAUCAGAGAAAUUGUCUGUCGCGGCUGCCAAAUCACUAUACUCGAACUGAGUAGGCCCCUGCUGCUUCCCCUGCUUCUUAAAAUCACGGUGUCUGUUUGUCCACUUCCAAUAGGAGAGGAUAAACCAUGCCACGAACACCAAUAGCACCACAGAUAGUAGUGCUCCUACAAUAAUCUUUGCUAUCGUGAUGUCCUGACCUGUCAACGGGCAUACAGUAUAUAUGCAUUAUAUGUGGCACAUGGAUGCAUUCAUGUAUCUGAUUAGGACGACAAAAGCACAACACGGUACUACAUAGCCCAUGAACAUUAUUGAUAACCCAUAAAAGUCAAAACUAUUGGUCAUCAACUGUUCAAUAUUGAGUUAUAUUUUCUUGUUUAAUAACCUGUGGAGUAAAAAAUUACUUUCCAAGGUUAAAAGGUUAUAUCAGGGGAAACACAUGAUACAAUGGAAGUACCAAAUUUGUUUACUAUUAAUUGAAUAAUCCAAUAGAUUAUUGAUUAUAAUUCAAGUAAAUGGAAUAUCAUUGGUCCCAAUAUUAUUUUACAUUUUUAGAUGAAGGAAGCAUUACUUCCGGUUUCAGCAGCGACUGAGGAUGCACACAACGAUUAAACUCCAUAGACAUCUAAAUAGGUACUGUUGACGCCGGAUUUCGUCACCAGUAGAAUCGGCACCAAGAAGAAAAGAAGUCGAAGAAGUACAGUUGGAAAUCGGUCAAAUGGUGCUAUAAUGCGGAAUCGGCUAGCAACUUUUGCUUCGCUUCAGGGUGAAUGCACCAGAAUCCCAAUCGGCAAUCCUCUGCCGAUGAGAAAUCGGCCGAUCAGGAAGAUGGACUAGUUGGGCCUGUAUGGGCUUGGAAAGAUGGAAGGAUAGGGUGGAGGUCAGCCCACGAAGCGUGGGGUAACUAACUUGGCACGAGUUGUGCUUGUAGAUAUUUGUUUUCUAUUUGAAUUAGAGAUAGAGUUCUAGUCGGUUAAGAAGAUUAUUUGUACGGGGCUAUAAAUAGCUACCUUUGUAAAUAUGUAAACACACAAUCAAUCAAUAUACAACAAGUUACUUUCUUCUUCGUACUUACUUCCGAGCAGGCGACUUCGCCAUCACUUUUUCUUCUCACGAGUUCGUACGGGUUGGCAGGGCUGCAUCACCUUGAUCUCCGGCCGAUUCUGUAAGUUCCGUUUAUCGAGUAAUAUCUAAGCUUUAACUUCCGGCGCAUCGCUGUUGUUUCGUUUAGAUUUAUUCAUCAGUUAUCGAUAUCAACUAGAUUCAUAGGUUUUUACCUGUUUUCCUAGUUUUUAUCACCAAUUAUUCCGCUGGGAAUCGAUAGUAUCGGCUUUCUAUCGUUAGAUCCAUUCGUUGCCGAUUAGAUCUUUUCCUAGUGCUGUUAUUACAAGCUUUGUACCGAUUACUUUAGUAUUCUUCUGUCUACGAGGCUAUAGAGAUCGUGCUGUCUUGUAGCCGAUUUCAUUAUCACAGUAAAUCGGCCGAUUCGCCGAUAGACUCUCUCGAUCGGAAACUUAGCCGGUCGCAGUUUCUGAACUUGACACGUGUUCUUCCUUGCCAAUCAACAGGUCAGAUUGGCUGGCACGCCGCGCGAACCGCAUCAAGGCAUUCACCCGAACAGGAGCUAAGCAGAUUCUCCCGGGUCGUGUGUCGGACGUUGGGAUUCGGUUGACCGAUUUCUAGCGCCAACACACUUUUGGCACGCCCAGUGGGACCAAUACAACCGCUGUCAUGUCUAAAGCUGCUGACGUCUCCGAAGAUAACGUCAUCGAAGUGACGGAAGCAGAUCUAAAGGACGACCAAAAGGAAGAUUUGAACAAGUAUUUGGAGCAGGUCCGGAAAACUUGCUUAAAAUCCUUCAGUCGUUCCAGGAGCGGGGAGACUAUUAAAAAGACUCCUUUCCCUACUCCCCGUCAGAUCACAAUUUCCGAAGAUUCGGAUAAAAUGUCCGAUAUGAUUCAACAAUCUCUUCAUCACGCCUUCAUCAAUCAAUCCCCGGUACUUUCAAACAUGGUGCACAAUGCCGUGGUCAACUCCUUCGCCGGAGGCAUACCUCAAGGGUACAGGGGACCGACGUAUUUUCAGCCGAUUCCACCAAAUCAGGCUUAUCCGGUUUCACAGCCGAUCCAGUCUUCUGUUGGAGGAUCCGGUGCUUCCGCGUCAUCGACUCCUUUGGGAUAUGGUUCUACCCAACUGUCUUCUGCGCCAUUCCCUCCAGUCAGCCCUUCACCCUGGGGGGCACCUUUAAACGCGGCCGGUCUGAACCAAUCGGUCAGUCAAGGAAAUCCUCCGUUCCAGACACACUCGCAAACGGCCACCCGGCCAAUCAUACCACCAUACCAGCCUCUCGCUCCGGAGGUCAACAAGACGUCGGAGCUCAUGCUAUAUGAUGAAACAAGUGGUUCAUACAAACAACCAACUUUUACUACACCGCCAGCUUACACUCAGAUACCACCUUUUCAUCAAUCUCCUUUUGUUCAGCCUCCGAUUUAUCAGCACGUGCCGAUACCGCAGCCAACUGUUCCCCAGCAACAACCAGAUUGGUCGGCACAAAUUGCAGAGGUAAUGCAAGAACAAUUCGGCUUGAAGCCGAAAGUACAAACUUAUACCUAUAGAACACCAUACCCAUCUACAUAUGACUUGUUGCCGUUCCCCCAUCGGUACAAAGUUCCUGAUUUUACCAAAUUUUCGGGGAUGGAUGACACCUCUACCGUGGAACAUGUGAAUAGAUUCAUCAUCCAAUGCGGGGAGGCAGCUACGCAAGAUGCCCUGCGGGUACGGUUGUUCUCGUCAUCCUUGUCUGGAUCGGCCUUCCAAUGGUUCACAACUUUGCCACCAAACUCGAUUAUCACAUGGGCCGAUCUAGAAAGACAGUUCCACAAGUACUUCUAUGCUGGGGUCCACGAAAUGAAACUGUCUGAUUUGACUAGCCUCCGGCAAAGAAGUGAUGAGCCGAUACCCUCGUAUAUACAGAGGUUUCGGGAAAUCAGAAACAAAUGCUACUCCCUGGCUCUAACCGAUGCGCAGUUGGCCGAUAUAGCUUUCCAAGGCCUGCUGCCACACAUUAAAGAGAAAUAUGCUUCACAGGAGUUCGAGAGCCUAAGCCAGAUUGUCCACCGACUGUCCGGACAGGAAGUGCGUCCAUUCGACCCGAGAAGGAAUUUCCAGAAGAAAGUAGCAUUCCUGGAAGAUUUAGAGGACGAUGAGGAUGCCGAAGUCGGACUUGCAGAGUGGAUUAAGGGAAAGAAACCGAUAUCAUGCCCAUUCGGCAAGAAGGAGCCGGAAGCAUUCGGUUUCGAUACAACUAAGGCUGAUAAAAUCUUCGAUCUUCUACUCCAGGAAGGGCAGAUUAAACUCUCGCCUUACCAUACAAUACCCUCUGCCGAACAAUUGAAGAAGAUGAAGUACUGCAAGUGGCACAAUGCCACGUCACAUGAUACCAACGAGUGCAAAAUCUUCAGGCAACAAAUACAGUCGGCCAUUGAGCAAGGCAGACUCAAAUUCGAAGUGCCGGCAAAAUCGGCCAAACCAAUGAAGAUCGACCAACACCCCUUUCCUACCAACAUGGUUGAUACGGGGAAGAGUUCGCUCCAAACAAAAGUGCUGACAUCCGAAUUGGCCAAAAAGAGUGGCUCUGUCGAUCCCAGGAAUCAAGCUACGCCUGAAGAUGUCAAGGGGAAGCGGGGAAUGGAGGACGAUGAUGGUGAGUCAGAUGAACCACGUAUUACUUCCCAGUUCCUGCUCCAAAAGUACCAACGCCAACAUGAACGGUCAAGGUCCCGAGAGGAAGCGAUGCGUCGGCACGAGGAACACUGGAGAUGCCCGUUCUUCAUUCAUUGUUGGGAAAACAACCUCAGGCUACCAUCGGCCGAUACCUGCCCAGAGUGCAACGGUCCUUAUCGAGGCAAUCGGCCGUUCACCAGGUCUCGCUCCAGAGACGGAAGGCCAGAACCGAUCAGCAGGAACUGGCGCAACCCAGAUGACCAGCGCCCUCUCGUACGUGAUCGGCUGGGGGGCAGAAGUGACCGAUAUGAUCGGUCAGAGGACAGAAGCCAUAAUAGGCAGGGGGGCAGGCCUGAUCGACAUGAUCAGUCAAAUAACAAAGCUAGCGUUCAUAGCCGGCUCGAAGACAUGGCCGAUGCUCGGGUGACGGACGAGAACCCGUUAGGACGCGAACCGGAGUGGGAACGCGCCGGGAAAGAAGGGAAGCCAUUAAACCCCAGGUGGUGCCCCGAUGGUUUAACCAAAUCACAAAAACGGAGAAUCCAACGCCUCCGCCAAUGGGAACAGCAAGAGGAAGAAAGCGCAAUGGACAAGAAGGAAGAGAGGCCUCGGGUGUGGCGCCCCAAAAGAAACGACAAGGGAAGCAAUGAGUCGGUGGGUGAUGAAUCGGCAGCCGAGAUCGGUAUGGUUUUUAUAUUGCCGAUGGAGUUCAUGACCCCUGCCGAUCAACAGGACGUAUCGGCGAUAGAGGAACAGACAGCACGGUUGGCUUUAGAACCAAUGAUGGCCACGUUCGAGAAGCCCGAAGAUGACGAACGACAACAUAUGAAGGCAUUGUUCCUUAAAGGGCAUGUUGACGGCCGUCCUCUCACUAGAUUGAUGGUCGACGGAGGAGCUGCGGUCAAUAUCAUGCCGUAUGCCGUACUCCGGAAGCUGGGGAAAAGCGACGACGACCUAACCAGGAUGGACAUGAUGCUUAAAGACUUCGAAGGCAAGGUGUCAAAUGCUCGCGGUGCUCUCUGCGUCGACCUCACCAUCGGCAGUAAGACCCUUCCCACCACAUUUUUCGUCAUUAAUGGCAAAGGGUCCUAUAAUAUGCUUCUUGGCCGAGAUUGGAUACAUGCAAACUGCUGCAUCCCGUCAACUAUGCACCAAUGCCUCGUACAAUGGGUCGGUGACAGCAUCGAGGUGGUCAAAGCCGACUCUGCGUACAGCAUCGCAGCAGCCGACGCACAGCAAUGGAGCUGCGAAACCGUCAGAUGCAUAUCAGGUAGGGUAUGGGAAACCGAUUUCCUGAAGGUCACCGAUUUUGGCCUACAACCGAUCCGAGCAGUCGGCUUCGAAGAAGUGCAAUAGAUGGAUCAGUUCGCCCGAGAGGACGGGAAGCUGGGGCACGGAUUCACAUCGGCCGAUUCAUUAGAGAUGAUAGACUUAGGUGACGGGACCAAACCAAGGCCGACUUUUAUUAGUGCGAAUUUAGAUCCAGAGUAUAAGUUUAAAUUGACAAAUUUAUUAAGAGAAUUCAAGGAUUGUUUUGCUUGGGAGUAUCACGAGAUGCCCGGUUUAGAUCAAUCUAUUGUUGAACAUUGGCUACCCAUAAAGCCAGGGUAUCGGCCGUACCAACAACCCGCACGGCGAUGCAAUCCUAAAAUUUUACCAGAUAUAAAAGCCGAAAUAACUCAGCUAAUUGAAGCAAAAUUUAUUCGGCAAUGUCGUUAUGCCGAGUGGAUUUCUAAUAUCGUGCCGGUAUACAAGAAAAACGGGAAGUUGCGCGUUUGCGUUGAUUUCAGAAAUCUUAAUCAGGCCACACCGAUGGAUGGUUACCCCAUGCCUACGGCCGAUGUACUGAUCGACGCCGCCGCGGGACACAAAAUUAUUAGCUUCAUGGAUGGAAACGCCGGAUACAAUCAAAUACUUAUGGCCGAAGAGGACAUAUCCAAAACAGUUUUCAGAUGUCCAGGCCAUCUUGGUUUGUUCGAAUGGGUGGUGAUGACUUUCGGCUUGAAGAAUGCUGGCGCUACAUACCAGAGAGCUAUGAAUUACAUUUUUCAUAAACUCAUUGGCCUCCUGGUGGAGAUCUACAUCGAUGAUGUGGUGGUCAAAUCCAAAAGCCACGAGGAACACCUAGCAGAUUUGCGAAGGGUACUAGAGUGUACCAAAAAGCAUGGUCUUAAGAUGAAUCCCAACAAAUGCGCUUUCGGCGUCUCCGCCGGACAGUUCUUAGGAUUCAUGGUGCAUGAACGAGGUAUAGAAGUCAAUCAGAAGACCAUAGCGGCCAUCAACAAAAUCGUUGCUCCACAGAACAAAACUGAGCUACAGUCUCUAAUCGGCAAGGUUAACUUCAUCAGAAGGUUUAUAUCUAAUCUAUCCGGACGACUCCAGGCGUUCACACCACUUCUGAAGUUGAAGCCCGACCAGGAAUUUAUAUGGGGAGAAGAACAGCGCAAAGCGUUAGACGAUAUCAAGCGAUACUUGGUCUCACCGCCAGUAUUGGUUCCCCCUCAAACUGGUAAGCCGUUUAAAUUGUAUUUAUCAGCCGAUGAAAAAGCUAUUGGGUCGGCUCUAGUCCAAGAGUUUGAAGGCAAAGAGCGGGUAAUUUAUUACGUCAGUAGAAGACUCCUGGACGCCGAAACAAGAUAUCCUCCGGUAGAGCGGUUGUGUUUGUGUCUUUACUUCUCAUGCACUAAACUCAGGCACUAUCUACUGUCGGUAGAAUGCGUAGUCAUAUGCAAAGAUGAUGUAGUGAAAUACAUGCUAUCACUGCCGAUAUUGAAAGGACGAAUCGGUAAAUGGAUCUUAGCCUUAUCAGAAUUUGACCUACGGUAUGAAUCAGCAAAAGCCGUCAAGGGUCAAGUCAUGGCCGAUUUCGUCGCCCAGCACUGUGGACCGGAGAUCGCCCUCGUGGAACCAGCGCCUUGGCAAUUGUUUUUUGACGGGUCAUCGUGUGGGGCCGGAUCCAGAAUCGGCAUCGUUCUCAUAUCGCCUCGGGGGGCAAGCUAUGAUUUUUCUCUGCCGAUAGAAACCGCCGCUACUAACAAUCAAGCGGAGUACAGAGCUGUAUUGAAAGGUUUACAAUUAUUGAGAGAAGUUAAGGCCGAUUCUGUUGAGAUCUUCGGGGAUUCUAUGCUAAUUGUGGAUCAACUAACCGGAAGGGCUGAGUGCAAAGAUGAUAUAUUACGAAUCUAUCACGAAGAUUGCGUACAGCUUUUAAAAGGAUUCAGAUCGGCAGUGAUCGAGCAUGUUCCAAGAGACCGCAACGAGGAGGCAAACAAACUCGCCCAGCACGCAUCUGGAUAUCGGCCGAUUCUGGGCGCCAUGGCCUUAGAACUUGCAGCCGACGAUUGGCGUAAAGAAAUUGCCGAUUACCUGAAGGAUCCAUCUAAAAAGGUGGAGCGACGAGUACGCUUUCACGCCACCAAGUACGUACUGCUCGAAGAUGACCUGUUCUACCGAACGAUCGAUGGUGUCGUUCUUAAGUGCCUUGGGACAGAAGAAGCCAAGACUCUAAUGGGAGAGAUCCAUGAAGGGGUAUGCGGAGCUCACCAAUCGGCACAUAAGAUGAAGUGGAUGAUCAGAAACAACAGGUACUAUUGGCCUACGAUCCUCGAAGACUGUUUCAAAUAUUAUAAGGGUUGUCAGGAGUGUCAAAAGUUUGGAGAUGUCCAACGUGCACCCGCGUCGGCUAUGAAUCCUAUCAUCAAGCCAUGGCCAUUCAGGGGGUGGGGAAUAGACCUCAUCGGCCAAAUUUAUCCACCAUCGAGCAAGGGGCACAAAUUUAUUCUGGUGGCUACUGAUUACUUCACCAAAUGGGUGGAGGCAAUCCCGUUGAGGACUGUGACUUCGGCUAUCAUGGCUGACUUCGUAAGGGACCAUAUCAUUUACCGAUUCGGUAUCCCUCAAACUAUAACAACCGAUCUAGGAACCAUGUUCACAUCGGGGGAGUUUGAGGAAUUUACGACCGAUAUGGGCAUCAAAUUGUUGAAUUCUUCUCCAUAUUACGCUCAAGCCAAUGGUCAAGCAGAAUCCUCCAACAAAGGAAUAAUCAAGUUGAUCAAAAGGAAAAUUGAAGAAUAUCCGAAGAAGUGGCACCUGUGUUUGACUGAGGCCCUGUGGGCAUACAGAAUGGCCUGCCAUGGGGCUACCAAGUUAUCCCCCUAUCAGCUGGUAUACGACCACGACGCAGUACUGCCAUGGGAAUCUAGGGCAGGAUCAAGACGCAUCUCACUUCAGGACCAGUUGUCAGCCGAUGAUUACUCAUCUCUGAUGAAAGGGGAACUCGAUGAUUUGGCUAGCCAACGGCUAAGGGCUCUGAUAAGUAUCAAAGAAAAUAAAAAGAGAGUGGCCAGGUGGUACGAUAAGAAGGUCAAAGUCAAGCAGUUCUCCCCUGGAGACUUGGUAUGGAAGUUAGUACUACCGAUCGGAUCGAAAGAUCCUAAAUUCGGAAAAUAGUCCCCUACCUGGGAAGGGCCGUAUAAAAUCGGCAGAUGCGCUCUAGGGAAUGCCUAUAUUUUGGAAACAAUAGAAGGAGAAGAAUUCACUAGAGCUCUGAAUGGGAGGUACUUAAAAAGAUAUUACCCAAGUAUAUGGGUCGGAGCCUAAGAAAUCAACACAAUCAUACAUAGCCGAUACGAGUCGGUUUUAAGAAGCACAUAAAGUUGACCGGAACGGCCGAUUACAUUCAUUCGGUACGGACGACGGAUUACAUGGCCGACAAAGCGCUAAGUCGCCCUUAGAACAAAAAUACAAAAAAACAAACUAAUUAUUCUUCUUCUGGGAUGCCUUCCCAUUCUGAGCACGAAGGCGCGAGGCCUCUGCCGCCGCCAGGAUGACGGGCCGAGGAAACAGACGGACCCUAUCGGUAGGAGACCGCUGGCCGCCGUUCCUCUCCAGGUAGUCCAGGAUCGUGCGGGCUGUCAAAGUGACGUCAUCUCCAGGAACGUCACGACGACGAUCCCUCAUGACUGGAGAUCGGCGACGGUUUUCAUUCACCACGGCAUCUAAGACUGCACGAGCCUCUGCAGUAAUGUGGUCUUGGAGCUCCUCUUGGUGGGCCAGAAUCAGAGCCUUGUCCUCCGGGGUCAACGGGUCUUCGGAGUGGAUGCACUCGAUGGCGCGUACAAGCUCCGGACUAAGGCGUUGGGGCUAAAACAAAGAAGGAGUAAGGUGAAGUAUUCAUUUCCUAAGAUCUAAGAGGAAAGGUCGGGACCUCACCUGGUUGACGGAAGAAGAUGACGAUGAGGCCAUGACGAAACAGUCGCACUGAUGAGAAGAAGAGGAGAAGCGAAAUGGGAGCCAAGUCGAUGCUAUCGGGAGUAAGCGCCGAGGUCGAUAUUUAUGGGGAAAAUACGUGGAAAUCUGAUGAGGCUACGUCCCAUCGGUAAUAAGGAAGGCAGUAAAUAGAGGGCGUCACGAAGGGUCGGUCAAAGAAGGCAGUAAAUGUUCGUACAAAACGGUCAGUGUUUUACAGAUUACCCAAAAGGGUAUCGAUAGCCGUGAUGGCCCGACGCCGGAUCUGAUCGGCAGAGUCAAGAACCCGUUGGUCUUCUUCUGCCGAUCCAGGGACCUCCGAUGCGUUGCGGUGGAGUCUCAGAGCCUCUUGAGCAAAACGCUGCCUCUCCCGUGUCAAAUCGGCAAUAGCAGAGGGUAACUCUUGAAGUUUGUUCUCUUCGGCGCUGAUUGCCUUGAUCACUUGCUCCAUGUCUUUGGCAAGUUCCGCCCUCCGUCGUUUGAGGCGAUCUAUUUCACUAAUGAUCGCCGGCCGUGAAUCUUCUAGGACAUGGAUACGUCGAUUCGCUUCUUGAGCCUGACGCUUAAAAGCAUCUUCAUCUUCACGAGUCUUGGCCAGUUUCACGCGAUCGGCCAUAUGACGAAGGGCCCUAAAGACUGGGAUCCUCAUGGACUCGAUAAAGGCCGCCGGGGCCAAGGCCUCUUCCGCUUCCUCUGGUACUCGUCCGCUGACGUCACUAAAGAGCUGCCGAAUCGGCGAAGCAUCUUCUACCAAUCGGCCGAUGUCCCCUUGUAGGAGGGAUCGGAUGCUGGUAAGUUUAGCUCGGACGUCGUCAGGAACGGAGCUUAAAGCGACUUGGUGGGAUGCGAUUUCCUCAUCAUCAGAAAGAGCAACCGCGAAGGAGAAAAGGCUGUUGUUGGGGGAAUCUUGUUCCUAAAGAAAAUAAGGAAAAGGGGUGAAUUGGCAAGGGAUCAAAGCGAAUCGGCUGGUUGAAAGCUGGUUUAAGAAUUUACCAUUUUAAAACGAAUUUCUUCAUGCUGCGCUUGUAAAGCCGUUGUGUCUUGCUCAGUGGCUUGUGCCAUAGGUUCAUCUGACGAAGAGGACUCCACAAUAAUCGGCGCGGUGCUCGGACCAACUCCCUGGGAAGAAAUCGGUUGUCGGGAAGCGCUCGGCGUGCCGAUGGACUGCGUCAAAAAAUCGGUCAAAUACAUUACACGGAUACCCGAAGGAAAUCCGUAAGAUAAGUACUGUACCUCAAUAGAUGAGGGCAAGGGCGCGUUGGCGUCCGGUCGAGUUAUCGCCGAUUGUGGUAUUUCCAUAGCGGUGCUCUGGGAAAUACGGAGUUAAGAAAAGUUAAUAUUUAAAUAACGAUUGGAGAUGGCUAAAUUCGGGCUUACCUGCAUAGCUUCCAACAAUAAUGACGCGGCAGCCACUCCGGCUUGUGUGAUGGCUGGUGUAUCGGCACUUUGUGUGGCCUGGGGUAGUACAGUCAGGGUUUCUGCCAAUACGAGCAUGGGAGGAUCCGCCGAUUCCGUACGAGCCCGGACUCGGCGACUGGUUUUCUUGACGACCUUCUUAUGAACCUUCUUCGAUCGGCCAGCAAUCAUGUCAACUGACGGAGUGUCGUAACCGAUAAGAGGAUAGGUGGUGUACGGAUAGCUCUCUAUUAGCCGGCCGCUGCGGCUGUGCGUUGGAGGGGCUCGAUUCUCGGCCUGAAGAAACAAUGAAAUCAUUAGGUGCUCAAUCAUGUUGGAAAGAAUAAAAUCGGUAAUCAGAAAUACCUCGGCGUUGGGAUCAAUGUUGGCCAGAUCUAGAAGGUUGCAAUAUGCCGAUGCUGAGUUGCAGAAUAGAAAUUGCUUCCAUUCGGCCCACCAAAGUUUGAACGGCUGGAUGGCAAAUGGAUAUAAUAGCCAGUCAUUCAAAUUAAUCGUACUGGAGUCCGGAAUUCGGUCUCACAGCCGACAGUAAUCCAGGCCAGUUUUAAGCACAUCUCUGAACUUGAUUCAACCAGCAAAAUACACCCGUAUCGGCAAUUGACCCAUGCCGAAUUGACGUGCGGCAGUAGACGGGUUGUAGAAUUCGUAUGUAGGGGCAUCUUUCCCCGAAAAGAAGUUGGCUGGUAAGAGUCCUGGUUUGAUCAGUUCCUCAUAAAGAUCUUCAUCAAACCGGCCAGAAGUUGAAUCGAAGCAGGAGGGGAGCUCGAAGACUGGAAUGUCUCGCUGGUAUGGGAACCAGAUAGUUGCGUCCUCAUUAAAUCCAUUAUAAAAGCACCGAAAGUACUCGGCUACCUUUGUAGCGGAAUACGCACAACCUGGAAAAGCUGACGCUGCUUCACCAUAAGACAUGCAUCGGCGACGCUCGGUAGGGUCCUCCGCCGAUUCGAUAUUGGGAAACAUCAUAUGGUCCACUGGCUGUCGGGUGAUUCUGUUCAUGUAAAGGUUCAACCAUAGAUUGACAAACCACCAAGGCCCACCUGGGUUGCCGAUUGGUUCUCCCUUGGAGAGUUUUGUGCCGAUUUGAUGGAGCAUAUGGUACACGGUACCCAGAAGAUGUUUCCCGAGAGGAAUAUGGCUUCCUCUGGACAGUGCUUCAGCUAAGGAUUGGGUGUUGGUUGUUGGGCCGGCGGCUCUUCCACAAAAGAGGUGUUUUUCCAGCCACAUCAUCAGGAAAGCUGUGUGUUCCCUGUUCUCAACAGUGCCGGUCUUUUUGUUACUACUGAUAAAGCCCUUCCAGCCGCCGAUCCCCCUUGUGUCCAGCCGAUGUGACGUUGUGGUCAAAAGGUGGAAAGGUGUGUCAGGAGAAGAUAUGUCCAGGCCGGUCAAGAGGACCACAUCGGCCAGAGUGGGAGUCAUAGGACCGUGUCCAAAUAAAAAUGCAUUAAGUGCGUCGGACCAAAAAUAGUAAGCCGCCAUCACUAACGGCUCGUUCUUCUCCAUUUGAGACAGAGAGAGGUUGAUACAUUGGCCGAUUUUAAGCUCGUCCCACGAGACGCUCCUUGACGCGGCCAUCCGUUGGUACCAUUCCCUCCAACCUGGGGUUUCAUUCGGCCAAGAUCUGAAAGUGCUUGCCCAUUGAUCUAAGUUCAUAUCGGAUCGUUUGAAGGGUAUCCGGUCGGUUUCCAAAUUUAUAAGAUCUACUGGAUCUGGGUCUCCCAUAGGGCCAAGGCAAACAAGGCCAGGACUUCCCGUGAGAUGGAUAGUAAUUCUAUGCCUUACUGCCUAAAAAAGGGAAAAAGCGUACGGGAAUGUAAGAAGUAGAUCUAAGAUAAAUAUGUUGCCGAUAGGGGAAGGAUUCGGUAUCUACCUCCGGGAUAAAGUUCUGAGUAGUCGGUGCGGUCGCCGAUGCAGGUGUAGAUGACGGGGCCGCGAUGGGGAUCGCCGUUGGGAUUUCUGAUGGAGCUCUCUCAUCUGUGGAUGAAGUGACGGUCGUCGCCACCACCACCGGAGGUGCUAUCUCUGGAGCAUUGCGUGCGGGAGAACUGCCGGAAGGAGUCGCCAUUGAAGGGGAGGGAGAAGAAGUAACAGGAGCUGGAACUAGAAGACUUCGAUGGCAAGGGAGAGUAUUGAAAGAAGAGGGAUGCGCGCGCGUUGGGAAAAGAGACGUGAGCUUGAAGAUGAGCUGCGGUGAAGCACUAUUUAUAGCGUGCCCGAAGAGAGGGUAAAAAUGGAAUUUUCACCGCGCCGGCGCUUCGAGUUUUUCGGGGUAGUGGCUGUCGUGGGCGCCGAUUUCAAAAAUUGCAAUGAUCAGCCGGGAGACCGCGAAACGGAAGGAUAUUUUCACUGCGGCCAUUUCAGAAGGGAGGUUAUAAAGAAUUUCGAAGUAAAAGACUGUGUUUUACUCCGAAACUGGGGGGCAUGUGUUGACGCCGGAUUUCGUCACCAGUAGAAUCGGCACCAAGAAGAAAAGAAGUCGAAGAAGUACAGUUGGGAAUCGGUCAAAUGGUGCUAUAAUGCGGAAUCGGCUAGCAACUUUUGCUUCGCUUCAGGGUGAAUGCACCAGAAUCCCAAUCGGCAAUCCUCUGCCGAUGAGAAAUUGGCCGAUCAGGAAGAUGGACUAGUUGGGCCUGUAUGGGCUUGGAAAGAUGGAAGGAUAGGGUGGAGGUCAGCCCACGAAGCGUGGGGUAACUAACUUGGCACGAGUUGUGCUUGUAGAUAUUUGUUUUCUAUUUGAAUUAGAGAUAGAGUUCUAGUCGGUUAAGAAGAUUAUUUGUACGGGGCUAUAAAUAGCUACCUUUGUAAAUAUGUAAACACACAAUCAAUCAAUAUACAACAAGUUACUUUCUUCUUCGUACUUACUUCCGAGCAGGCGACUUCGCCAUCACUUUUUCUUCUCACGAGUUCGUACGGGUUGGCAGGGCUGCAUCACCUUGAUCUCCGGCCGAUUCUGUAAGUUCCGUUUAUCGAGUAAUAUCUAAGCUUUAACUUCCGGCGCAUCGCUGUUGUUUCGUUUAGAUUUAUUCAUCAGUUAUCGAUAUCAACUAGAUUCAUAGGUUUUUACCUGUUUUCCUAGUUUUUAUCACCAAUUAUUCCGCUGGGAAUCGAUAGUAUCGGCUUUCUAUCGUUAGAUCCAUUCGUUGCCGAUUAGAUCUUUUCCUAGUGCUGUUAUUACAAGCUUUGUACCGAUUACUUUAGUAUUCUUCUGUCUACGAGGCUAUAGAGAUCGUGCUGUCUUGUAGCCGAUUUCAUUAUCACAGUAAAUCGGCCGAUUCGCCGAUAGACUCUCUCGAUCGGAAACUUAGCCGAUCGCAGUUUCUGAACUUGACACGUGUUCUUCCUUGCCAAUCAACAGGUCAGAUUGGCUGGCACGCCGCGCGAACCGCAUCAGGGCAUUCACCCGAACAGGAGCUAAGCAGAUUCUCCCGGGUCGUGUGUCGGACGUUGGGAUUCGGUUGACCGAUUUCUAGCGCCAACAGGUACACACCAGGUUCGAACCCUAAUAGGUGGACUCCUAAUUUUAUAUAGAUUUUUACAUACAUAUGUGUACAUUUGAUUACAUACAUCCAAUGCAACCAAAGGUUCAUUGUGUAAAAAGAAUCUAAACAAGUUUCUCUAGCUACUUGUAACUAUAUGUGGACUCAUUAAUUACAACUUUAUGUAGUUAUAACUAAAACAUAAUAAUCAAGCACAUGGAUGAUAGUCAUAUUGUAAUUACAGUGGAACAUAUUAGUAUACCUAUGUACACAUACAUUAUAAGCUUCAGUUAUGCAUAUACAUGGAUGAAGUCGAACGUGUUGAUGUAGAUGUUGCAGAAUCAGCAAGCGGUCGCGUGUAGAUGCUGCCCAAAAACAUGAUUGCCUCCCGUGCAAGAGUCUCGCGCAGGGGCGGAUCCAGAACGGGGCUGCGCCCCGGGCUGAGCUGUUGAAUCACACCUAAAAUAGUCUAAUUUUAUCUCCUAAGCCUCAUUUUGUUAGGCUAAACAGCACAUAGGUUAAAGGGACUCCAUGGUCUCACCCCGGGCUGCAGCUCGGGCAGCCCGGGCCCUGGAUCCGCCCCUGGUCUCGCGGCAGUGGUUUCGAAGAUCCCGCUUUCCUUCAAGUCCGGUGCACGUCAAAUUCAAAGGUCGACGAGGCGCAGCAGUAAGAGGUUCAGCAUAGCAAAAAUAGAGUGCGCGAGUGGAGAGACGAGCAUGUGACAGCCUGCCUUACAACCAGGAUGUCUCCUUCCCCUCGUCAAGCAGUAGAAAAUACGAGCGGGCUGCGCGUGUGUGUAACAACGAUCUUCUUCUCUCUCAUAUGCAUCUAUUUUGCAUAGAGAGGAGACUCCCAUAUUUAAUCAAAGCAACCUCUCCUUGAAUUAGCAAUAUGGGACUAAAAGUUGUGCAUGCUUUGGAAUUUUCAGAUUAGGCCACACACAUGGCUUAAAUCCAACAAAAAACCACUAUGUUCACUUUUGUUGUGCCUCAAAUGCAAUUUAUGAUCAGUGCAAAUGGAUCCCUGAGACAGAUGGUUAUUUUUCCUUUUUUUUCUUUCUUGUUUUCUCAUUCCUAAAAGUGCAAAUGGAUUUGGUUUACCAUUGCAGCUGCCAUCUUUGGCCGUUCCGAGAUGCAGGGAUCGCCAUCUUUGGCCGUUCUGAACAAUCAGCACUCGUUCAGCUUAUCGACAAGCUACAAAGGAAGUGACUUGCUAGACAGCUUAUCAUCUGAAUUCUGAAGACAAGGAUAGAUAACCCUGGUUGACGGCUGUGCAAAGACAUUACGCUUGUCAAGACAUGCAUCAUAAUGGAAUUCAGCAGAACUAGACCCAAUACUCAAAUAAUGGCAUACAUGAGGCCUUACGCUUGCGGCUCUGUUGCUGAUGAAGCCGGUACGGUUCAACGGCUGGAGACUGCACCUCCCGACUGGAGAUCAAUGUAUGAUGAUGAUCGAUGCGCUGGGCAUUUCUUUGUGGAUUGUUGGAGUACUCUGUACUCCGUAGUCUUUUAGACACAAUGCAGCUGCAAGGAGAGUCAGAAAGAAAUACGCGCGCAGAAUCUCAGCCCCAGGAGACGAUCGAGGCCGGUUGUGUUUCGCUUGUAAUCUUGUCGAUCGAAGCAAUGCGUGGUAUUGCAAUGCAACAUGUGGAGCAAGCCAGCUCUGGAGCUCCUUCAGAGUUGCUGCUACACUGGCCAGUGGCUACGCGGCCUCAGAGUUACGGUGCCGUGUCAGCUGCUGUAUUGGCUAUUUGAGACUCCUGAACCUCUAUACUACACCUGUGCUGCUGUGCAGAGGCAGUGUCUCCUCUGUCCAUGGAUUUGAUCCGUUGGGGCUUGUUGAUCAUGUCCACAUAGGUGCCACGGCAGACACGUGGGCAGCGACAGGAAUCGGCGUGGGGUCGUUGUUGCUUGUCAGGACUUGAGGACAAUCGGCGGUUGCAGAGGAUGCAAUGCAAGCAGGAAUCCUACGGACCGGUGCUCCCCGCGUCGCCGACACCAUCUCUCCCGUGGACGGAGCAAUGUGCCGUCGUGUCGCGUCCGGCGUGGCGGCGUCCCACCGGCGUUCGGUUCACGACCUGCCGUCGGCCGCCGCUUCCUUUCCACUGCCACGCUCUCUGCUCUUGUGUGCUCGUGCUCCUGCGCACACAUUUUGAGAGGCGCCAUGCCAUUCAUCUCUCCCGGAGACGGGGCUCCACGACAAGGCGUGUCCACAGUGCCUUCGCAGAUGCAGACAUGCAAGUACGGGUGCCCUAGAUGGCCGUGCCCUGUCCCGCUGUCCGACGACUGGCUUCACGGCACGGGCCGCGGGGCCCACAGCUACAGGGCUUUGUCCCAUCCGUUGGCGGCGCGUGCGCCCCAGUCAACGUGGGACUCUGAUCUGGGAGGCAGCAGCUGGGUUAACUUGUUAAUUACCACCACUGCUAAUCGCGUCUCGCGGCAACCAUGAGGCCUGCUCAAUGGGCGCAAUUUGCAGCCGCCAGGUUCACGCGCUGGGCAGUCGCGUGUUAGGGUGCGGAGCUGAAUCCGGCCCAACCCACUCUACUCACACACAAGCCGGCACCCCAUCAGGACUAAAUCUAUUGGAGCCUAUAAUGAUAAGAUCUUACACCUAACUUAACCCAAAAGGUGUAACUUAACCUAAAAGAUUAGUGUAAUUCUAAGAGCAAUUUCAAGAAUUUUUAAAAAGUUCUUCCCCAAAACGAUGUAUCGAGAUCUAUUUUAAAAUUUUUCUUUCCCAAAAAAUAUAUCAACCCACACCAGAAGACGCCAAUAGCUACCACUAAUAUUUUAAAACACGUCACGUCAUCAUAAUUGGACCCAUUAGUUAGGCUGCCCACUUCCCCAGGACACCUCAUCCUCGUGAGACCUCCCUCCCCCUCGUGAGACCUCUAGCGCAGUGCUUUUUUGUUCUUUAGCCCUUUCCGCGAAAGAUUCUCACAAAUACGCCCCUGGCGGAACCAAUUCCAAAAAUGGACCCUUAGCUUGGCGCCAUCCACGCUGGCGCCAACUUUACACGUCUCGGCGCCAGCCAUCCUAGCGCCAAGGUCCAUGCGCAGCUGCUAACGCGGAUGCCAACGUGGCGGGGGCUUGGCGCCAUCAUGGAUGGCGCCAAGCUUGGCGCCGUAGGCCUUGGCGCCGAGCAAUUUACCCCGUGCCUCCUGGCGUUUCGAACGAAACAAGUAUAAUUAUUCCGAGGAGUGUGCAACAAACUACGCUCUAGUUCAACUGGUUAGGAUGUGAGCUUCUUAUUCCAAAGAUCAGAGUUCAAACCCUGCCCACGGUACAGGUGAGUACUCCCGGAACUAGCAUACCUUUUUUUUUGUCCCGAACCGGUACAGGUGAGUACUCCCGGAACUAGCAUACCUUUUUUUUUGAACUCUGAUCUUUGGAAUAAGAAGCCCAUGUCCUAACCAGUUGAACUAGAGCGUAGUUUGUUGCACACUUCUCGGAAUAAUUAUACUUGUUUCGUUCGAAACGCCAGGAGGCACGCGGUAAAUUGCUCGGUGCCAAGACCUACGGCGCCAAGGCUUGGCGCCGUGAUGGAUGGCGCCAAGCCCCCGCCACGUCGGCAUCCGCGUCAGCGGCUGCGCAUGGACCUUGACGCCAAGAUGGCUGGUACCGAGACGUGUAAGCUUGGCGCUAGCGUGGAUGGCGGGGUCCAUUUUUGGAAUUGGUUCCACUAGAGACGUAUUUGUGAGAAUCUAAAAAAAGCUAAAAAACAAAAAAGUCGGCCUCUAGCGCCGCUAGCAGGACCUGCGCAUGGAGGAUUUUGCCACCACCCCUGCCAUGAGAUGCACCCAGUUGUGCAUCCCAACGAGCCAACGAGCUGGUCCCUCUUCCUCUUCAGGUGCGCCGAUCCAGCGCUUGGUCCUUGGUCGGCGACAGGACGAACCUGUCCUUCGUUGAGCCCAAGUGCUGGCUGGCAUCGCCGCUGCUCUCGACCACCUUGUGGUCCUCCAGUGGUAUAUCAAAGGUCUGAUCGACGAGCUCAAGGUACUUACGAUACAUUAGUUUGACGGCCAUGGCGGCGGCGGGGUCGAAUCCGAUAGCCUCGGCAACAGCGCCCAUAGGACGCGACGACGGCGAACCCGCUGCAAGCGCGAACGGCGAGGAAUAGGCGGAGAAGCUUCACCUUGUGGCCGCCCUCGAGCGGCGGCGGCGGGAUCGUGAAGCACGAGGCCGCCUUCGGGUCCCAUGCAUCGGUGAGGAAGGCCGCGAGCACGGCGUCGAACAAAGUGGACGCGCGCACGGCCGUGAACUCGGCCUCCGGGAUCUCUAGCUUGGAGAAGACGAUGAUGAUCUCAUCUGCCUCGUUAGUGGAUCUAGCAGAUGCUAUGUCAGGCACCGAGAAAGAUGCCUUUGUAGUUGUUGCUUCAGUUUGCCUUGGGACUACCAACAAUACAGUCCAUUUGGUACUCAACAAUAUAGUUUGCCGAGUGUACCCCCUAGCACUCGGCAAACUAUAGGGUUUGCCGAGUGUCCCAUCAAGACACUCGGCAAACUAGUGCCUUUGCCGAGUGCCCUAUGUUGACACUCGGCAAACACUAACGGCCGUCACGGAGGGGCGCCGCCGGCGGCACGGGGAAGUCACGUGGGCGUAAUUUUUCCGAGUGUCAAAGUUUGCCGAGUGCCUGUUGGGUGUUUGCCGAGUGUUUUUUGGGUGGCACUCGGCAAACCGGUAUUUCGCCGAGUGUUUUAUUUUUGCCGUGUGUUUUUUACGUUACACUCGGCAAAACGACUCUUCGCCGAGUGCCCGAAAAAAAGCACUCGGCGAAGUAAUUACACUCGGCGAAGAUAAGCUUUCCCGUAGUGAACGAAAUUUGCUUGAAAGACAAAAGGUUGGCUUCCUAUCUAAACUUCAUGCAAUUGAUUAUGCAUCUUCUUCAUUGGUUGCAAUAUUAUAUCACUCUCCCUAUAGCUGUUGCAUCGCAUUCCUCCUCCGAGUUCUAACUACCAACGGAUAGGGGCAUAGUACAAAAUUUGUUGAAACAUAGAUGAAGAAUAAGUUUGUAAUGGUUACUAGGGUUCUUGUCAAUCGGGAUAGAAGUAUGAGUUCAUUGUUUAAAUCUUAGCUUAAUCAUAAAUAAAAAAAAUUGAUUUUUUCUCCCAUGUGCACCCACAAAUUCUUUGGAGGCUUAUUUACACAGUACCAUUAAUUUUUUUAUAAGGAAACAUGCUCAUUAAUAUCAUGAUUUAUUAUUUUUUAAAUGAUAGAUAUUCCACUUAUAUAUAGUUUUUGUUUGAUGGCCGUGCAGGAGUCAGCGAAGGGCUACGAGUUUGCGCUGAUGCACGUGAUGAAAUAAAAAAAGUUGUUGACAUCCACUAUUAUACUUUGCAAGGAACUUAGGAAAACAUUGACAUCCAAUCUUGAAAAACCCUUCUAUGGAGAAUGUAUAUGAGCAUAUGAUUAACAGCAAUCAUCAGGAUGGGGAGGUGGUCAAAGAAAAUAAUACUCGACCAUAUGAUUAACGGCAAUCAUACGAACAAUGAACAAUAAGAUGUUUUCUUAUUGAGAGUUUUAUUAGAGUUUUAUUUUGGGAAAAGUUAUACAUUGCUCGGGUGAUUCAGAGCUCCCGUCACCUGAAUUUUACACCAUCCGAUCUGACGAUUUGUUUUUUCUCUCCGUCUGAUCAAAUUAAAGCUGGGCUUCUUUUAUUGCGGUACAACUUGCCUCUCUCCUCCGCCCUGUGCUUAUUGCGGUACAGCUUGCCUCUCUCCUGCCUGCCUUGUUCGGUAUAGCAUGCUGCGGCUGCGGCUGUGCAGCCAGGCUACAGCUUUUGCAGCCAGUUGUAUCCAGCUACCAGCAGCUUUCUUGGCACUGUUUGGGCUACAGCAGAAACAUGAAGCAGCUACGGUUAGGAUUUCAUUUACAUUAGGAUUCUUAAUGAUUUUGUUACUGUAAUUUCAAUUUGUUUAUUGUGUAAUUUUAAAUCUGUGUAAAUUUGCAUGUUGUGUUUGCAUCUUUAGGGUUUCCACUAACCUAAAAUUAUUUGUUCUUUGGUUAACCAUAGAAAAAAAUAUGUUCAACUAUUUAUUUUGCUCUUCCUUGUUUAUAUAAUAUUUUUUUAAUCAUCUGAUCAGAAUAUUAGAGUCAUAACUUUCAGGUGGCAGAUCUAUUUGCAUCACCUGAAUUUUUUUCCAGUUCAAAACUGGGUGUUAUUCCCCUGCAAAUCACCCGGGUGAUUGCAGUCAAAAUAACACCCGAGUGACCAGUAGACAGCCCUUUUAUUUUUAAUAAAUAUUUGAAUUUGGAUUGUUAGUUAUAUGUUAUUUCACUUUCAAUUUCGGUAAUAUAGUAACUAUUUAUUAUUAUAUUAUACAUGAUCUUGUAUGCCAUCCUUUUUUUAUCACCUGCGGCACGCGUCCACUAGUUUAUUAUUAAAAAACAACUAAUUAUUAUCACCGCUGCUGAUCCUUGGGCUCAAUUUUUUGGCGAAGCGUAACUGAGAGCUAUUACGCGUUGAGAUUGUUCUUGCGUAGCGUGCGCUCUUCAGAGAGUAUCUUGGCGAAGCGUGCUAGCGCUUCUUCGUUUGUGCCCUCACCAUCAACGGUCUCGUAGAUCCCUGUCUCGAUGUUCACUCUCGUCACCGGUUUCUUGAGCAGGACCUUGCCGAUCCCUAUCAGGGUCUCCAUGUUCUCCUUGGUCGCGAUGUCCACUGAUGACGUGUUCCCCUUCAACGAGUCAUCCUACACAAAUAUAAUGCAUAUCAUUGUCGACGACAAACUAGAUCUGUGGAGCUAUCAAGAACAACUUGAGCUUUAUCAGUAAAUAUACCUGGAUGCGAAGGUAGCUCAUCUCAGAGUGGAAGGCCUCAAAGAGCACGGCUGCAUGGAUGUCGACCAUGCCAGAGCUGGCAUGGGAGAGCAUGUCGAUGAUCGGGGUGAAGCCGCCAUUGUAGAGCCACUGGACGGGACCCCAUUUAGCACACUGAUGUGCGGUGUACUUCUCCGACUGCUUCGCCGACCCGGUCCCGAUAGAGAUGAUGAGGUAGUCCCGGUAAUCGACGGAGUCCCUGUUCAAAUGGAAGUCCGAAUUGCGACGGAGCACCUCCUUGGUGAGCAUGGACAUGGCCAACAUGGUGGGGUUGUUGGCCGCCAUGCCGCCGUCGACGAGGUGGAACUCCCGAGACUUGCCGUUGGGAGCCUCGGUCUUGAAGAAGUGGGCCGGGAAGUAGGUUGGAGCUGCUGAUGCGCUGAUGCAGAUGUCGGAGAGGAGCGCGUUCUUGAGGGGCUCGUUCUUGGCCUCGUAGGUGCUGAAGAUGACCGGCUGUAGGUACUUGACGUCGAACGCCGGCACGAUGACGUUGGUCACCGUGUCCGCGAUCCUAACGUCGUGGGUGAGGUUCUUGAUCUUGUCGUGAAGGAACACGCCGUCGUACUUGGGACCCCUCAUCGUGGACAUCAGGUCCAUCGCCGUAGACAGCCAUCCUGCCCUGCAGAAUCAACAUCGAUUUCAGUUCCCGAAUCUCUUAGAAUGGGUGCGGCGCAGGAGGGGGCCAGGGGACGGGCGGAAGAAGAAAGGAGCAGGGAGAAGAUGCGGCGGCGCUCGGGAGGAACGAGCAACAGCUGGAGGAGGGAAAAGGGUAGGGGCAGUAUUGAUUAGGAGUUACAUUUAUUGCUCUUUAGUCCCUACAACUAAACAGGCGGGACUAAACUUUAGUAUUCAAGUUUUAGUUUCUAAAAUAAGCGAGGGCAAACUAAACAGACCCUAAAUCGCUUCAGAUUCUUACUGGAUUGAGAACUUCAAAAUGGCUGCUUACUUUCUCUGUGGGAAGAUCUUGGGGCAGUUCUCGAGGUAGAAGGUGGUGAGAUCCUUGGCAGCGAACAGCGGCCGCUUGUUCUCGUUCGGCGCCGCCAGCAUCAUCGUGAGCAGGGCGCCGGUGCUCGUCCCGGCGAUCACGUCGAAGUAGUCGGCGAUCCGAGCGUCCGGGCCGUCCAGCUCCUGAAAUUGUUCACAUCACGUGCAACCAGUCUUACUAUAUUGAUCAUGUGCAGAAUGGAUUUCGAACGAAUUAAAAUACUGGAAUGUGCUGAUGAUGUGCAAGUAGUCAAUGUAUGUGCUUCUUGGGUUUCUGCACCGGCAGCUUAGUACCUGGAGCUUGGCCUCGAGGCAGGCGAUGAUGGUCGCCGGGAUGAGACCACGGAUGCCGCCGCCGUCGAUGCUCAGAAUCGUGAUGAGCUUCCCCUUUGACGGCGGUGGCUGUGGCACCGUUGUCGAGGUGGCACCGUUGCUAGCCAUGGCGAGAUUGUAUGAGAUCAAGAAGAGAAUCUAAGGAGAGAUUAUCACUUCUACGAAUUUAUGAUGCAAUUAAUGCAUUAUUUAUUUAUUUAUGCACCUAAAGCAUUUUCAUUGUAUAGAAGUGCCCCGUCCAAACCAUAUUUCUUCGAUGGGACCUAUAAGAAUUUGAUGUCAUAUGUUAUAUUGGUACCAAUGUAUAGAACUAAGGGUUGAAUUCAGAGGCAAUUCCUCACGUACCAUUAAAAAGUUUGCAAUUUCAUAUCUACCACCGAAGAACUUGAUGUGUACCAUUGGUUCAACUUUUUUUUGACCUCAGUGCCAUUGACGUCUAAUUUGGGAGGACUGAGAGGUAGCAUCGAGCGGAAAAUGCCUAUUUUACCCUCUUGUUACUGUUUCCCCUUUCUCUGCCGGACCGCCCCAUCCAAGCGUGCGGCUCCUCGCUGCACCCUCGCAUCGUCCACGGCGUGCAGCGCCACAGCCCACCCUCUUGCUGCCCCUUCACAUCGUCCACACCGCGCGUCCACGUAGCCUGUCCUCUUGCUAAGCCCCCGCGUGGGCCGUCCGUGGCGCUCCGUCCAUCCCCUUGCUCCGCGACAGGUCGUGCAUCAUUGGGAUGGCAUCCGCCAUGUGCCGGAAGUCCUGGGACCAAGGCCAUCGAUCUUGUUCACUCUGAAGCCAAGAAUGGUGCGCUGAACACACACUGCCGGUUCUAUGUCAAGGCCGAGGAUGGCGUUUGCGAUCGAGGCCAAGAAGUUCGAGAGUGGUCAUCGGGUGCGCCGUCCUGGGAGCAUGGACAGCAUCUGCUGUGAACCACCACGCCGGCCACCUGACGAGCUUCAUGUUGCCCUUGCGUAGGAAGGACUCGUACUGGAGUGAGAAGGGGCUAGGAGCCCAGAACCAAGCGGCAACACCCCGCGAGGCUAGGCCAGCGUACACCCUCCGUGCUGCCACGGUUCGUUGCCACGGUUCGCUGGACAAUUUGGGUUAAUGAAAUCACGUGAAAGAGAAGAGGGAGGCAAAAACCAAAACGAAAAAGAAAAGAAAAUGGAUGGGACCGUCCUGUAAGCAGGGUAUUGAAGUUAUUUCUACAAAUAACUGGCAUCUAACGGAGACUUCAACACCAAAACUAGACGGUAAUAUGGCACUGAGGUCAAAAAAAAAGUUGAACCGAUAGUACGAGAGGCGCAUAAAGUUUUUCAGUGGUAGAUAUGGAAUUGCAGACUUUUUUAAUGGUCUGUGAGGAAUUGCCUCUUAAAUCUACAAACACAACCCACACCCCUCACUCCACUCUUUCUCUCUCAUCCUCCAUAUUUUAUUGCUUAAAACGCAGUUCCAUAGAAACCAGGAUACAUAGCUGCAUUUAUUGCAUAGAACCAGCUAGGAUACACCCAUUGGAGAGGCCCUACGUUGCACAUUAUCCUAUCACGCAAAUAGAAAUCUGAAUUGAUUCAACAUGUAACCAUCAUUUGUAGGGGAUUUUAGCUAGACCGGAUCAUUAAGUUUUCAAUAAAAUUUAUGGAAUCAUCAAUUGGUGGAGAGUUAACUUGCCCUUAUAUUACCUGAUUCUUGUAAGAAAAUGCAAAAAAAAGGAACCAGGCUCGUGCAAAUUAAGCAAAUAUUUGAGCAAACUUAUAUUAAGUAGAGGAUGCUUAAGAUCAUUAAAACAAUCUUAUAGUUCAUUCAGUUCAGAAAACUAGCAUUUGUGUACCUAGAAUAUUCGUGAAGAGUUUGUGUGGGCAGUGCCCAGAAUCUUUUCACAACCUGAAAGUCAUAAUACAUAAGAUAUCAUCACAAAAAGAUUAAUCCCACUGAUUGUUGUCAUACCUGGUAUAAUGAAGACCUUGGAUCAUUUCUGGGCUCAUUAACAUCUGGAGGAACCUUUUGAACCAUGGUUUCUGUCUUAUUCAGCUUAAGAAUUAUGUCAGCGAUAGUAGGUCUCUUAGAUGGAUCAUAUUCUGCACAAAUUUGUGCUAUUUCAAUGCAUAUCUUCAUUUGUUGGCACUCUACAUGUAAUGAUUCAUGCCACUGGAAAAUUCAAUAUGUUGUAAGGAAGACAGCAUGUAUAUAUUAAAGAAAUAAAAAGUAACACUCAAUAUAUGUCACUACAGAUGUUUGAUGGCUCUUAAAGAUUAAUUUUUUUACAUGAUUAAUAAAUAACUUAAUGGUAAUACUAUGGUAAUACUAUUUCCAUUUAAAGAAUUGCCACCUUAGAAUGUGCAACCAAACUGUAUUAACUUAAUGGUAAUUUUUUUUUGUAUGGAGCAGUAUUAGAAGUUCAGAAUGAUGGUAAAUUUGAGAUAAAAGAUACUUCCCCAUGUAUAGUUGCACAAGUCAGAAUGACCAUUUGACCAACAUCUUCUAACUUUGGCCGGCACAUCAUUUGCUACCUGUCCAAUCUAUGCAAGAUAAGACUAGCUGUUGUUCAAUCUUUAAGACCCUCAUUCCUCUGUAGUCAGUAUUGGGUUAUGGCUAGAAAGCCCCUCUUCACUUUUCUCAACUACAAAACUUGGUUUGCUACUGUUUCUGAACUUUUAGGUGCUGUGAUCUGAGGUCUAAUAUUACUGUGGGGUCUAGUCUUCUCCAUAUGAGGCCUGAAGUUUGCUACAUAGCACAGACUAAUUUUUUCUUUCACAAGAGGAAGAUAGUUCAGUAUGUAAAAAUCACUUCCUCAGGGUUUAUAGUUUUUUUUUUGAAAGAAACAGGAGGGGCUAGCCCUACUGAAAUAUAUUAACAAAAAGGGUCUGAAAAGGUUACAGAGCAAAAAAACACCAAAACAAAAAAACAAGAGAAAAGUAAAAGAACAAAGAACAAAGAGGAGGUUCAGAGGGAGUGGAUCCAAUCUAAGCAUUCCUGACUUAAAACAGGGGUCAUCCUAUGCGAAGCCACCAACGAGAGCUCAGAAAAAAAUUUAGAUCGAGUUCCUGAAGUCAAAGGAUCCACACUAUUAAAAGUCCAGUCGUUCCUUGUAGUCCAAAUACUCCAAGACAUGAGGAUGAUGACUUCCAUGAAGAAGGAGGUGUUCAAAUGGCUUCUAAUCUGAUUGAAGAUAUGAACAGACGAUCUUAUGGAGACAAAGGAAAUCCCAAUCGAAUUCCAGCAGGCUUUUGCAAAAUUGCAUCUUAUAAAUAGAUGUGUUACCGUCUCCCUUUUUUGGCGGAUACACAUUUCGCAGACGUUAGAGUCCAAAUGCAUCCCCCUUCUUUGUAGGACAUCUUUUGUGUUUAGCCUGUCUAUAAGCAGAAGCCAGAAAAAGACUUUGUGUUUUUUCUGACAUUUCGAUUUCCACAGCCAGCGAUGUAUUGGGUGUGUUUCCCUUUGUCCUGUUAAUGCCUUGUAUGCUUUACUGACCGAGAAGGUUGAGGAUUCACAGAUAUAAGACCAAGUAUCAGAAUCAUUCUGUGAGACUAUAUUGUGCAUAAAAUCCUGAAGCAUAAGGAAUUCCGAAUGAGCUUCUGUGGAUAAAAAUAAGUGAAACAGCAAACCGAGAUCUGUCGUGUUUAUUGCUUUGUGAUACGAUAUAUUUUUGUUCCGAGCAAAGGAAAAGAGGUGGGGAAGCUCAGUUUGUAGGAAGUGGUCAUUCCACGAGUCUUGCCAGAGCAGAACAGUGCUUCCAUCCGCAAUCCGAGCAGAUGCAAAACCCUUGAAUUUAUGUAGCAACUUGACGAUAUCCUUCCACCAGAAGGAACCCUUCUUCUGAACACCCGGAAGAGUACCAUUGUUGUACAAUUUGUCCCAUAUCAAGUGUACCCAAGGCAAAUCAACUUUGGAGAAAAAUUUGUGUAAGAACUUUAAUAACAGAGCCUCAUUCUGUGUAAUUAUGUUGAGCACCCCUAAUCCCCCUUGACAUUUGGGUAAGCAAACUAAGGGCCAAGAAGCUUUGGACGGUUUGGUAGAUGUUAGAUCUGAGCCUCUCCAGAGGCAGUGUUUGCGGAAUUUGUCAAUCUGAUGGAUAACCCCUUUAGGUAGUUUCAAAGUGGCCAUCUGAAACAUAGCUGAUGAUGUUAACACAGAGUUCACCAACUGUAAUUUUCCUCCUUGUGAAAGCAUAGAUGAUAUUCCACCUAAUUUCCCUUCUAUUCUUUUGAUCAAAGGGAGAAAGUCUUGCAUAUUAGGUUUACGUAAUCCCAGAGGUAAACCCAGUUAGGUGAAAGGAAAAGCACCUGUUUGAUAAUUUAGGAUACCAGCCAGAAGAUCAAGCUUGUCCUGCUGAGUGUUUAUGGGGACCAUCAUGGAUUUGUUGUAGUUAACUUUUGUAUGUAGGACUGUAAAUUACAGAGAUGUGUUAUGGUGGGCAUCCCCUACAGGGGGCGUAGGCAGCAGCAGCAGGCCCAGGCGCCUGAAGGGGAUGAGCCCAGUUAGAGUUGGAUUAGGAUAAGAAAGAGAUAGAGUUGGUUCAGGCCUUUCUUGGCCAAGGAGUAAUCAGUUAGGAUUCUCUUUUUAGGGGUGAUAUAUAAACCCAAUUGUACUAGGGAUUAAUCAAGCAAUCAUAUCAGAAAGAUAUCGUUGCCCAGCUUCCCACGUUUUCCUCGUCUCCCUGCUCGACGCCGUGCGAACAGCACAGCGCCUCCCCGUCGCCCUUCCUUCAAGCCUUGACCCCCUGCUUCCCACCAGUACUUCCUAUGCAACAGGCAGCGCUCUACCAAUCUGGUACCAGGGGUGCCGGGCGCUGAGUCCCCUGAUCCGGAUGCCGUCACCGCUGGUUCCACCAGCGCCCAACCAGAGGGCAGCCACUCCAUCUUGCUCACCAUCCAAUGUCAAUCGGUGGACAUCUCCAAGCAGCUCGCCGCUCAGCACCUUUGCAUCGCUGAGGUGGAGAAAUGCCCUAUGGAUUCUGCUGCCAACACACCUUGGAGGAGGAUAAAGUCUGGCUGGCGUCGUAUCACAUGACGGGGAUGGCCUAGACUUGGUACUUCAUGCUGGAAUGCAACUCUGGGCCUCUGUCGUGGUUUGAUUUCAAGAUGUUGUGCAAUCAAUGCUUCGGUCCACCUCUCUGGAGUAAUCCCUUGGGCGAGCUGGCGUGGCUGCAGUUCCGUUCCACGAUGGCCGAGUACCAGGAGCGUUUCCUCGCUCUUCUGUGCCAUGCUGAUCGCUUGGCGCCUCGUCAACAGGUGCAGCUCUUCACGGCUGGCUUCCCAGAGCGGAUUCACAUCGAUGUUGAGCUCUAGGACCCCGACGACCUGCAGGCAGCCAUGUCUUUGGUGCGGGCUUAUAAGCACUGUUCCCUCGCACCGGAGGAUUCUACUCCCAGCCGGCCACCUCGCUCAUCAGCCUGGCCAUCCUUCCCUGCUCCAGCAGCACCGCGCGGUGCUCCUCCGACAUCUAUAGCAACAGCGCCAGCUCCCCCACUACCGGGCGCCGCUGCCCUAUCACGCCUGUUCCAUCGGCUGUCCCUGGUCAAGCUCCAGGAUCACCGCAAGCAGGACCUCUAUUAUAAUUGUGACGAGCAGUAUGUCCUGCAGCCACCACUGCUAGCGCCUCUUCUACAUUAAGGUUGCAGACUACGAUGACGAGGAGUCCCCUGACCACAACAUGGAUGAAGCCACGCCAAUCAUCUCCCUCCAUGUGUUUACUGGCAUCCGAACUGAGGAUACGAUGCAGUUCAACAUCCAGUACAAGGGCGUGGUCUUCUCGACUCUGAAUCCACCCACAACUUUGUCAACAGUGCUACCACCUAUCACCUGGGCAUGCCCAUCUACCCGUGUAUGGGUCUGCAUGUCGGCGUGGCCAACGGCGACAAGAUUGCCUGUGAAGGCCGUGCCCUGGACGUUCCUAUCACCAUCAGCAUGGAGGCGUUUUCCAUCAGCUGCUAUGCCAUUCCCUUGGGCUCCUUCGGUAUGAUUCUGGGGGUAGAAUACCUCAGUUCUUUGGGCCUGAUUUUGUGGGAUUUCGAUGAUCUGUGUAUGGCUUUCUAGCCUGGUGACCGUCGGGUAUUUUGGAAGGGAAUUGGAUCUGCCCGAGAUGAUAUUUAGGAGCCCGCAGUGCGCGCCGUUAGUGGUGUGGGUGCUGAUUUAAUGGAUCGAUUGCUGCUGGAAUCUGAAGAUGUGUUUCAGGACCCGUCUGGUCUGCCUCCAUCACGCGCCUGUGAUCAUCAUAUCCACUUAUUGCCUGGCACAGCUCCGGUGGUAGUCUGGCCUUAUCGAUACCCACAGUUUCAGAAGGAUGAGCUCGAGUGGCAGUGUCAGAUGAUGUUGGAACAAGGCAUUAUCCGCCCAAGCACCUCAGCAUUUUCAGCACUUGUAUUGCUUGUGAAGAAGGCCGAUGGCGCUUUUGUGUAGAUUAUCGAGCUCUCAACUCCAUAACUGUCAAGGACAAGUUUCCUAUUCCGGUGGUGGAUGAGUUAUUGGAUGAACUACGAGGUGCCCGUUUCUUCACCAAGCUGGACCUCCGUUCAGGCUAUCAUCAGGUCCGUGUCCACCCGGACAACAUUGAGAAGACGGCGUUCCGCACACACCAUGGUCACUUCGAAUUCUUGGUGAUGCCGUUUGGUUUGACCAAUGCACCGGCGACCUUCCAGAGUCUCAUGAAUGAGGUGCUUCGACCGUUUCUCCGCUAUUUUGUUCUUUGUUCUUUGAUGACAUUUUAACCUCCAUUAACACUUGGGCGGAGCAUUUGCAACAUGUGCAUGCUGUCCUUGCCACGCUCCGUGCCAAUUCACUGUUUGCAAAGCGCUCCAAGUGCUCAUUUGGAGCACAGUCCGUCGCCUACCUUGGCCAUGUCAUCUCGGGGGAUGGUGUGGCUAUGGAUGCGGACAAGGUGGCUGCUGUGACUACUUGGCCGACCCCACGGUCAGCCUGCAGCCUCCGCCGUUUCCUCGGCCUCACAGGAUAUUAUGGCAAAUUCAUCAAGGAUUUUGGGAUCAUUGCCGAGCCAUUGACUAAGCUCCUGCGCAAUGAGGGUUUUCUAUGGUCCACUGAGGCUAAAACAGCCAUGUCCGCAUUGAAGAAGGCGCUGUUCACAGCUCCUGUUUUGCAGCUACCCACAUUUGACAAGGAAUUCCUAGUGGAUUGUGAUGCUUCAGGGUCCAGGUUUGGUGCUGUUUUGCACCAGGGAGCUCGUCCUAUUGCGUUUUUCAGCCGGCCAUUUGCUGCUCGACACUUGAAAAUUGCGGCAUAUGAGCGAGAAUUGAUUGGGUUAGUCCAAGCUGUGCGUCAUUGGCGGCCUUAUCUUUGGGGCUGCCGCUUCAUCAUCCGCACUGACCAUUACAGUCUCAAGUACAUGUUGGAUCAGCGUCUCUCUACUAUCCCUCAGCACCAAUGGAUCAGCAAGCUGUUUGGUUAUGAUUUUGCCGUCGAGUACCGCUCGGGCUGUCUGAAUAUAGUGGCUGAUGCAUUGUCACGCCGUGAUACCCCAGAGGGUAGUAGUACAGGCAAUUUCUGGUCUAUCCUUUCAGCUAUUGGACGACAUCAAGCAUGACACGGACAAAAUAGAUGCGCUGCGUACAGCCCAAGAGGACAUUCUGGCUGGCCGGCUAGGUGAUCCUUGGAGUGUCCAAGAUGGCCUGGUUCUCUAUGGUGGCCGCAUAUUUCUUCCUGAAGUGUCGGAGCAUGCUUGCAUGGUGCUCCAUCUGGCGCACACGGUCGGUCAUGAAGGGGUUCAGAAGACUCUCCAGUGGCUGUGCGCUGAUUUCGGUAUUCCCCAUGAUCUCCGCUUAGUCUGGGAGUUCGUUCGGUCUUCGGUGCAUCACCGGUGAUUGCCCUCGGGCGUGGGUUGCUUGGCUUGGCUGCCUUGGGCCGAGUAUUGCUACAACACAUCCUUCCAUUCAGCCCUCCGGACGUCCCCGUUCCAUGUGGUUUACGGUCGCCCACCUCCGGCCAUGGUACCAUAUUCGCCAGGUACAGCAGCACUACCUGAGGUGGAGGAAUUGCUAAGGGAACACGACAUAUUCCUCAUUGAAGUUCAAGAUCGCUUGCUGCAAGCACAUGAAUACUCCAAGCGCUACUACAAUGACCAUCACAGGGAGUUGGAGUUUGCUGUUGGGGACUGGAUGUGGCUGCGUCUUCUUCACCGCCAAGCCCUGUCCUUGGUUGAUCGUCCAAAGGGAAAGUUGGGGCCCUAAUAUGCAGGGCCGUUUCAGAUUCUGGAGUGCAUUGGCGAGGUUGCCUAUCGGCUGCACCUUCCUGCUGGUGCCCAGAUUCAUGAUGUGUUCCAUGUGGAGCCUCCUCAAGUGAUUCCAUGGUGAUCCACCGGUACAAACUCCUCCACUUCCUGCGUUGGAGAAUGGCCGUUUCCUUCCCCUGCUGACCAAGGUACUAUAGGCUAGGGUUCGGCACGGCAUUUAGGAUGUUCGUGUUCAGUGGGCUGGCAUGAAUGAGAGUCAAGCUGGGAACCGUUGACACAAUUCAAGCAGUCCUACCCGGAGUUUCAGCUCGAGGACGAGUUGUUUGCCAAGGCGGGGAGAGAUGUUAUGGUGGGCAUCCCCUACAGGAGGCGCAUGCAGCAGCAGCAAGCCCAGGCGCCUGAAGUGGAUGAGCCCAGUUAGAGUUGGAUUAGGAUAAGAAAGAGAUAGAGUUAGUUCAGGCCUUGCUUGGCCAAGGAGUAAUCAGUUAGGAUUUUCCUUUUAGGGGUGAUAUAUAAACCCAAUUAUACUAGGGAUUAAUCAAGCAAUCAUAUCAGAAAGAUAUCGUUGCCCAGCUUCCCACGUUUUCCUCAUCUCCCUGCUCGACGUUGUGUGAACAGCACGGCGCCUCCCCGUCGCCCUUCCUUCAAGCCUCGACCCCCUGUUUCCCACCGGUACUUCCUACGCAACAGGCAGCGCUCUGCCAGAUGCCUGUUUACCAGUGUUCAUUUUGUCAGAUUAGUAUUGCUCGAGUUCACCUUCUUUUGGUGGCUCUUUCCUGGGAACAAUACUUAAGCUAGAGGCAAUCUGAACUAGAGGCAAACCGUGAAAGAUAAGCCUUUUUUGUCUCUCUGGUCAUACACAAGUUGGCAAAACACUGACUAAUAUUAUGCAAGGAAUCCAAACAAGAGGAGAUGGAUCAGCAUAUUGGGGCAUGGCAAUUGUUCCCUGUCUUUCAGGUUCCUUUGUGAACUUUUGAAGCAAAGCCUUUGGGUGUAAGUAUAUCAAUCGGUAAGGCAUAAGUCAAAAAGUAUUAAAAAGGCAGGAAAAUUAUUCUCACAUUUUCAGCAAUACUCUCGUUACUCCCUAUCAACAGCCUUGUCAUGAUAAUGCCCAAACUGAAUAUAUCUGACUUGAAAGAUAUUUUUUGUUUAUCUAUGAAUUCUGGUGCGAUAUAUCCUCUGCAGGAAAUAAAAUGGUUUGAAGCAUUACGGUGUAAAAUUCACAGAUUUGGUUUCAAGAAAGACAAUGAGGUCUCGAUAAGAUGAGCUUACGGUGUUCCACGCAAGUUGGUAGUGAAUAUUGUGGACUGGUUUUCAUCAAUGCACCUUGACAGACCAAAAUCUGUAAUUUUUGGCUCCAUGUGAGCACCCAGCAACACAUUUGCAGGUUUGAGAUCCAAAUGAUUAAUGCGUCUUUGGUGCAGAUAAUGCAAACCCUGACAAAUUCCCUUAAUUAUUUUAUAACGAAUACUCCAUUCAUAUCCACCAAUGCUUUCUGUACAAGUGAACAAAGGAGCACUCAAAUUAUUAACGUGCCAUUGUUCAUAGUGAAUUUUCACAAACAAAAGGAGCAAACCGUAAAUGAAACUUUCAUAUUCAAAAUAUUUGGAUUACAAACACUAUACACUUCUCACAGUGGAUGUUAAGAGCAUUGAACUCUGGGAGUUGUUGAAACUUAUUAUCCCCAGUAUAUUAUCUGAGUGGAGCACAUGCCUCAAAAUUUUUAAAACUAUUCCAAAGGGCUGGAAUUAAUACACGGCAGUAACUAGUGCAAAUUUCUAGGCAUGAUAAAGUUUUUGAAAGUUAGCCACUUCUCACUUCUCACACAAUCAGGUGAAUGGAUAACUGAUAUCAUGAGGUACUUGUUUUGUGAGUUGACAUGGUGAAUAUAAUAUUGCAAAUUUAUACCUUGAAGAUAAUGGUGAAGACUUCCAUUUGGUACAUACUCAAAGCAGAGUAAUCUUUGCUGCACCUCAACAAUCCUCUGUUUACCAUCUACUUCCAUCAGAUAUCCUUGUGUAUCUGCACAGUAGCCUAUAUAUUUUACAAUAUUUUUGUGCUUUACCCUCUUUAAACAAGCAACUUCGUCCAAAAAUUGCUUAUCAGUAAAACUUUCUGAUAUGGAAAGCUUCUUCACAGCAACCAUCCCGCUUCGAAGACCUCCCUGUUUAACAUAACAUGCAAGGCAAGUAUACCACUGUUAACCUCCCUGUUUAACAUAACAUGCAAGGCAAACAAGAUCCAAUAGCAUACCAGGUAAACCACUCCAAACCCACCAUCACCGAUAACCUGAGCAAAGUUUUUUGUAACUGAUUUUAUUACCGCAUAUGGUAUCGUGAUGGGUUCUGCAUUCACAUCGCUAAGUAUGCGCUCUAGGUCUUCAACUCCACUUUCUUGAUCACCCAUUUCUGUAAGUCACAAAAUACUGUCAAUGAGAACCAAUGUAAUUUUUCCUUUCCAGACAACGUGUAAAUUUCACUCACUCUGUUGAAGAACACAUAACUUUUCAGAUAAGAAAUGGUCACAGUAAUAUAUUAGUCAAAGCACCUCUUGCAAGAAGUAAUGAUAAUCAUUAUUUUCAACAGAUCAAUGUAAAUGCAUAUUUGUGUUCUAAAAGCAGUUGAGCUUGUAAAAGCACUAACCUGGAAGUCCUGAAGGGAUGCCAGCAGCAGCUCCCAAUACAACCAAGUUGAAGUCCGCAAGAAUAGAAGGGUUUCCGCCCACUUACCCAACCCGCGGAGGCAGAGGGAGAAGACCGGCAGCGCGUGGGGAACGGAACGGGGAGAUCUCAAAUUUCUCGAGGGGGAGGGAGCUUGCGAUGGUUUGUGGCUGCAGACCCCUCGAUCUGGGUUCUUGGGAAAGGUUUCUCUACGAGUGUUGAGAGAUCGUGGGUGUGUACUUCAUGGCUAGUUGCAGGUCUGGAACGCAGGCUAUAUCUGUGCAAACCAAGAUCGACUUGAUUAGAAUCUACUCCUCAACACGAUUUUCCAAAGGCCAAGGUUUACUUAAUGUUAAGGUCGUUCUGAUCAACUAGAUAUUCAAAAGAGUUGGUAGCAUAUAUGUUGCUUUCAAUGGAGUGGUUAAUUUGUUUUCGUCUCCUUAGACUUGAUGGCUUCUUGAACAAGGAUGGAAUUAGUCGUUGGGUUUCUGAAAAGUCUUGUCUGAUAUUGAUACCAUACGAACAAGUGGCCCUUUGUUUAUUGUGCCAUGGCAAGGCUUUCGUUAAUUACCGCCUGCCUGGAUGGAUUUUAGUUUCAUCACAGACGUGGUCCAGCAGCCCUGGAUGCUUCUACAUUACUUAACUUCCAUAGAGAAUUAGCAUAAAACGAAGACGAAGACGAAGCUUUCAGCAGGGAGUUCUCUUCAGUUUCCAGCUGCUCCUCUGUUGUUGCAUAUAGCAUCCUUUAGCUUUGAUCUUCUCUGCUCAUGGUAUGUCGCUGGCUGUGGAGAGGGGUCUGAUGUCUGCCUUAUUCUUCUCAGAAAACAUGUCUUAUUUGCAGCUAUUGAUCACAUGGAAAGAGAGAAGAAACUUGAUGCUAGGGACUGCACCCGUUUCUGUUGAACCUCUCUUGAUGUUGGAGGCAACAAAACUUGCAUCGGCGCAUCCUCAUCACCCUCUGAUCAGUACCAUAUCAGUUAAUUGUUCAGUUAUUCAGGUAAUUGUCUAGUUCUAGUAGCUCUAACUAGUACAUGUUAUUUUUCUUCUUGUCUGUCAAUCUGUUGGUUUGAUUGACUGAUAGUUCUCUGUCUUCUAUUCCAUGUCUAGCUUUCUCCAAGCAAUAACUUUAUAUCUCAUUGGCCACUGUGGUUAUUUUAAACUAUAAACCGCUUGAUCAUCUAAACAAAACUACUUAUGUAAGAUUAUUACUAUUGAUCGAUACUUCUUAGUAUCAAUCACUUCUCGUUGGAAGAUACUGUCUGUAAGGUAACCAUAACGCUUCAGAUUGCUACAAUCAGGGGCGGAUUCAGAACGGAGCUGCAUCCCGGGCUGAGCUGAUGAAUCACGUUCAAAACAGUCUAAUCUUGUCUCCUAAGCCUCAUUUUACUAGGUUAAACACCACAUAUGUUAAAGGAACUCCAUGGUUUCGCCCCGGGCUGCAGCCCGGGCAGCUCGGGCCCUAGAUCCGCCCCUGGCUACAAUGGUUUACUUGUUUCUGUGAUGCCGCUACUACUACGACAUAGAAGCUAGAGUGUGAGAAUCCGAUUACUGCUCAAGAAGAUGGAUCAGAAAAUUGGAACGCCAUAAAUGGACACCACAUGGAAGUUACAAGAACUAAAAUUAUGACUAAGUCAAAUAUUUCUGUUGGUUUUCUCUGCGGAGUGCUGUCACACCUAGAAAUUUUAAAUUUCAGGAUGUGAUUAGAAAGAAUAAUUAAACAAUGAUUUUCUCAUAAUUUUAAAAAUUUUCUAACAUUUAUUUUCUUAAUAGGAAAUAUAGUAUAGGAAAAACAAUCCAGAGGCACUGGCAGCGGCAUCCAAGGUGCGCCAGGUGCACCUGCCACGGACCACCAAUUUUUUGUUGGGCGUUGGCAUCUGCAUCCGAUCGAGCUGGCAGACAUGCGUACAGCCAUGCCAGGUUUUUUUUUCACGUCGCAAGAGCACCGAGGCGUCGUUUGGUUCAAUACAUAGCUUGAGCACUACCAUUGAACUCGAUACACCACUGCUGCUCAUAGCUCACACAUACACACUACAAUCUCGCUCCUUGAGCCCAGAGGCAGAUCCGGCCAUGGAGGUGGUGACAGGGGCACUGCCGAGCGUCAUCGCCAAGCUUGGUGACCUACUGACCUGCUCGUCGGUGAGUACAAGCUGCAGAAGGGGGUGAAGGGAGAGAUCAGGUUCCUCCAAGCUGAGCUCGAGAGCAUGAAGGGUGCUCUUGAGAAAGUCUCCAACACACCGGCUGACCAGCUUGACAUUCAGGACAAGAUUUGGGCCAAGGAUUUGAGAGAGCUGUCCUACGAUAUAGAGGACAAUAUUGACACAUUCAUGGUCCGUGGAGAGGGCAAUGAGCAGGCCAAGCUGCGUGGCAUCAAGAAGUUCAUUGAUAGAAGUGUUGGUUUGUUCAGAAAGGUCAUGGUUCGCCAUGGCAUUGCUACUGAAAUCAGAGACAUCAAGAGCCGUGUUGAAGAGGUGGCCAAGCGGCAUGAUCGGUGCAAGUUAUCAAACAGUAAUGUGGCUAAGCAUGUCCCAAUCGACCCUCGAUUACUUUAUCAGUACGAUAAGGUGACUGAGAUCGUUGGCAUUGAGGAGGCAAGAGAUGAGAUAAUUCGGAUUCUGAUGGAAGGCAAUGAAGUUUCCAAGCAGCAAGACAAGAUAAUUUCCAUUGUUGGGUUUGGAGGCCUGGGAAAGACAACUCUUGCUGAUGUGGUGUAUAAAAAGCUUAGAGCACAAUUUGAGUCGGAGCUUUUCUUUCGGUAUCUCAGACACCCGACCUGGAAAAAUUACUCAAGCACAUGUUCUAACAACUUGUCGGGAGGGAAAGUAACAAGAGCAGCGAUGUUGCCAGAGAGCUCAGAGAAUUCCUCGAGAAUUAGAGGUAUGAAAGCAUUUCAGUACACUUUAUUGGCAUCUGUUUAUAUCUAUCUUUUUGUUUGUUUGUAUUUUCAAAUAGCACCUAGUAAUCAGAUUUCAUUACUAGAAGAAACAGGCUCCUCAUUAUCAGCUCAUAUGUGUAGUAAAUUUGAAACUGAUAUGGAUAUGUUAUCCAUGCUAACUCAUAAUGUGAGCCAGUAGUGGUAGGUCUCCAAGUAUUAUUCACCAGUAUGGAUGCUAGUUAAGUAUGCAUGUUAGUUAUCCUUAUGCCUCUUAUUACGAGACUAGUGCUAAUACUUUGCACGCUUGUAAUUAUGAUUUUGUCUUGUUCUAAAAUUUGUAGUUAAGUAUGGAUGCUAGUUAAGUAUGCAUGUUAGCCCUCUAGUUAGCAUAGCUUAAUUAAACAUUCUAUAGGAGAAAAAACUAACUUAUUAUAAAGUUUAAUUUGCUAGUAACAUGGCUUUCUUGAAUUAUCUGGUACAGGUAGUUCGUUGUUAUUGAUGACAUAUGGAAACUCUCAGACUUCAAAAUGAUUAAACGUGCUUUGCCUGGUAAUAAUGUUGGAAAUAAAAUAAUCACAACUACUCGUGAUCUCAAUAUUGCUGAACAAGCUGGCUGUGCUUACAAGUUGCAGCCCAUUUGUCUAAACAACUCUCGGAAACUAUUUUUUAGAAGAAUAUUUGGUAAUGACAACAAAGACAACGAUGAAGAAGAAGAAAGAUGUCCUAACGAUGAGUUGGCUGAAGUAUCUGAUAAAAUCCUGGAGAAAUGUGCUGGUGUGCCCUUAGCUAUUAUUACAAUGGCUAGUUUCCUAGCUUGCAAAGCAAGAAAUAAAAUGGAGUGGUAUGAGGUAUACAAUUCUGUAGGUACUAGUCUGGAAAACAAUCUAGAUAUGGAGAAUAUGAGAGAUUUUGUCAUUUAGCUAUUAUGAGCUACCAUGCCAGUUAAGGGCUUGCUUGUUAUAUUUGAGCAUGUUUUUCUGAAGAUUAUGAAAUUGAGAAAGAUCGUUUGAUAAUGAUGUGGAUAGGUGAAGGUUUUAUCCAAUGUGAAAAACCAGGGAAGAGCCUAUUUGAACUCGGAGAGAGUUACUUCAAUGAGCUUAUAAACAGAAGCAUGAUCCAACCAAUACAUGAUAGUUCAGAUGAUAUGGUAUCAAGGUGUCGUGUACAUGAUAUGGUGCUUGAUCUUAUCCGCUCAUUGUUAAGUGAAGAAAACUUUGUUACUGUUCUAAGUAAUAUAGGAGGCACAUCUUAGUCAAAUAAGAUUCAAAGGUUGUCCCUUCAAAAUGGUGAGGAAAGUCACAUGAUGGCUCAAGCUACAUGGAACUUGCAACAUGCAAGGUCAGUUGUUGUCUUUCCAGCUGCGGUUUCUCUAGCGUCGGUUCUUUGGCUGCUCCCGAGUUUUACGUGUUCUGGAUUUAGAGGAUUGCGACCUUUCACAAGCUGAUAGUAGCCUUAAGUACCUUGGGAAUCUGCAUCACUUGAGGUACUUGGGACUAUGUCACACAGGUAUUUCUCAGCUCCCGGAAGAAAUAGGAAACCUGCAGUUUCUACAAACAUUGGAUGUAACGCUCAACAAAAUUUCUAGGUUGCCUUCGAGUGUUGUCCAGCUAAAAAAGUUGAUGUGCCUAUACAUUGACCGGUCUACAACAGUGCCAAACGGAAUUGGAAACCUGGCAUGCCUUGAACAGUUGUUAUUGUUAGGCAUUUAUGACUCCACCGUAAACAUUAUAGAAGAGUUGGGCCAGCUAACUGAACUGAGGCAGCUGCAUAUUGGAUUGGACGAGUGGAACGACAAGCUGUUGGGGCUACAAAAGAUGCAGGAAACACGUAUCAGAGUUGAUCCUGGUCAACGCAACAUUGGCGGAUUGGAUGCCUGGGUUGCCCCUCGACAUCUCCGUGUAUUGCGUACAAUACGUAGUUGUUGGUUUUCAACACUGCCGGCUUGGGUGAAUCCAUCGCUUCUUCUGGAUCUCAUCGGGCUAUCCAUCGCUGUGAGGGAGCUACAUCAGGUUGAUCUCGAAAUCCUUGGGAGGUUGCCAGCUCUCCGCUCUUUAUAUCUGGAGGUGGACAAUAAGAACCUCGGUAUCCUUAGGGGAUUCGUUGUUGUUGGUGGUGCAUUCCCAUGCCUUGUAAGGUGUUACUUCCAGCAAUUUGUGUGGCCAGUGGUAUUUCAGCAUGGAGCAAUGCCAAGGCUCGGAGAGCUUUGGUUCUUGUUUUAUCUGUGGGAUGGUAGUCUCGACUUGGGCUUGGGGAACCUGCCAUCGAUGCAAUAUGUCAGGGCUGCCCUGCUAUGUGAAGGCUUUAGCAAAGAGGAGGUGGAGCAAGCCAAUGCUGCGCUGACGCAUGCAGCUGAAAUGCAUCCCAAUCAUCCCCGCCAUGAUAUAUAUCUAUAUGACUGAGCCAAGGCUUCUGCUGUUAUUCUUUCCAUCGACUUGGGCAUUGGGAACCUGCCAUCGCUGCAGGAUGUCAUGGCUUACCUGGGAUGUGAUGGUACUAGCAAGGAGGAGGUGGAGCAAGCCAAGGCUGCACUGACGUAUGCAGCUGAAAUGCAUCCCAAUCAUCCCCGCCAUGUUAUAAAUCUAUAUGAUUGAGGUGCGCUAGCUUCUGCUGUCAUUCCUUGCUUCUCUCUAUUUCCCUUUCUUCCGAGCUUCGUUUGCAUCCCCCCCCCCCCCCCCCCCCCCCCCCAGAUUUCUCAGAUUAUUUUGAACAUUAUAUUUCUCAGAUUGAAGUGAUGGACCAUGGACUAAGGUGUGCCAGCCUGCCUGUCAGAGACUACUGCAAAAAUAUAUUUUUUCCAGUGUCUGUCUCGGAUUCACCUGAGGAAUAGCGAGCUGGAGAAAAGAUUUUGAGUUAACGCCCAUGACAAGUUGCUCCUUGUUAAAAAGUUCCUCGGUUUCCUCACAUUUGCAGAGAAGAGAUCAAAUUGCCCGGCCUUAUGAGUAAAUGAAUCCUGGACACAUGCAAAUGAUCUGUGUACCACUCCUAUAAGUGGUGAUGUUUUUUUACUCAGUUUUCAAUGGAAAUGUCACAGGUAUAGCUUUGUGAUUGUCGCUCUAGGAGAUGCUGUAUUUUUUCCCUUGAGAUUCUAGCACGAUGGAAAAUUGGUGACAUCUCACCUACCACACCUGCUGUUGUAUUUUUGCGUAAUUUGCAGCUUUUCACGUUUAUCAUCAUGUGAGCCGGUGAGACGUCAGAGCAUAGAAGUCAGUAUCUAUGCAUAGUCGGUUCGCAACUAGGACACACAUGCUCUAUUUCGGCGUGCAAUGAAAGUACUGAUCCAAUGCUCUGUUUCGGUGCUCCGUUUCGGUGUGCUUUUUCUGUUGUGUGCGUAACUCUGCUCCGCAGAACAUGGUGCCCUGCUAGGUCCUGUUGUUAUUCGUUGCUUAUCUCAUUUCCCAUUUCUUCAAAACUGAGUUUCCUAUGGAAAUAUCACUAUUACGAAACCGUAAGCGAUAAAAAAAAGAUCUUCACAACAAGCGUUCUGAUCUGGCGUCGCGGCAUCUCUUGUUGUGGCAGCGGUGAUGAGGACGCAGAGUUGUCGCCCCGGAGAGUAACUGUCCGAACUUGAGGUGAUGCCCCCGUGAUACCACCUUCUUCGUAGAUAGGCGAUAGAGAAGCUCCUUCCUGAUACGGGAGAGUAUCAAGAUAGGCGAUGAGACAUGCCUCGUUGAUCGUGGCAAGAGGCUUCAUGCUAGGCUAGUAGACGAAUCUACCUUGCGGAGUAGAUGUGAUCAUCAGGUCCUGAUGCGGACCUAAUAAAGUAGUUUCUUCAACUGGAUUCGAGUAAUAGUCGAGGUCUUCCAUCGGAUCUGAGUAGUAGUCGAGCUCCUUGAUCGAAUCUGAGUAGUAAUCAGGGUCGUCCAUGAUGGACUGCGAUCUGGACAGGGCAGCUUGGUAUGUAGAAGCCGCGUUGCGGAAUCCGAACGAGACUCGAAUUAUAUUGUAAUCCGAUUCGCACGAUGGCUUGGCGCCUGCUCGUGUGAAACAGUCCGACUGGAGGAAGGAGUCGAGUUGUACUCAAAAUCGCUCCCCCAACCUCUUGUUAGGUCAGAGAUCAAACUUUCGCCGAAAUGUUUUGACAAGAUCCUCCAAAGCUAAGCACCGGAGAUUUGUGGCAUGUUGCUUCUUCUCCGGGGCCAGCGCAAUAUGGCGGUGGAAGUUGCCAGCACCGUCUGCGAUGCAGAUCCAGGAGCCGAAAAUGAACAUCAUGCCUUUUUUGAAAGAGAUGACGAGCUUGAUGACGAUUGGUGCCAUUGAAUUCACCAAGGAUUUUCGGCGAGUCCCCCUACCUGGCGCGCCAGCUGUUGGUGUUUAGACCCAUCAACCAACCGAGGGGGUGCCCGAGGUAGUGUUUAGUGUGUGGGACUCGCCAAGAUCAGGAACUCGAUAGUGAACAAAGACAUGAUUUAGACAGGUUCAGGCCGCAAGAUUGCGUAAUACCCUAUGUCCUGUGUGUUAUAUUGGAUUGUUUGAGUUGCGAUGUCUUGGAGGGGGUCCUGCCCACCUUAUAUUAUCAGGGGCAGGGUUACACGUUGGUUGUUUACAAGAAUACUAGUCGGAUGUGGCUAGGAAUGUCCUACUCUGUUACUACAGAGAGUUUUCUAAUCCUCGACUAGUUCUUGCCUUUCCAUGUAGACCAUGCCGUCCUUCAUCGUACUCUCCAUAUCAGAUAUAUCUUGGUGUCCAGCCCUGUACGUAGAACUAUCCAACCUGUACAACAGAUGUCACUGUAUGUAUAAAAUUUUAUCCUGAAGCACUUGAUUUUAUUUUAAAAUCGGGUAUCACGCUUGCUUCCAACUUGUACGACUUCACAAACUUGUUGCCAGUGUAGGGAAAUCCAUGUGAUCUAAACAAAAACCACCAUAAGCAAUGAUGCCACCCAAGAGAUGGAGGUCGGGGCUCUACCUGAUUUCACUAUAAAUAAAAGCUAAAUGUACACCCAAUGUUUAUCACGAGCCAGGCUUUCCAGGUCGAAAUUGACAAACCAAAUCUGCACAGCCCAGCAGCCCAACCAAAUGCUGCUGCUCUGUCUUUAGGGAGAAUAAUCUCCCCAACAGUUUUUCCAUGACAUUAUCUAUAUGCAUGCUUUUACACACACAAUAUAACUGUACUUUUCAGUCAGAGGAGUUAUGUUUUCUCUUAUUCAGAAUUUACCUUCCCAGUUAUAUGCAACUUAUGUUCUCUUCUUCAAUUGAAAUCUAAAUUCACUUCAGUUCUGUUUCAGAUGCUAUUGAUCUUUGGUUUCAUGUCUGAGACAGGCAGUUUAUUUGUGUUCCUUUUCUUUUUCUUUCAUAUCUAAAAUGUGAAUUUACCAUUGCAACUGGCCGAGGUGGCUGGCUCAGGUUCUGCCAGUCAGUAAGUAUAGCAGCUGCAUAUAGUAAAUGGAGCAAACCAGCUCAUGGCUGCUUAGCUUUAGUUGUUGUGGUUGACACUGUUCCACAGUACAAGUGGCAAAUGCAUUUCUCAUGUUGGAUUUUUCAUUUAAUAUAGUGUCAACACCUAAACAGACGAUUUGUAAUUGACACGUGGGUAUCACAGUUAGCAGUUAGAACACACUGUAUGAGGUUUGGUGAUUCUCCCGUGUGUUACUGGCCUUUAUGUAAAUAUAAAAUGGUCACAUUAUCUACCGAGAAACUUUUGUCAAAUUUCAUGUCAUCGUGUUGCUCUUUGAAGAGCUACACAUGUCAUGAUCUCAGAAGUAAAUUCAAAUUUUCUCAAAUCUAGUUAUGCUGCUUUUAUGCAUGACUGUAUUUCCUGUAGUAGAAACAUUGCUCCUGCAGAUCUGAUAGGCUGCACUUGUCAUAUUUCAUUUGUGCUGCAUGUAUCACUUGAAUUUGAUGCAUGCUUUAAUUUGUGUGGUGUACUUAGUGCUAGAUUGUAUUUCAUAAGAGUCCCUUUUCCCCCUAAAAAUGCAAUAACAAGAUGUCGUUGAUGUUACGUAGCUUUUCAGUCUAGUGCACGAUCAGGGUGCUUAGUCACUGCAUCCAGUGAUACAAGCGCCCUGCAGACCUGAAAGGCUGCUUGUCAUAUAUUUCAUUUCUGUUGCAUAUAUUAUUCACAUUUUGCGCUUGCUAUAGUUCGUGUGGUGUACUUAAUUGUCUAUAUUAUGUUUCACAAGAAACCUUUUCUGAAAGCGUUUGCCAAAACGCACCGCCCUCUAUGGGGUCCUGUUCCAUAUAAGGGAGCAGAUUUGCACUAUUGCAUGGUCAGUGGAUCCACAAUCCAGUUUAGCAGGUCAUCAUGCCUGCAUGUCUGCGCUAGCCUAGCGGAGCGUGCAGUCACCACGGCGAUGACACUCUCCCUAACUAACCAGCCGUUACAACUUACAAUGCAUAUGCACACGCACGUUACAUGCAUAUGAAACACACACAAGUUCCAUUAUUUUUCCCCUUUAAGAUGCAAUAAUAACCAUAUGUUGCUGAACAACUUUGCAGGCUGGUGCACGAUCUGGGUGCUCAAUCACUGCGUCACGCAAAUGCAAACCCCCCUGGUGGAAAGGCUUAUUUGGAGCUGCCCCGACUGAUUACGAAGAAAGAGAGAGAUGUGAAGAGCAAGAGAUGUCUGCUUGUCUCGUGGCAGCAAAGGAGGCUUGCAUUAAGUUUGCGAAGGGAAAAUGCAUCGCACCAUUCCAAGAUGCAAGGAUCGCCUCCAACGGUCUCCUGGAAAAUACAGAUUUCGAUGUCUGGCGUGCUGGCAGUGGCAAAGCAUCAUCAACAUUGUUGGCUGUUCCUAACAAUCAGCACUUGUUCAGUUCUGGUCCCGGUGUGACAAGCUACAAAGGAAGUGAUUUGCUAUACAGCUUAUCAUCUGAAGAGAAGGAAAACUCUGGUUGAUGAUUAUGAAAACACAUUACGCUUGUCAAGACAUCAUGAUGGAAUUCAGAACUAGACCCAAUAAUCAAAUAAUGGCGUACAUGAGGCCUUAUGCUGGUGGUUUAAUGCCACGCCUGCAGUUUUGUUACUGAUGAAGUUUUGUUCAAUGGCUGGAGACAGUAAAGAAAUUAAAUUAUGGGAAUUUACUCUGAAAAUUGGAAAAAGGACUGGAAUUUCGAGGGCAAAGAUCUACUAGGGCAUAAGAAUGGAGGGGAAAGCAAGAGUUUCUGGUUGCCGCCCCUGUUGGGGAUUGUUCGAAUCCGGGCAGCACAGCAUGUAGAAUGUGUCUGCCAGUUGGUAAAUGCAUCGGUUCAGCUGCUGAGGUUGACCUGGACAGAAUUCUGCGUGCUGGAUCCUUGUGAGAGCUCGGGAUAGGAAGGAAGGGCAGGGGAGUGCAAGUUUUGGCUCGUCCAGAAGUAUGCACUGUGAAUAACUGAACGUAUAGUUUGUGCGACUGCAAUGGUGUGCGGAUAAUGCAGUUUAACUGUUUAUUAGGUAGUAACCUAGUAUUGUGCAUCGUGAUAACUGGUUGAUCUCGAGGUCAUGAGAGUUGAAUCUACUGGCAACACCUCUGUAAAACUAAUAAUGUGAUGAAUUUUGUUUGUGCGAUUCAAGGCCCACAUUGCCGCAUCCUUGGUUGCACACUGCACCUGACUGAAAAUCAAUGUAUGAUGAUGAUGAUGAUUGCUGCGCUGCGUGUUCCUUCGUGGAUUGUUGGAGUACGUACUCUUUACUCUCGGGGGUGUUUAGAUCCAAGGCACAGUGCAGCUGCAAUGAGCCAGAAAUGUGUGCGCAAGACGCCAGUAACACUCGGUUUCAGAUUGAAGUAAGCCAGAAAUAUUGUGUUAUCGAUCGAAGCAGAUUGUGAACACAUGUCAGCUGCUGUACUGGCUGCUCUGAUUGUGAACUUCCUGCAUCGCUUUGUCUAUAUGUCUUGUCCAUGGAGUUGAUCGAUCGGUUGGAGCGUGUUGAGAGAUGGGACGGAUGAUGAUCGAUGCCCAACCCAAACAGAGAGCAUGCACGGGGACAUGGGGGCCGACGGGCCGUUGUUCCAUGUCAGGACUUGAGGACAAUCGGCGAUUGCAGAGGAUGCAAAUUAUGCAAGCAGGAAUCCCAGGCACGAGGUUUGAGACCCAGGCGGGGCUCCCGGCCAAUCCAUCCAUCCACUGAUGAUCCACGGUCUCCUGCCGGUGCUCCCUGCGUCGCCGACACCCAUCUCUCCCGUCCCGUGCACGGAGCAACGUGCCGUGCCAUCCGGCCGCCGCCGCCGUGUCGCGUCCGGCGUGCUCUCGUCGACCGGCGUUCGGUUCAGGCCGGCCACGCUUCCUUUUCUCUCUUGCCGUCCUGCCGCUUCCUUUCCACUGCCACGCUUCCUCUUUCUCCCUUGCUCGUGCUCCUGCGCGCACAUUUUGAGAGGCGCCGUUCAUCUCUCCCGGAGACCAAGACGUGUCUACAGUGGCUUUGGCAGAUGCAGUACGGGUGCCCUAGAUGGCCGUUCCCUGUCCGACUGGCUUCGAGGCCGCGGGGCCCACAGUACAGCUACUAGGGCUUUGUUUGUCCCAUCCGUUGGCGGCGCGUGCGCCCCAGCCAGUCAAAGGAGGGGGGCUCGCGCCCCGGCGACGACCUGUCCCCUCCACCGUCGCCGACGUGGGAGGCAGCAUGCAGCUGGAUUACAUUAGGCUUUCUUUAGUUUCUGCCCAACGUGUAGAUACUAACUAUAAAUAUUAAAUAUAGAUUUAAUUUAAAAACUAAUCGCACAUAUGGAUUAAUUAGACUUAAUAGAUUUGUCUUGCGAAUUAGCCUCCAUCUGUGUAAUUGGUUUUAUAAUUAGCUUAUGUUUAGUCCUCCUAAUUAGCCUCCGAAUAUUCGAUAUAACAUGAACUUCCGGACUAAAGAUCUAAACACCCCCUUAGCACCGCUGCUACUAAUUCUUUUAAAUGAAUCAGGAGCAAAGCUGCGAAUUAUAUUAAAAAGGAGACGAAGCCCAUGAAAAUAACAAAUGAAAAAAUAAUACAAACACCGGCAGGUUGGAUUGGUCAUCAACACAUGCCGCACCACGCCAUUGCACUUUAACAACACGUCCACCAUUGGAUUGGAACAUCAACACGCGCCGGACUCAACACAUCUCAAGCGGAUUUAACUCUGUCCAACAACGGCAGCAGAGCCGAAGCCUUUCCGCGGCAACAUUCACGUUCAUGUAGUCAUCGAAACCUCCAGGCGUGGUCCUGCGUCGACAGGGAACUGAUAGAAGUAGACUGCACCGCACCGAGAAGGCUACCGCUAUGAGGGACCCUCCGCUAUAGUGCCGCUGCAACACCACACUCCACCUGACAAAGUGAUACCACCGAAUCCGAACCUCUCGCAGGCUGCCUCGCAGUCGCCACCACGAUAACACAACGCGUGGGGGCCUCGCUACAUCCGUCGUUGGACUCUACCUCGCUCUCGUCGACUCGAAGAAACAUCAUGCGCGGGGAUCUUACCACGCUCGCUAUAGUACUCCACGUCACGGAUCCGUUUUUUUUGUCACCGAUAGAGUGGUGAGCAAUGUUGCCCCGCUCCAUAAGAUCUCCAUCGAUCAGCCAAACUGCCGCCACAGGUCAACUUCGCCUCGUUGCUUCACCCGCGCAAAUAGCCUCCACCGUCAUGUCAGCAAGCCAGAGAAAUCACUUGCGCCCUCUUCCGACGAUGUACCGCACCGAAUAGGCCAGCCAAGCUGAGCAACUCGCCAUGGUCCGCUGCAAGCCUAGUCGUCCCUCGAUGUCAUUGCUGCAAGUGCCGUCCUCCAACGCAGUCCCACGCCGCACUAACCAUAGCCAAGCAAAGCCAACCACUGCGGUCCGCUGCAAGCAGUCAAAACCGACAACUAUGCAACAACCCCUGGCCGCCACCAUAACUACGAUCACCUCCACGUGGCCUCGGCAACACCCGUCUAGCUUGCCACGCGGCGGAAUUGCCGCCACCAGCUGCAACCGCCCAUGACCAAUGAACUAGCAAUGCUACAAACCAAGAUGGGUCUCUAGAGACAAUGCCUCCAAGGAGGGCAUGACGCCAAUGGCACCAUUGUCACUCGUCUAGGAUUUGGAUAAGGUUUUCACCCAGAGAACCCCGUGCAGCAGGGUUGUAGCUUAGACAUGACGCCCCUAACGGGAAAAUCGAUGCCCUAGGGCAGCACCGUCAUCUCCACCAGCAAGAACGUUGGCGAGGGUUUUCACUCGGAGGAUCCCAACCCCUCACUGCAUGCUCACGGCUUGGCACUCCCGGACCACAGUCACGGCAGCCCAUCCAAGGCGGCGUCGCCGCCGCGCCUCCACACACCAUGCCGUCGUACCUCCACCUCCGCUGUGCUCACCGCCCCAAUGUGCCGCCACUUGACCUCUGUUCCUCGCACGCGGCCACCGCCGCACCACCUCACCAUCACGCAUCGUUGGGUAUCUCCUUGCGGCGUCGCCACAUUACACACGUGCCUCGCCACGCGCAGCCUCCUCCACGCCACAUGAGCCCCACCAGCGCCUAGCUACCUCGCUUUCCCGUCACUGCCUCCGCAACUCCUCAGCCGAGGAGUGGUGGCCCGACGACACCCGCAACACCAUCUCGGUGCCGUCAGCGCGCCCCUGCGCCAGGCAUCCUUGCCGCGCCUCCAUGGCAUUGCUGGCACGCCUUGCACAGGCCACCCCGACCGUGACACCACACCACUGUCGUUGAAGACACAGGAGCUGUCGUGUAGAAGCGCCUCGUUGACCGCUGGCACGCCUUGCACAGGCCACCCCGAAGGCAAGGGAUAGGGUUUGCUGCCCGAGCCACCCCUGAGAGUGACGCAAGCUGCCCCUGAGAGUGAUGUAGGGGCCGAGCCUGGCUUUUCUCGACAAGAAACAAGAUACCAUUGCUACUAAUCAUGUUUGAUGAACCCAAUCCAUUCUAGAACGCGGUUGUGCUGCAGCAUGCAAAAUAUAGGAUACUCUAUCCUCAAAUCUUACCUAUCUUUUUAUUAUUAAAGUAAACCCUAAUUUUCUGGUUGGUCCAACAUUGAUCACCGACAAGUGGGCCAAUGAUAUCCGUGCGCCACACCGUACAACUCUGUCCCAUCCUCAAUCCAUAUCUGACUCAAGUCGUUGUUACAUAUAGGAUGCAAAGGACGUCGAGAAGCCGCCAAUCAUAGAACAUGAUGGUGAUCCUUAACGACUCGACUAGGGAAAAACGUCGAGGAGCCAACAACCGGGACACACAAUGAGGACACACGUGCGGCGUGGUAGAGGAGCCGAAGAGGGACCCGCACAGGCACUGCGACUGUCGACAAGAAGGAAGUCUGCGGCCUGAGCUGCGCGGCUCCACCUCCGCACGCACACUAUCCUGCAAUCUGACUCCGUCUCUGCACGUUGUCCAUGGUUUCAAAAGGAUGCAUGAUGAGAGCCGCUGCCACGUGGAGAACAGUUUAAAGUUCUCUCAGGCCCUGUUUGGUUAGGCUGGAACGCGGCCUGUUCCACUCGAAUCGGCCUGGCUCAAUUUGAAAUCGGGUCCCAUCCAGAAUAGCUGUUCAUUUAGGCCUGGUCCGGUCCCUGUCCUUGGCUUGGAAUGAAGAUUGCACAUCGAUGGUCCGGAACGGAUUCACUUGCGGGCUUACAACGAAGUGGAGCUGGCGGCGCGCGAGGCAACGAGGCAACAGCAUGAGGUGGCGACGCGGGAGGCGUGGCUGUACCGCGCGUGGGAGAUGAAGCGAGCUGGCAUGAGCGCAACGGCGCCGCCCCCGAUGCGGACACCACCGUGGUGGUGGUGGUGGGGAAGGGCGGCAGCGGGGGCGCGGGUGGAGGAGGUGGCGUGGGUGACUCCUCGCCGAUCCGGUCCCAGCAUGCGGGCGCGGUGGGCGGUAGCGGCAUGGCCAUGGACGUGGAAGAGGUUGGCGCAUGUCGCGGCCUUGGUCUGGAGCUCCCCUCCGACUGCACCGUGGAGAUCCAGUGCUACGGGUUGACGUCCAGCGGCAGCAGCCCCACCCACACCGCCAGCAGCGGCGCCCCCCGGCGUCGUCUCCAGUCCCGGUACGAUUGAUCCAACUCACCAUCUAUAUAUGGCUCUAGAUCCUGGCCAGCUCUGUUCAUUGCUUUCUAGAUGUUCAUUGCUUACAAUCAAGUACAACUCUAUUUGAUCCCCUGUUUUCUUUCCUCUCUAGCCGAACACUGCUUUUGAAUCAAUGGUUUUGAUCUCGGGGAGGAAUGAUUAAUCAUCAGGUUUCAAUGAGAAACCAAGAUCCACUCGAUCCUGACCAGGAUCAAAAGUUGGUAUAGCACUAAUCCUAUGCUGCCGGACGAGGCCUGAAUGAGUCACAGCUCACAAAUGAACUCAGAGAAUUCCUUCAGAAUAAGAGGUAUCAAAGCAUCGCGGACACUAAGAAUCAACUUGCGUGCAUUAAGGAUUUUUUUCCCAAAAUUAAUUUACACCCUCCUGUUUUACUAGUGGUAAAAAGGUGCUAGUAAAUCUAAAAAAAAGGUUCAAUGAGAAAUGAUCCGCGCAAAGCCAGAAAUUUACUUCCUAACUAUAUUAUUGCCCUUGUAAUUAACACUGCGUUUGUGUUAACGUAUUGCAUAUGUGCAGGUACCUCAUUGUUGUUGAUGACAUAUGGGAUAUCACAAUCUGGGAAAAGAUUAGUUGUGCUUUGCCUGAUAAUACUUUUAGAUACAGAAUUAUCACAACUACCCGUAACAAUGCUGUUGCUGAACAAGUUGGUAUUGUUUACGAGCUGAAACCCCUUUGUCUUCAUGACUCCAGAAGAUUAUUCUAUCCACGACUGUUUGGCAAUGACGAUAAUGUCAUAUGUCUUACUGGAGACCUGAUUAUAUUAUAUCAAACUAAAAAAUGUGCCAGUGUACCAUUGGCUAUCAUAUCGAUAGAUACUUUGUUGGCUAGUAAAGGAAGAAAUAAGUGGGAAAUGUAUAAGGUAUAUAGAUCUGUUACUGCUGAACUGGAGAAUAGUCUAGAUUUACAAGAUUUGGGAAUGAUUUUGUCACUUAGCUAUCAUAAUCUGCCACCCCAUCUAAAGUUUUGCUUAUUACAUUUAAGUGUGUUUCCAGGAGAUUAUGAUAUUGAUAAAGAUCGUUUGGUACGGUUGUGGAUAGCUGAAGGUUUUAUCCAAUGUGAAAUACCAGGGGAAAGCCUAUUUGAUCUUGGAGAGACUUACUAUCACGAGCUAAAAAAUAGAUUAAUGAUCCAGCCUGUGUAUAGAAGGUGGGACAAUGAAACGAUAGAAUAUUGCCUUGUAAAUGAUAUGGGGCUUGAUCUUAUCUGCUCCAAGUCAAAGGAAGAAGACUUUGUUACCGUUUAUAAUGAUGUAUAUCAAACAUAUUCAUCAGAAAAGAGGUUAUCCUUUCAAAAUAGCAUGGUAGAUCAUGCUAGGCAUCUAACUUCUAUGAAUAUGCAACAAGUGAGGUCACUUGUUGUCUUUCCAUUUGCUGUUAAUCUCAUGCCUGCUCUUUUGAGCUUUAGAGUUCUUCGUGUACUGGAUUUACAAGAUUGUCACCUUUCCCACCGUUACAUUCUUAAGGAUCUUAGAAAUUUAAUUCACAUGAGGUACUUGGGACUAAGACGCACACAUAUUGCUCAGCUCUCUAAAGAAAUAGGAAACCUACAACUUCUUCAAACACUAGAUGUAACAGGCAAUGGAGGUGCCAGCGAGCAGGAGGUGGAGAAAGUGGAGGCUGCGCUGAGGAAUGAAAUCGCAAUGCAUCACAAUCAUCCUAGCCUCGAGAUACACUGGUGAAGAUAAGAGGUGCUCCUAGCCUCCAGCUGUGCUCUUUCUUGCCCUCGCCCCCACCCCCCCACCCGAAAAGAUCAAAGAGAUCCCGGGCCGCCUCCGGGAAUGCUGCAGAUAUUAAAAAAACAGGAAUGCAGCACACGUUGACUCUGAAACAAGGACCAUGCUGGUGCAGAUGAGGACUAACAUUCAGGGACUCUUGUCUGUCUCGAACAUUAAACAACCAUAGCUUACGNNNNNNNNNNNNNNNNNNNNNNNNNNNNNNNNNNNNNNNNNNNNNNNNNNNNNNNNNNNNNNNNNNNNNNNNNNNNNNNNNNNNNNNNNNNNNNNNNNNNUGAGAUGUUGCAAAAGGUUAUGAGCAAGUUGGAGGAGUUCACUACAUUUGCCUUCUCACCGCUAGUGAUAGUAAAGUCCAAUCGGUUUAUUCUAGUUAUAGUUGCAUAUUUCGGUUAUGCGAUAUGGCAGAUGGAGGGCAAAACAGGGUUCUUGAAUGGAAACCAAGCGGAGGUCAUGUGGAUUAUACAGCUGGAUCGGAAAAAUAUGUGAAAGGAAGGGGAGCUUCAGCCCCCCAUUUGUGGUUUUUUUCCCGCCCCCCCCCCCCCCCCCCCCCCCCCCCCCCCCCCAGGAUGGACUGGAGAACAGAUUUUGUAGUCAGGACAGCUUGCCACAUUUGCAGAAAUUAAAAUGCUUGGCGAUGGACAGUGAUAUUUAAUGAAUGUAAUUUUCAUAAAUCCUUCCUCGUUCUGCCAGUACAUUUCCUCAAUAGUCAUGCAACUGGUGUUCGUGUUUAAUUUUGACCAAGGACAAGGUGCACGUCAGAAAAUGUUGCCCAGAAAUGGAACACGUUUCUGAUUGUUAUGUUACUCUCAUAAAUGAUAUAUUUGUAAUUUUAUAUUAUUGUACUCCAAAAAAAAAGAUUAAUGAGAUUUCACUUUGUAGCAUGGCACAUCCUAUUGGUGCGUAGGUCCUGUUGUUCAGGAUGUGGUUGUCGUCAGAAAAUGUUAAACUUCUGGUUUAUAUCAUUGGAUCCCGAUGAGAGUUAGUAAUGUUUGCAUUGCUAGAUAAAAUUAUUACGGAGUAUAAUACUUGAAUUACUUGUGCAGAGGUUUGAGUAAAUUGUACCCAAAACAAUGCAGUGGGACACAGAGGCCAUGACGAUUAUUAUGUACUAUGAUUGACUUUGUGGACUAGAUUUACACCCAUGACGAUUAUUAUGUACUAUGCGUCUUUAUUAGCACCUUUGCUGCUUACCGUGAUAUGAUGGCCCAUUUGUUUCUGCGCUUAUAAAUGGUUUAUUGGUGAAAAUAAGCGAGAAUCUCAUGAAACACUUUGCUUAUUUUCACCAAUUCCUAAUUAAACAUUAAUUGGGUUGUUACCCAGCACUUCUGCCACAGUUUUCGCUAUUUAUUACCCGUCACUGUAGAAAAGCAACUCGUGCUCACCUUGUGAUGAGUGUGUCAGAGUAUUUACAGAUGGCAGCACAGAUGGUGAACACUGGUCAGUAACUACAAAGGAUUGCCCCCACCAUGUGCGUCUCGUCCUCCUCUCACGCACCCUCUUCAACUGUCGGAGGGGCUGGCGUUGGCCGCCGGCUCGGUGGAGACAGGCGCGGCCGGAGGGGCGGGCCUCGGCUGCCGGCGAGCUCGUAUGCGGCUCGGCCGACAGCGUGCGUGCUGGCGGGCGCGGGCAGGGGAGCUCGCCGCCGGCAAGCGCGUGGGUGGCGAGGCCGUUGGGAGCGGGCGGCCUAGCUCGCCGCCGUCCGCGAGCGCGUGGGUGGCGCGGCCGCACAAGCCCGGGCGUGGGGAGCUCGCCGCGGGUCGCCGUCGAGGCCUAGCCGGCCAGGAGCUGUGGAGAGAGAUGUGGAGAGAGCAGCGAGAGAGAUGUAAUUAAAAAAUAUUGAACCUUUUGCUUUUAUCGAGCUACGGGGAAGCGGCAGUGCGGUCGGCCGGCCAUUGCGGCCGGGUGCCCCAAUCGCUAACCGAGAGGAAUAUUUCAUUUGGAGAGGAUUACAGGGAUGCGCACCAACCUGCCCUUGAACAUGACCUCCAUCCUCGAGCAGACGAAUAGUUUAGCCCUUGGCAGGGAAUCAGGGAUCCAAUGCUCUUUCUACUACCUCUCUCAUUAAUUAUUGCCUUCACCUUACCCCCUGCAUCUGGAUCCCAUCGACCUCUGCUUCGUGCUCUUCCAAGGCGGCUGCGAGCGGUGAGCUGUGUUGCGGCCGAGCAAGCUUGAUUAAUCAAGCAACCUCGGUCCGGCGACGAGCGGCGGGCAGCGAUCCAGCAAACCAGCGAGUCCUAAGCACCGGCGACAAGGAGAGGGCGGCAACCGGUGAGUCCUCGCUCACUUCCGUUCUUUGUGCCCGUCUGCAGACCUCCGAGAGCCACUAGGCACUCGACAGCACUAUAAUUCAUCGUCAUGCGUCCCUGCUUGCUACACCUACACCCAUACCGUACAACCUUACUCAUUGCUAGCUCUUGCCCAGGGACAAAUCCAUGGAGAUCGUGACAGGGGCAAUUCCAUUGAUCUCCAUACACCACUGCUGCUCAUAGCUCACACAUACACACUACAAUCUCGCUCCUUGAGCCCAGAGGCAGAUCCGGCCAUGGAGGUGGUGACAGGGGCACUGCCGAGCGUCAUCACCAAGCUUGGUGACCUGCUUGUCGGUGAGUACAAGCUGCAGAAGGGAGUGAAGGGAGAGAUCAGGUUCCUCCAAGCUGAGCUCGAGAGCAUGAAGGGUGCUCUUGAGGAAGUCUCCAACACCCCGGCUGACCAGCUUGACAUUCAGGACAAGAUUUGGGCCAAGGAUUUGAGAGAGCUGUCCUACGAUAUAGAGGACAAUAUUGACACAUUCAUGGUCCGUGGAGAGGGCAAUGAGCAGGCCAAGCUGCGUGGCAUCAAGAAGUUCAUUGAUAGAAGUGUUGGUUUGUUCAGAAAGGCCAAGGUUCGCCAUGGCAUUGCUACUGAAAUUAGAGACAUCAAGAGCCGUGUUGAAGAGGUGGCCAAGCGGCAUGAUCGGUACAAGUUAUCAAACACUAAUGUAGCUAAGCCUGUCACAAUCGACCCUCGAUUACUUUAUCAGUACGAUAAGGUGACUGAGCUCGUUGGCAUUGAGGAGGCAAGAGAUGAGGUAAUUCGGAUUCUGAUGGAAGGCAAUGAAGUGUCCAAGCAGCAAGACAAGAUAAUUUCCAUUGUUGGGUUUGGAGGCCUGGGAAAGACAACUCUUGCUGAUGUGGUGUAUAAAAAGCUUAGAGCACAAUUUGAGUGCGCAGCUUUUGUUUCGGUAUCUCAGACACCUGACCGGGAAGAACUACUCAAGCGCAUGUUCUGUCAACUUGUCGGGAGGGAAAGUAACAAGAGCAGCGAUGUUGCCAGAGAGCUCAGAGAAUUCCUCGAGAAUAAGAGGUAUGAAAGCAUUUCAGUACACUUUAUUGGCAUCUGUUUAUAUCUAUCUUUUUGUUUGUUUGUAUUUUCAAGUAUGGACAUUGCAGCACCUAGUAAUCAGAUUUCAUUACUAGAAGAAACAGGCUCCUCAUUAUCAGCUCAUAUGUCUAGUAAAUUUGAAACCGAUAUGGAUAUGCAUGUUAUCCAUGCUAACUCAUAAUGUGAGCCAGUAGUGAUAGGUCUCCAAGUAUUAUUCACAAGUAUGGAUGCUAGUUAAGUAUGCAUGUUAGUUAUCCUUAUGCCUCUUAUUACGAGACCAGUGCUGAUACUUUGCACGCUUGUAAUUAUAAUUUUGUCUUAUUUUAAAAAUUGUAACUUUUUCAAACUUCAUAUGGCAAUUGUAGGUUUCAGCAAGAUCUACAACUGUUUAGUUGAAUAUUUAAUUAAAGUUAUUUAGAUGGCUAUAUAAUUGAUUAAAAAUUUAGAUGACGAGGGUCAAAGGAAGAAAACUCUCCAUUGCUGUUAGCAAUGAAAUCUAGAUUACAUGGUAAGAAGGGAUAGUGUGAUGAGGAGGAUGUCCUUUCAAUCCCUGAAAACAUCUUAGACGUCUAUUUUGUGCGAAAAGUGCGUGACUUGUAAUUUGCGACUCGCAACAACUUGGGUAGAUCGGGGAUUACAUCCAGAUUUACGAAUUUUUUUCUUGCUACCUUUUGGUUCUACUGUCUCACUGGCUCUUAUUACAAGUCGGAAAGGAUACUAGCAUCUCUAUCGCACGGAUACCGCUGGCUUGAAAAUAGAUAUGGAUGACCAUAUUUGUCUUUGCUCCUUUUAUUUGCCACUUCCGGGCUUCAUGUGACUUCUACCAUCAACUAUAGCCCCUUUUGGGGUCUUGUCUUGCGUCCGCUUGUUUUCUUCUCGAUCCAUAUGGUCUACUUCUACUAGUGAUAUUCCUUUCAAUACCAUCUUGAUUUACUAAAUCUUUAAUAGCCCACUAGUUAGCAUAGCUUAAUUAAACAUUCCAUAGGAGAAAAAACUAACUUAUUAUAAAGUUUAAUUUGCUAGUAAUAUGGCUUUCUUGAAUUAUCUGGUACAGGUACUUCGUUGUUAUUGAUGACAUAUGGAAACUCUCAGACUUCAAAAUGAUUAAACGUGCUUUGCCUGGUAAUAAUGUUGGAAGCAAAAUAAUCACAACUACUCGUGAUCUCAAUAUUGCUGAACAAGCUGGCUCUGUUUACAAGUUGCAGCCCAUUUCUCCAAACAACUCUCGGAAACUAUUUUUUAGAAGAAUAUUUGGUAAUGACGACAAAGACAACAACGAAGAAGAAGAAAGGUGUCCUAACGAUGAGUUGGCUGAAGUAUCUGACAGAAUACUGAAGAAAUGUGCUGGUGUGCCAUUAGCUAUAAUUACGAUGGCUAGUUUGCUAGCUUGCAAAGCAAGAGAUAAAAUGGAGUGGUAUGAGGUGUGCAAUUCUGUUGGUACUGGUUUGGAAAACAAUCUAGAUGUGGAGAAUAUGAGAAAGAUUUUGUCAUUUAGCUAUUAUGAGCUACCAUGCCAUUUAAGGGCUUGCUUGUUAUAUUUGAGCAUGUUUCCUGAAGAUUAUAUGAUUGAGAAGGAUCGUUUGAUAAGGAUGUGGAUAGGUGAAGGUUUUAUCCAAUGUGAAAAAGUAGGGAAGAGCCUAUUUGAACUCGGAGAGAGUUAUUUCAAUGAGCUUAUAAACAGAAGCAUGAUCCAACCAAUACAUGAUAUUUCAGAUGAUAUGAUAUUUAGCUGUCGUGUACAUGAUAUGGUGCUUGAUCUUAUCCGCUCCUUGUCAAGUGAAGAAAACUUUGUUACUGUACUAAGUGAUAUGGGAGGCACAUCUCCGUCAAAUACGAUUCGAAGGUUGUCCCUUCAGAAUGGCCAGGACAGUCACGUGAUGGCUCAAGCUACAUGGAGCUUGCAACAUGCAAGGUCAGUUGUUGUCUUUCCAGCUACUGCUUCUCUAGUGCCACCUCUUGACUGCUGCCGGGUAUUACGUGUUCUGGAUUUAGAGGACUGCAAUCUUUCACAAGCUAAUAGUAGCCUUAAGUACAUUGGGAAUUUGCAUCACUUGAGAUACUUGGGACUUCGUCGGACAGGUAUUUCUCAGCUCCCGGAAGAAAUAGGAAACCUGCAGCUUCUACAAACAUUGGAUGCAAGGUACAACAAUAUUUCCAGGUUGCCUUCGAGUGUUGUCAAGCUAAGAAAGUUGAUGUGCCUCUACAUUGACUGGACUACAAUAGUUCCAAACAGAAUUGGAAACCUGACAUGCCUUGAACAGCUGUCAAAGUUACGCAUUGAUGACUCCACUAGAAACAUUGUAGAAGAGUUAGGCCAGCUAACUGAACUGAGGCAGCUGCACAUUGAGUUGGACGAGUGGAACGACAAGCUGUUGGAGUGCCUAUGCAAGCUACAAAAGAUGCAGAAACUAUUUAUCACGGUCUAUUCUGGUCAAUGUAGCAUCGGCGGAUUGGAUGCCUGGGUCGCCCCUCGACAUCUCCGCGUAUUUAAUACAUCCGGCUAUUGGUUUUCAACACUUCCGGCUUGGGUGAAUCCAUCGCUUCUUCUGGAUCUCACCUCCCUAUACAUCGCUGUGAGGGAACUACAUGAGGCCAAUCUCGAAAUUCUCGGGAGGUUGCCAGCUCUCCGCUAUCUAAUUCUGGAGGUGGACAAGGAGAACCUUAGUAUAAUUCGGGGAUUCGUUGUUGGUGCUGAUGUGUUCCCAUGCCUUUUAUGCUGUUACUUCCGUCAAUUUGUAUGGCCAGUGGUAUUUCAACAGGGAGCUAUGCCAAGGCUUAGAGAGCUUUGGUUUUGGCCGUUUUAUCUGCGGGAGGCAAGAGGAAUUGCGUGCAAUGACGGUAGUCUCGACUUGGGCCUAGGAAACCUGCCAUCGCUGCAGGUUAUCCAAGCUGUCCUGCGAUGUGAUGGUGCUGGCAAGGAGGAGGUGGAGCAAGCCAAGGCUGCGCUGACGCAUGAAGCAGAAAUGCAUCCCAAUCAUCCCUUCCAUUCGAUCCGUAUUACAGGUGCGCCAGCUUCUUAUUGUUAUUCCUUACUCUUCUCCUUCCCCCUUUCUUGUAAACUGUAUUUGCGUUUAUUCCUCUGUUUGAGAUGGUGGGAUCUCCGGGUGAUCUUUCACCACGCCUUUCUUCUAGCCCCUUUGCCUCAAUUCUUCUAAUCUUCCUUUGGUAUAUUUCAGUCUGAUAUACAGACGACAAUGACGAGUAAUAUAAGACUUUACGCCGGAAGGUGAAGCUGGAGCAGAGCAGAUGACUUGGGUGUGUUUGGAUCCCCGAGCUAAAUUUUAGCCCCUGUCACAUUGAAUGUUUGGACACUAAUUAGGAGUAUUAAACAUAGGCUAAUUACAAAACCAAUUUCACAACCCCUAGGCUAAAUCGCGAGAUGAAUCUAUUAAGCCUAAUUAAUCCAUGAUUUGACAAUAUGGUGCUACAGUAAAUAUUCACUAAUGAUGGAUUAAUUAGGCUUAAUAGAUUCGUCUCACGAUUUAGCCUAGGGGUUCUGCAAUUAGUUUUAUAAUUAGUUCAUGUUUAGUCUUUCUAAUUACCAUCCGAAUAUUCGAUGUGACACGGACUAAAUUUUAGCCCCAGGAUCCAAACACCCAGUUUCGCCACGCAUGCAGAGGUUAAACUGCUCGGCCAUGAGCUUUACCAGACACCCUCAACCUGUGAGUAAACAAUGAAUGCUGCACACAUGAUCGUUUCUGCUGUGCAUCAACCAAUAUGGCAUUUCGUUGCUGUUUCAGUGCAAGGAACCACCCAUCAUCAGUUUUCACUUUUCAGUGCAAGGAACGUUUAUUUUACUCAUUGCAAAGGGACUGAGCUGUCUCCUGCGCCCCUCAUCUAGUUGCCUUGUAUCGUCUCAGUGGUUCAGGGCCUUGGCUGUUUAUUUUGAUGAAUUUUUUUAGAUUAAGGGAGCGUUUUCUUCCACUAUCUUAUUUUUAGCACGUGUCAUAUCGAAUGUUUAGAUACUAAUUAGGAGUAUUAAACGUAGACUAUUUACAAAACCAAUUACAUAAGUGGAGGCUAAACGACGAGACGAAUCUAUUAAGCCUAAUUAUGCCUAAUUAAUCCAUCCUUCACAAAUAUUUACUGUAGCAACACAUUAUCAAAUCAUGGACUAAUUAGGCUUAAUAGAUUCGUCUCGCCGUUUAGCCUCCACUUAUGUAAUGGGUUUUGUAAAUAGUCUACAUUUAAUACUCCUAAUUAGUAUCUAAACAUUCGAUAUGACGGAUGCUAAAAAUAAGUCAGUGGAAGUGAUGAAAGAUAAAAACAAUGUAUUUUUGGGUUAAUGUUGCAGCUUGUGACCGUAAUCAUAUUGUGAGCCGUAAGCAUGGACGGCAGUAUGUAAUCAUCUUGUGAGCCGUAAGCAUGGAUGCUGUUGCGCAGUAUGUAUUCAUUGUGAGCCGUAAGCAUUUUAAUAUUUGGGAUUUGAAUGAUACUCCAGAACUAGUUUGUUAUGAAGUUGCAUUCCAAGAGUUUAAGGAUCUUGAUGGCACCUCGGAACAUAUUUUACUCUCUUAAUUGACCAAGUUCUUCCCUCUCCUAAUUUAUUUCAUUUUUAAGCGCCAAUUUCUGUGCCUUAGAAUUAGGAAUUAAUUGAAAAAUGCAAAGGCAAUAUUGACAUCGUUUUUCCUAGAUUCACAUUGAGAGGAAAAAUGAGAAUGUACUGCAACCAUAUUGCCACCGUCUACCAUCUCUUUCUCUUCUGCACUGCUAUGCCUGCCGCUGCGACAAAAAGAAUGGAGAAAAAUCAUCCAUCAUUAGCAAAUAUUUACUGUAGCAACACAUUAUCAAAUCAUGGACUAAUUAGGCUUAAUAGAUUCAUCUCGCCGUUUAACCUCCACUUAUGUAAUGGGUUUUGUAAAUAGUCUACGUUUAAUACUCCUAAUUUGUAUCAAACAUUCGAUGUGACGGGUGCUGAAAAUAAGUUAGAGGAACCAAACCAGGCCGAAAAAGGCGAUAAUAUUCCUCCAAGAUGAGCUUGAGAGCAGCUGGGUGCCCACGAGAAGAUCUCCAAGAUACCAUCAGACAAAAUUGAUGACCUUUGGCCCAGGAAUGUGUCACACCCGGUUUUUGAGCAAAACCAGAUGAAUAAAUUACAUGUGCGCUAGGAUCAAGUUUCACACAUGCAACGAUUUCAGUAAAUAACAUAGAUAGUGCCAUGUGCGUCAGGAUCAAGUUUCACACAUGCAACGAUUUCAGUAAACAACAUAUAUAGUGCUAAAAUAUAAAGAGAGUAUUAAAUUUAUUACAUAACUGAAAGUUUUUAAUUCGAAUAUCAAAAUGAAUCUUCGUUCUAGCAGCGGAACUCCAUCGACCAACAUAAAUUAAGCUGGCGAGAAGCCACCAUGCGAGCGGGCCCCACCAUGCGCGUCUUUCCACCAUGUGCGGAGGGCCUGGCGUUGGCCGCCGGUUCGGUGGAGACGGGCGCGACCGGAGGGGCAGGCCUUGGCUGCCGGCGAGCUCGUGUGCGGCUCGGCUGACGGCGUGCGUGCCGGCGGGCGCGGGCAGGGGAGCUCGCCACCGGCAAGAGCGCGGGCAGGGGAAUCAGGGAUCCAAUGCUCUUUGUACUACCUCUCUCGUCAAUUAUUGCCUUCACCUUCCCCCUGCAUCUGCAUCCCAUCAACCUCCGCUUGGUGCUCUUCCAAGGCGGCUUGCGGUGAGCUGUGUUGCGGCUGAGCAAGCUUGAAUCAAGCGACCUCGGUCCGGCGACGAGCGGCUGGCGGCGCGAUCCGGCAAACCAGUGAGUCCUAGCUGUGAUUGUUGCUCUAGGAGAUGGUGUAUUUUAGCACAAGGCAAAAUUGGUGAGAUCUCACCUGCCACACCUGUUGUUGUAUUUUUUCGUAAUUUGCAGCUUUUGACGUUUAUCAUCAUGUGAGCCGGUGAGACAUCAGAGCAUAGAAGUCAGUAUCUAUGCAUAGUCGCUUGAUCAUCGCAACUAGGGCGCACAUGCUCUGUUUCGGCGUGCAAUGAAAGUAGUGAUCCAAUGCUCUGUUUCGGUGUGCCUUUUCUGUUGCGUGCGUAACUCUGCUCCGCAGAACACGGUGCCGGUCCUGUUGUUAUUCGUUGCUUGUCUCCUUUCCCAUCUUACUAUUACUAAUUGGAGGCUCCUUUUGAAACCUCCAGGUGAAGCCACCUAGGAUUCCUAGGUGGACACUCUAGAAAAAGAGAGAAAUCCUAGAAAUUCUCACAAAAAUGCAAAACAUCCGACCAUCAACUGAUAGAUUCAAAUCUUCAUAGCCAUUGGAUCUAUUAUAUUUUCUAAAAAAUUACCUACCUAUGCCAUUAUGAAAAUAGCCUAAAGUAACCCCCUAAAUCUAUAUAUAAAUUACCCACCUAUGUCAUUAUAUAAAAUAAACUAAAGCAACCCCUAAUCUUCAUCAAAAUUACCCACUUAUGCCAUUAUAAACAAUAUUUAAAAUAAUCCCCUAAUUUGCAACUGAAUUGCCCACCACUAUUACUUAAAAAACUUAAAGUAACCCCUUAAAUUUGCAUCUAUAUUACCCAUACAUGCUAUUAUUAAAAAUAACAUAAGGUAACCCUAAGUUUGAAUUAAAUAACCUUAAUUAAAAAUAUACAUAUUCUAAAUCAUCUAUAUCUUGCACUAUUAGUAUAUGAUAUAAUAAUUAAGGUAUAUAUGCAUGAUGUGUGUCACCAUUUAUAAAGAUCUAAAGUGAUGUGAAUAUAGAUUUCUAUGUUAAAAUUGUAUCUCAAGCUCAGGGUUAAUUAAAAAAAUUCAAGCGUAUACCUGCGAUGCAAAGUGAAAAGUUAAAGAUUAUAAAUAUGGAUGCUAACUAAAAUCUAUCACAAUUGGAUGAAGAUAUCAUGUAUAUAUCUAUAUAAGUAUUGUGCGAAUAUUUAACAAAUGAGAGGUAGCUUAUGGUAAUAGUUUUGUAGCAAUGUAGUCUCAUUUUUUUUCCAUUGGAGGCUCCCUAUUAGUUCCCAUGAGACAAACUAGAAAAAAGAGACAAAUUCUCAUAAAAAUUAAAAACAUCAAACACCAAUCCUGUAAACUCUAAUAAUCAUAGCUAUUGAUAUAUUAUAUUUUCUAAAAAAUUACCCACCACUAUCAUUGUGAAAAUAUUAAAAAAUGAGCUCUAAACCUAUAUCUAAAUUACCGAGCUCAGCUAUUAUAAAGAAUAAUCUAAAGUAACCCCAUAAUCUUCAUCCAAUUUACUAAUACUUAUCAUUAUAAAUCAUUAUAAAUCAUAACUUAAAAUGUCAUUCUAAAAUUUUAUCUACAUUACCCACGUACGUCGUUAUUAAAAAUAACCUAAUAAAGUAAACAUGUGCACCAUACGUCCAAAAGUAAUUUAAUAUAUGAUUCUAAAUUACCUAUUUAUAUCAUUGUUAAUAUAAAAAUACUAAGUUAAAGUAUAUACACAUGAUGAAUCCCACCAUGUAGAAUGUGAGGAAUCGAUGAAAAAUAUUGAUUUGUAUGCUAAACAUAAUGUAUGGAGGAUUGGAGGUGCUAUACAAAAUGGAAAAAGUAUGAAUAUGGAUGAAAAAGUACUCCUGACCUGAAGAAAUUGUACAACGGCUUGCUAUAUGAUCUUGGCAAGAGCAUCAAGGAUCUAAGCAAGAACAUCAAGGGCUUGCUCUCUGAUCUAAGCAAGAACAUCAAUGACGAAACAUUGGAUGACAGGCAGCUCAUAGAAGUACUCAGAGAAUUCCUUGAAGACAAAAGGUACGAACGCAUUCCUUUCGCCAAUUUAUACAUAUGAACUUUAUUUGGACUGAUAAUUUAUGCCCUCUGUUCACAAUACUAUAAGUCUACAUAGGGUUAAUUAAAUGUUCAUGCACGUGGCACAUAUUAAAUUACAAAAUACAACCACUUAAGCUUUACCACAACAUUAUUAAGUGCAAAUAAUUUCCUCACUGAACCUCGUUCUGUUUUGACAAAAUUCUGAGUGGACUUAUUUUAUCCACAGACUUGCUCCCGAACUAUUUUAGUUUAAUCAUUAAACCAUUAGCAGUGGUCUAGUUUGCUUAAUUUUCUUGUAGCUGGUACAUGAACAACAUUAGAGCUUUCUUCAGUCCUUAAACCACUAUUUUUUGCUAAUAACUUGGCAUAUGUGUAGGUAUUUUGUUGUAGUUGAUGACGUAUGGGAUAUAUCAGUUUGGAAAAUGAUUAGAUGUGCUUUGCCUGAUAAUGAUGUUGGAUACACUAUUAUUACAACCACCCGUAUUUCUCAUGUUGCUGAACAAGUUGGGGGUGAUUACAACAUGAAACCUCUUUCUUUGAAUAACUCCCGAAAACUACUUUAUAGAAGAAUAUUUGGUAAUGGGAACAAAGGCAACAAUGAAGCAGAAGAAAUAUGUCAUGCGGAGCUGGCCGAAGUAUCUGACAGAAUACUGAAGAAAUGUGCUGGUGUGCCAUUAGCUAUAAUUACGAUGGCUAGUUUGCUAGCUUGCAAAGCAAGAAAUAAAAUGGAGUGGUAUGAGGUGUACAAUUCUGUUGGUACUGGUUUGGAAAACAAUCUAGAUGUGGAGAAUAUGAGAAAGAUUUUGUCAUUUAGCUAUUAUGAGCUACCAUGCCAUUUAAGGGCUUGCUUGUUAUAUUUGAGCAUGUUUCCUGAAGAUUAUGAAAUUGAUAGGGAUCGUUUGAUAAGGAUGUGGGUAGGUGAAGGUUUUAUCCAAUAUGAAAAAGCAGGGAAGAGUCUAUUUGAACUCGGAGAGAGUUACUUCAAUGAGCUUAUAAACAGAAGCAUGAUCCAACCAGUAUAUGAUGAUGGUGACAUAAUGAUACAAGGUUGUCGUGUACAUGAUAUGAUGCUUGAUCUUAUCCGCUCCUUGUCAAGUGAAGAAAACUUUGUUACUGUACUAAGUAACAUGGGAGGCACAUCUCCGUCAAAUACAAUUCGGAGGUUAUCCCUUCAGAUUGGCCAGGAAAGUUAUGUAAUGGCUCAAGCUACUUUCAGCAUGAAACAUGCAAGCUCAGUUGUUGAUGAUGGUGACAUAAUGAUACAAGGUAGUAGUGAACGUGAUAUGAUGCUUGAUCGUUUAUGCCCCUUGUUAGGUGCCUUGUUCAGGUCAGUUGUUGAUGAUGGUGACAUAAUGAUACACGGUGGUAUUGGACUUGAUAUGACGCUUGAUCGUUUAGGCCCCUUCUUAGGUGCCUUGUUAAGAGAAAAAAACUCUAAUACUAAUAUAGAAUGCACAUCUAUGUCCCUUCAGAAUGGCCAAGAAAAUCAUGUAAUGGUUCAAGCUACUUUCAGCAUGAAACAUGCAAGGUCACUUGUUGUGUUUCCAGCUAUUGCUUCUAUAGUGCUGCCUCUUGCCUGCUGCCGAGUUUUACGUGUUCUGGAUUUAGACGCCUGCGAUCUUUCAAGAGCUAAUGGUAGCUUUAAGUGCCUUGGGAAUAUACAUCACUUGAGGUACUUGGGACUACGUGAGACAGGCAUUUCUCAGCUCCCGGAAGAAAUAGGAAACCUGCAAUUUCUACAAACAUUGGAUGUAAGGGGCAACGCAUAUUUGAGGUUGCCUUCGAGUGUUGUCCAACUAAGAAAGUUGAUGUGCCUAUACAUUGACUCGUGGUCUAAAAGUGCACAGGACAGAAUUGGAAACCUGACAUGCCUUGAACAGCUGUCAUGGUUAUGCAUUGAUGACUCCACUAGAAAUAUUAUAGAACAGUUAGGCCAGCUAACUGAACUGAGGCAGCUGUCCAUUAAAUUGGACGAGUGGAACGACAAGCUGUUGGAGUGCCUAUGCAAGCUACAAAAGAUGCAAGAACUAGUUAUCGAAUGUUUUGGUCAAUGCAGCAUCGACGGGGAUGCCUGGGUCGCCCCUCGACAUCUUCGCGUAUUGUAUAUACCAAACAGAUGUUGGUUUUCAACACUUCCAGCUUGGGUGAAUCCAUCGCUUCUUCCGGACCUCACCAAGCUAUCCAUCACCGUGAGGGAGCUACAUCAGGUUGACCUCGAAAUCCUCGGGAGGUUGCCAGCUCUCCGCUUUCUAUCUCUGAAGGUGGACAACAAGAACCUAAGUAUCAUUCGGGGAUUCGUUGUUGGUGCUGGUGCAUUCCCGUGCCUUGUAAGCUGUUACUUCUAUCAAUUUGUGUGGCCAGUGGUAUUUCAACAGGGAGCUAUGCGAAGGCUCAGAAAGUUUGAGUUCCAGCAGUUUUAUCUGCGGGAGACAAGAGGAAUUGCCUGCAAUGACGGUAGUCUCGAAUUGUGCUUGGGAAACCUACCAUCGCUGCAGGAUGUCCAGGUUGUCCUGUGAUGUGAUGGUGCUAGCAAGGAGGAGGCAGAGCAAGCCAAGGCUGCGCUGACGCAUGAAGCUGAAAUGCAUCCCAAUCAUCCCCGUCAUUAUAUCGAUAUUAGAGGUGCGCCAGCUCCUGAUUGAUAUUCCUUACUUGUCUCCUUCCCCUUUUCUUCUAAACUAUAUUUGCGUUUAUUCCUCUGUUUGAGAUGGUGGAUCUCCAGCUGAUCUUUCACCACGCCUUUCUUCUUGCCCCUUUGCCUCAAUUCUUCUAAUCUUCCUUUCGUAUAUUUGGGUCUGAUAUAUAGAUGACGAUGAGGAUGACGAGUAAUAUAAGACUUUACGCCGGAAGGUGAAGCUGGAGCAUAGCAGAUGACAAAGUCCCUCUGUUUCACCACGCAUGCACAGGUUAAACUGCUCGGCCAUGAGCUUUACAGACACCCUCAACCUGUGAGUAAACAAUGAAUGCUGCACACAUGCGUCUGAGACUCAGAGCUUUGAUCGUUUCUGCUGUGCAUCAACCAAUAUGGCAUUUCGUUGCGAGAGUGUAGGAUGACAUUGUCAGUGGAUAUGAUUGUAAUCCCUGACCAACUUCCCCCU